CUGUACUCUUGACUCUGCCUACCUAUCUGCAAGUUCUGGUAGUAGUACGUGUGCUGGGUGUUUGCCAAUGCUUUGUUGGUUAGUAGUUUGUAAGAACUGAAUCUGUUGCUACUUUUGGCAAACUGAUCGAUCUAUAUAUGUGGUAAUGCUGCAGUAGUGUUGAUCUGAUUAAUGUUGGUUUUCCGCUCUUCUGAACACAUCAAUGUAUGGCCAUUCAUAUUUUAGUUGUUGAACUCUGGUUAUUUGCAGACCUCCUGCAUGAUUUUUUACUGAAUUUACCUGAAUCACUGUAUCCUGUUGUGCAAACAAAGAUUUAGAAAUAAUGAUGCAUUCCUAUACUAGUGAUUUGAAUUUUUACUUGGUGAUUGAAUUGAUCUCUGUCAUGUCUGCUUUCAUAUGGCAGCAGCUUGGUGUUACUCUGAAAACGACAAAUGUGAGUUGUUUUCAAGAAAAAUGAAAUGAGAGUUAGCUCUCCAUUUCUUGCACAAAACAAGAUGAGGUUCUAGAGCGAUGCUUUGAUUUAUCGCUUCGCUUGUCAAACCGAAGGAACCUUUCAUGCCUGCUAUGCACAUUAGGUGUACCAUGGAGCAGCUGUAGUAGUAGCUUCAGACUUGGCUUCGACAGUGUUCUGUAGUUAGAUGAUGGAGUGCGCUCUGACCAUGUUAGCCUACUAUAACAUUUGUGCUGGAAUUUGUGUGUUGCAAUCAGAGUGUUCUUGGAUAAAUCAGAAGUGGCAUAUGCAACUUAAUUAUGUCGCUCUUAAGUCUUAACUAGCAAAUGUACGGAUGGUUUGCCGAUUACUGUUGAGUAAACUAUUAGCAAUGUAGUACUAUUUUGGCCAUUAGUUCUUUUUUUUCAAAUCAUGCAUGCAUGAGAGCUGAUAAAGGUACAAAAGAGGUUCAUCUACAGGAUGCACUACACUCAUGUUCUUAUUUGGACAACUUGCCGCUUCGGUUCUUUGGCAUUCCAUUCUUCAUGUCCCACACUAAUUUCUCUCUUACCCAUUUUAUAUAUAUUACAGCAGCCAUAGGUUUCUCGAUUUCCCAUCCUAAGUUUUUAGUAGAAUUUAGAAGUUGGACUAAAUGCAUAAUGUGUGCACUUGCAAGAAGAUAAGAAAUAUAUUACUAAAUGAAUUACUACUUCUAAGACCAAACUAUUGCUUCUGGAUUUACAAAUUCAUCUGAAUCAAGUUAGUUGUUUCUGCCAGUAUAUGUGUAUGACUUUGUAGGAGUAGUAAGUAGCACAUGAGUUUCUCUGUAUUCGACUUUACUAUUGACCUUUUAAAGUUAUUAGGAUACUCUAGCACUCUGUGCAGCAAUUUGCAGAUUGCAUCUGUGCUCACAGUGAACAAAAAAAAUCUGCUAAUGUAGAAUAAUUAGGAUUUGACAAGCGCAAACAUGUUACUUCUCUUGCUAAUAAAUGGACCUGAUUAAAUGAAUAUAGUCAUAAAUCUGGAAAAUAAAGAACAAAAGGCGCAUUGAAAGCCUUGUGUUCCAUUUGGGAAACUGGCAAUGGCUUGAUUUAUGAUACAGCUACAUCAAUGAUGAAUCUUGUUUUCUGAGACGCAUUUAUUAACUAUGCCUGCUCAAGCAAUUCUUUUUGUUCUCAACAAUCCGCUUCAUAUAUUUGCUUUUCGAGGGUUGAAAAUCAAUGUUGAAUUUUACACUUCAGGCCAAGCAGUUCAUCUAUGCCUGAAUGCUUUAGUGAUGUUGGCGUGCCGAACCAUAUCUAUUUUUUUAGCCGAAACAGUAGAACAAUUGUUCUACGGUAUAUUUUCAUUAAUUAAAAGAACAGUACAAAUACAAAGUAUAGUACAAAUCAACCAAUACCAGUUUUAGGAAACCCCAUGAUUAAAUUAAGUGUUCUAUUCUAUCCAAAAUCUGAUCUUCUCUGACUUUGAUGAUUUGGCUCUGAGUUCUGAAGCUUGGAGUCCUUCUUUCAGAUAAUGCUUCCAAGAUCCACUGAUGGGGCCGCUCUCCUGAAAAUUUUGUCAUUUCUACUCAUCCAGAUGCCCCAGCAACCCUGAAUAAUGAUGUCCAUUGCAAUGUCUGAUGGGAGGUCUCUCAUGGAGAGAUGAAUUUCAUCAUAUACAGAUAUGCCUCUGAACUUGUUUGGUACUAUGGUGUGCCAGCACCUCGAAGCAAAUUGGCAAUCCCAGAACAGAUGAACAGCUGUUUCCUCUGUGGCAUCAGCACAUAGGGCACAAUUAUAGUCGUCCAGAUACAUGUUCCUCCUAUGUAUUAAGUUCCUAGUACUCAGGUUAUCCCAAAGCAACAGCCAGAAGAAGAUCUUAUGCCUGAGUUUGCAUGCUGACUUCCAAAGAGCUCUGAAAAUGUCAUGGGCUGUGCUCUCCCCUCUGAUUGCUUUGUACAUUUUCAUAGAUGAGUAAUUAGGUGAGGCCCAAGUGUAUGACCAUUUGUCAUUGUGUGUAGAAGAAGCUUGCCCAUUCAUUAUCAUCUGCAGGGAUGUGAAUUGAUGAAAUGCUAACUGGGAGAGAGGUCUGUGAAAUAGUUGGCUGAUGUCUGUGUGCACAAGGGCACCACUCAAGGAGAUUGCCUGAUUGAUAGCAUAUGAAUGGAGCUCAGGGAAUGUAGUGAGGAGUGGUAGCUCUUGCCACCUGUCAGUCCAAAAGCCCACCGAAUCUCCAAUGCCUGCUUUACAGAUAGCAUGAUGCUUAAACAUUGGGAGAAGUUUAAGAACAUCUCUCCACCAGAAAGAUCCCACCUUCUGCUCCUCUGGUAGCCUGUUAUGAUAGUGUUUCUCCCAAAUGAUAUUCACCCAUGGUGUGUCCACUUUGUUGAAGAACUUAUGCAAGAAUUUCAGGAGAAGGGCCUUGUUGUGCAUGUGGAGGUCUAAAACCCCAAGUCCACCAUGGUUUUUAGGUCUACUAACUUUGUCCCAAGCAAUUAGCACAGCCCCUCUUUCCAAGGUUCCAUAUUUUCUCCCAAAACAAUUCAUAAGAUAAGUGUUGAUUUGCUUAAUGACUAUUUUGGGUAUCAUCAGAGUACUCAUGAAGAAAGUGGGCAUACUUGUGAAGAUGGAUUUUAUGAGGGUGAGUUUAUCUCCAGUAGACAACGUGGUAGAGCAGCUUAGUAACCUAGUCUCAAUUCUGUGAAGAAAAGGAAAGAAAUCCUCUACUUUAGGCCUGGUAAGACACAGAGGUAGCCCCAGAUAAUUAAGUGGCAGAGUACCAAUCUUGCAUCCUAAAAUGCUUGAAAGUUCAAUCAUCUUCUCAGAAGGAGUGUGAAUAGAGAUCAUUGUAGACUUUGCAUAGUUCACUCUGAGUCCUGUGUAUUGAGCAUAGUGUAAUAGGAGAUUUUUGAUAUGAUGGACCUGUCUAUGAUCAGCCUUGGCCACUAAGAUAGUGUCAUCUGCAUAUUGAAUGAUAGGAUAAUCAGGGCAAGAUGUGUGGCUGAGAGGUGACUCAAUCAUGGAAGCAUGGCAGGCUUCAUUGAAAAUUAUUUGUAGUAAAUCAGCAGCAAUCACAAAUAUCAGGGGUGACAGAGGGUCUCCUUGCCUCACACCAUUGUUACAGAGAAAUUGUUUACCAGGGACUCCAUUAAGCAGAACAGAUGAAUACCCAGAGCCAUAAAUCAUUUUUCCACUGGAUCCACUUGGCACCAAAACCUUUAGCUUGUAGGAUCUCAAUAAUGGUGUCAUAAUUCAACAUGUCAAAUGCUUUCUCAAAGUCCAAUUUGAGAAGAAUGAUUUCUUUUCUGCUCUGUUGGCAUUGGUGGAUAUAUUCAAAUGACCAUGCUAAGCAAUAUUGGAUACAUCUGUGAUUCAGAAAGCCAUAUUGGUUUUUGUGGACCAUGCCAAGAAUGAGCUUCUGAAGUCUAUUUGCCAGCAGCUUGGUGAUGAUUUGGAGAGUGCAAUUCAACAGUGAAAUAGGCCUAAAUUCUGCUGGUGUAACUGCAUGGUCCUUCUUUGGGAUGAGGGUAAUGUAGGAGUAGUUGAUACUCUGAAUGUUAACAUGGCCUGAGUGAAAAUCUGCAAUCAGUUUAUAAAAAUCAGGAGCAAUAAUAUCCCAGCAAUGUUUCAGGAAAGCAGCAUUGAAACCAUCAGGGCCAGGAGAUUUAUCUGCAGGCAUAUGUUUUAUGACAUAGUCAAUCUCCUCCUUGGUGAAUGGAGCUUCUAGUUCAGAAAGAUCUUCAUGAGGAUGGAGCAGUUGAUGCAACAAAAGUGGAUUUGAUGUUGGAACCCUGGUUCCCAGUCUGGCCUUAAAUGCUCUGUAUAAAAUAGCAGCUUUAGCCUGACGAUCCUGAUGUUCAUGUCCUUGUUCAUCUUUCAACAUGGCAAUACAAUUGUUUCUGAAUUUAAUAGUAGAUUUGUCUUGAAAGUACUUGGUAUUGGCUUCACCCACUUUGAUUUUUCUGAUUGUUGCUCUCUGCUUCCAAUACUGUCUCUGAUGGUCUAGUGUUAUUUCCAGGUGCAUCUUAAGGAGGUUUCUUCCAUUGUUUUCUUCAGUAGUUAGUUCUCCGAAUUCCUCAAUAGUGUCCCAACAUAAGAUCAUGAAGUUGGUGUUCUCAAUAAUCUUCUUCAGAUCAGAAAGGCCCUUAGCCCACACCUUUAGUCCUUUUCUCAGUCUCUUAAAUUUGGCUGCAAUCACUUUUGCACUGUCUGUUUCUGUUACUGGUUGUGACCAAAUGGAGCUAACCACAUCUUUAAAUUGCUGAUGCUCAAGCCAGUAAUUUUCAAAUCUGGAGAUGUUGGUUUUGGGGAUGGAAGAGCCUAUCUAAAUCUUUAUAGGCACACGAUCAGAAGUGGUUUUAGCCAAAGGAUAAGCAAAAGUAGCAGGGUAUUUAAGGGACCAUGCUUCAGAUGUGAAACACCAAUCUAGCUUCUCAAGUAAUGGUGAAUCCUGCAUAUUACUCCAAGUGAAUCUUCUACCUUUGAGAGGAAUCUCAACAAGGGCCUGCUUGUUAAGUGCUUCAUUGAAUAGGAGCAUGUCAUUAAUGUUACCCCCCUCUCUGCUUCUAUUGUGUGGGUAUCUGAUAAAGUUGAAAUCUCCCACAAUUAACCAGUUGUCAUCAUCUGGUAUUUGAAAGUUCUGGAACCAAUUGAGGAAGAGAAUUCUUUCAUUCUGUUGGCAAGGACCAUAAACAUUUGUUAAGAUCCAAGAUUCCCCAUUGUGAGUGGAUGUGAAUUGGAUAGAUAGGGAGAAAUCAUUGACAUGAUAAAUCUGUCUAGAGAAGACAUUUUCAUUCCAAGCAACAAGUAGACCACCGGCAGCUCCAAUAGAUGGGAGGAAAGCAAAUUUAGAGAUUCUUUUGGGGCAGAAGUUUCUGAUAAAAGUGCUAUCGAAACUUUCUUUCUUAGUUUCUUGAAGGCAGAGGACGGAACAUUGUGAUUCAUCAAUCUUAUUGCCAAUGGCAGGCCAUUUCUUGGGGUCAUUGAUCCCUCUAAUGUUCCAGUUAAGCACAUUCCAUUGUCUGUUCAUGAUGUGAUUGGAUAGAAGCAUUAUCAGGGAGGAACAUAUUCCGUAACUUGGAGAUGUGGCAACAGAUCUUAGGGAAGCAGAUAUUAAUAGAGAACAUUACAGCGAAAGACAACUCAGUCACAUUAAGUUCAUAAAAGAGCAGAUACGCAAACAGGUCCCAAGAUAACUUUCCAUUGCAGUAUAGGUGCAAAAUGCCCAUGGAAAAAGUUCUAACACCACUUAUAAUGCUGGUUGGAGGGGUGAUUCUCUAUUUGCUGAUGGCCCUGCUUCCUUUGCUUGCUUCCCCUCCUGGAUUCCCUCCUUUAGCUUUCUUGGCCUUCUUGGUAAUCACUGCCUCAGAGGUGUCCUUCUUAGAAACCUUGCAGAAAGAUGUGUUUAGACUUUUAAUAAUUUUGGCAGGGAUAUUAGGUGGGAGAGCAUGACAAGCCAGACAAUCUUUGUUCCUACAGAUUGUUUUUUAAAACCUUUGGACAGCUUUUGGAGUCGACAGCUCCUCCUUAACUCAGUUUCAACCAGGGGGACUUUCUCUUUUCUUUUCUUGUUGAGGUGGAGUGUAGAUGUGGAUGAUGCAGACAUAGCUUCAGUAGAGGUGUUAUCUGUUGGAGAUGAGUUCUCCUGAUCAUGUGCCACCUGAAACCCAAGAGACAGAGAACAUUCAAGAGAUGUCUCAUUAGGGCAAGUCUCAGGUACAACAAAUGGGAGAGUGAGAGUGGAUGUUGAUCCAUGGGUAAUGAUUUCCCAAACUGAUGAUGUGAUAAACUUUUUGACCUAAUCAAAUUUAUCAGGUGAUAGAAAAGUAACAGAUAGAAAGUUGACCCAAUCAACUGGUACCUGGAUGAUAGUUUUGCUGUUAUUCUUGGGGGCAAAUUGAUCCUUCCAUACUCUAGCCCCUUCCACACCUAGGUGUUGCUCAACCAGUGACUGAUUGCAGGAUGUGAUAUCUGUCAGUACAGCAGCUUUGUGUUGCACUUGUGUAUUCUCCAGACCUGAAGUAUGUGCUUGAUUAGAAAAAAUAGGGAGAGGGAAUUGAGGGAGUCCUGGACUAAGGGGUCCUCGGGCGUCCGGCCUGUUGGACAUGGGCCGGACUAAUGGGCUGUGAAGAUACAAGACCGAAGACUCUCUCCCGUGUCCGGAUAGGACUCUCCUUGGCGUGGAAGGCAAGCUUGGCGACCACAUAUGAAGAUUCCUUUCUCUGUAACCGACUUUGUACAACCCUAGCCCCCUCCGGUGUCUAUAUAAACUGGAGGGCUUAGUCCGGAAAGGGACACAGUCAUACAUGCUAGACUUCUAGGGUUUUAGACAUUACGAUCUCGUGGUAGAUCAACUCUUGUAAUACUCAUAUUCAUCAAGAUCAAUCAAGAAGGAAGUAGGGUAUUACCUCCAUAGAGAGGGCCCGAACCUGGGUAAACAUUGUGUCCCCUGUCUCCUGUUACCAUCGACCUUAGACGCAUUUCGGGACCCCCUACCCGAGAUCCGUCAGUUUUGACACCGACAUUGGUGCUUUCAUUGAGAGUUCCACUGUGCCGUCCCCAAAAGGUUUUGAUGGCUCCUUCGAUCAUCAACAACGAUGCCCUCCAAGGGGAAGCCUUCCUCCCCGGACAGAUCUUCGUGUUCGGCGGCUUCGCACUGCGGGCCAACUUGCUUGGCCAUCUAGAGCAGAUCGAUAGCUAUGCCCCUGGCCAUCAGGUCAGAUUUGGGAGCUUGAACUACGUCGCGGAUAUCCGUGGAGAAUUGAUCUUCGACGGCUUUGAGACCACGGCGGCCGCUCCCUGUCCCUACGGUGAACAUGACUUAAAUCUGUCACCGGUCUAUACUCAGGAAAUCGCACCUGUAACUACCCCGGCCCUAGAUCCGGAGCAGAUCGCGACAUCCGAGGACGGGAAGCUCAACCCCGCCACGGAAGCCGUAGAUUUCACGGCGCCGGAGCCGCUCACAGACCUAACCUCGGACGACAUAUGUGUCUCCGGGACCUCAGACUCGUUUCCGGUGAUAAGUUCCGAACCAUGUGCGUCCGCUUAUGUCAAGCCGAAUCGGUCUUCGAUCGCUGAAUUCAGCGCAGCGGACAUCUUCCGGCACUCACCUCUAGGCAAUGUGCUGAACUCAUUAAAAAAUCUGUCCUUAGCGGGGGACUCACAGCCGAACUAUGUCCGGUUCGAACUGGAGGCAGAUGAUGGGGAAUUCCGCUUCCCACCCGCCACCCACUACAUAGCCACUGUCGAGGACUUAACCGACAUGCUCGAUUACGACUCCGAAGACAUCGACGGUAUGGACGACGAUGCAGAUGAGGAGCAUGGCCAAAACCCGCCAUUUACCGGACACUGGACGGCCACUUCUUCGUACGACGUAUACAUGGUGGAUACACCCAAAGAGAACAACGGCGAGGAGAAGGAAAAACCAGUUGAGGAUGAGCCUCCUAAGACAUAACCAAAGCACCGGCGUCAGCGGCGCCGCUCUAAAUCCUGCCGCAGCAAGGAUAGCAACACCGACACAGGAGAUGAUCACACUCCGGAUGGUGCCGAAGACAGAGAAGAUCCCGAGGAACAAACGGCCGAACAGGACGAUCGGGAAGAUGGGCAAGUUAGCCCUGACGAACAGGCCAUAGACGACGACUCGAAGGGCAGCACUUAUCUUCCACCCUCCGAGGAUGAGGUGAGCCUUGGCAACGAGGAUUUCAUCAUGCCUGAGGAACCUCUCGAGCAAGAACGCUUUAGGCGUCAGCUAAUAGCCACUGCAAGAAGCCUGAAAAAGAAGCAGCAGUAGCUUCAAGCUGAUCAAGAUCUGCUCAGCGAUAGAUGGACUGAUGUCCUGGCAGCCGAAGAAUACGGCCUUACACGCCCAGCCAAAAGUUACCCUAAGCGAAAAUUGCUACCUCAGUUCAAUGACGAGGCACUGGAGCCCGUACCAUCAUUGCACAAUGUGGCUGACCGACCACCACGUGGUCGGGAUAAAGCGGUAACUCAAGCCGAACGCCAGACCGCCCCACCUCGCCGUAAAGGCAGGGACAAAACAGCUCGGGGUUACACAUAUGACCUCCGGCAGGACCUGGAUAGUAGAGCAGGACACACAAGAUCGAUCUAUGGAUCGCGGGGACGUGCUUCGACACGCGACGACGGCUACCUAUUCGGACGUGACAAACCUAGUCACGCCCGGGCCGAAAACCGCAGACGGACUCCAUCGAAGCUACGUCGCGAUGCGGCCCGAUAUAGAGGCACCGCACACCCUCUUUGCUUCACCGACGAAGUAAUGGAUCAUGAAUUCCCAGAAGGGUUUAAACCCGUAAACAUCGAAUCAUACGAUGGAACAACCGAUCCCGCGGUAUGGAUCGAGGAUUUUAUUCUCCACAUCCAUAUGGCCCGCGGAGAUGAUCUUCACGCCAUCAAAUACCUCCCACUAAAACUUAAAGGGCCAGCUCGGCACUGGUUAAACAGUCUCCCUGAAAACUCUAUUGGCAGCUGGGAGGACUUGGAAGAAGCCUUCCUUGACAACUUCCAAGGUACAUAUGUCCGGCCACCAGACGCCGAUGACUUGAGUCACAUAGUUCAACAGCCUGGAGAGUCAGCCAGGAAAUUCUGGACUAGGUUCGUAACUAAAAAGAACCAGAUCGUCGACUGUCCGGAUGCCGAAGCCCUAGCGGCCUUUAAACAUAGCAUCCGUGACGAAUGGCUCGCCCGUCACCUCGGCCAGAAAAAGCCGAAGUCCAUGGCAGCCCUCACGACACUCAUGACCCGCUUUUGUGCGGGUGAGGAUAGCUGGCUAGCCUGUAGCAAAAACACAGAAAGCAAAACGGGCACCCUCGAGGUUAAAAAUAGCAACGGCAAGCUUCGCCGCAGCAGACACAAACGCCGAAGCAAUGGUGACAACACCGAUGACACGACAGUCAACGCCGGAUUUAGUGGCUCCAAGUACGGUCAGCGGAAGAAGCCAUAUAAAAGAAAUAAUCAGGGACCAUCCAGCCUGGACCGCAUACUCGAUCAUCCGUGCCAGAUCCAUGGCACCCCAGACAAACCAGCCAAUCAUACCAACAGAGAUUGUUGGGUUUUUAAACAUGCCGGCAAGUUAAAUGCCGAGAACAAAGAAAAGGGAUCGCAAAGCAAGGACGAUGACGAGGAGCCCCGACAACCGAACUCAGGAGGACAAAAGAAGUCCCCCCCAGGUCAAAACGGUGAACAUGAUAUAUGCUACACACAUCCCCAAGAGGGAGCGCAAGCACGCGCUCAAGGACGUCUAUGCGAUAGAGCUAGUCACCCAAAAAUUUAACCCAUGGUCGUCAUGCCCGAUCACUUUUGAUACGGGAUCAUCCGACCAGUAUCUGUCAUGGCGGUUCAGCCGCAUUGGUCCUUGACCCAAUAAUUGAUGGAUUCCAUCUGACGCGAGUCCUUAUGGACGACGGCAGCAGCCUGAACCUGCUCUAUCGGGAUACAGUGUGCAAAAUGGGCAUUAACCCAUCACGGAUCAAGCCCACAAAGACUACCUUUAAAGGAGUCAUAACAGGCGUAGAGGCCUGUUGUACGGGCUCAAUUACGCUAGAGGUUGUCUUCGGAUCUCCGGACAACUUCCAAAGCGAAGAGUUAAUCUUCGAUAUCGUCCCUUUUCGCAACGGCUACCACGCACUGCUCGGACGAACCGCAUUUGCUUGAUUCAAUGUGAUCCCUCAUUAUGCUUACCUUAAGCUCAAGAUGCCCGGACCGUGUGGCGUCAUAACAGUUAAUGGAAAUACGGAACGCUCCCUCCGUACCGAGGAGCACACCGCUGCCUUAGCAGCAGAAGUACAGGGUGGCCUUUUCAAGCAAAGCCUUAAUUCGGCGGCCGAGCCCCCGGACACUAUCAAGAGGGUCCGGACUACUCUGCAGUAGGACAGCUCGGCUCGUCAAGAGCUCGACUAGCAAUUUGGCCUCCGUCCCAGUCCCAACGAAGUGGCGGCAUUCGCACCGUGCGUACAUAACUACGCACUCAAAAUACCAUGGGGACAGGCGGAGGCAUAACUAGCUUGUGAUCCACAAUACGGCUUGACCGCUCCCGGACACAUAUACUUUCACUGUUUCUUUUCUACUUUUCAGGUUUCUUCUCCAGAGGCCUUCCCUGACGACUUGAUCGCAGGUCCUUUCAAAGGACAAAUACACCAAGCCGGCAGUCAGAUUGAACGUAGAGGGGAGUUUCUAAGUGGUUUCUUUAACAACCACACUACAUGUCUCUAGGGUCCCACGCGCAGCUCUCCCUUGGUCGUGGCAUGUCAAAUAGCCUGUUGCUUAUCGCACUACUUGUAUCAAUGCGCUUUGACGUAUUAAUCAAAUCAUAAUGGAAACAGUUUGCGGCCCAAAUUUUAGGGCCCUUGCUUACUGCUUUUGCUCCUUUUCUGUCUCCCCUUUUUAUCAUUAAUAAGCUUAUCAUAUAGCACCCGUACACUGUGGUACGUUUCAAUUUGCUAGGGGCUUCAUAGCGCCCCGCACUAUGGCAACAAAGACCGAACACUUUUACAGUAUAGUUCGGCACCCCGAAUUUAGCACUAUAUGCAUUGACUCCGAAUCAUGUCUUUGGUCAAUAGUUGGGUUGCCCGGCUCCUGUGCUUGCUACCUUACGUUCCCCUAUAUCGCCUAAGGUAGUAAAGGGAGCACUACUGCGAUUGUGCCCUGGUUUACCCGAAGGAGCACCUCAGUAGAGAAAGCCAAAAACUGACUGUCAUGAUGCGGCGAGAGCCGGUCAGCUCUUCGGAGGUUUCAAAUCGAUAGAGAUUUUUUCCGCAUUACGAGAAGGAUCGGUACUUACCCGGUCAGGUGCUUACAGCAUCCUAGUCCGGAUACUAGGGGUUGCGACCACAUUUUUAUUGUCAAACUCCUAUGGCUAAGUGAGAGUGCUAAAGCCGCAUAGUCGGAUUGCCUGGUUCGUUGCGCUAAACACCUCCUUCAAGGACCAAACAAUUGGAUCAAGAGUGCUUAGAUUCCAUCCCGAACACCCCCGUACUACCUACAUGGGGGCAGAAGCCGACGACUGGGCAACUCUCAGAUUUCACACACAACGGCCGCACAGGAGGUAAUUUUUUUUAACAUAACAAAAAUUAUAUUACAUAACAACUUUGUUUCAUCAUACAUGGCAGAGACAAUAGGAAUGUAUUCAUUCAAAUAUAAUGUCUUCCGCACAUUGCGUUGCUACAAUACGAGACCCCUCCAGGACAUCUUCAAAAUAUCGCUCUGGUGUGCGGUGCUCCUUGCCCUCAGGCGGCCCUUCGGUCACGAGCUUGACGGCGUCCAUCUUCGCCCACCAGACCUUGACGCGGGCAAAGGCCAUGCGCGCGCCCUCGAUGCAGACCGACCGCUUGAUGAUGUCCAGUCGAGGACAGGCGUUCACCAGCCGUUUCACGAGUCCGAAGUAACUGCCGGGUACAGCUUCGGCGGGCCACAGCCGGAUUAUUAAAUCCUUCAUGGCCAGUUCGGCCACCCUAUGCACCUCGACCAGCUGCUUUAGCUGAUCGGUGAAGGACACUGGAUGUUCUGGCACAAGGUAUUGCGACCAGAACAACUUCUCCGUUGAGCUUCCUUCUUCGGCUCGGAAUAACUCCGCAGCGUCUGACACACUACGCGGCAAAUCCGCAAACGCCCCUGGAGAACUCCGAAUUCGGGUUAGUAAGACAUACUGCUUCUUCACAUACUUGCUUUGCAUACUAAACGCCUUACCUGCCGCGAUCUUCCUGGCUUCCUGGAUCUCCUGGAGGGCGCCCUGGGCUUCAACCCGGGCUUCUUCCGCGCUCUGGCGGGCCUUGGCGAGUUCGGCCUCUUGAGCCGAAGCAUCGCACUCCAAGGCCUCGCAUUUCUUCACAGCAUCCUGGAGCUCUUGCUGGACCUCGUUGACCCUGGCCUUGAGCUUCUUGCGGGCGGCUUGCUCCUUGGCAGCUUUCUCCUCGGCUUCGGCCAGGGCCUUUUUAAGGACCUCGACCUCGGUCGUCGCUCCUAGACAUAUCAUAACGCCAUGGUCAAUACACAUCAUUUAUUCUUUCCGAAUAUAUAGCAAGUCAUUACAUACCUUGCUGGUCUACCAGCUGCUCCUUCGCUUGGCCGAGCUCCUCCUCGGCCCGCUCCAGUCUCUGCUUUAAUUCGGAGACUUCGGCAACAUGUGAGGUCGCGGCCAGCAACGACGCCUGCUCAUUCAUGCAAGACACAUUCAGUUAGUUUCCUGCAAAAAUGAAUUGAUCCUCUGUCCGGUUUUGCUUGCCGAACACCGGACAGUGUCUCAGGGGCUACUGUCUAUAUGGGGAUUUUCUCCUUUGCGUCGCUUACCUCAAAACCUGUCAGCAGGCCGCUGUAGGCUUCGGUCAGUCCGCUCUUGACGGACUGAACCCUCUCAAUCACCGUACCCAUAAGGAUACAGUGUUCUUACACAAUGGAAGCGCCUCGCAGCGCUUCCAGAAGAUUGUCCGGUGCCCCUGGUUGAACAGAGGUCACCGGUGGGAUAGGCACACCUCCGUCUUUCAAAGGAGGCUGCACGCCGAACUCCAGAGCCGUGUAGGUCUCCGGAACCGUAUCCGGACGGUGGCCGAACUGAGUUCGGCCCCCAUCGCCCGUCUCCAUGGGGGACUGCUCCCCCAUGUGUCCGGCGGCCGAGGUUUCGCCCUCUGGCGCCACCCUGACGGCCUCUUGAGACUCUCCCUGGCCGGGAAAGUACUUCGUGACAGCACCUCGGCGUCACUCUUGGCCGUGGGAGAGUAAGCGGGCGGCGGUGACGCGCGGGCCAUCGCCUUUGAAUCCAACGAACCUCUUGAUGAGGAUCGCUGGGAGCUGUCAUGGGCCGGACUGCAAUUCCACAAUUAAUCAUGUUAAUACAAUGAGGAGGAAAGGCCGGAUACACAGGUGAGUACGAGUCUGUCAGUACUUACGAUGCGGGUAGGGGCUUGCUCCGGGGGCGUCGCUCCGGACUGCUGUCGACGUCCCACGCGGUUUUAUCCGCGAGGGAGCCUUUCCCCUUCUUGGGCGCCUCCGCCUCCAGAUUUGUGGAGGCCGCCCUCUUCUUCCUCCCCCCAUCAGGGGGAGGGUUUCUUUCCUCCUCCUCCUCAUCGUCAUCUUCGGCGGCAGAGGAGUGAGUCUUGUCUUCGGACAUCACGUCCGAAGUACCCUUGCGGCGGGGGCCACCCCAGCCCCCCUUGGCCUUCUUCUUGGCGCCUGAUAGGGCACCAGGACCAGCAUCUUCGCCAGAAGCGGGAUGACUAGUUCUUCGGGCAGCGGAGCAGAACUGUGAAUUCGCUCUGCUUUCUCUGUCCAUUCCUGAAAGGAUAAAUUAGCAAAGUUUAGUUACCCUCCUUGGACAAGCAGGUAGAGAGUAUGCCUUGAGAUGUGAAGGACUUACGGCGCUGGCGGCGUGGGCAAGAUCGUGCCCACGAUCCGAGUCUAUGGCCGGCGACUUCUCGUCGCCCUUGAAGAGCAGCUUCCAUGCGUCUUCGUGAGUGGUGCCGAAGAGCCUCACCAAGGUCUGGUGCCUCUCCGGAUCGAAUUCCCAUAGAGGGGAAGUUCGGCUUUGGCAGGGGAGGAUCUGGCGAACCAGCAUAACCUGGAUCACGUCGAUGAGCUUGAUGUUUUUGUCCACCAUGCUUUGGAUGCGCGUUUGCAGCACCAUCAGCUCAUCCGACGAAGACCAAUUCAGGCCCUUCUCCAUCCAGGAGGUCAGCCGCAUUGGAGCCCCGGACUUGAAUUCGAGAGCCACGGCCCAGGUGGCGUCGCGGGGCUCUAUGAUAUAGAACCACAGCUUCUGCCACUCCUUGACAGUCUCCACAAACGUGCCUUCGGGCCAUGUGACAUUGGGAAUCUUGCUCACCAUGGCACCUCCGCACUCCGCGUGUUGGCCAUCCACCACCUUCGGCUUCACGUUGAAGAUCUUAAGCCACAAACCGAAGUGGGGCUGGACGCGGAGGAAAGCCUCGCACACGACAAUGAAUGCCGAGAUGUUGAGGAAAGAGUUCGGGGCUAGAUCAUGGAAAUCUAGCCCGUAAUAGAACAUAAGUCCGCGGACGAAAGGGUGGAGUGGAAACCCUAACCCGCGGAUGAAAUGAGGAAGGAACACCACCCUCUCGUUGGGUUUUGGUGUGGGGACGACUUGUCCCUUGGCCGGGAGCCGGUGGGUGAUCUCCUUUGCCAGAUAACCGGCCUCCCGAAGCUCGUUGAUGUCCUUCUCCUUGACGGAGGAGGCCAUCCACUUGCCUUGCCCUCCAGAGCUGGACAUGGUUGAGAGCUUGCUCGGAGUGGAAAAGACGAGAACUUGGGCGCUGGAGCUCGAGAAUAGAAGGGCAGAGGAAGAAAGAAGGCGUGGGUGAAGAAGGGGAAUCCUUAUCCCCUUAUAAAGGCAAUGAAUAUCGAACGCCUCCCCACUCAUCUUGAAACUCGCCUAUUUCCAAGGGUUGUGUAAACGGCACAGUUGGAGUACCCACGCCCGCAUUGAUGAGAAUCCCGCAAUAAGGGGACACGAUCUCUGCUUUGACAAGACGUGCCAAUGGAAACCGCAUCUCGAAACAUGGAACGGCAGACGAAAACGGUUCGAAAUAAUGACCGGGCAGGCGUGAUGUCUUCUUGCGAAAAGUUGUCAGCGGAUGGGACUCGUGAAAUAUUAUACUCUCUACGGUUGUGUGUGUGGUACUUGUGUUGCAGAUCCGGACACGUUCGUUGCGUCCGAAGACUAUCUUGGAGUAUUCCGAAAGGAGAACCCUCCUUGCAAUGCCGAAGACAAUCUGCGCGCCGGACACCUCGUCAUUGAAGCCUGGUUCAGGGGCUACUGAGGGAGUCCUGGACUAAGGGGUCCUCGGGCGUCCAGCCUGUUGGACAUGGGCCGGACUAAUGGGCUGUGAAGAUAAGAGACCGAAGACUCUCUCCCGUGUCCGGAUAGGACUCUCCUUGGCGUGGAAGGCAAGCUUGGCGACCACAUAUGAAGAUUCCUUUCUCUGUAACCGACUUUGUACAACCCUAGCCCCCUCCGGUGUCUAUAUAAACCGGAGGGCUUAGUCCGGAAAGGGACACAGUCAUACAGGCUAGACUUCUAGGGUUUUAGCCAUUACGAUCUCGUGGUAGAUCAACUCUUGUAGUACUCAUAUUCAUCAAGAUCAAUCAAGCAGGAAGUAGGGUAUUACCUCCAUAGAGAGGGACCGAACCUGGGUAAACAUGUGUCCCCUGUCUCCUGUUACCAUCGACCUUAGACGCACAGUUCGGGACCCCCUACCCGAGAUCCGCCGGUUUUGACACCGACAGGAAUCCUGGUGGUCCAGACAUUUCAGACUCAGAUCUUUCACCUGUUUCAGUAGUAACUGGGUGAACACAUCCAUCAAGGGCAGGUGGUAGCUCUUGUGAGGGUUGCACAACUAGCAGAGUGCAGUUCAGUCUGUCUUCAGGAGUGGGGUCUGUCUUAGCAAAAAUAUAUUCUUUCUCAGCAGUAACUGUAGGCCCCUGAAUCUCAGGCUGAGGAGAAGGAUCAGAAACAAUGUCAGGUACAGAAUCCUGGGCUCUGCUAUGAGAAGGAUCCACUCCAGAAGUUGUCAAUAACAAGGCAUUAGUAGGCAACUGGACAACAGGGACAGAGACAUGUUGUGCCAGUACUUCAAAUUGCAUUGGGUCCACCAUUCUCUCUUCCAUCUGGGAAGAUUCCUGUGCUAGAAUAGCAUCCAAACUUGGGUCAAAGAAAGCUUGGGCCACAGGUAUAAUGGGGCCAACAUAGGCCUGUGGUUCUGGCCCAAGAUGAGCAGGGCCAACAUGGGCCUGUGGCUCUGGCCCAGGAGGAACAGCCAACAUUUUCAAAUCAGGAAGAGCAAGUACAUUUGGCGCCAACGGACCAUUGGCAGAUGCAGCAGAGUUAUCAGUGUUCUCUGAGGGAACCAGGGAGAGAGUAAUACUGCUCUGAACAUUGAUGUUCAGGUCCUCUUCGAGAGGUUCAAAGAUUUCAUCCAUAUGAAGGAAUUCUCCAGCUUCAAUUUCCUGAUCCACUUCUUGGGGCAUAGCCCAGUGGCCCCAGCCAGGCAUCUCAGCUUGAUCUUCAUCUUCUUCUAUGUCCUCAUCAAUCUCCAUGUUGUGAGCUACAUUAAGAUCAACAUUCAGUGCCAACUGAAGAUUCAGCUGCGGAUCAUGGUGCUCAUCAUGCUCAUGCUGUUGCAGUGGCCCAAGAAAAUGAUUGUGUUGGUUGCGAUGAUAGUUUGCUUGAGGGGGAAUAGGGUGUGGAUUGCCAUUUGGGUCAAUGGGAUCUUCAUCAGGAGCGUCUAUACCAAGAAUUUGCUGUUGCAGGAUCACAACUGGGACUGAGAGAGAUUCAGUCUGGAAGUCAUAGCCCUCCCCAAAAACAAUACUGGCAGGAAUGUCACUGAGCUCUUCCACCCUAACUUUCACCAUCAGAUUUUCCCUAGUACUCCUGAUUCUAUCCCAUUGAAGGAACUUGCCAAAUUUACUAACCGCAUUGCUCACUUCUUGAAUGUUCCUCCUAUCAAAAGGAUAACCACAUACCAGUGUACAUGCCUCUCUGUUUAACACCAACCUCCUGCAAUUCAUGCCUCUGUUGUGUUUCUCAAAAUAACAUGGACAUCUGUGAACAUGUGUGGACUAUUGGAAACCAGAGAAUCUCUAUCAAAGAUGCUAUUCAGUUUGACAUAGGCCUGACCAAGAGGACACAGCUCAAUCUCAGAAAACCCCAACUAUCUGUCUGUGAGGAAAUCGGCGAGUACCUCUCUGACGGUCUGAAAUGCCACCGGAAGAUCUGGCAUCGGCACAAUAGAAGCAAUCGCCCAUUCUUCGUGUGUGGCCGGCGCAGCGCCGGUGAUGACCCGGAUCCUAACAGGGCGCCCAGCAACUUCAACGCUCCGGUGAUUUGGUGGAAGAAAAGGUGCGGGAUUGAAGGGGAACGAGGCCAUGGUCGUUGGAUCGUGGGUUGUGGCUGCCGAGGCGUUAGUGGAUUGCCGCCGGCGAGGGUCGGGUGGGAUUGUGGCUAGGCGCAGACGAUGAGCAAUGGAGUUUUGGGAAGUGCAGAGGCUGCCAACCCGGAGAGACAGAGGAGGGGCAUUAACUGGGUUGCUCUGGUUGGCCGUCUGACUAGACUCUCGAGUAGUCUCAAUCGCGGGAACUGUGGCAACUUGCCUCGGAAUUGGAUACGCCGGGGCUGGGCCCGGGCUCCUCUCAUUGUGGUUUGUGGGCCUAUUGAGUGUUGAGCAGUCUUUGGCGAUAUGGCCCCAUCUCUUGCAGGCCCUGCAUUUAAUUCUGUUGUCGCAAUUGGGCCGCGCAUGGCCCGUCAUAAGACAGCGCACACAGAAAGCCUCAGAUGGGCCUUUUUGAAUCUGCGAGGAUCCCGCCUGAUUGGAGUGAUUAGAAUUAUGAAUAGCAUUAAUACCGUGAGUAAUGUUGCCCUGCAAUAGCGUUGAGUUUGAAUUGGUGCCAGUGGACCGAGCAGAUCUAGGAUUGGAUCGAGUGUGAUCAUGGUAGGAUGCUGGUGAUCUAAGAGCUUGAAGGUAAGAUUUCCGGGGAUGAUCUCUGAAUAUGUGAGUCCAAGCAUCCUCUUUUUCUUGGAGAUACUGAUCUAGUUCCCAGGAGGAGUUGGGUCCCCCAUUACCCCAAAGCAAAAAAUUGACAUUGAGGAGAGGGAGUGUGAUGUUACCUCCCUUGAUGAUAGAGAAUCCCACUUCUUUGGAUGAGACAGAGAACUUGAAUGACCAGUUUUGGAGCAACUGAACUUUCAAAAGGGAAGCACGACCACCAAAACAUGAGAGAAGUAUGGUGCUUACAGAUUCUUCAGUAAGCCUGAUCCUGGAUCUGGUAAAUUCAGCAACAAGGAGAAAUUCCUCCAUAUCCUUGCCUUCCUCAUAGUUGAUAGGAACUCCCCAUUUCCGCCAUACUUCCGCAGCGAAGUCUUGGCCGACGUCAAAGUUGAGAUCGGCGAGAGCCAUGAGUGGGCUGAGGGGAGAUUGGUGGCGUGUGUGUGGUCGCCGGCGCCGGAGUAGCGGGCGGCGAGGAUGGUGGCCGCCGCGGCCGGAGUGGCCAACGACGCUAGGUGCGGAGGGCGCUAUGCGGCGCACAAGUAGUUCGCACCUAUUUUAGGCUCAAACGCAACUCCUUCGCAAAUUCAUGGAACUUCUAUUGUUAACAGUAGCAAUAUCACCUUGUUUUGUUCAGUAUCAUCAUCUUUUUUUUGGUCUCACUGAAUCAGGUUAAGAAGUGGAACGACUAGAGGGAGAAUGGGACAUUUGCCAGGCCCCUCUAAAUCAUCCGUUUGAAAGUCUCCUCAGUUGCUUUUGUUUCAGCGCUACAGUUGUCUUGUGGUUGGAAUUUGUGCUCCUGUCAUGUACUCUCUUCCAGCAAUCGUUGCAGAACAGAAGCGUUGCUUUUCUCUAUGUUGCACAAAUAAUUCAGCAUGCUUAUGUAGUUAUCCAGCAUACUUAAAUGUACGCAUGCCUUUCCCGGGACUUGCUAAUGUCAAAUACCUAUGAGAUAUUACUGGUUCCAAGUCAUGCCGCUGUGAGGGAUUAUGUUGUUGUGUGUGACUGCACAAUUAUGUGAUGAUAUAUUGAUUCCAAGUCAAGCAAAUUAUGUUGUGAUGUGAAUAAUUGUAGCAAGAUUAGAUUUUUAACUGUUUUACACCAUUUUAAUUCAAUAUGGAGUUCCCUCCCUGUCAAACAUUGUUCCAUAUGGAGGGAAUGUGUGGUUGGAGAGGGAUUUGAGGUUUCAAAGGGAUUGAGUGGAAGAGAGGGAUUCACCAAACCUCCAUAAUCCCUUCCUAUCAAAUGAGGCCUAAAUGAUUUGAGCGGUGAGGUAGUGCUCCCAGGUGAAUUAUCUGGCCGAAACCGUGGGGUGAUGUGCUACAGUAGAUGCAGUGUCAGUGCACUUUGCAUGCCGGGCUAAUUACCUAAAUGCAAAUCCUGAUCGCCUGUGUGAUGUCUUGUGGUAAUGGAGAUUAGCACUGGUUGCAUAUGCCUGAUGUAUUUAUAAAAAUGCAUGUACUGAUUAUAGCGUGUUACCAAAAGAUUAGCUACCGUGUAAAUGAUUAGCAAGUGACGACCAUGCCAGAAUGCAGUUUUGAAUAAACUAAUCUGAAUAGUAUGAGCUUGUAAAAUAUUGAUCGCCUUGAUUUGUAAAUUAAAAACAAUAUUAUUACAUGUUUGUCAGGAAAUUGGAGCGACGACCGUGUUGGGCUGUUGGCCCAUCACGACCAGGAGGGCGACUUGGACCAUACUCGGUACUUCAUGCAACCAGUGCUAUACGAACAGGGAGGUUCUUCGGCAUCUACCGGCAACAACCAAUGCUGGACUGAGCUGUGGCGGAUCAAGGUUCCUGCUAAGCUGAAAUUUUUUCUAUGGAGACUUGCCAGACACACCACACCAACGGCAGCCCUCCUACAUCACCGAAAUAUGUCGACGUCCAACGCUUGCUGCCUAUGUGGAGCAGUUGACACAUGGCGCCACGCUCUCCUUGAAUGCUCGGUUUCCAGAAGCACUUGGGCAUUAACAAGCGAAGCAAUUCUUGACAAGCUUAAUGCCUCUGCAGAAGAUAACGCGAAGAGAUGGAUAUUUGCUAUGCAUGAUCUCUUGAACCAUGAGGACUUCACACUUUUUGUGGUCACAUUAUGGGCAAUUUGGGGUGCACGCAGGAAGGCCAUGUAUGAAAAUAUUUUUCAGACUCCUUGGGCCAUCAAUGGUUUCAUCCAAUCUUAUAUGGGCGAACUAAGGGCUUUACAAAAGCCAACUCAUGCAAGCAGGACGACGUCUGGAAGCCGGCCGACCCAUUGGAUUGCACCUCCGAGGGGUUUAGCAAAGCUCAAUGCAAAUGCUGCCGUUGAAAGAGGUGGAGCGUAUGGUUCUGUGGGAGCGAUCUGUGGAAAUCAGCAUGGCUUGUUUCUGGGAGCCUCAGCUGUUGUUUUUCCCAACCUGUCAAACCCAACUACACUGGAGGCUAUGGCCAUCAGAGAGGCGCUAUCGCUAGCUGACGACCUUUAUGAACGGAAGAUUCAGGUGGCCAGUGAUUGCAAAGUUGCAGUGGAAGACAUCCAUCAGAAGAGCAGAGGGAGUUAUGGUGCAAUCGUGCAUGAAAUAGUGCAGCACACGUCUACCUUUCAAAUUUGUAAUAUUAAGCAUGAAUUUCGUAGCUCGAACUUCGAGGCUCACAAGUUCGCAAAGCACGCUUUAUCAUUAGGAGCUGGCCGCCAUGUUUGGUUAGGCCAGCCCAAUGAACUUGGUUUCGUCCCUGUAAACACUGUGACGGAGUAAUAAAGCUUUGCAGUUUGUCUAAAAAAAAAUGCAACCAGUGCCAGAUUGCUAAUCUAGCUAUUAAGGUGCGCGGUCGGGAAUCAUCUACGAAUCUUUCCAGGGGAAUCCAGGACCAACAGUUCUGAAAUACGGGGUCAAAGGCGUCAAGUACUAUCUGGUGUAAAUCAUUCCUAGUGUUCUUAUACACAGGUUCAUAAAUGCGGUUCGAUGAUUCACAUGCAAACAAAUGGAGCAGAUAAGCAUAGGACUAUAGGAGUACCAGUGAACGUCGUGCAGUGAAGGAGCUUUUCGUGAGUUAACCUACUACUAAUAGUACUCCCUCCGUCCGAAAAAGUUUGUCUCUCAGAUGAAUGUAUUUACCACUAAGUUGAUGCUACAUACAUCCAUUUGAUAGACAAGCUUGGAAUAAACUUUUUUCAGAUGAAGGGAAUACUACAUACUCCUACUAGCAGCAUUUAGCUGCAAAAAAGGAGAGAAACCUACAUACGCAUUAAAUGUGUUAGCCGUGUUGCAUUUGUGUUCGGGCGGGACACGCUGGGACCCCUCUUCAUGCCAGAGGGAAUUGCACAAACCACCGCUUAUUGGGGCCGGUGUUGCACAAAACACCUACUAUACGGAUUUGUUGCGGAAAACACCACAUAUUGGUGUAAUACAUUGCAGAUAGGUCUAACCUAGUAUUUGGAUAUAUUGACAUAAUUACAGACAAAAGGGUCCCGUUUGUAAGUGCACGUGUGGCAAUAAAAACUGGCCACAUCAGCUAACAAUAAAAACCAGCCACUUCCGCUCACGAACAAUAUCUACCAUGUUUUUGUGUUGGUGAUCUCAUGCCGAACUUGCUUCAUUUAAAUUUGGGUUCAAAAUUUAACAAUUUUAGAAAAGUGUGAAAAAUUCUAGUAAAUUACACAUGUGUACAGUAUUAUUCUGGGAAAGUUUUACCCCAUUUGGAUUAAUGAUUUGCUAAAUAAUGAAGGUUUUAGUUAGCCCAUCCAAAUUUUUUGUUCAAAAUUUCACAUUUUCGGAAAAAUGUGAAAUGAUUCCAGUAAAUACUACAUGUAUUCAAUACUAAUCUGGAAAAGUUUCGGCUCAAUUGGAUCGCAUGUUUUGAAGAUAACGACAGUCUAAUAUGUUGGCUGAUUUGGCUGGUUUUCAUUGCCACGCGUGCACUUACAAGUCUGUUGUCCGAGCCGUGACACGACCGAGCGGAAACACAGGCAAGGCGAGAAUUCGUUGGGAAACGUGGCAAUCAUAUCACUUGGUCGUUUUGCUCCGUGGAAAGAAAGACAAGACGGGCGCUCCGGGUCAGUACGUCAACCGCGCUUUGCAGUGCGGUCACGAACUCACGACGCAACGUGCCUCUGAACGACCUGUCCAUCCAUCCACGGCUUCGAUAUACACUUGCUCAUCGAACCACACUCCCUCCGCGCUGACACCGGCUCCAUGGCCCGGCUCACCCUAUUGGCCUACCUGAAAUCCUGGGCUAUGGGGUGCACCGGCCAGGGCAGCAGGUGGCAACAUCGGUUGAAGAAGGGACAAUACAUUAAUACUACACGCAAGGAAGGAAACAACGGACUUUUACAGACCCCCUGCGUGCCCUCCACUAAUCGGCCCCUGAUUUUUACUGAUGGACCCGUCUCGCUGACCAAAUCUCAGCUAAUCAAUCCUAACCACCCCGUUAAUCCCCAUAAACAGUCCGUGAAUCUAGCAUUGCUGGCAGGGCAUACAUGUCAUUUUUCAUCGACUGGGAACCGCACGCUCACGACCAACUGAAAUCCAGAUGGGCCCUACCGGGAAACCCUGCAGCCCGAUGGAAGGCUUCAUUGCAACUGCUGCUGUCACCAAGCCAGGCGAUGCAGGCACUUACGUAUGCAUGCAUGCGAGAGCACGGGAUAAGCACGCAUACGGUACGGGAUAUCGUGACGAACGCGUCCAAUCGAUAUCGAUCGUCAAAUUGUUUCUGUCAAUUAGGCCAAAUCCACCGCGCGACUCCAAACGGACGUCCGUUUUGUCCGGAUUCUGUCCGUUUGGGUAGGGCGAUGGAUCGUGUCCGGGCCUGUCCUGAAAUGCGGUGGCGCACGGACGCAUCCUGGCCGCAUCCUGUCCGCGUGCAUUUUUCUUUGUAAGUCCUUAACUUCUUUUCAUCAUUCAUUUUCGGUACAUGAAGAAUACAUCAUCACACUUUAACUAGUAAAGCAAGACCAAAAAAAAAAAGAACAACAAGAAUACAUUUUAGAAGAUACUCAACUUCCAUAACUACUGCUCCCUUGAGCUGGGUUAGGGCCUUCUCGAUGCACUCAUUGUUGAUCUGUGGAGGAGGCUCGAUCUGGCAUCCUCCUUUCUUCUUCAAGCCAGAAGUCGAUGUUGCUUCCUCACACCUUGUGACGCCCGGAUAAUUAAGUUACAAUAACCCUGUACUAAUGAUGCCACGUCAACUCGAUUACUAUUGCUAAUCUCGCCUUAAUUCGAAACCGAUUCAAAUUCAAAUUCUAAAUCAAGCAAACAAUAAAUUUUUUCAAAUAUUAAAAUAAAAUGUUUGGAGUGAGCCAAAUAAUGCAUAGGUAAUAUUGGUGAAGAAACCAAAACUUUAGAAAAUGUUUAAGUGCUUAAAAAUAAUUAAAACAGUGGCAUUCAUAAUUAAUUAGAUGCCUUUUAUAAUUUCUAAAGUAUCAAAUUAAUUUAAUGGGGUACCAAACUUUUGUGGCAGAGGGUUAAACUAAAACAUUAAUUUAGGUAUUGGUCUCAUAUUUUUAUAAAACUAAAAUAUGCUAAUAGUAAAAUAAAAAAGUAAAUAAAGAAAAAGAAAAGAUAAACAAAACGAAAUUAUAAAGAGAUAAAACCUCCCCCUCCCCUGGGCCUUGGCCUAGCAAACUGGCCAGGCCGGCCCACUCCCUCAUCCCCUUCCCACUACAGGNNNNNNNNNNNNNNNNNNNNNNNNNNNNNNNNNNNNNNNNNNNNNNNNNNNNNNNNNNNNNNNNNNNNNNNNNNNNNNNNNNNNNNNNNNNNNNNNNNNNNNNNNNNNNNNNNNNNNNNNNNNNNNNNNNNNNNNNNNNNNNNNNNNNNNNNNNNNNNNNNNNNNNNNNNNNNNNNNNNNNNNNNNNNNNNNNNNNNNNNNNNNNNNNNNNNNNNNNNNNNNNNNNNNNNNNNNNNNNNNNNNNNNNNNNNNNNNNNNNNNNNNNNNNNNNNNNNNNNNNNNNNNNNNNNNNNNNNNNNNNNNNNNNNNNNNNNNNGACUCCCUCCCCGGCGCCUGGAACCCUAGCUAACCCCCUCUCUCCCCCGCGUCCCGCUCCCCGAUCUGGACGCCCACGGCCCCGAGCCGGCGCCCUUCGUCGCCGUCGUUGCCUCACCUCGCCCCCGAGCCGACCCCGACCUGCGCCGUCCUCCCCUUCUUCCUCUACGCCUAUCCACGAGGACCCGGACGCCCCCACGACGCCGCUCCGAGCUCGACUUCUUCCUCAGGACGCCGGUCGCCGUCGCCAACGUCGGUCGCCUCUGCGCUCCCGUUCACUCACCGGGCCCCCGUGCACCCCCACCGUGAGCUCUCCUUCCCCUCCGUUUCCCUGUGUCGUGCCGUAGCCGCAUACCGCGCCGUCCUCGCCAUUGCUCCCGAAGCUUGUCACCGCCGUAGGAGCCACCGCGACUCGCGUACGACCGCGUCAUGGUACUCGCUACGCCACCAUGACCCCGUAGCACCCCAGUGCUUUCCCUCGCCGCCCCUCGCUCCGUCCCCGACGAGCUCCAGCCCCCGUCCGCCGCUGCUUACCAUCGCGGUCGUCGUUUUCGUCCGCCUGGCUAGCGCAUGAGCACGCGGCCGUUCUCCUAGGGCUCCCAGGAGCCCGACGCAUGCACCCGCACGCCUUGCCAUGCCCCGCAACCCCCCCUCACGCGCUCGAGCUGCUGCCGCUGCCCUCUGUUCCUCGCUGCCGCACGCACCUCCCCUCCCUGCAUCUGCCGCGCCUCACGCGUGCAUACGCGUUCGCGCCCCAUCUCGUCCGCCUGCUGCCGCUCGCGUGCGCGCGCCCGUGCAGACUGCUGCCGCGCCGCUCCCCUUGCUGUUGUUGCUCUGCUGCUGCACUUCUAUUGUGGCUAGCCGCUGCCGUCCCCGCGCGUUGCCGCUGCUACUGCAUCCCGCCGCUGUUACUCUGCUAGAGUAACUGAAUGUUACUGUAGCAGUAGCUAGCUUUGCUACGAUUACACUGACUAGCCCUCUGUACUGCAGCAAAACAACAUCAAAACAAGUUCUAAUGUGGAUAAGAAUUAUAUGUGCGGGUAGUACACUUAACAAGAUUCAAUUCUUUCCAUUGGACCAAAUCCAAAAGUUGCCUGGAUUAAUUCCUACGAAAAUGACAAAAGUCUAUGUUCUGUUAACUGGCAGAACUAAAAACAGAUAUACUGCCAUAGCAACUUUGGAGCAGAAAAUAAACAAGUUACAAGGAUCUAACAAUGAUGCAAUUGUUACCAUCUUGUAGACCAUAGGAAAGUGAUCAAUAUUGGUAUAAGGCACCAAUUCAUAGGAUGAAUAGAACACUAGUUAUAGCCUCUGCAAAACAGCUAAAUGAUAUUUAAAACCGAGGACUUAGCAGAAUUUCAGUAAUUCUAGAAAAUGAAUUAAAAUUUUAAAAAUUAAUAUAAAUUAAACCGUAGUUCGGAUGGAAAAACUUUGUACAUGAAAGUUGCUCAGAACGACGAGACGAAUUCGGAUACGCGGCCCGUUUGUCCGCCACACAUUCCUAGCAUAGCGAACACACAACUUUCCCCCUCCGGUUCAUCUGUCCGAAAACGCUGAACACCGGGAAUACUUUCCCGGAUGUUUCCCCCUUCGCCAGUAUCACCUAUCCCUGCGUUAGAUCACCCCUGGCACUGCGUAUUGCCUUGUUAUAUUUCGUGAUGCUUUGUCUGCUUUGUAUUCACUGUUUCUUCCCUCUCUUCUUCUCCGGUCGACCCUGAGACCGACGAUGAUGCCCCUGAGUACGACUACAUCGACGAUGAUCCCUCCUUCUUGCCAGAGCAACCAGGCAAGCCCCCCCUUGAUCACCAGAUAUCGCCUAUUCCUUCUCUCUACUUCUUGCAUUAGAGUAGUGUAGCAUGUUACUGCUUUCGGUUAAUCCUAUUCUGCUGCAUAGCCUGUCAUUGUUGCUACAAUUGUUGAUACCUUUACCUGCUAUCCUAAUGCUUAGUAUAGGAUGUAGUGUUCCAUCAGUGGCCCUACACUCUUGUCCGUCUGCCUUGCUAUACUACUGGGCCGUGAUCACUUCGGGAGGUGAUCACGGGCAUAUACUAUAUACUUUAUACUGUUACAUUACUUAUGAUACUGUUCGGAGAUUGGGGCUGAAGGGGCAGGUGGCUCCACCCGGUAGAGGUGGGCCUGGGUUCUCGACGGCCCCCGACUGAUACUUUGUGGCGGAGCGACAGGGCAGGUUGAGACCACCUAGGAGAGAGGUGGGCCUGGCCCUGGUCGGCGUCCGCGGUUACUUCAAAAUAACACGCUUAAUGAGUUCUUGGUAUUUGAUCUGAGUCUGGCCAUUGGUCUAUACGCACUAACCAUCUACGCGGGAACAGUUAUGGGCACUCGGCGUCGUGGUAUCAGCCGAAGCCUUCGCGACGUCAGCGACUGAGCGGCACGCGCCGGAUUGGACUGGAACGCCUGCUAGGCUAGGUCUGCUUCCGGCCGCGUUCGCAACGUGCAGGUGUGCAAUGGGCGAUGGGCCCAGAUCCUUGCGCCAUAGGAUUUAGACCGGCGUGCUGACCUCUCUGUUGUGCCUAGGUGGGGUUGCGACGUGUUGAUCUUCCGCGGCUGGGCACGACCCAGAAAAGUGUGUCCGGCCAAAUGGGAUCGAGCGUGUUGGGUUAUGUGGUGCACCCCUGCAGGGAAGUUUAUCUAUUCGAAUAGCCGUGAUCUUCGGUAACAGGACGACUUGGAGUUGUACCUUGACCUUAUGACAAUUAGAAUCGGAUACUUAAUAAAACACACCCUUCUAAGUGCCAGAUAUAACCCGGUGAUCGCUCUCUAAUAGGGCGACGAGGAGGGGAUCGCCGGGUAGGAUUAUGCUAUGCGAUGCUACUUGGUGAACUUACCAUCUACUCUCUCCUACAUGCUGCAAGAUGGAGGUGGCCAGAAGCGUAGUCUUUGACAGGAUUAGCUAUCCCCCUCUUAUUCUGGCAUUCUGCAGUUCAGUCCACCGAUAUGGCCCUUUACACAUAUACCCAUGCAUAGGUAGUGUAGCUCCUUGCUUGCGAGUACUUUGGAUGAGUACUCACGGUUGCUUUUCUUCCUAUUUUUCCCUUUCCCUUCUACCUGGUUGUCGCAACCAGAUGCUGGAGCCCAGGAGCCAGACGCCACCAUCGACGACAACUCCUACUACACUGCGUGUGCCUACUACUACUUGCAGGCCACCGACAACGACCAGGAGUAGUUUAGGAGGAUCCCAGGCAGGAGGCCUGCGCCUCUUUCGAUCUGUAUCCCAGUUUGUGCUAGCCUUCUUAAAGCAAACUUGCUUAACUUAUGUGUGUACUCAGAUAUUGUUGCUUCCGCUGACUCGUCUAUGAUCGAGCAAUUGUAUUCGAGCCCUUGAGGCCCCUGGCUUGUAUUAUGAUGCUUGUAUGACUUAUUUUAUUUUUAGUGUUGUGUUGUGAUAUCUUCCCGUGAGUCCAUGAUCUUGAUCGUACACGUUUGCGUGUAUGAUUAGUGUAUGAUUGAAUCAGGGGCGUCACAAGUUGGUAUCAGAGCCGACUGCCUGUAGGAAUCCCCUUCCACACUCCUUGGCCAAAGUCGAGUCUAGACAUUGCAAAAACUUUUACUAACAUGGCUGUGUGUCUUACGGGCCCACGUUGCCUUUUGGGUGGUAUUAGGAUAUUUUACUCCUCGAUCCUUACUCUGAGACUCGGAACUCUCUUCUAUUCGGGUUAAAAUGAAUUUACUAACUCUGACUCUAGGUUCUCGUAAUUACUUUCUCCCGGAGAGCCCCUCACUCCAGAUGAUUGCUUGCUGCACUAGAAGAUUCCGAAGAUACUCUCCGAGGUUUUCCCGAGACCCUUGUGCCCACCGACUUUACAAUCCCCUACCAGCGAUAUACCCUUAUGGAUAACUACCCACAAUUGUCGUUCAUACCUUCAUCCUCAGUUGCUCUUGUUAUUACAAGGUGCCCUAAAUUGCUCUCCGUUGUUCCGAAAAUCCUUUAAGCUUACUGCCUUGAAGUUCUUUACCACAUGAAUACCCCUAUUGAAAAUUCCUCGCACUUAUUGAGUAUUCGUUCAUCCCCAGUUGUUCGUAUCCUUCAUAAGAUACUCUGAAAUACUAUCCAACCUUUUUGAGCAUCCCUUCAAACUAUUGCUCUGCAAAUACUUGUAUGCCUACAUUAUGGAUGCUCCCAUAUCACUAGCAAUAUCCACUAGUAUCUUUUGACACCGUCAUUUUGAUCCUAUUGAUUAAACAUGUGUGCGAAUGCACACAAUCAUCAAUCGUCCCUUCUAAAUUAUCUUUCCGGCUCAGACGUCAUUUUGAACAUGAGCUGGUUCUCGACCAAACUAUUUGUCGUCAAUUGUGCCUCUGGUCUAUCCAACUUAUCCAUCCUUGAUCAGAGCGUCUGCUUCUGAUCCUUUGUUUUGGAAAUCAUAAUUCCUUUGUUAUCUAAGCAUCAAAUUAUUCAGAUGUUCUAUAAUCUGAUGCCCGUGCAUUCUUUCUUCCUCUGAUUGAGUACCGAUACUCACAUCAGCUCCGUUGUGGAUCGCCCGAUCCAUUGUUGGAUUUCAUCCGACAUCGUCCUUCAUAUUCAAUAACCUUGUGAGCCUUUCCACGGGUAUAAUACCUUUGGUAAAUUGUAUCCUCUGCUUUGUCAACCAUGCUCUACUUUUGAGCUUGUGUUAUUUACUCCUGAAGUUCGUGGUAUAUGUUCUAAGAAGCCCCGAUGGCUUGAACCUAUGCCUUCCUUAAUAUGUGUGAACUCGAAAGUUUUCACGAGUCAUACUCUUCUGGUAUUUUGCCAGAUAAAAUUUCAACACUACAACUUCAUCGAACGCGAGAAGUAAAUGAAAGGUUAUGCAUUGGAGAAGUGGGAGUCGACCUUGAACUUUGUGUUCAUGCCCAUGGACAUGAUGUAGAUCUUCUCAUCGAAGCUUCUUUUAAAAUUAAUUAUUCCCUUGGUAUAAGUUCAUCUUAUAUCUGGGAUCUGACCUUUUUCAAUCGUGGUUCCGACCAUGUUCUCCUUUAAAUACCAUUUCCUGUGCAAGUUUAAGCACUUGUCUUCUGUAGAGCAAUACCCCGGUCCAACCUCUACUUUGAUCUGUCGUCGAGUAUUACCCCCUGGUAUCUCGAGAUUCUCACGGAACUGCAUAACUUCUUAUGAGUUCUUCAUCAAGUACUACAUUCUCACUGAUUCCAUUUUUUUUCACGGGCUCUGAGUUAUUAGACACUCAAAGACACCGAUAACUGAAUCGAGAUCGCACCGCGAUUAAACAACUCUUGGUAACCUUCAUUACUUACGAAUUUGAACUCGAUCACGUAAGUCCUAGCCUGCUCGGCUAUAUCAUUAUCAUGCUAAACUUUAACUGUGCUACCUGGUCCUUAAUCCCGAAGCACAACUUUCGAUGAUGAGCUAAGCUUACGUCGAUCUUCCUCGUUAUAUCAGUUCGCCUUGAACAACAAGCUUGAUUUCAAGUUUGUGUCCUACCCAUGGUUCCAAUAACCUUCCGCUUCAUCAUUCCUUUGACUUGAUGUCGUCGCUGAUUGAUUACAUCUUCAUGAAAUCUCUCGACAAAUGUGUCGUGAUCAUCAUCAACCUUAUGACCUCUUCCAGGAUAUCAAUUGAGUUCAUGAUGAGAAAUACGAUCCUUGCCCCCGAUGAUUUGUGUUAUUUUUGACCACUUUAUUGCCUUCCGUUCAACACAAACUUGUUCGUGUUUUGUGUUAUACCUUGAGAUCCUUGCUAUCCAGCAUUUGUUCGUCUUUACCUUGGGGUAUUACCAUCUUUUAUGUCAAGAAUGUCAUGAGAAUUUCACCACCUCUUAAGAAUUCUUGAUACAGGUGAUACCUUUUGCCAUAUCCGUUCAUUCCUUGGUCUUCGUGUUAUUUCUAACCGGAAAACUGACAAUCGAACUAUGAUGUGCGACUUCAAAACUUCUAGCAACCCUAUUGCUUCGAAGUUAAUGGUCGAUAUUUCAUUCUUAGACCAUUGGUUAUCGAACCACCAUUCUAACAUUGAUCAUGCUACUUAAGCCCAUAUUUCGGGUGCACCUUUCAACCAAUGUUUAACUGUGUAUGUUUUCCUCGAGCAUACAUCAUUAUAUCAUUUGAUCUGACUAAUGUUAUCUCCUUGUUCACAUAAUUGUGGAAACCCAUCUUUUGGAAGUCUCGAUGAAUUGUCGCUGAGUUCAUCAGCUACCACCUCAUCCUCCCCUUGGUUUAAUGAUGAACUCUUGCUUCAGAACUUGCUUCCAUAGUUCAUUGCCCGAGAAUCUUAUAAUGCCAUCUCGUCAAUUGCGUUGCACCUUUUCUCCUCAGGCAUCAUGAGUCUGAGGUAUCCUGACACCAAUCAGAUCUGAAUCUCGGUCAGAUAUGAUGGUUGGAACAUUUUCCAAGAGUCACAACAUUGAUCUUUAUAUGACCCGGUAAGGUGAUGUCAUGCCUAGCACACCUGGCCGGAGGAUCUAUUGUUAUAGUUUUAUUUUUAGUAAGGUUAUCCAUUCUCCCAUGAGGAAAUUGUAAGACUUAUUCUACAAGUUUUUCCUGAUGGAUCCUUUGUGUAUCCAAAGUCUGACCUUUGCUUGAAGACCAUGUCAAUGCUAUCUCGAAGCAUGUCUUUGGUAAUCUGAUUAUCAAUAAGAGCAUUUGAAGCACAAUGCUAAAUUUUCUUUAUCAUUUACCCUAACACCGUUGUAUGGGUAAUAUCAUGAGAUUCCUCCCCCCUUACCUAAAUGGUUCCCUACUUUCUAUCAUGUCAUGGAUAUCAUGCUCCGCUUGUCCUUGGGAAGGACAUACCCCCGAAAUAUGUGUGUGUAUACACAUUUUCCUUUCCAUUGUUCUGUUUAAACCUGAUAAUCACUUUUCCUUUUCAUUGUUUUGUUUAACCUUUCUGGUGAUCUAUAUGAUCUAAGCAGUAAUAUUCUUCUGCUUAUGUAAACACCUCGGUGUAUAAUUAUGUCAGAAAGACCUUGUUACUUUUGUUGAUGACAUUUCGGUAACCAUCGAUGGACGAGAACUUUGCCUAUUGGUCCGCCUCGUUUCAACGAGUAGGAAAAUGGUUCUCUUCAUCCCUCGCCCUUGGUACCGAUGUUGUUGCCAACAUAAUCGACAUGCUACCUUCUGACCUGCCUUGCUAUCAUGACCAUGCAAGAUGUCACCGCUCCUCCUACUUUUAACCCACAUGGUGGGCCCAUAACCCACAGUUCCACAGGAACGAAACCUGGUUCUUCUGCACACCCCUGUUUCCAAAAUUAUUCCACCCGCUUGGCUUCGUAUGUAAUUCACGGGCCACCUUCCUAGUGAUCUAUUCUGGUACCAGACGCAAUAUUUUCUCAUUGCUCUGAACCCCUGUCACAUUUCGUUUCAGGCGACAAACGGUUGCCUAUCCGCUUGAAAGUCCUUAUUUCACCUUCUUAACUUACUCUCGAUGACUUCUCGAAUUUCAACUCGAGAGGUGACUCUAAACCUCGUUCACUGAGGUAGCCCUUAGGUACCUAACAUGUAUUGAGCUUCGCACUUCACGAGUUUCCCCCCUUAUCUUUUUCAUAAGUACGAUGGAGACCUCGAAGGAAGAAUGACGACUUCAUCAUGAGGCCCGUAUGCAUUGAAUUGAAGGCAUCAACGCUAUGGGUCAACCUCUUCAAGAAGAGCCACCAAGGCCGAGAAGAUCCGUUAGAAUUUCGUAACCAGAACUUCCCCCGUACUCCAUCUCUUAAAUCUCGGGACGAGAUUUCUUGUAGUAGAGGAGAUUUGUGACGCCCGGAUAAUUAAGCUACAGUAACCCUGUACUAAUGAUGCCACGUCAACUUGAUUACUAUUGCUAAUCUCGCCUUAAUUCGAAACCGAUUCAAAUUCAAAUUCUAAAUCAAGCAAACAAUAAAUUUUUCAAACAUUCAAACUAAAAUGUUCGGAGUGAGCCAAAUAAUGCAUAGGUAAUAUUGGUGAAGAAACCAAAACUUUAGAAAAUGUUUAAGUGCUUAAAAAUAAUUAAAACAGUGGCAUUCAUAAUUAAUUAGAUGCCUUUUAUAAUUUCUAAAGUAUCAAAUUAAUUUAAUGGGGUACCAAACUUUUGUGGCAGAGGGUUAAACUAAAACAUUAAUUUAGGUAUUGGUCUCAUAUUUUUAUAAAACUAAAAUAUGCUAAUAGUAAAAUAAAAAAGUAAAUAAAGAAAAAGAAAAGACAAACAAAACGAAAUUAUAAAAAGAUAAAACCUCCCCCUCCCCUGGGCCUUGGCCCAGCAAACUGGCCAGGCCGGCCCACUCCCUCAUCCCCUUCCCACUACAGGAACCNNNNNNNNNNNNNNNNNNNNNNNNNNNNNNNNNNNNNNNNNNNNNNNNNNNNNNNNNNNNNNNNNNNNNNNNNNNNNNNNNNNNNNNNNNNNNNNNNNNNNNNNNNNCGGCCAUCGCCCCGUCGCCGGCCAAGCGCCGGCCAUCGCCCGGCCGGCCUCGCCUAUAUAUCCGGCGACUCCCUCCCCGGCGCCUGGAACCCUAGCUAACCCCCUCUCUCCCCCGCGACCCGCUCCCCGAUCUGGACGCCCACGGCCCCGAGCCGGCGCCUUUCGACGCCGUCGUUGCCUCACCUCGCCCCCGAGCCGACCCCGACCUGCGCCGUCCUCCCCUUCUUCCUCUACGCCUAUCCACGAGGACCAGGAUGCCCCCAUGACGCCGCUCCGAGCUCGACUUAUUCCUCAGGACUCCGGUCGCCGUCGCCAACGUCGGUCGCCUCUGCGCUCCCGUUCACUCACUGGGCCCCCGUGCGCCCCCACUGUGAGCUGUCCUUCCCCUCCGUUUCCCUGUGCCGUGCCGUAGCCGCAUACCGCGCCGUCCUCGCCAUUGCUCCCGAAGCUUGUCGCCGCCGUAGGUGCCACCGCGACUCGCGUACGACCGCGUCACGGUACUCGCUACGCCACCACGACCCUGUAGCACCCCAGUGCUUUCCCUCGCCGCCCCUCGCUCCGUCCCCGACGAGCUCCGGCCCCCGUCCUGUUGGAAAUAUGCCCUAGAGGCAAUAAUAAAAUGGUUAUUAUUGUAUUUCCUGGUUCAUGAUAAUUGUCUGUUGUUCAUGCUAUAAUUGUAUUAACUGGAAACCGUAAUACAUGUGUGAAUACAUAGACCACAACAUGUCCCUAGUAAGCCUCUAGUUGACUAGCUUGUUGAUCAAUAGAUGGUUAUGGUUUCCUGACCAUGGACAUUGGAUGUCAUUGAUAACGGGAUCACAUCAUUAGGAGAAUGAUGUGAUGGACAAGACCCAAUCCUAAGCAUAGCACAAGAUCGUGUAGUUCGUUUGCUAGAGCUUUUCUAAUGUCAAGUAUCAUUUCCUUAGACCAUGAGAUUUUGCAACUCCCGGAUACCGUAGGAAUGCUUUGGGUGUACCAAACGUCACAACGUAACUGGGUGGCUAUAAAUGUGCACUAAAGGUAUCUCCGAAAGUGUCUGUUGGGUUGGCACGAAUCGAGACUGGGAUUUGUCACUCCAUACGACGGAGAGGUAUCUCUGGGCCCACUCGGUAAUGCAUCAUCAUAAUGAGCUCAACGUGACUAAGGAGUUAGCCACGGGAUCAUGUGUUAAGGUACGAGUAAAGUGACUUGCCGGUAACGAGAUUGAACAAGGUAUUGGGAUACCGACGAUCGAAUCUCGGGCAAGUAACGUACCGAUUGACAAAGGGAAUUGUAUACGGGAUUGAUUGAAUCCUCGACAUCGUGGUUCAUCCGAUGAGAUCAUCGUGGAACAUGUGGGAGCCAACAUGGGUAUCCAGAUCCCACUGUUGGUUAUUGACCGGAGAGUCGUCUCGGUCAUGUCUGCAUAUCUUCCGAACCCGUAGGGUCUACACACUUAAGGUUCGGUGACGCUAGAGUUGUAGAGAUAUUAGUAUGCGGUUAAUCGAAAGUUGUUCGUAGUCCCGGAUAAGAUCCCGGACGUCACCAGGGGUUCCGGAAUGGUCCGGAGGUAAAGAUUUAUAUAUGGGAAGUCCUAUUUUGGCCACCGGAAAAUGUUCGGGAUUUUUCGGUAUUGUACCGGGAAGGUUCUAGAAGGUUCCGAAGUGGGGCCCACCUGCAUGGGGGGACCCACAUGAACGUGGGUAGUGGGGGCAAGGCCCCACACCCCUGGUCAAGGCGCACCAAGAUCCCACCUUAGAAGGAAUAAGAUCAUAUCCCGAAGGGAUAAGAUGAAGAUCCCUAAAAAGGGGGAUAACAAUCGGUGGGGAAGGGAAAUGAUGGGAUUUCUUUCCCCCACCUUUGCCAACGCCCCAAUGGACUUGGAGGGCAAGAAACAAGCCCCCUCCACCCUUAUAUAUAGUGGGGAGGCGCAUGGGAGCAGUACCCCAAGCCCUGGCGCCUCCCUCCCUCCCGUGACACCUCUUCCUCCCCGCUUGCGCUUGGCGAAGCCCUGCCGGGAUCCCGCUACUUCCACCACCACGCCGUCGUGCUGCUGGAUCUCCAUCAACUUCUCCUCCCCCCUUGCUGGAUCAAGAAGGAGGAGACGUCCCCGCUCCGUACGUGUGUUGAACGCGGAGGUGCCGUCCGUUCGGCGCUAGGAUCAUCGGUGAUUUGGAUCACGACGAUUACGACUCCAUCAACCCCGUUCUCUUGAACGCUUCCGCGCGUGAUCUACAAGGGUAUGUAGAUGCACUCCCCUCUCUCUCGUUGCUAGAUGACUCCAUAGAUUGAUCUUGGUGAUACGUAGAAAAUUUGAAAUUUCUGCUACGUUCCCCAACUGUGGCAUCAUGAGCUAGGUCUAUGCGUAGAUUCUAUGCACGAGUAGAACACAAAGUAGUUGUGGGCGAUGAUUUGUUCAAUUUGCUUGCCGUUACUAGUCUUAUCUUGAUUCGGCGGCAUUGUGGGAUGAAGCGGCCUGAACCGACCUUACACGUACUCUUACGUGAGCCAGGUUCCACCGACUGACAUGCACUUGAUGCAUAAGGUGGCUAGCGGGUGUCUGUCUCUCCCACUUUAGUCGGAUCGGAUUCGAUGAAGAGGGUCCUUAUGAAGGGUAAAUAGCAAUUGGCAUAUCACCGUUGUGGCUUUUGCGUAGGUAAGAAACGUUCUUGCUAGAAACCCAUAGCAGCCACGUAAAACAUGCAACAACAAUUAGAGGACGUCUAACUUGUUUUUGCAGGGUACGCUAUGUGAUGUGAUAUGGCCAAAAGGAUGUGAUGAAUUAUAUAUGUGAUGUAUGAGAUUGAUCAUGUUCUUGUAAUAGGAAUCACGACUUGCAUGUCGAUGAGUAUGACAACCGGCAGGAGCCAUAGGAGUUGUCUUAAUUUAUUGUAUGACCUGCGUGUCAAUGAAAACGCCAUGUAAUUACUUUACUUUAUUGCUAACCGUUAGCCAUAGUAGUAGAAGUAAUAGUUGGCGAGACAACUUCAUAAAGACACAAUGAUGGAGAUCAUGAUGAUGGAGAUCAUGGUGUCAUGCCGGUGACGAAGGUGAUCAUGCCGCGCCUCGAAGAUGGAGAUCAAAGGCGCAAGAUGAUAUUGGCCAUAUCAUGUCACUUUAUGAUUUGCAUGUGAUGUUUGUCAUGUUUACAUCUUAUUUGCUUAGAACGACGGUAGCAUAAAUAAGAUGAUCCCUCACUAAAAUUUCAAGAGAUGUGUUCCCCCUAACUGUGCACCGUUGCGAAGGUUCGUUGUUUCGAAGCACCACGUGAUGAUCGGGUGUGAUAGAUUCUAACGUUCGCAUACAACGGGUUUUGACGAGCCUAGCAUGUACAGACAUGGCCUCGGAGCACAAGCAAAACACUUAGGUUGACUUGACGAGCCUAGCAUGUACAGACAUGGCCUCGGAACACAAGAGACCGAAAGGUCGAACAUGAGUCGUAUAGUAGAUACGAUCAACAUGGAGAUGUUCACCGAUGAUGACUAGUCCGUCUCACGUGAUGAUCGGACACGGCCUAGUCGAUUCGGAUCAUGUAUCACUUAGAUGACUAGAGGGAUGUCUAUCUAAGUGGGAGUUCAUUAAAUAAUCAGAUGAACUUAAUUAUCAUGAACAUAGUCAAAAGGUCUUUGCAAAUAAUGUCGUAGCUUACGCUUUAGUUCUACUAAGAUAUGUUCCUAGAGAAAAUUUAGUUGAAAGUUGAUAAUAGCAAUUAUGCGGACUGGGUCCGUAAACUGAGGAUUGUCCUCAUUGCUGCAGAGAAGGCUUAUGUCCUUAAUGCACCGCUCGGUGUGCUGAACCUCGAGCAUCGUUUGUGGAUGUUGCGAACAUCUGACAUACACGUUUUGAUGACUACGUGAUAGUUCAGUGCGUAAUGUUGAACGGUUUAAAAUUGUGGCACCAAAGACGGUUUUGAAGCGUCGCAGAACAUAUGAGAUGUUCCAAAGACUGAAAUUGGGAUUUCAGACUAGUGCCCACGUCAAGAGGUAUGAGACCUCUGACAAGUUUCUUAAGCCUGCAAACUAAGGGAGAAAAGCUCAAUCGUUGAGCAUGUGCUCAGAUUGUCUGAGUACUACAAUCACUUGAAUCGAGUAGGAGUUAAUCUUCCAGAUGAGAUAGUGAUGGUUCUCCAUAGUCACUGCCACCAAGCUAUUAGAGCUUCGUGAUGAACUAUAACAUAUCAGGGAUAGACAUGAUGAUCCUUGAGCAACUCACGAUGUUUGACACCGCGAAAGUAGAAAUCAAGUAGGAGCAUCAAUUGUUGAUGGUUAGUAAAACCACUAGUUUCUAGAAGGGCAAGGGCAAGAAGGGAUACUUCAUGAAACGGCAAAUCAAUUGCUGCUCUAGUGAAGAAACCCAAGGUUGAACCCAAACCCGAGACUAAGUGCUUCUGAAAUGAGGGGAACGGUCACUCAAGCAGAACUACCCUAGAUACUUCGUAGAUGAGAAGGCUGGCAAGGUCGACAGAAGUAUAUUGGAUAUACAUUAUAUUAAUGUGUACUUUACUAGUACUCCUAGUAGCACCAGGGUAUUAGAUACCGGUUCGGUUGCUAAGUGUUAGUAACUCGAAAUAAAAGCUGCGGAAUAAACGGAGACUAGCUAAAGGUGAGAUGACGAUAUGUGUUUCCAAGGUUGAUGUGAUCAAGCAUCGCAUGCUCCCUCUACCAUCGAGAUUGGGGUUAAACCUGAAUAAUUGUUAUUUGGUGUUUGCGUUAAGCAUAGACAUGAUUGGAUUAUGUUUAUCACAAUACGGUUAUUCAUUAAAGGAGAAUAAUGGUUACUCUGUCUAUUUGAAUAAUACCUUCAAUGGUCUUGCACCUAAAAUGAAUGGUCUAUUGAAUCUCGAUCGUAGUGAUACACAUGUUCAUGCCAAAGGAUAUAAGAUAGUACCACAUACUUGUGGCACUGCCACUUGAGUCAUAUUGGUAUAAAACGCAUGAAGAAACUCCAUGUUGAUGGAUCUUUGGACUCACUCGUUUUUGAAAAGAUUGAGACAUGCGAACCAUGUCUAUUAGUAUAUAUGCAUGAAGAAAGUCCAUACAGAUGGAUCAUUUGGACUCACUUGAUUUUGAAUCACUUGAGACAUGCAAAUCAUACCACAUGGGCAAGAUGACUGAAAGGCCUCGUUUUCAGUAAGAUGGAACAAGAGAGCAACUUGUUGGAAGUAAUACAUUUGAUGUGUGCAGUCCAAUGAGUGCUGAGGCACGCAGUGGAUAUCGUUAUGUUCUUACUUCACAGAUGAUUUGAGUAGAUGCUGAGAAUAUUUACUUGAUGAAACACAAGUCUGAAUUAUUGAAAGGUUCAAGUAAUUUCAGAGUGAAGUUGAAGAUCGUCGUGACAAGAGGAUAAAAUGUCUGUGAUAUGAUCAUAGAGAUGAAUAUCUGAGUUACGAGUUUGGCACACAAUUAAGAAAUUGUGGAAAUUGUUUCACGACUAAUACCGCCUGGAACACCAUAUUGUGAUGGUGUGUUCGAACAUCAUAACUGCACCCUAUUGGAUAUGGUGCAUACCAUGAUGUCUCUUAUCGAAUUACAACUAUCGUUUAUGGGUUAGGCAUUAGAGACAACCGCAUUCACUUUAAAUAGGGCACCACGCAAUUCCGUUGAGACGACACCGUAUGAACUAUGGUUUAGAGAAACCUAAGCUGUCGUCUCUUAAAAGUUUGGGGCUGCGACGCUUAUGUGAAAAAGUUUCAGGCUAAUAAGCUUGAACCCAAAGCGGAUAAAUGCAUCUUCAUAGAAUACCCAAAACAGUUGGGUAUACCUCCUAUUUCAGAUCUGGAAGCAAAAGUGAUUGUUUCUAGAAACGGGUCCUUUCUCGAGGAAAAGUUUCUCUCGAAAGAAUUGAGUGGGAGGAUGGUGGAGACUUGAUGAGGUCAUUGAACCGUCACUUCAACUAAUGUGUAGCAGGGCACAGGAAGUUGUUCCUGUGGCACCUACACCAAUUGAAGUGGAAGCUUAUGAUAGUGAUCAUGAAACUUCAGAUCAAGUCACUACCAAACCUCAUAGGACGACAAGGAUACGUACUACUUCAGAGUGGUACGUAAUCCUGUCUUGGAAGUCAUGUUGCUAGACAACAAUGAACCUAGGAGCUAUGGAGAAGCGAUGGUGGGCCCGGAUUCCAACGAAUGGCUUGAGGCCAUAAAAUCUGAGAGGAUCCAUGUAUGAAAACAAAGUAUAGACUUUGAAAGAACUACUUGAUGGUCGUAAGGCUGUUGGGUACAGAUGGAUUUUAAAGGGAAGACAGACAAUGAUGGUAAGUGUCACCAUUAAGAAAGCUCGACUUGUCGUUAAGAUGUUUUCCGGCAAGUUCAAGGAGUUGACUGCGAUGAGACUUUCUAACUCGUAGCGAUGCUAAGAGUCUGUUAGAAUUAUAUUAGCAGUUACUGCAUUGUUUAUGAAAUCUUGCAGAUAGGAUGUCAAAACAUUGUUUCCUCGACGAUUUUCUUGAGGAAAGGUUGUAUGUGAUACAACGAGAAGGUUUUGUCAAUCCUGAAAGAUGCUAACUAGUAUGCAAAGCUCCAGCAAUCCUUCUAAGGAUUGGAGUAAGCAUCUUGGAGUUGGAAUGAACGCUUUGAUGAGAUGAUCAAAGAUUUUGGGUUUAUACAAAGUUCAUGAGAAACUUGUAUUUCCAAAGAAGUGAGUGGGAGCACUAUAGAAUUUUUGAUGAGUAUAUGUUGUUAACAUAUCGUUGAUCAGAAAUGAUGUAGAAUUUCUGGAAAGCAUCCAGGGUUAUUUGAAAAGUGUUUUUAAUGGAAAACCUGGAUUAAGCUACUUGAACAUUGAGCAUCAAGAUCUAUAAGGAUAGAUCAAAAACGAUUAAUAGUACUUUCAAAUGAAUACAUACCGUGACAAGAUUUUGAAGGAGUUCAAAAUAGAUCAGCAAAGAAGGAGUUCUUGGCUGUGUUACAAGGUGUGAGUAUUGAGUAAGACUCAAGACCUGACCACGGCAGAAGAAAGAGAAAGGACGAAGGUCGUCCCCUAUGCUUUAGACGUAGGCUCUACAAUAUGCUAUGCUGUGUACCGCACCUGAAGUGUGCCUUGCCAUGAGUUAGUCAAGGGGUACAAUAGUGAUCCAGGAAGGGAUCACAUGACAGCGGUCGAACUUAUCCUUAGUAUCUAGUGGACUAAGGAAUUUUCUCGAUUAUGGAGGUGGAAAGGGGGUUCGUCGUAAAGGGUUACGUCGAUGCAAAAUUUGACACUAAUCCGGAUGACUCUGAGUAGUGAACCGGAUUCGUAUAGUAGAGCAGUUAUUUGGAAUAGUUCCAAGUAGCGCGUGGUAGUUGCAUCUACAAGAUGACAUAGAGAUUUGUAAAUCACACACGGAUCUGAAUGUUGCAGACCCGUUGACUAAAACCUCUCUCGUAAGCAUAACAUGAUCAAACCCUAGAACUCAUUGAGUGUUAAUCACAUGGUGAUGUGAACUAGAUUAUUGACUCUAGUAAACUCUUGGGUAUUAGUCACAUGGCGACGUGAACUUUGAGUGUUAAUCACAUGGUGAUGUGAACUAGAUUAUUGACUCUAGUGCAAGUGGGAGACUGUUGGAAAUAUGCCCUAGAGGCAAUAAUAAAAUGGUUAUUAUUGUAUUUCCUUGUUCAUGAUAAUUGUCUCUUGUUCAUGCUAUAAUUGUAUUAAUUGGAAACCGUAAUACAUGUGUGAAUACAUAGACCACAACAUGUCCCUAGUAAGCCUCUAGUUGACUAGCUCGUUGAUCAAUAGAUGGUUAUGGUUUCCUGUCCAUGGACAUUGGAUGUCAUUGAUAACGGGAUCACAUCAUUAGGAGAAUGAUGUGAUGGACAAGACCCAAUCCUAAGCAUAGCACAAGAUCGUGUAGUUCGUUUGCUAGAGCUUUUAUAAUGUCAAGUAUCAUUUCCUUAGACCAUGAGAUUGUGCAACUCCCGGAUACCGUAGGAAUGCUUUAGGUGUACCAAGCGUCACAACGUAACUGGGUGGCUAUAAAGGUGCACUACAGGUAUCUCCAAAAGUGUCUGUUGGGUUGGCACGAAUCGAGACUGGGAUUUGUCACUCCGUAUGACGGAGAGGUAUCUCUGGGCCCACUCGGUAAUGCAUCAUCAUAAUGAGCUCAAUGUGACUAAGGAGUUAGCCACGGGAUCAUGCAUUACGGUACGAGUAAAGUGACUUGUCGGUAACGAGAUUGAACAAGGUAUUGGGAUACCGACGAUCGAAUCUCGGGCAAGUAACGUACCGAUUGACAAAGGGAAUUGUAUACGGGAUUGAUUGAAUCCUCGACAUCGUGGUUCAUCCGUUGAGAUCAUCGUGGAACAUGUGGGAGCCAACAUGGGUAUCCAGAUCCCGCUGUUGGUUAUUGACCGGAGAGUCGUCUCGGUCAUGUCUGCAUGUCUCCUGAACCCGAAGGGUCUACACACUUAAGGUUCGGUGAUGCUAGAGUUGUAGAGAUAUUAGUAUGCCGUUAACCAAAAGUUGUUCGGAGUCCCGGAUGAGAUCCUGGACGUCACGAGGAGUUCCGGAAUGGUCCGGAGGUAAAGAUUUAUAUAUGGAAAGUCCUAUUUUGGCCACCGGAAAAUGUUCGGGAUUUUUCGUUAUUGUACCGGGAAGGUUCUAGAAGGUUCCGAAGUGGGGCCCACCUGCAUGGGGGGACCCACAUGAACGUGGGUAGUGGGGGCAAGGCCCCACACCCCUGGUCAAGGCGCACCAAGAUCCCACCUUAGAAGGAAUUGUUGGGGAUCGUAAGAGAAAUCAAAAAAUUUCUACGCAUCACCAAGAUCAAUCUAUGGAGUCAUCUAGCAACGAGAGAGAGGAGUGCAUCUACAUACCCUUGUAGAUCGCGAGCGGAAGCGUUCAAGUGAACGGGGUUGAUGGAGUCGCACUCGUCGUGAUCCAAAUCACCGACGACCAAGCGCCGAACGGACGGCACCUCCGCGUUCAACACACGUACGGUUGGGGAAGACGUCUCCUCCUUCUUGAUCCAGCAAGGGGGAAGGAGAGGUUGAUGGAGAUCCAGCAGCACGACGGUGUGGUGGUGGAAGUAGCGGGGAUCUCGGCAGGGCUUCGCCAAGCUCAUCGAGAGGGAGAGGUGUUACGGGAGGGAGAGGGAGGCGCCAGGGGCUGUCUUGCGGCUGCCCUCCCUCCCCCCCUUUAUAUAGGCCCCCUGGGGGGCGCCGGCCCUGGGAGAUCCCAUCUCCAAGGGGGGCGGCGAUCAAGGGGGUGGCUUGCCCCCCAAGCCAAGUGGGGCGCCCCCCACCCCUAGGGUUUCCAACCCUAGGCGCAGGGGAGGCCCAAGGGGGGCGCACCAGCCCACUAGGGGCUGGUUCCCUUCCCCACUUCAGCCCAUGGGGCCCUCCGGGAUAGGUGGCCCCACCCGGUGGACCCCGGGACCCUUCCAGGUGGUCCCGGUACAAUACCGGUGACCCCCGAAACUUUCCCGGUGGCCGAAACUGGACUUCCUAUAUAUAAUUAUUCACCUCCGGACCAUUCCGGAACUCCUCGUGACGUCCGGGAUCUCAUCGGGGACUCCGAACAACUUUCGAAUUUCCGCAUAUUAAUAUCUCUACAACCCUAGCGUCACCGAACCUUAAGUGUGUAGACCCUACGGGUUCGGGAGACAUGCAGACAAGACCGAGACGACUCUCCGAUCAAUAACCAACAGCGGGAUCUGGAUACCCAUGUUGGCUCCCACAUGUUCCACGAUGAUCUCAUCGGAUGAACCACGAUGUCGAGGAUUCAAUCAAUCCCGUAUACAAUUCCCUUUGUCAAUCGGUACGUUACUUGCCCGAGAUUCGAUCGUCGGUAUCCCAAUACCUUGUUCAAUCUCGUUACCGGCAAGUCACUUUACUCGUACCGUAAUGCAUGAUCCCGUGACCAAACACUUGGUCACAUUGAGCUCAUUAUGAUGAUGCAUUACCGAGUGGGCCCAGAGAUACCUCUCUGUCAUACAGAGUGACAAAUCCCAGUCUCGAUUCGUGCCAACCCAACAGACACUUUCGGAGAUACCCGUAGUGCACCUUUAUAGUCACCCAGUUACGUUGUGACGUUUGGCACACCCAAAGCACUCCUACGGUAUCCGGGAGUUGCACAAUCUCAUGGUCUAAGGAAAUGAUACUUGACAUUUGGAAAAGCUCUAGCAAACGAACUACACGAUCUUUUGUGCUAUGCUUAGGAUUGGGUCUUGUCCAUCACAUCAUUCUCCUAAUGAUGUGAUCCCGUUAUCAAUGACAUCCAAUGUCCAUAGUCAGGAAACCAUGACUAUCUGUUGAUCAACGAGCUAGUCAACUACAGGCUCACUAGGGACAUGUUGUGGUCUAUGUAUUCACACAUGUAUUACGAUUUCCGGAUAACACAAUUAUAGCAUGAACAAUAGACAAUUAUCAUGAACAAGGAAAUAUAAUAAUAACCAUUUUAUUAUUGCCUCUAGGGCAUAUUUCCAACAGUCUCCCACUUGCACUAGAGUCAAUAAUCUAGUUACAUUGUGAUGAAUCGAACACCCAUAGAGUUCUAGUGUUGAUCAUGUUUUGCUCUAGGGAGAGGUUUAGUCAACGGAUCUGCUACAUUCAGGUCCGUAUGUACUUUACAAAUAUCUAUGUCUCCAUUUUGAACACUUUCACGAAUGGAGUUGAAGCAACGCUUGAUAUGCCUGGUCUUCCUGUGAAACCUGGGCUCGUUGGCAAGGGCAAUAGCUCCAGUGUUGUCACAGAAGAGAGUCAUCGGGCCCGAUGCAUUGGGAAUAACUCCUAGGUCAGUAAUGAACUCCUUCACCCAGAUUGCUUCUUGUGCUGCCUCUGAGGCCGCCAUGUACUCCGCUUCACAUGUAGAUCACGCCACGACGCUUUGCUUGCAACUGCACCAGCUUACUGCCCCACCAUUCAAAAUAUACACGUAUCCGGUUUGUGACUUAGAGUCAUCCAGAUCUGUGUCGAAGCUAGCAUCGACGUAACCCUUUACGACGAGCUCUUCGUCACCUCCAUAAACGAGAAACAUAUCCUUAGUCCUCUUCAGGUACUUCAGGAUAUUCUUGACCGCUGUCCAGUGUUCCAUGCCGGGAUUACUUUGGUACCUUCCUACCAAACUUACGGCAAGGUUUACAUCAGGUCUCGUACACAGCAUGGCAUACAUAAUAGACCCUAUGACCGAGGCAUAGGGGAUGACACUCAUCUUUUCUCUAUCUUCUGCCGUGGUCGGGCAUUGAGCCGUGCUCAAUUGCACACCUUGCAAUAUAGGCAAGUACCCCUUCUUGGACUGAUCGAUAUUGAACUUCAAUAUCUUGUCAAGGUACGUACUUUGUGAAAGACCAAUGAGGCGUCUUGAUCUAUCUCUAUAGAUCUUGAUGCCUAAUAUGUAAGCAGCUUCUCCAAGGUCCUUCAUUGAAAAACACUUAUUCAAGUAGGCCUUUAUACUUUCCAAGAAUUCUAUAUCAUUUCCCAUCAAUAGUAUGUCAUCCACAUAUAAUAUGAGAAAUGCUACUGAGCUCCCACUCACUUUCUUGUAAACACAGGCUUCUCCAUAAGUCUGUGUAAACCCAAACGCUUUGAUCAUCUCAUCAAAUCAAAUGUUCCAACUCCGAGAUGCUUGCACCAGCCCAUAGAUGGAGCGCUGGAGCUUGCAUACCUUGUCAGCAUUCUUAGGAUCGACAAAACCUUCCGGCUGCAUCAUAUACAAUUCUUCCUUAGGAAAGCCGUUAAGGAAUGCCGUUUUGAUGUCCAUUUGCCAUAUCUCAUAAUCAUAGAAUGCGGCAAUUGCUAACAUGAUUCAGACGGACUUCAGCUUCGCUACGGGUGAGAAAGUCUCAUCGUAGUCAACCCCUUGAACUUGUCGAUAACCCUUAGCAACAAGUCGAGCCUUAUAGAUGGUCACAUUACCAUCCGCGUCCGUCUUCUUCUUAAAGAUCCAUUUAUUUCCUAUGGCUCGCCGAUCAUCGGGCAAGUCAGUCAAAGUCCACACUUCGUUUUCAUACAUGGAUCCUAUCUCGGAUUUCAUGGCUUCUAGCCAUUUGUCGGAAUCUGGGCCCGUCAUCGCUUCUUCAUAGUUCGAAGGUUCACCAUUGUCUAACAACAUGAUUUCCAAGACAGGGUUGCCGUACCACUCUGGCGCAGAAUGUGUCCUUGUGGACCUACGAAGUUCAGUAGUAACUUGAUCCGAAGUACCUCGAUCAUCAUCAUUAGCUUCCUCUCUAGUCAGUGCAGGCAUCACAGGAACAUCUUCCUGAGCUGCGCUACUUUCCGGUUCAAGAGGUAGUACUUCAUCAAGUUCCACUUUCCUCCCACUUACUUCUUUCGAGAGAAACUCUUUCUCCAGAAAGGACCCGUUCUUGGCAACAAAGAUCUUGCCUUCGGAUCUGAGGUAGAAGGUAUACCCAAUGGUUUCCUUAGGGUAUCCUAUGAAGACACAUUUUUCUGACUUGGGUUCGAGCUUUUCAGGUUGAAGUUUCUUGACAUAAGCAUCGCAUCCCCAAACUUUUAGAAACGACAGCUUAGGUUUCUUCCCAAACCAUAAUUCAUACGGUGUCGUCUCAACGGAUUUCGACGGAGCCCUAUUUAAAGUGAAUGCGGCAGUCUCCAAAGCAUAGCCCCAAAAUGAGAGCGGUAGAUCGGUAAGAGACAUCAUAGAUCGCACCAUAUCCAAUAGAGUGCGAUUACGACGUUCGGACACACCAUUUCGCUGAGGUGUUCCAGGCGGCGUGAGUUGUGAAACUAUUCCACAUUUCCUUAAGUGUGUGCCAAAUUCGUGACUCAAAUAUUCCCCUCCACGAUCUGAUCGUAAGAAUUUUAUUUUCCUGUCACUUUGAUUCUCAACCUCACUCUGAAAUUCCUUGAACUUUUCAAAGGUCUCAGACUUGUGUUUCAUUAGGUAGACAUACCCAUAUCUACUCAAGUCAUCAGUGAGAGUGAGAACAUAACGAUAGCCUCCGCGAGCCUCAACACUCAUUGGAACGCACACAUCAGUAUGUAUGAUUUCUAAUAAGUUGGUUGCUCGCUCCAUUGUUCCGAAGAACGGAGUCUUGGUCCUUUCGCCCAUGAGGCAUGGUUCGCAUGUGUCAAAUGAUUCAUAAUCGAGAGACUCUAAAAGUCCAUCAGCAUGGAGCUUCUUCAUGCGCUUGACACCAAUGUGACCAAGGCGGCAGUGCCACAAGUAUGUGGGACUAUCGUUAUCAACUUUACAUCUUUUGGUAUUCACACUAUGAAUAUGUGUAACAUCACGUUUGAGAUUCAUUAAGAAUAAACCAUUGACCAGCGGGGCAUGACCAUAAAACAUAUCUCUCAUAUAAAUAGAACAACCAUUAUUCUUGGAUUUAAAUGAGUAGCCAUCUCGCAUUAGACGAGAUCUAGAUACAAUGUUCAUGCUCAAAGCUGGCACUAAAUAACAAUUAUUGAGGUUUAAAACUAAUCCCGUAGGUAAAUGUAAAGGUAGCCUGCCGACGGCGAUCACAUCGACCUUGGAACCAUUCCCGACGCGCAUCGUCACCUCGUCCUUUGCCAGUCUCCGCUUAUUCCGCAGCUCCGCUUUGAGUUACAAAUAUGAGCAACCGCACCGGUAUCAAAUACCCAGGAGCUACUACGAGUACUGGUAAGGUACACAUCAAUUACAUGUAUAUCACAUAUACCUUUGGUGUUGCCGGCCUUCUUGUCCGCUAAGUAUUUGGGGCAGUUCCGUUCCAGUGACCAUUUCCCUUGCAAUAAAAGCACUCAGUCUCAGGCUUGGGUCCAUUCUUUGGCUUCUUCCCGGCAACUGACUUACCGGGCGCGGCAACUCCCUUGCCGUCCUUCUUACCCUUGCCUUUCUUGAACUUAGUGGUUUUAUUCACCAUCAACACUUGAUGUUCCUUUUUGAUCUCCACCUCCGCUGAUUUCAGCAUUGAAUAUACCUCAGGAAUGGUCUUUUCCAUCCCCUGCAUAUUGAAGUUCAUCACAAAGCUCUUGAAGCUCGGUGGAAGCGACUGAAGGAUUCUAUCAAUGACCGUGUCAUCCGGGAGAUUAACUUCCAGCUGAGACAAGCGGUUGUGUAACCCAGACAUUUUGAGUAUGUGCUCGCUGACAGAACUAUUUUCCUCCAUCUUACAACUGAAGAACUUGUCGGAGACUUCAUAUCUCUCGACCCGGGCAUGAGCUUGGAAAACCAUUUUCAGCUCUUCGAACAUCUCAUAUGCUCCGUGUUGCUCAAAACGCUUUUGGAGCCCCAGUUCUAAGCUGUAAAGCAUGCCACACUGAACGAGGGAGUAAUCAUCAGCACGCUGCUGCCAAGCGUUCACAACGUCUUGGUUCUCUGGGAUUGGUGCUUCACCUAGCGGUGCUUCUAGGACAUAAUCUUUCUUGGCAGCUAUGAGGAUGAUCCUCAGGUUCCGGACCCAGUCCGUAUAGUUGCUGCCAUCAUCUUUCAGCUUGGUUUUCUCUAGGAACGCGUUGAAGUUGAGGGCAACGUGGGCCAUUUGAUCUACAAGACAUAUUGUAAAGAUUUUAGACUAAGUUCAUGAAAAUUAAGUUCAUCUAAUCAAAUUAUUCAAUGAACUCCCACUCAGAUAGACAUCCCUCUAGUCAUCUAAGUGAAACAUGAUCCGAGUCAACUAGGCCGUGUCCGAUCAUCACGUGAGACGGACUAGUCAACAUCGGUGAACAUCUUCAUGUUGAUCGUAUCUUCUAUACGACUCAUGCUCGACCUUUCGGUCUUCCGUGUUCCGAGGCCAUGUCUGUACAUGCUAGGCUCGUCAAGUCAACCUAAGUGUAUUGCGUGUGUAAAUCUGUCUUACACCCGUUGUAUUCGAACGUUAGAAUCUAUCACACCCGAUCAUCACGUGGUGCUUCGAAACAACGAACCUUCGCAACGGUGCACAGUUAGGGGGAACACUUUCUUGAAAUUAUUGCGAGGGAUCAUCUUAUUUAAGCAACCGUCGUUCUAAGCAAAUAAGAUAUAAAACAUGAUAAACAUCACAUGCAAUCAAAUAGUGACAUGAUAUGGCCAAUAUCAUUUUGUUCCUUUGAUCUCCAUCUUCGGGGCGCCAUGAUCAUCUUCGUCACCGGCAUGACACCAUGAUCUCCAUCAUCGUGUCUUCAUGAAGUUGUCACGCCAACGAUUACUUCUACUUCUAUGGCUAACGUGUUUACCAAUAAAGUAAAGUAAUUUACAUGGCGUUAUUCAAUGACACGCAGGUCAUACAAAAAAUAAAGACAACUCCUAUGGCUCCUGCCGGUUGUCAUACUCAUCGACAUGCAAGUCGUGAUUCAUAUUACAAGAACAUGAUCAAUCUCAUACAUCACAUAUAUUUCAUUCAUCACAUCCUUUUGGCCAUAUCACAUCACAAGGCAUAUGCUGCAAAAACAAGUUAGACGUCCUCUAAUUGUUGUUGCAAAUUUUUACGUGGCUUCUAUAGGUUUCUAGCAAGAACGUUUCUUACCUACGUAAAACCACAACGUGCUAUGCCAAUUUCUAUUUACCAUUCAUAAGGACCCUUUUCAUCGAAUCCGUUCCGACUAAAGUGGGAGAGACAGACACCCGCUAGCCACCUUAUGCAACUAGUGCAUGUCAGUCGGUGGGACCUGUCUCACGUAAGCGUACGUGUAAGGUCGGUCCGGGGCGCUUCAUCCCACAAUGCCGCCGAAACAAGAUAAGACUAGUAGUGGCAAGAAAAUUGACAACAUCUACGCCCACAACAAGUUUGUGUUCUACUCGUGCAUAGAAACUACGCAUAGGCCUGGCUCAUGAUGCCACUAUUGGAGAUCGUAGCAGAAAUCAAAAAUUUUCUACGCAUCACCAAGAUCAAUCUAUGGAGUCAUCUAGCAACGAGAGAGAGGAGUGCAUCUACAUACCCUUGUAGAUCGCGAACGGAAGCGUUCAAGUGAACGGGGUUGAUGGAGUCGCACUCGUCGUGAUCCAAAUCACCGAUGACCGAGCGCCGAACGGACGGCACCUCCGCGUUCAACACACGUACGGUUGGGGAAGACGUCUCCUCCUUCUUGAUCCAGCAAGGGGGAAGGAGAGGUUGAUGGAGAUCCAGCAGCACGACGGCGUGGUGGUGGAAGUAGCGGGGAUCUCGGCAGGGCUUCGCCAAGCUCAGCGAGAGGGAGAGGUGUUACGGGAGGGAGAGGGAGGCGCCAGGGGCUGUCUUGCAGCUGCCCUCCCUCCCCCCUUUAUAUAGCCCCCCUGGGGGGCGCCGGCCCUGGGAGAUCCCAUCUCCAAGGGGGCGGCGGCCAAGGGGGUGGCUUGCCCCCCAAGCCAAGUGGGGCGCUCCCCACCCCUAGGGUUUCCAACCCUAGGCGCAGGGGAGGCCCAAGGGGGGCGCACCAGCCCACCAGGGGCUGGUUCCCUUCCCCACUUCAGCCCAUGGGGCUCUUCGGGAUAGGUGGCCCCACCCGGUGGACCCCGGGACCCUUCCGGUGGUCCCAGUACAAUACCGGUGACCCCCGAAACUUUCCCGGUGGCCGAAACUGGACUUCCUAUAUAUAAUUAUUCACCUCCGGACCAUUCCGGAACUCCUCGUGACGUCCGGGAUCUCAUCCGGGACUCCGAACAACUUUUGGAUUUCCGCAUACUAAUAUCUCUACAACCCUAGCGUCACCGAACCUUAAGUGUGUAGACCCUACGGGUUCGGGAGACAUGCAGACAAGACCGAGACGACUCUCCGAUCAAUAACCAACAACGGGAUCUGGAUACCCAUGUUGGCUCCUACAUGUUCCACGAUGAUCUCAUCGGAUGAACCACGAUGUCGAGGAUUCAAUCAAUCCCGUAUACAAUUCCCUUUGUCAAUCGGUAUGUUACUUGCCCGAGAUUCGAUCGUCGGUAUCCCAAUACCUUGUUCAAUCUCGUUACCGGCAAGUCACUUUACUCGUACCGUAAUGCAUGAUCCCGUGACCAAACACUUGGUCACAUUGAGCUCAUUAUGAUGAUGCAUUACCGAGUGGGCCCAGAGAUACCUCUCCGUCAUACGGAGUGACAAAUCCCAGUCUCGAUUCGUGCCAACCCAACAGACACUUUCGGAGAUACCCGUAGUGCACCUUUAUAGUCACCCAGUUACGUUGUGACGUUUGGCACACCCAAAGCACUCCUACGGUAUCCGGAGUUGCACAAUCUCAUGGUCUAAGGAAAUGAUACUUGACAUUUGGAAAAGCUCUAGCAAACAAACUACACGAUCUUUUGUGCUAUGCUUAGGAUUGGGUCUUUUCCAUCACAUCAUUCUCCUAAUGAUGUGAUCCCGUUAUCAAUGACAUCCAAUGUCCAUAGUCAGGAAACCAUGACUAUCUGUUGAUCAACGAGCUAGUCAACUAGAGGCUCACUAGGGACAUGUUGUGGUUUAUGUAUUCACACAUGUAUUACGAUUUCCGGAUAACACAAUUAUAGCAUGAACAAUAGACAAUUAUCAUGAACAAGGAAAUAUAAUAAUAACCAUUUUAUUAUUGCCUCUAGGGCAUAUUUCCAACAGGAAUAAGAUCAUAUCCCGAAGGGAUAAGAUCAAGAUCCCUAAAAAAGGGGGAUAACAAUCGGUGGGGAAGGGAAAUGAUGGGAUUUCUUUCCCCCACCUUUGCCAACGCCCCAAUGGACUUGGAGGGAAAGAAACCAGCCCCCUCCACCCCUAUAUAUAGUGGGGAGGCGCAUGGGAGCAGCACCCCAAGCCCUGGCGCCUCCCUCCCUCCCGUGACACCUCUUCCUCCCCGCUUGCGCUUGGCGAAGCCCUGCUGGGAUCCCGCUACUUCCACCACCACGCCGUCGUGCUGCUGGAUCUCCAUCAACUACUCCUCCCCCCUUGCUGGAUCAAGAAGGAGGAGACAUCCCCACUCCGUACGUGUGUUGAACGCGGAGGUGCCGUCCGUUCGGCGCUAGGAUCAUCGGUGAUUUGGAUCACGACGAGUACGACUCCAUCGACCCCGUUCUCUUGAACGCUUCCGCGCGCGAUCUACAAGUGUAUGUAGAUGCACUCCCCUCUCCCUCGUUGCUAGAUGACUCCAUAGAUUGAUCUUGGUGAUACAUAGAAAAUUUUAAAUUUCUGCUACGUUCCCCAACACAUCCGCCCCUGCUUACCAUCGCGGUCGUCGUUUUCGUCCGCCUAGCUAGCGCAUGAGCACGCGGCCGUUCUCCUAGGGCUCCCAGGAGCCCAACGCAUGCACCCGCACGCCUUGCCAUGCCCCGCAACCCCCCCUCACGCGCUCGAGCUGCUGUCGCUGCCCUCUGUUCUUCGCCGCUGCACGCACCUCCCCUCCCUGCAUCUGCCGCACCUCGCGCGUGCAUACACGUUCGCGCCCCUGCUCGUCCGCCUGCUGCCGCUCGCGUGCGCGCGCCCGUGCAGACUGCUGCCGUGCCGCUCCCCUUGCUGUUGUUGCUCUGCUGCUGCACUUCUAUUGCGGCUAGCCGCUGCUGUCCCCGCGCGUUGCCGCUGCUACUGCAUCCCACCGCUGUUACUCUGCUACAGUAACUGAAUGUUACUGUAGCAGUAGCUAGCUUUGCUACGAUUACACUGACUAGCCCUCUGUACUGCAGCAAAACAAUUUCAAAACGAGUUCUAAUGUAGAUAAGAAUUAUAUGUGCGGGUAGUACACUUGACAAGGUUCAAUUCUUUCAAGUGGACCAAAUCCAAAAUUUGCCUGGAUUAAUUCCUACGAAAAUGACAAAAGUCUAUGUUCUGUUAACUUGUAGAACUAAAAACAGAUAUACUGCCAUAGCAACUUUGGAGCAAAAAAUAAACAAGUUACAAGGAUCUAACAAUGAUGCAAUUGUUACCAUCUUGUAGACCAUAGGAAAGUGAUCAAUAUUGGUAUAAGGCACCAAUUCAUAGGAUGAAUAGAACACUAGUUAUAGCCUCUGGAAAACAGCUAAAUGAUAUUUAAAACUGAGGACUUAGCAGAAUUUCAGUAAUUCUAGAAAAUGAAUUAAAACUUAAAAAAUUAAUAUAAAAUAAACCGUAGUUCCGAUGGAAAAACUUUGUACAUGAAAGUUGCUCAGAAUGACGAGACGAAUUCGGAUACGCGGCCCGUUUGUCCGCCACACAUCCCUAGCAUAGCGAACAUGCAACUUUCCCCCUCCGGUUCAUCUGUCCGAAAACGCUGAACACUGGGAAUACUUUCCCGGAUAUUUCCCCCUUCGCCAGUAUCACCUAUCCCAGCGUUAGAUCACCCCUGGCACCGCGUAUUGCCUUGUUAUAUUUCGUGAUGCUUUGUUUGCUUUGUAUUCACUGUUUCUUCCCCCUCUUCUUCUCCGGUAGACCUUGAGACCGACGAUGAUGCCCCUGAGUACGACUACGUCGACGACGAUCCCUCCUUCUUGCAAGAGCAACCAGGCAAGCCCCCCCUUGAUCACCAAAUAUCACCUAUUCCUUCUCUCUACUGCUUGCAUUAGAGUAGUGUAGCAUGUUACUGCUUUCGGUUAAUCCUAUUCUGUUGCAUAGCCUGUCAUUGUUGCUACAAUUGUUGAUACCUUUACCUGCUAUCCUAAUGCUUAGUAUAGGAUGCUAGUGUUCCAUCAGUGGCCCUACACUCUUGUCCGUCUGCCAUGCUAUACUACUGGGCCAUGAUCACUUCGGGAGGUGAUCACAGGCAUAUACUAUAUACUUUAUACUCUUACAUUACUUAUGAUACUGUUCGGAGAUGGGGGCUGAAGGGGCAGGUGGCUCCAUCCUGGUAGAGGUGGGCCAGGGUUCCCGAUGGCCCCCGACUGAUACUUUGUGGCGGAGCGACAGGGCAGGUUGAGACCACCUAGGAGAGAGGUGGGCCUGGCCCUGGUCGGCGUCCGCGGUUACUUGAAAAUAACACGCUUAACGAGUUCUUGGUAUUUGAUCUGAGUCUGGCCAUUGGUCUAUACGCACUAACCAACUACGCGGGAAUAGUUAUGGGCACUCGGCGUCGUGGUAUCAGCCGAAGCCUUCGUGACAUCAGCGACUGAGCGGCGCGCGCCGGAUUGGACUGGAACGCCUGCUAGGCUAGGUCUGCUUCCGGCCGCGUUCGCAACGUGCAGGUGUGCAAUGGGCGAUGGGCCCAGACCCCUGCGCCAUAGGAUUUAGAACGGCGUGCUGACCUCUCUGUUGUGCCUAGGUGGGGCUGCGACGUGUUGAUCUUCCGCGGCCGGGCAUGACCCAGAAAAGUGUGUCCGGCCAAAUGGGAUCGAGCGUGUUGGGUUAUGUGGUGCACCCCUGCAGGGAAGUUUAUCUAUUCGAAUAGCCGUGAUCUUCGGUAACAUGACGACUUGGAGUUGUACCUUGACCUUAUGACAACUAGAACCGGAUACUUAAUAAAACACACCCUUCCAAGUGCCAGAUAUAACCCGGUGAUCGCUCUCUAAUAGGGCGAUGACGAGGGGAUCGCCGGGUAGGAUUAUGCUAUGCGAUGCUACUUGGUGAACUUACCAUCUACUCUCUCCUACAUGCUGCAAGAUGGAGGUGGCCAGAAGCGUAGUCUUCGACAGGAUUAGCUACCCCCCUCUUAUUCUGGCAUUCUGCAGUUCAGUCCACCGAUAUGGCCCUUUACACAUAUACCCAUGCAUAGGUAGUGUAUCUCCUUGCUUGCGAGUACUUUGGAUGAGUACUCACGGUUGCUUUUCUUCCUAUUUUCCCCUUUCCCUUCUACCUGGUUGUCGCAACCAGAUGCUGGAGCCCAGGAGCCAGACGCCACCAUCGACGACAACUCCUACUACACCGCGGGUGCCUACUACUACUUGCAGGCCACCGACGACGACCAGGAGUAGUUUAGGAGGAUCCCAGGCAGGAGGCCUGCGCCUCUUUCGAUCUGUAUCCCAGUUUGUGCUAGCCUUCUUAAGGCAAACUUGUUUAACUUAUGUCUGUACUCAGAUAUUGUUGCUUCCGCUGACUCGUCUAUGAUCGAGCAAUUGUAUUCGAGCCCUCGAGGCCCCUGGCUUGUAUUAUGAUGCUUGUAUGACUUAUUUUAUUUUUAGAGUUGUGUUGUGAUAUCUUCUCGUGAGUCCCUGAUCUUGAUCGUACACGUUUGCGUGUAUGAUUAGUGUACGAUUGAAUCGGGGGCGUCACAAGUUGGUAUCAGAGCCGACUGCCUGUAGGAAUCCCCCUUCCACACUCCUUGGCCAAAGUCGAGUCUAGACAUUGCAAAUUUUUUUACUAACAUGGCUGUGUGUCUUAUGGGCCCACGUCGCCUUUUGGGUGGUAUUAGGAUAUUUUACUCCUCGAUCCUUACUCUGGGACUCUGAACUCUCUUCUAUUCGAGUUAAAAUGAAUUUACUAACUCUGACUCUAGGUUCUCGUAAUUACUUUCUCCCGGAGAGCCCCUCACUCCAGAUGAUCGCUUGCUGCACUAGAAGAUUCCGAAGAUACUCUCCGAGGUUUUCCCGAGACCCUUGUGCCCACCGACUUUACAAUCCCCUACCACCGAUAUACCCUUAUGGAUAACUACCUACAAUUGUCGUUCAUACCUUCAUCCUCAGUUGCUCUUGUUAUUACAAGAUGCCCUAAAUUGCUCUCCGUUGUUCCGAAAAUCCUUUAAGCUUACUGCCUUGCAGUUCUUUACCACAUGAAUACCCCUAUUGAAAAUUCCUCACACUUAUUGAGUAUUCGUUCAUCCCCAGUUGUUCGUAUCCUUCAUAAGAUACUCUGAAAUACUAUCUGACCUUUUUGAGCAUCCUCUUCAAACUAUUGCUAUGCAAAUACUUGUAUGCUUACAUUAUGGAUGCUCCCAUAUCACUAGCAAUAUUCACUAGUAUCUUUUGACACCGUCAUUUUGAUCCUAUUGAUUAAACAUGUGUGCGAAUGCACACAAUCCCCCUUCCCCUCGGGCGGAUCUCGUCGCCGGCCAUGUUGGCCCCGCCGGCGUCGCCCAAGCACACGCCGUGCCUGCCCGCAAGCGGCAGGGCAACGUGCUUGUGCAGGGUGGGAAUCCGGCUGCCCCCGCCGCGAUGGCCCGCGCUCCGGCCGCCAAUGCCGCUGUGCGAUCCCGGCCGGCGGCGGAGAAGGCCGGCAAGGCCGCGGGCGUAAUGUGAAGGAAGGUUCCGACUUCAAGGAAGCCAUCUUCUUCAACCUCUCACUCCAUCCCCCGCAAGGAGGUGCUCCGGCGAUGCCGUUGAACGGUGCCGCUCCCCCCGCGAGCGAGGUGUUCGACGAAAUGGCCGGAAGGUAUAUCUCUUCGGAAUUUGGAGAUUCACUUUCAUUUUCGCCAUUGUUUUCGAUAGCUCGUGACUUGUUCUCGUUCGCUAUAGUGGUGGUUCGAACAAUGCAACAACCGGGUUCGUGAACUUGUUGGACACGAACGCGGUUGACAUUGAUCAAGCCCCUUUCGAACCUUUCGACUACAAUGAAACGGAGGGCGGCGUGGACGAUCAUGGUUGUGCGGACGAGUUGGCGGAGAUCGAAGCGGAAGCGUUUGAGAAUUCACAAGCAAAAGCUGGGAGAAGCCAAAGAUCGAAGAACUACACUAUCCUGGAAGAUCAAGCUUUGAUCAAAGCAUGGAGUGCGGUGUCUCUUGAUGCAUGCACGGGUACUAAAUCAAACCGCAAAGAGAUAUUGGCAAAGGAUCGAAGAUCAAUACUUCCGCAUUAUGAAAAACUACCCCAACAAGACUCCACGCACAUUUCGGUCGCUUCAAGGUCGUUGGGAGAACAUCAAGCCUAUGUGCAGCCGUUGGACAGCUUGCUUGGAGCAAGCACGCAAUGCACCUCCAACUGGCACCGUGGAGUCCGACUAUGUGAGUUUGCUUUGCCUUUCUUCAAGUUGUGCAUCAUCAUAAUGUAUCAUGAGAAAUGAUUGCAUCACUUUGUUCGCAUUGUGUAGGACAAGAUUGCUCAACAUAGAUAUAAGGACAUGGAAGCUUCGGAAGGCAGAUUCUUCAAAUUAGAGCAUUGUUGGGAGUUGCUCCAAAAGUGCGACAAGUGGAAGUUGAUCGACAAAGAGUCCCCACCAAAGAGAGGCACGCUUAAAAACAUGGAUGAAGAUGAGGAUGAUGAUGGCCCAAGAAAUUUGAACCAGCCCGAUGGCGACAAGAAGACUAGAGAGAAGAUAAAGAGAGAGCAAGAAGCAUCAAGCUUGAGGGAGAAGAUUGAUGCCAUGAUGCAAUCAAACGAGUUAAUGUUGUUGAAGUCGUUGGAGAUCAAAAAGAGUUGGCCAAAAAGAAGGCAAAAGAGAAGCAAGAAAAAUGGCAAAUGCUCAAGGAAGAGGGGCUGCGCAGAGCUGCCAUUGAGGAGAGAAAAGUACGCGCCUCUGAAAACAAAUCGCUGUCAUUGUUGCUCGCCGAAGAGAACAAGAUCAUGUCAAUGAACCGCAAUGACAUGGACAACGUCACCAAAACAUGGCAUGAUAUGGCAAAGAGAGAGAUCUUGAAGAGGAGAAUGGUCGCCUCGGCCGGUCCGUCUGCUAGUUCCGGUGAUGUAUUCUCUGCUCCAUAUGAUGGCAAUGUGGAUGAUUUCGGUGCGGGAGUUGGAACAAGCGACGGAGGUGGCUACGGUGGCGCCGAUGAACUUCAAGAUGGACUCCAUGGCGCGGAGUGAAGAUCGACCCCCCAAGAUGAUGCCGGACAUGGGCGCAUACCUUUGCAUGCCCUCUUUUGCGUAAUGAACUUCGCUUUUAUUUGCGUGCAAACUGUUUAUGUUAUUUGAAUUUGAACUUGUUUGUGAAACCCUAUGACAAAUUUCAGAUUUGCAGUUUUUCUGUUUGCGGGUCGUUGCGCUGUUGCCCGAGCAGUACCCGUAUAGCCGACCCGUAAAAAAAAUAUUCCACGAAUAUACUUUUUUACGGGUCCGUUUGGGAGGUCUGCAUGUGUGCUAGCCCUUGCCGGCCCGCAAAAACGAUUUUGCGCGAACUGCAAACGCGUUUUGCGGGCCGGCGUUUUACGGGGUGUGCUAGAGUUGCUCUAAGCCCCUUGCUCAAUCAAGCGACUUGACAGUGAACCGUGAAAUCAGCAAGUCGUUAUAGGGUGAGCACUCUAUGUAUUACGACUAGAACAAACAACAAAAAGAAUAUAACUAAUACUAUGGGGUAUACUCAAUGAGAUCAAGAUGUAUUUGUCUUGUGUCAUUUUUAUCGGAGUUCAAGCCUCAGCUUUGACGCGUGGUGUUCGCGGAGUUUCUUCUAUAAAAAAAUGGUAAUAAGGGUUAGCCUUUGAGUUGGUUUCUUUUCUUUUGUCAUUUUUAAUAACUUCUCCAAUGAGACAAACCACCAGCCCACUAGAAUAGAAUAUAGGAGUAUCGUGACAUGAGAUGGUCUCACUGCUACGGAACGGGAAAACCUUGUUAAAACUGCCAAACAAUCGGAGAGAAUUAUUGAGAAACAAAAAUGACAAAUCUAUAGUUUGCCAGAUUUACAAACCAUUUUGAAUUAACUAUCGUCCGCAUGACGAAUUGGAACAGGGACCAGCUUGCACGCACAGCUGCUGUUUGGUCCAACCGCAAAAAAAAAAAAAGAGAAACCUGCUUGGUAACGCACUUUUGCGUGCCCAUUUAAUGGCGACCAUAGAUAGGACAAACACAGAGAUUCCACUGGCACAGACGGAGCUGCAUUUGCAUGUAUGCAUAUGCUAGUAGCGCUGCAGUGCUUCCUGUUGCAAGAGCAUCUCUAACAGGUCUAGUAAAACCGCGAUCCUCAUAAUCAAGACAAGGACCGAGAAAAACGCGUUUUAAGGACCAAAAAUGGAUGCGGCCGAACAUACCCCACAAACCCAAGCGGUAAAAAAGAAUAUCCGCGCUGCCACUUCCGGCCCUUAAAAACACUUGGUUUUCAUCAUUUUGCCACAUAUAUGUCAUGUAGCAAAUUAUAUGAACCAAAAUAGUAAAAAAAUAUGUAAAUAUUGCUACCACCAUUGAUCCACGUCGUUUCUUCUUCUUCCUCUCCUCGAGUUCGUUCACGGCGAGAACCGCCACCACCAUUUGCUGCCGAUGGCUUUCGAGCAGCGUAUAUAUGUCUGAAUCAUCGGACGAGGAGGAAUCCUCAAGCAAAAAUUCCGUAGCUGAGGUCAAAUCCAUCUACAAAACCGCGAGCAAAUAGAUGAAUCAGGGCGGCGACUCUGUGGUGGCGGAGGGGGAGCAAGCAAAUACUCACCGGCGGAUCCGGGGGUGGCGACUCGGUGGCGGCGCGUUCCCGCCGGGAGUGGUCGAUCCGGCGCGGGGGCUGCUCGGUAGCGGCGCAUGGUGGGAGAGGCGGUGGAUCCGGGGCUGUGGCGCGUCGGUAGCAACUUGCCGCCGCCAAAAUGGCCGGAAUCGUUGGCGGUGGGGCCGCGGCGACGGUGGCAGACGAGAGAGAAGGGAGGGAGAAGAAAGCGCACACCUGAAAUGUCCGCUGCUCCAACCGUUUUCGCCCGAUAUAGGGCACACUAGGGUCAAGCCUCGAAACUAGGACUUCUCGGGUCGAGGGGGGAUUUUUCCGCGGCCCUCAAUUUUUUUACGGUUUCAGGGCGAAUAAGGAGUCUGGUCGGGGCAUUUUUGCUCGCGAAACCGUAAGGUGGCGGUUAUUAUAAGGGUCUGCGCGUUUUAAGGGGUCUGCUAGAGAUGUUCUAAUCAACAAAAAGCUUAAGACACAAACUCAUUUCAUUAGUUUCUAUCUGCUUGGGUCCGCGUGGGCAUAAGAGCAACUCCAACGCACCGACUCAAACGGACACGCACUUUGUCCGCAUUUUGUUCGUCUGGAACGGCUGCCUUCUUGCCGUCCGCUUGUGUUGGAUCGGUGCGUCCAACCGGCGGACCCACUUCCCAUCCUCGCAGGAAACAACUUGAACAUAAAAAGACCCGCGACCAGAGAUCAUGCAAGCGGUCAAGCCAUCACUCAGAGUUCAUGCCAACGGCCGACAUACAUGUCAGCCUCCAAAAAAACGACACACAAUUCAUGCCGCACACCUGCCAGCAGCCGGCACACUUGCGAGCACACAAGAGGGAUGGGAGUUCAACCAUGCCAUCUCGGCCAUGGCCAUGCCGGCGGGAUCUCGCGCGGCCGUUUCCUCUUCCCCCCAAUGGACAACUCACCGGCCACAGGUGUGGCGUUGAGGUCGAUGGCCAUGGGUGCGGGCGUGACCGGCGUGACUACACUCACCUACGGCGAACUGGAGCCCGGAGAGGUGGAGAAACGAGAUGCUUGUGGGUGGGGAUGGAAGCCAGGCGUCUGCGGCAUGGUGGACGUGUGCGGCGACUUUGGCCGUGGCGGACAAACGACCGACGAGCCCAGGCUGGCCGCGGCCAUGGCGGUGGCGACUGAUACGUCUCCAACCUAUAUUUUUGAUUCUUUAAUGUUAUUAUAUUAUUGAUCUUGAAUACUUUAUAUGCAUUUAUAUGCUAUUUUGUAUCAUUUUUGGAACUAACUUAUUAACCCAGUGCCUAGUGCGAGCUACUAUAUUCUUCUUGUUUAUCAUUUCUCAGAAAAUUAGUACCAAACGGAGUCCAAACGCUACGAAAACUUUGAUGAUUUUUUCUGGACAAAAGAGACCCUACAAGCUUCGGGACGAGAUCAGAGGAGAAACGAGGAGACGGCAAGGCAACAGGGCGCGCCCUGUUACCUUGUGGGCCCCUCGUGGCUCCGUGUGACCUAAUUUCGCUUCUAUAAAUUCUCAAAUAUUGAGAAAGCAACAGAUAGCCACCCGAAACCCUUUUUCCACCGCCGCAAGCUUCUGUUCUUCCGUGAUCCCAUCUGAAGACCUUUUCCAAUACUCUGCCAGAGGGAGAACCGAUCACCGAGGGCUUCUACAUCAUCCUUGCUUCCUUUUGAUUAUGCAUGAGUAGUUUACCACGGACCAACGAGUCCAUAGCUAGUAGCUAGAUGGCUUCUUCUCUCUCUUUGAUCUUCAAUACCAUGUGCUCCACACUACAAAAUUUCAUCUAUUCAGUGACAAAAAUCCUGGCGACGAAACAGGAAACAUCGCCUAAAAUCAUUUUCUGUGACGGUCCACCGUCACGAGGUUUUCCCCUCUUGAAGCAGCGCCCUAGCCAACUUUAGCAACGUUCUGGCCUGAUUUUCGGCGACCCUUUUGGGCGCCAGUAAGCACGUCCAUUUUCUGGGACGAUUCGUAGUGUCACUGAAAAUGUUUGGUGUCACAAAAAAGGUCAGCGGGUUAGAAAAAAUGAUUUAAAAAUGGUGUGUUAAUGUUCAGACGGCAGAGUUUAUAACAUAUCGGAAUCAAACUUUCAGGGUUUAGGUUCAGAUUCUCGUAUUGAAAUCCAUUGAUCAUUUUUCUGUACAUACUCAUUGUAGUGAACAAUGAGAGCGUGAACGGGAAAAUAUGACCGCAUAGAAAUAUACUAUGUUGAAAGUUGUAAACUUCACUUCAAAUAGCAUGCCUCGACAACAAAGGGGCCGCCAAGUGAGGUGGCAAUACUAAAAAUAAUAAAAAUGUCUUAAAAGAAAAAUAAUAAUUCUCAAAAUAGUUAAAAACAAGGUCUUCGAAAUUAUUUUAUACGAUGUGUCAGGACCUCACAAACAGUUAGAGAAUGUUUGUGACGACCCUGCCACAUUGUUUAAAUAAUUCUCGAGGAAGCCAGUUCCCAUCCGGUCACCCAUCCCAACACUACUCCAGCCUCAGCACGCUUAACCUUCAAGUUUCUUUCAGAUGAUGUACGGGUAGGGAAGCUGCUCCUUGCUGAUAUGGGAUGCCUCUUCUGUUCUUUAUUUACAUAAUUAACAUGCAUAUUUCUAAAACCUAACAGAACUACUUGAACUUAUUCAUCAUUGUCGCUGCCGUCCUCCGUGUCGCCGCCGUCCGAGUCUUCGCCGUCGUCAUCCCAAUCGAUGUUGUCGUCGUCUUGCAUCCAUACUCGGGCAGUACUCUAUAUAAAUUGCAGCAGAAAAUUUCAAAGAAAAAAGAAGACAAUGCCAUUUCAAACAUUGCAGCACAAAUACUAGAAAUAUUACAAGGUUCAAAUUCCAGUAUGACAAGGCCCAAACUCAGAGAUUACAAGGUUCAAACUGAUAUUAGAGGUCAAAUUCAUCUUCUUCAGAAUCUUUGUCAUGCACUAUUUCUACAAAGGGAUCAGCCAUAGAAUGACUUCUGAAUACUCUGUCAUUUGAAUUUCCAAAAUGAAAUCCAGCUUGUGCAGAGCAUUUUCCAUUCAGCCGGAGGCGCCUGCGCUGAUCAUCAAACCAUUCUUUUCUGUGCACCAAAUAUAGGGCAAACCUCAUUACCUUCAGCACACUUGCUUUUUGAACAAAGAACUUGGCGAAUUUAAUCUCUUGUGUGGUGCCUCGGUACUCGUUCGGGCGUGCUUGUAUCUGCAAACGAAGACAACACAUUAGUGCCUAGAUGCAGUGUUUAACACUAUGGUCCUAUUUGAUUUGCUGGAUUUCUAGAAUACACGAAUAGACUGACAUGCCAUCUUCAGUUGUUAAUGGUUAACAUCUAAAAAAAUAUGUAUUGAAAUGCUCCAAAAUUCCUUUAGAAAUCAUAGUACAUUUGUCAUUGUAAUCAUGCGUAAAAGUAACUCCAUUGUGGUUAUUAAUUAACAUGAAAUGAGCAUCACCUCGAUGUAUAGCUUCUCCAUGCAUGGAAAGCAUCUGAGGAAUCUAACAACUUGAUCCAGAUGGGGCUGAUAGAUUGCAGUGCCAAGAUCUUCACUAUGCGCUGAGACGGGGUCAUGCUUGUGGGAUUCAUUUUCUGGAUGACAGCCGAACAUAGAUCAACAAAAUUAGAUACAAUGUGAUGUAUAAUAAGGAGAAGAAGAAGACUUUUGUACCUGAAUGGAUAUGGAAUUCAGCAAAGGAAUAGCCUAACAAUGGCCAUGAUUCUUGUUGGACCUUCUUUAUCAAGCGCAAACAAUCUUUCAAGGAAAGGCGCAUUCUCAAUGACCAUAAAAUGAAACACCUCAACUAACCGUCUGUUGCGGCACCAGCAAUGCACAUAAAUCAUACGUACAUUCGUCGAGGGGACGUGGAGGCUACUGAACCCAUCCAUCACCUGAAGAAGAAGGAACUCGAGCGCAGUACAGCCGAGGAGCAGGCGCUCCAUAUCCUCCUUCGAGAUGCUGACGCCCAGGAGCUCGAGGUGCUUCAGUUUAGGGAGAUGAAGAGUAGGCUUGACAUUAAUCUUGGGGAAAAAGCACUUCAUGAACCUAGCGCGACGCAGCGUGGGCGCGAGGUAGAGCGCCGACGGCGGCAACGAGCGCAGAUGCCCAGCUUGAAAUCUCAGCUCCUCGAGCUGAUCUAGGGACGGGGAUUGGAACCACUCGUGAAACUUGGGUUCAACCUUGUAGUUGAAACGGAACUUGCCGAUGGCAAGGUGUCUCAUUGGCCUAGGGUGCUGAUAACGCACCAGUAUAGGGGAUCACAACAGUUUUUGAGGGUAGAGUAUUCAACCCAAAUUUAUUGAUUCGACACAAGGGGAGCCAAAGAAUAUUUGCAAGUAUUAGCAAUUCAACCACACCUGGAGAACUAAAUAUCUACAACAAAGUGAUUGGUAGCACAGUAGUAUGAUAGUUUGAUAGCAGUGGUUACAAUAGCAUCAAUAAUGAUAACAAUAACAGUACCAGUUUUUAUAGUGAUUGUAACAUCAGCAACAGCAGUAGUGAGUUAGCAAAGAUCAAUAUGUGAAAAGUUGUGGAUAAUUAUGUUGGAUGGCAUUCAUCAUGUAACAGUUAUAACCUAGGGAGACACCGAACUAGAUCCAAUUCAUCAAUGUAAUGUAGGCAUGUAUUUCACAAAAAGUCAUACAUGCUUGCGAUAAGAACUUGCAUGACAUCUUUUGUCCUACCCUCCCGUGGCAGCGGAGUCCAUAAGGAAACUAAGGGAUAUUAAGGCCUCCUUUUAACAGAGAACCGGAACAAAGCAUUAACACAUACUGAAUACAUGAACUCCUCAAACUAUGGUAAUCACCUGAAAGAAUCUUAAUUAUUGUCACCUCGGGGGCACGUGGAUCAUAACAUGUAAUAGGUGCGUCCAACUUGCAAGAUAGGAUGAAGAACACAAAUAUAUUCAUGAAAAUAUAAAGUGUUGAGAUCUGGAAUCAUGGCACUCGGGCCCUAGUGACAAGCAUUAAGCAUAGCAAAGUCAUAGCGACAUCAAUCUCGGAACAUAGUGGAUACUAGGGAUCAAGCCCUAACAAAACUAACUCACUUACAUGAUAAAUCUCAUCCAACCCAUCACCGUCCAGCAAGCCUAUGAAGGGAUUACUCACUCCCGGCAGUGAGCAUAAUGAAAUUGGUGAUGAAGAAGGUUUGGUGAUGAUGAUGGCGACGAAUCCCCCUCUUCGGAGCCCUGAACGGACUCCAGAUCUGGCCUCCCGAUGAAGAAUAGGAGGUGGUGGCGGCUCUGUAUCGUAAAACGCAAUGAAACUUCUUCUUCUCUUUUUUUCUCUGGAAAUAGGAAUUUAUACACUUGAGAUUAGGGUUAGCGGAGCCUCGUGGGAAGAAGGUGGGCCCCCUCCAGUGGGCCUUGGCUCUAGUAUUUUUUAUUUAUUCGAUAAAAACUCCAAAAAGUUUCGUCCAAUUCCGAAAACUUUUAUUUCUGCACAAAAACAACACAUGGUAGUUCUGCUGAAAAGAGUGCCAGUCCGGGUUAGUUUCAUUCAAAUCAUGCAAAUUAGAGUCCAAAACAAGAGCAUAAGUGUUUGGAAAAGUAGAUACGAUGAAGACGUAUCAGGUGCGUGGAGAGGAUGUGGGAGAACGUGUCCUAGCAUUUGCAAUCGCCGCGANNNNNNNNNNNNNNNNNNNNNNNNNNNNNNNNNNNNNNNNNNNNNNNNNNNNNNNNNNNNNNNNNNNNNNNNNNNNNNNNNNNNNNNNNNNNNNNNNNNNNNNNNNNNNNNNNNNNNNNNNNNNNNNNNNNNNNNNNNNNNNNNNNNNNNNNNNNNNNNNNNNNNNNNNNNNNNNNNNNNNNNNNNNNNNNNNNNNNNNNNNNNNNNNNCGCCACCGCCAGGAUUGGACGGUGGUCCGCACACCAGGUUUGAUGGGGAGGAGGGAUAAGAUGGUUACCAGCAUCUCGUCGGGGAGGUUGCUGAUGAAGUCCAGGCUUGCCGGAGGCUCUUCCGGUUCUGGCUCCACCCACCCCAGCUUGUUGACUGACUCAUCGUCCAUUGAAGCAGGCGGCGAUCCUCGGUGUCAACGCUUAUAGAUAAGAACAUAGUAGCAGGAGGAGCAUCGAAAACUGUUCUAUGUACCUCCCCAAGGAGGCCGAAGCUUAUGUGACAAGCCAGAGGAGAAGGCAGGUAAAUUAAGAGCCGUCCAUCCUCAAUCCGGCGGUUCAUAGUGCUUCAAAGAAGACGAGUAGGCAACAACACAGAGGGACCACAUUGUGAAUCCAAUGGCCAAGACUCUUUCAACACCGUUGACUAACUAUGCCUAUCCAAAGAUUAACAUAUUUUGUUUACAUUCGUUCAAAGGCUUUUUUACCACACUAAUACGGCCAUGCUAUGGUGCGUCGACACAACAAGAACUUAAUAUACGUUAAACUAAAACUUUAUGAAAAUGAUACAUUACAAUUUACCUAGUUUGCAUUGGUAACACAUGCUAUAUUUGAACAAGGUUCAAAUCACAAAAUAUAUACUUCUAAUUAUAGUAAAACUAGAAGGACGACACAACCAAAUCCAGUAGCAGAGCCUUUGAAGUCACCGGCCUGCCAAAUUGUCAUCGUCUUAUAGCACGAUGACUGCAUCAUUGACGGAGCCAGACCCAGAGCCCUCCGCGUCCUGGGUUGCAGGAGGCAAGGUCGCCGACGACCGCAACAUCCCAAGGGCCGAGAGCUCCAGCGGAUGCUCCACCGUUGCCUCCUCAUACACGGCGUCUUGGGAUGUAGGAUGCAGCGACGGAGUCAAAGCCACAGGCCGCGACUUCUACUAGUCGUAGUCGGUAGGAAUGGAAGCAAUAAAAAGCGGCGACCUCCUAUUGCGUCUCUUGCAGCCAACGCUGCUUCACCGCGUACGCCACCCACGCUUCCUCGUCCGCCCAGAGGGACUCGAAGGAGUAGUCCAUGGCAAGCUUGUAACAUCCCCAAUUUUCAAUUUGGAAUGUUUUACAAUUAUAGCUAAGGAUCUAUUGCAUUUUGUUUGAAAUGUGGUGGCAUUGGAAAUUUCAGAGGCAUUUGAAUUUCUGUUUGAAUUUGAAUUCACUUCAAACUGGCAUUUGAAUUUAUUUUCAACAAUUCCUGACAAAAUACUUUGAUCAACAAGUAUGAGAGGAGGUAACGUGACACCCCAAAAGUUAGAAGAAAAUAAUGCCAAAAGAAAUUAAAGUCAAAUUUGGUUUUAUUUGGAAUUAAAAGAAAUGUUUACAAAGUUUUUAUUUUAGCUCUUAAAAAUGUCCAUCUUUUAGGAUUUAUUUAUUUUGAUCUUUUUGAUAUAUAUUGUCUAUAUAAUUAUUUUUAUUUUUCUCUAUUUUUUCUGUCAGAAAUUCAAAAAAAAAGAGAAUACAUUUUUGCCAGCGCCCAGGCCGGCGCUAACCGCCAGCCAACCAACCUAGCCGGCCUCUUCGGUCCACGGCCCAGCCAGUGUCCGCGAAGCGGUACGCUGCGGUCGCCCACCGCCGACCCCUCUCGCCCGCUCACCUAUCUGGAUGACAUCGGGCCCCAUGUUGUCUUUCCUCCGCAAACCACGCGCUCGAGUCCCGCAGGCACUCAACAUCGGUGUCAAAAAUAACAGAUCUCGGGUAGGGGGUCCUGAGCUAUGGAUCUUGGAUCGAUGGGUAACAGGGAGCGUAGAGACAGUGUUUACCCAGGUUCUGGGCCUCGCGAAGAGGUAAAACCCUACGUCCUGCUUGAUUGUAUUGAUGUGUUUGUAUGACAAUUACAGUUUUGAUCUACCACGAGAUCAGAUGAACUAAACCCUAGGUGGGUAUGGCGAUAAUGGUUCGCCAUCCUAUGGUCUAAACCCUCUGGUUUAUAUAGACACCAUGGGUACCUAGGGUUACGUAUGGUCGGGCACCAUCAGGGGAUAAACAUGCCGGUUUCUCUAUCCUGACUUGGAGGAUACACCAAGUCUUCGGAGGCUUCCUUCCAGAACACGAAGUCGCCUAUAGUCCGUCCUUCCAAUGAUGGAUCGAGAGCGGCCCACCUGUCCGGCCCAUGAGAGAUAGGCCGGCAGCCCGAGGACCCCUUAGUCUGGGACACCCUCAGUAGCCCCCGAACUAGUCUUCGAAGCCGAGGUAUGUGAAGAAAUCCUCGGCUUUGUGGACCAGUUCCUCGCCUUCUGUGGUUGCUUUAAUCAUCUCUGGCCACACGUCCCCUAAGCCACGUCAUAGCUUCCGAAGUGUAUACGUAACUUAGCCCCGAAGUCCAGUUGCUUAAGUGUGAAUAGUAGCCCCAUCUGACAACUUUUGUUGAAGGGUCAUGAACCGCCAUAACCACGCCAGUUAUGAAAUCGAUUUCCGUUUUGAGGCGGUUUCUCUAUUGGAAUGUCCCACCAACACGGAGAUCGUGCCCUGUUUUUAAGGGAUAUGAUAAAUGAUUCGUGCUAUCCCACGCGUGCAUAAUGACACGAUUAUAUCAGGAAGUGGUGAGGUCUACGGUGCAGUAAAAGGGCUCUUGGCCUUACAGUAGCCCAUAAAAGGGGAGCGUCCACCAUUUCCUUCGUACACUCUCACUUCCUCCUGUGCCAUCGCUUUCCCAAUCUCUUGAGCUCCAACGCCCAGAUCCAUUCUCCCUCUCGAGAACCUCUCCGACCAUCUCAUCAAUCCGGCCAUGGCUAGCUCCAGGUCUAAGGGCAAGUGGGAGGCCUCCAUCGUUACUGAGAGUGCCAUCCAGGAGCUGAAGAACACGGGCUAUCUUCCUGCCAACGUGGCUCACCGCGUCCUGGAGGUAGGUCAGGUCAUCCCCACGCUAAGGCCAGGCGAGAGGAUGGUGUUCCUUCCUCACUUCAUCUGGCGACGGUUUUCCCCUCCACCCCUUCGUUAGGGGCCUAAUGUUUUUCUACGGGUUAGAUUUCCACGAUCUUGCCCCAAACUCUUUUUUGCACAUCUCGGCCUUCAUCAUCAUCUGCUAGGCCUUUCUUCGGGUCCGGCCACACUUCGGCCUAUGGCUGAAAGUCUUCAACGUCAAGCCAAAGANNNNNNNNNNNNNNNNNNNNNNNNNNNNNNNNNNNNNNNNNNNNNNNNNNNNNNNNNNNNNNNNNNNNNNNNNNNNNNNNNNNNNNNNNNNNNNNNNNNNNNNNNNNNNNNNNNNNNNNNNNNNNNNNNNNNNNNNNNNNNNNNNNNNNNNNNNNNNNNNNNNNNNNNNNNNNNNNNNNNNNNNNNNNNNNNNNNNNNNNNNNNNNNNNNNNNNNNNNNNNNNNNNNAGAUCUGGCAGAAGGAGUGGUUCUAUAUGAAGGAAAUAUGCCCUAGAGGCAAUAAUAAAGUUGUUAUUUAUAUUUCCUUAUAUCAUGAUAAAUGUUUAUUAUUCAUGCUAGAAUUGUAUUAACUGGAAACUUAGUACAUGUGUGAAUACAUAGACAAACAGAGUGUCACUAGUAUGCCUCUACUUGACUAGCUCGUUGAAUCAAAGACGGUUAAGUUUCCUAGCCAUAAACAUGAGUUGUCAUUUGAUUAAUGGGAUCACAUCAUUAGAGAAUGAUGUGAUUGACUUGACCCAUUCCGUUAGCUUAGCACUUGAUCGUUUAGUAUAUUGCUAUUGCUUUCUUCAUGACUUAUACAUGUUCCUGUGACUAUGAGAUUAUGCAACUCCCGAAUACCGGAGGAACAACUUGUGUGCUAUCAAACGUCAGAAUGUAACUGGGUGAGUAUAAAGAUGCUCCACAGGUGUCUCCGAAGGUGUUUGUUGGGUUGGCAUAGAUCGAGAUUAGGAUUUGUCACUCCGAGUAUCAGAGAGGUAUCUCUGGGCCCUCUCGGUAAUGCACAUCACUAUAAGCCUUGCAAGCAAUGUAACUAAUGAGUUAGUUGCGGGAUGAUGCAUUACGCAAUGAGUAAAGAGACUUGCCGGUAACGAGAUUGAACUAGGUAUCGAGAUACCAACGAUCGAAUCUCGGGCAAGUAACAUACCGAUGACAAAGGGAACAACGUAUGUUGUUAUGCGGUUUGACCGAUAAAGAUCUUCAUAGAAUAUGUGGGAGCCAAUAUGAGCAUCCAGGUUCUGCUAUUGGUUAUUCACUGGAGAUGAGUCUCGGUCAUGUCUACAUAGUUCUCGAACCCGUAGAGUCCGCACGCUUAACGUGCGGUGACGAUCGGUAUUAUGAGUUUAUGAGUCUUGAUGUACCGAAGGUUGUUCGGAGUCUCGGAUGAGAUCAGGGACAUGACGAGGAGUCUCGAAAUGUUCGAGACAUAAAGAUUGAUAUAUUGGAAGGCUAUAUUCAUACAUCGGAAAGGUUCUGAGUGGUUCGGGUAUUUAUUGGAGUACCGGAGAGUUACGGGAAUUCGCCGGUGAGUAUAUGGGCCUUAUUGGGCUUUAGGGGAGACAAAGAGGGGCUGCCUAGGGCAGGCCGCCCCCCAAGGCCUAGUCCGAAUUGGACUAGGGGGAGGGGCGGCGCCCCCUCCUUCCUUCUCUCCUACUCCUACUACUUGGAAGGGGGGGAUCCUACUCCCGGUGGGAGUAGGACUCCCCGGGGCGCUCCAUAGUAGAGGGCCGGCCCUCCCCCUCCUCCACUCCUUUAUAUACGGGGGAGGCGGCACCCCAUAGUGACACAAGUUGAUCAUUGAUCUCUUAGCCGUGUGCGGUGCCCCCCUCCACCAUAAUCCACCUCGGUCAUAUCGUCAUAGUGCUUAGGUGAAGCCCUGCGUCGGUAGCUUCAUCAUCACCAUCAUCACGUCGUCCUGCUGACAAAGCUCUACCUCGAAGCUCUACUGGAUCGUGAGUUCGUGGGACGUCACUGAGCUGAACGUGUGCAGAUCGCGGAGGUGCCGUAUGUUCGGCACUAGGAUCGGUCGAUCGUGAAGACGUACGACUACAUCAACCACGUUGUCAUAACGCUUCCGCUUUCGGUCUACAAGGGUACGUGGACAACACCCUCCCCUCUUGUUUCUAUGCUUCACCAUGAUCUUGUGUGUGCGUAGGAAUUUUUUUGAAAUUACUACGUUGCCCUACAGUGGCAUCCGAGCCAGGUUUAUGCGUAGAUGUUAUACGCAGGAUAGAACACAAGUGAGUUGUGGGCGAUACUAGUCAUACUGCUUACCAGCAUGUCAUACUUUGAUUCGGCGGUAUUGUGGGAUGAAGCGGCCCAGACCGACAUUACGUGUACGCUUACGCGAGACUGGUUCUACCGACGUGCUUCGCACACAGGUAGCUGGUGGGUGUCAGUUUCUCCAACUUUAGUUGAAUCGAGUGUGGCUAUGCCCGGUCCUUGUUGAAGGUUAAAACAGCACAUACUUGACGAAAUAUCGUUGUGGUUUUGAUGCGUAGGUAAGAACGGUUCUUGCUCAGCCCGUAGCAGCCACGUAAAACUUGCAACAACAAAGUAGAGGACGUCUAACUUGUUUUUGCAGGGCAUGUUGUGAUGUGAUAUGGUUAAGACAUGAUGCUAAAUUUAUUGUAUGAGAUGAUCAUGUUUUGUAACGGAGUUAUCGGCAACUGGCAGGAGCCAUAUGGUUGUCGCUUUAUUGUAUGAAAUGCAAUUGCCAUGUAAUUGCUUUACUUUAUCACUAAGCGGUAGCGAUAGUCGUAGAAGCAAUAGUUGGCGAGACGAAAAUGAUACUACGAUGGAGAUAAAGGUGCCGUGCCGGUGACGAUGGUGAUCAUGACGGUGGUUUGGAGAUGGAGAUCAAAGGCACAAGAUGACGAUGGCCAUAUCAUAUCACUUAUAUUGAUUGCAUGUGAUGUUUAUCCAUUAUGCAUCUUAUUUUUCUUAGUUCGACGGUAGCAUUAUAAGAUGAUCUCUCACUAAAUUUCAAGGUACAAGUGUUCUCCCUGAGUAUGCACCGUUGCGACAGUUCUUCGUGCUGAGACACCUAGUGAUGAUCGGGUGUGAUAAGCUCUACGUUCACAUCCAACGGGUGCAAGCUAGUUUUGCACACGCAGAAUACUUGGGUUAAACUUGACGAGCCUAGCAUAUGCAGAUAUGGCCUCGGAACACUGGAGAACGAAAGGUCGAGCGUGAAUCAUAUAGAAGAUAUGAUCAAAAUAGUGAUGUUCACCAUUGAAAACUACUCCAUCUCACGUGAUGAUCGGACAUGGUUUAGUUGAUAUGGAUCACGUGAUCACUUAGAUGAUUAGAGGGAUGUCUAUCUAAGUGGGAGUUCUUAAGAAAUAUGAUUAAUUGAACUUUAAUUUAUCAUGAACUUAGUCCUGGUAGUAUUAGCAUAUCUAUGUUGUAGAUCAAUAGCUCGCGUUUAGCUCCCCUGUUUUAUUUUUGAUAUGUUCCGAGAGAAACUUAGUUGAAAGAUGUUAGUAGCAAUGAUGCGGAUUGGCUCCGUGAUCUGAGGAUUAUCCUCAUUGCUGCACAGAAGAAUUAUGUCCUUGAUGCACCGCUAGGUGACAGACCGAUUGCAGGAGAAAAUGCAGACGUUAUGAACGUUUGGCAAGCUCGAUAUGAUGACUACUUGAUAGUUUAGUGCACCAUGCUUUACGGCUUAGAACCGGGGCUUCAAAGACGUUUUUUUUGAAACGCCAUGGAGCAUAUGAGAUGUUCCAAGAGUUGAAAUUAGUAUUUCAGACUCAUGCUCAUGUCGAAAGGUAUGAGACCUUUGACAAGUACUUUGCAUACAAGAUGGAGGAGGAUAGCUCAGCUAGUGAGAAUGUGCUCAGAAUGUCUGAGUACUACAAUCACUUGAAUCAAGUGGGAGUUAAUCUUCCAGAUAAGAUAGUGAUUGACAGAGUUCUCUAGUCACUAUCACCAAGUUACUAGAACUUCAUGAUGAACUAUAAUAUGCAAGGGACAACGAAAACGAUUCCCAAGCUCUUCGUGAUGCUGAAAUCAACGAAGGUAGAAAUCAAGAAAAUCAUCAAGUGUUGAUGGUUGACAAGACCGCUAGUUUCAAGAAAAGGGCAAAGGGAAGAAGGGGAACUUCAAAAAGAACGGCAAGCAAGUUGCUGCUCCCGUGAAGAAGCCCAAAGCUAGACCCAAGCCUGAAACUGAGUGCUUCUACUGCAAAGGAAAUGGUCACUGGAAGUGGAACCGCCCUAGAUACUUGGUGGAUAAGAAGGAUGGCAAAGUGAACAAAGGUAUAUUGGAUAUACAUGUUAUUGAUGUGUACUUUACUAGUGUUUAUAGCAACCCCUCAGCAUUUGAUACUAGUUCAGUUGCUAAGAGUAGUAACUCGAAACGGGAGUUGCAGAUUGAACAGAAACUAGUUAAGGGCGAGGUGACGAUGUGUGUUGGAAGUAGUUCCAAGAUUGAUAUGAUCAUCAUCGCACACUCCCUAUACUUUCGGGAUUAGUGUUGAACCUAAAUAAGUGUUAUUUUGGUGUUUGCGUUGAGCAUGGAUAUGAUUCGAUCAUGUUUAUUGCAAUACGGUUAUCCAUUUAAGUUAGAGAAUAAUUGUUGUUCUGUUUACAUGAAUAAAACCUUCUAUGGUCAUACACCCAAUGAAAAUGGUUUGUUGGAUCUCGGUCGUAGUGAUACACAUAUUCAUAAUAUUGAAGCCAAAAGAUGCAAAGUUAAUAAUGAUAGUGCAACUUAUUUGUGGCACUGCCGUUUAGGUAAAGCGCAUGAAGAAACUCCAUGCUGAUGGGAUUUUGGAAUCACUUGAUUAUGAAUCACUUGAUGCUUGCGAACCAUGCCUUAUGGGCAAGAUGACUAAGACUCCGUUCUCCGGAACAAUGGAGCGAGCAACUGACUUAUUGGAAAUAAUACAUACUGAUGUAUGCGAUCCGAUGAGUGUUGAGGCUCGUGGCGGGUAUCGUUAUUUUCUGACCUUCACAGAUGAUUUGAGCAGAUAUGGGUAUAUCUACUUGAUGAAACAUAAGUCUGAAACAUUUGAAAAGUUCAUAUAAUUUCAGUGUGAAGUGGAAAAUCGUCCUAACAAGAAAAUAAAGUUUCUACGAUCUGAUUGUGGAGGAGAAUAUUUGAGUUACGAGUUUGGUCUUCAUUUCAAACAAUGUGGAAUAGUUCCGCAACUCACGCCACCUGGAACACCACAGCGUAAUGGUGUGUCCGAGCAUCGUAACCGUACUUUAUUAGAUAUGGUGCAAUCUAUGAUGUCUCUUACCGAUUUACCACUAUCGUUUUGGGGUUAUGCAUUAGAGACAGCUGCAUUCACGUUAAAUAGGGCACCACCUAAAUCCGUUGAGACGACACCAUAUGAACUGUGGUUUGGAAAGAAACCAAAGUUGUCGUUUCUUAAAGUUUGGGGUUGCGAUGCUUAUGUGAAAAAGUUUCAUCCUGAUAAGCUCAAACCCAAAUCGGAGAAAUGUGUCUUCAUAGGAUACCCAAAGGAGACAGUUGGGUACACCUUCUAUCACAGAUCCGAAGGUAAGACAUUCGUUGCUAAGAAUGGAUCCUUUCUAGAGAAAGGAGUUUCUCUCGAAAGAAGUGAGUGGGAGGGAAGUAGAACUUGAUGAGGUAACUGUACCUGCUCCCUUAUUGGAAAGUAAUUCAUCACAGAAAUCUAUUCCUGUGACUCCUACACCAAUUAGUGAGGAAGCUAAUGAUGAUGAUCAUGUAACUUCAGAUCAAGUUACUACCGAACCUCGUAGGUCAACCAAAGUGAGAUCCGCACCAGAGUGGUAUGGUAAUCCUGUUCUGGAGGUCAUGUUACUUGACCAUGACGAACCUACGAACUAUGAGGAAGCGAUGAUGAGCCCAGAUUCCACGAAAUGGCUUGAGGCCAUGAAAUCUGAGAUGGGAUCCAUGUAUGAGAACAAAGUGUGGACUUUGGUUGACUUGCCCGAUGAUCGGCAAGCCAUAGAAAAUAAAUGGAUCUUCAAGAGAAAGAUGGACGCUGAUAGUAGUGUUACUAUCUACAAAGCUAGACUUGUCGAAAAAUGUUUUGACAAAGUUCAAGGUGUUGACUACGAUGAGAUUUUCUCACUCGUAGCGAUGCUUAAGUCUGUCCAAAUCAUGUUAGCAAAUUGCCACAUUUUAUGAAAUCUGGCAAAUGGAUGUCAAAACUACAUUCCUUGAAGGAUUUCUUAAAGAAGAGUUGUAUAUGAUGCAACCAGAAGGAUUUGUCGAUCCUAAAGGUGCUAACAAAAUGUGCAAGCUCCAGCGAUCCAUCUAUGGACUGGUGCAAGCAUCUCGGAGUUGGAAUAUACGCUUUGAUGAGUUGAUCAAAGCAUAUAGUUUUAUACAGACUUGCGGAGAAGCCUGUAUUUACAAGAAUGUCAGUGGGAGCACUACAACAUUUCUGAUAAAUAUGUGAAUGACAUGUUGUUGAUCGGAAAUAAUGUAGAAUUUUCUGGAAAGCAUGAAGGAGUAUUUGAAAGGAGUUUUUUCAAAGAAAGACCUCGGUGAAGCUGCUUACAUAUAGAGCAUCAAGAUCUAUACAGAUAGAUAAAGACGCUUGAUAAGUUUCUUCAAUGAGUACAUACCUUGACAAGAUUUUUAAGUAGUUCAAAAUGGAACAGUCAAAGAAAGAGUUCUUGCCUGUGUUACAAGGUGUGAAAUUGAGUAAGACUGAAAGCCCGACCACGAUAGAAGAUAGAAAGAGAAUGAAAGUCAUUCCCUAUGCCUCAGCCAUAGGUUCUAUAAAGUAUGCCAUGAUGUGUACCAGAUCUAUUGUAUAACCUACACUGAGAUUGGCAAGGGAGUACAAUAGUGAUCUAGGAGUAGAGCACUGAACAGCGGUCAAAAUUAUCCUUAGUGGAAUCAGGAUAUGUUUCUCGAUUAUGGAGGUGACAAAAGGUUCGUCGUAAAGGGUUACGUCGAUGCAAGUUUUGACAUUGAUCCAGAUGACUCUAAGUCUCAAUCUAGAUACAUAUUGAAAGUGGGAGCAAUAAGCUAAAGCAGCUCCGUGCAGAGCAUUGUAGACAUAGAAAUUUGCAAAAUACAUAUGGAUCUGAAUUUGGCAGACCCGUUGACUAAACUUCUCUCACAAGCAAAACAUGAUCACACCUUAGUACUCUUUGGGUGUUAAUCACAUGGCGAUGUGAACUAGAUUACUGACUCUAGUAAACCCUUUGAGUGUUGGCCAGAUGGCGAUGUGAACUAUGGAUAUUAAUCACAUGGUGAUGUGAACUAUUGGUGUUAAAUCACAAGGCGAUGUGCACUAGAUUCUUGACUCUAGUGCAAGUGGGAGACUGAAGGAAAUAUGCCCUAGAGGCAAUAAUAAAUUUGUUAUUUAUAUUUCCUUCUAUCAUGAUAAAUUUUUAUUAUUCAUGCUAGAAUUAUAUUAACCAGAAACUUAGUACAUGUGUGAAUACAUAGACAAACAGAGUGUCACUAGUAUGCCUCUACUUUACUAGCUCGUGAUGGUUAUGUUUCCUAGCCAUAGACAUGAGUUGUCAUUUCAUUAACGGGAUCACAUCAUUAGAGAAUGAUGUGAUUGACUUGACCCAUUCCGAAGCUUAGCACUUGAUCGUUUAGUAUAUUGCUAUUGCUUUCUUCAUGACUUAUACAUGUUCCUAUGACUAUGAGAUUAUGCAACUCCCGAAUACCGGAGGAACACCUUGUGUGCUAUCAAACGUCACAACAUAACUGGGUGAUUAUAAAGAUGCUCUAUAGGUGUCUCCGAAGGUGUUUGUUGGGUUGGCAUAGAUCGAGAUUAGGAUUUGUCACUCCGAGUAUCGGAGAGGUAUCUCUGGGCCCUCUCGGUAAUGCACAUCACUAUAAGCCUUGCAAGCAAUGUAACUAAUGAGUUAGUUGCAGGAUGAUGCAUUACGCAACGAGUAAAGAGACUUGCCGGUAACGAGAUUGAACUAGGUAUUGAGAUACCAACGAUCGAAUCUCGGGCAAGUACAUACCGAUGACAAAGGGAACAACGUAUGUUGUUAUGCGGUUUGACCGAUAAAGAUCUUCGUAGAAUAUGUGGGAGCCAAUAUGAGCAUCCAGGUUCCGCUAUUGGUUAUUGACUGGAGAUGAGUCUCGGUCAUGUCUACAUAGUUCUCGAACCCGUAGGGUCCGCACGCUUAACGUUCGGUGACGAUCGGUAUUAUGAGUUUAUGUGUCUUGAUGUACCGAAGGUUGUUCGGAGUCCCGGAUGAGAUCAGGGACAUGACGAGGAGUCUCGAAAUGUUCGAGAUGUAAAUAUCGAUAUAUUGCAAGGCUAUAUUCGGACAUCAAAAAGGUUCUGAGUGGUUCGGGUAUUUAUCGGAGUACCGGAGAGUUACGGGAAUUCGCCGGGGAAUAUAUGGGCCUUAUUGGGCAUUAGGGGAGAGAGAGGGUCUGCCUAGGGCAGGCCGCGCGCCCCCCAAUGCCUAUUCCGAAUUGGACUAGGUGGAGGGGCGGCGCCCCCUCCUUCCUUCUCUCCUACUCCUACUACUUGGAAAGGGGGAAUCCUACUCCCGGUGGGAGUAGGACUCCCCAGGGCACGCCAUAGUAGAGGGCCGGCCCUCCCCCUCCUCCACUCCUUUAUAUACGGGGGAGGGGGGCACCCCAUAGUGACACAAGUUGAUCAUUGAUCUCUUAGCCGUGUGCGGUGCCCCCCUCCACCAUAAUCCACCUCGGUCAUAUCGUCGUAGUGCUUAGGCGAAGCCCUGCGCCGGUAGCUUCAUCAUCACCGUCAUCACGCCAUCGUGCUGACGAAGCUCUCCCUCGAAGCUCUACUAGAUCAUGAGUUUGUGGGACGUCACCGAGCUGAACGUGUGCAGAUCGCGGAGGUGCCGUACGUUCGGUACUAGGAUCAGUCGAUCGUGAAGAUGUACGACUACAUCAACCGCGUUGUCAUAACGCUUCCGCUUUCGGUCUAUGAGGGUACAUGGACAACACUCUCCCCUCUCGUUGCUAUGCUUCACCAUGAUCUUGCAUGUGCGUAGGAAUUUUUUUGAAAUUACUACGUUCCCCUACACUAUAUCACAGAGCCACGAGGCACAGAUUGUGCGGCGAUUCCCGCCUUUAGAUCCGGACCCCCCACGAGGCUAGUCUCGCGGACCAAAAAAGGCCUCGACUCUGGGUCAACCAAGGAGGUGGCGUCCCUGCAGAGCCAGAUAUCCCAGACGAUAUAGCGGAAGGUCGAAUUGCCCAGCGUGAUUCGGAUCAUGCUCCACCGCCGCAUCCUACCCCUUUAAAGACGGGGCGCCCACAUGUGGUCCGACAAGCCCGAAAACCCUGCCACCGUGCUCAGAUUCUACCACACUUCCCACGCCAAGCUGUGGAAGGUGCUGAUGACCCACAAGUAUAGGGAAUCUAUCGUAGUCCUUUCGAUAAGUAAGAGUGUCGAACCCAACGAGGAGCAGAAGGAAAAGACAAGCAGUUUUCAGUAAGGUAUUUUCUGCAAGCACUGAAAUUAUCGGUAACAGAUAGUUUUGUGAUAAGGUAAUUCGUAACGGGUAACAAGUAACAAAAGUAAACAAGGUGUAGCAAGGUGGCCCAAUCCUUAUUGUAGCAAAGGACAAGCUUGGAUAAACUCUUAUAUAAAGGAAAGCGCUCCCGAGAACACAUGGGAAUUAUCGUCAAGCUAGUUUUCAUCAUGCUCGUAUGAUUUGCGUUCGUUACUUUCAUAAUUUGAUAUGUGGGUGGACCGGUGCUUGGGUACUGCCCUUCCUUGGACAAGCAUCCCACUUAUGAUUAACCCCCUCGCAAGCAUCUGCAACUACGAAAGAAGAAUUAAGGUAAACCUAACCAUAGCAUGAAACACAUGGAUCCAAAUCAUCCCCUUACGAAGCAACGCAUAAACUAGGGUUUAUUCUUCUGUCACUCUAGCAACCCAUCAUCUACUUAUUACUUCCCAAUGCCUUCCCCUAGGCCCAAACAAUGGUGAAGUGUCAUGUAGUCGACGUUCACAUAACACCACUAGAGGAAAGACAACAUACAUCUCAUCAAAAUAUCGAACGAAUACCAAAUUCACAUGACUACUUAUAACAAGACUUCUUCCAUGUCCUCAGGAACAAACGUAACCACUCACAAAUCAUAUUCAUGUUCAUUAUCAGAGGGGUAUUAAUGUGCAUAAAGGAUCUGAACAUAUAAUCUUCCACCGAAUAAACCAACUAGCAUCUACUACAAGGAGUAAUCAACACUACUAGCAACCCACAUGUACCAAUCUGAGGUCUUGAGGCAAAUAUCGGAUACAAGAGAUGAACUAGGGUUUGAGAGGAGAUGGUGCUGGUGAAGAUGUUGAUGGAGAUUGACCCCCUCUCGAUGAGAGGAUCGAUGGUGAUGACGAUGGUGACGAUUUCCCCCUCCCGGAGGGAUGUUUCCCCGGCAGAACAGCUCCGCCAGAGCCCUAGAUUGGUUCCGCCAAGGUUCCACCUCGAGACGGCGGAGCUUCGUCCUGAAAGCUUCCUUGUGAUUUUUUCCAGGGAAAAAGACACCUUAUACUAGAAGAUGGGCAUCGGGGGGCUUCCAGGUGGCACACGAGGCAGGGGCGCGCCCAGGGGGUAGGGCGCGCCCUCCACCCUCGUGGACAGUGGGUGGCCCCCCUCUGGUGCUUUCUUCGCCCAGUAUUUCUAAUAUAUUCCAAAACUGACUUUCAUGGAGUUUCAGGACUUUGGAGUUGUGCAGAAUAGGUCUCUAAUAUUUGCUCCUUUUCCAGCCCAGGAUUCCAGCUACUGGCAUUCUCCCUCUUCAUGUAAACCUUGUAAAAUAAGAGACAAAGGCAUAAGUAUUGUGACAUAAUGUGUAAUAACAGCCCAUAAUGCAGUAAAUAUCGAUAUAAAAGCAUGAUGCAAAAUGGACGUAUCAACUCCCCCAAGCUUAGACCUCGCUUGUCCUCAAGCGGAAGCCGAUAUCGAAAAAUAUGUCCACAUGUUUAGAGAUAGAGGCGUCGAUAAAAUAAAAUAUGGACAUGAGGGCAUCAUGAUCAUUCUAAGAAUAGCAACAUAUAUAUUGUCAUAUGAUUUCUUAUGCUGAAGUAACAAUCUAUUCACAAUGUAAAGUAUGAAUCGGAAACUUCAUUGAAAAACUAGCAAACUAUAAUCUCAGUCAUUGAAGCAAUUGCAAUUUAUUAUAACAUCGGUAAGAGUCAAUAUAAGAGCUUUUUAGUAAGUCCACAUACUCAACUAUCAUUUAUACUCUCACAAUUGCUAACACUCACGCAAUACUUAUGGGUAUGAAGUUUUAAUCGGACAUAGAGAAAGAUAAGGGCUUAUAGUUUUUCCUCCCAACCUUUUACCUCAAGGGUAAUGUCAACAAUAAUGCUUUAUGAAAACCCACAUCCAAUUGGAUAUAUAUAUCAGGAUCUCUCCAACACAUAGUGCUUGCCAAAGGAUAAAGUGUAAAAAGGAAAGGUAAAGAUCACCAUGACUCUUGUAUAAGGUAUAAGACAAAAAUAAAAGAUAGGCCCUUCGCAGAGGGAAGCAGAGGUUGUCAUGUGCUUUUAUGGUUGGAUGCACAAAAUCUUAAUGCAAAAGAACGUCACUUCAUAUUGCCACUUGUGAUAGGGACCUUUAUUAUGCAGUCCGUUGCUUUUAUUUCUUCCAUAUCACAAGCUCGUAUAUAUUUUCUCCACACUAAUAGAUCAUACAUAUUUAGAGAGCAAUUUUAUUGCUUGCAACAAUGACAACUUACUUGAAGGAUCUUAUUCAAUCCAUAGGUAGAUAUGGUGGACUCUCAUGGCAAAACUGGGUUUAAGGAUAUUUGGAUGCACAAGUACUAUCUCUACUUGGUGCAAAGAAUUUGGCUAGCAUGAGGGGGAAAGGCAAGCUCAACAUGUUGGAUGAUCCAUGACAAUAUAAUUUAUUUCGGAUAUAAGAAAACAUAACCCAUUACGUUGUCUUCCUUGUCCAACAUCAACUUUUUAGUAUGUCAUAUUUUAAUCAGUGCUCACAAUCAUAAAAGAUGUCCAAGAUAGUAUAUUUAUAUGUGGAAACCUCUCUUUCUUUAUUACUUCCUAUUAAUUGCAACGAUGACCAAAACUAUGUUUGUCAACUCUCAACAACUUUUAUUCCUCAUACUCUAUAUGUGAAGUCAUUACUCCCCAUAAGAUCAAUAUGAUCUCUUUAUUUCUUUUUAUUCUCUCUUUUUUCUUUUAUUCCCUCAAGAUCAUAGCAACAUAACCAAGCCCUCGACUCAAGACUAAUCUUUAUAUAUAUAGCUCACGGACUCGAUUACAUAGAUAAGGAUCAACACAAAAACUCAAAUCUAGAUCAUACUAAACUUUAUUCUACUAGAUCAAGAUAUAACCAAAAGGAUCGAACUAAGAAAAACAGUGAAGAUUGAAGUGUGAUGGUGAUACGAUACCGAGGCACCUCCCCCAAGCUUGGCAGUUGCCAAGGGGAGUGCCCAUACCCAUGUGUUUAUGUCUCUUUCUUCGGAGGUAGUGAUGUGAUAUUUUUGGCAAUGAUGCCCCUUAGGAUACGGUUCUCUUCCUCAAGCUCAUUGACUUGCUGCUUAAGAUCCAUUGUUUCCUUCUGGAGUUUACCCGCGACGGCUAAAGCUUCUUUCGCCCAUGGAUGUUGCAUAGCUGCGGGAGAACAAGUAACACUCUUUUUCAUAUUUUCAUAAGAAAGAAAUCUAGCAUUGGGAGGGAUGACCGAAUUUGGAAUUGCUGAGCUCUGGAGUUCCUCCAUCAUAAAUCUGGCUUGGAGACGAGAGGUAACUUAUUGAUCUUCCUCCAUGGCAUCUAUCCUUUUCAAGUCGGCCUCCAUAUCUUCCUCAGUUGAUGGUCCAAAGCUAUCGGCAUUGCUGUUUGCUUUUGGCCACGGUGUCGGGUGAGAUACCCGGCUCUCCCCGACUGACUCUUGAGAAGACAUGUUGAUCUAAUAUGCGGCAGAAACAACUAAGAACAAAAACAGAGGAUUUUGUCGUGGUACGGUGGUCAAAAUCAUCGGGAGAUUAUAUAAUGAUUUUUUACCAACCAAAAGAAAUAUCGUGCAAGAAAACAGAGUCCGGUGGGCACACGAGGUGCCCACGAGGCAGGGGGCGCGCCCUCCACCCUCGUGGAUGCCUCGUGUCCCUUUCAGACUACUUUUUAUUUUCCUAUUUUUUUAAACAUUCCAAAACGGAGAAAAACUGCUAUUAGAAUUGUUUUGGAGUCGGUUUACUUACCGUACCACAUACCUAUUCCUUUUCGGAUUCUGAAACAUUCUGGAAAAUGUCCCUUAUGUACUCCUCCGGGGUUACGGUGUCAAUAACAUUGGUUUCAACAUUUAUGGGAUUACCUGAGAUAUAAUGUUUGAUUCUUUGACCGUUCACCACCUUCGGAUUUGUGCCUUCGAAGUUGUUGAUUUUUAUGGCACCGGAACGAUAGACCUCCUCGAUAACGUAAGGACCUUCCCAUUUAGAGAGGAGUUUUCCUGCAAAAAAUCUUAAACGAGAGUUGUAUAACAGAACAUAAUCACCUACAUUAAACUCACACUUUUGUAUCCUUUUGUCAUGCCAUAUUUUAACUUUUUCUUUAGACAGUUUAGCAUUCUCAUGGGCCUGGGUUCUCCACUCAUCAAGUGAGCUAAUGUCAAAUAUUCUCUUCUCACCGGCAAGUUUGAAAUCAUAAUUGCGCUCUUUAAUGGCCCAAUAUGCCUUAUGUUCUAGUUCGAGAGGUAAGUGGCAUGCUUUUCCAUAAACCAUUUUAUACGGAGACAUACCCAUAGGAUUUUUAUAUGCAGUUCUAUAGGCCCAUAAUGCAUCAUCAAGUUUCUUGGACCAAUUCUUUCUAGAUAUCUUUUUCAAAAUUAAUUUAAUCUCUCUAUCACCCAGUUCUACUUGACCACUAGACUGUGGGUGGUAUGGAGAUGCAAUUAUAUGAUUAACAUCAUACUUAGCAAGCAUUUUACGAGAAGCACCAUGAAAAACAAUGUGAACAACCAUCAGUUAUUAAGUAUCUAGGGACUCCAAACCUCGGAAAAAUAACUUCUUUAAGCAUCUUAAUAGAGGUGUUAUGAUCAUCACUACUAGUUGGAAUAGCUUCUACCCACUUAGUAACGUAAUUAACAGCAACUAAAAUAUGUGUAUACCCAUUAGAGGAAGGAAACGAUCCCAUAUAAUCAAAGCCCCAAACAUCAAAUGGUUCAAUAACAAGUGAAUAGUUCAUAGGCAUUUCUUGACGUCUACUAAUAUUACCAAUUCUUUGACAUUCAUCACAAGACAAGACAAACUUACGGGCAUCUUUGAAAAGAGUAGGCCAAUAAAAACCGGAUGUAAUACCUUAUGUGCAGUUCUAUCUCCAGCGUGGUGUCCUCCAUAAGCUUCGGAGUGACACUUGCGUAGGAUCUGUUCCUGUUCAUGCUCAGGUACACAACGUCUAAUAACACCAUCUACUCCUUCUUUAUAAAGGUGUGGGUCAUCCCAGAAGUAAUGUCUCAAAUCAUAGAAAAACUUUUUCUUUUGCUGGUAUGUGAAACUAGGUGGUAUAAAUUUAGCAACAAUGUAAUUAGCAUAAUCAGCAUACCAUGGAGCAGUACGAGAAGCAUUUAUGACAGCUAAUUGUUCAUCAGGAAAACUAUCAUCAAUAGGGAGUGGGUCAUCAAGAACAUUUUCUAACCUAGACAAGUUGUCUGCAACGGGGUUCUCAGCUCCCUUCCUAUCAAUAAUAUGCAAAUCAAAUUCUUGUAUUAAGAGAACCCAUCUAAUAAGUCUAGGUUUAGCAUCUUUCUUUUCCAUAAGGUAUUUAAUAGCAGCAUGAUCAGUGUGAACAGUUACUUUAGAAUCAACAAUAUAAGGUCUGAACUUAUCACAAGCAAAUACAACUGCUAAAAAAUUCUUUUUAAGUAGUAGCAUAAAUUCUCUGGGCACUGUCUAAAGUUUUACUGGCAUAUUGGAUAACAUUUAAUUUCUUAUCAACUCUUUGUCCUAGAACAGCACCUACAACAUAAUCACUAGCAUCACACAUAAUUUCAAAGGGUAAAUUCCAAUCAGGUGGCUGAACAAUAGGUGCAGAAAUCAAGGCUUUCUUAAGUAUUUCAAAUGCUUCUACACAAUCAUCAUCAAAGACAAAAGGAACAUCUUUUUGUAAGAGAUUAGUCAGAGGCCUAGAAAUUUUUUAGAAGUCUUUAAUGAACCUCCUAUAAAAACCGGCAUGACCAAGGAAACUUCUUAUACCUUUAAUGUCCUUAGGACACGACAUCUUUUCAAUAGCAUCAACUUUAGCUUUAUCAACUUCAAUACCUCUUUCAGAAAUUUUAUGCCACAAGACAAUACCUUCAUUAACCAUAAAGUGGCACUUCUCCCAAUUCAAGACAAGAUUAGUUUCUUCACAUCUCUGCAAAACUCGAUCAAGGUUGCUUAAGCAAUCAUCAAAAGAAGUUCCAUACAUGGAGAAAUCAUCCAUGAAAACCUCAACAAUCUUUUCACAAAAGUUAGAGAAUAUAGCAGUCAUACAUCUUUGAAAGGUAGCAGGUGCAUUACAUAAACCAAAAGGCAUACGUCUAUAAGCAAAGGUACCGAAAGGCAAGUAAAAGUGGUCUUUUCCUAAUCCUCUUUCGACACAGGUAUUUGAGAGAAACCAGAAUAACCUUCUAGAAAGCAAAAAUGUGUAUGUUGGGAUAAUCUUUCUACCAUUCGACCAAUAAAAGGUAAAGGGUAAUGAUCCUUUCUAGUAGCUUUAUUUAAUUUGCAGAAAUCAAUUACCAUUCUAUAACCUGUAACAAUUCUUUGUGGGAUCAAUUCGUCUUUAUCAUUAGGAACAACAGUAAUAACUCCCUUCUUAGGGACACAAUGGACAGGACUUACCCACUGACUAUCAGAAACAUGAUAAAUUAUACCUGCCUCCAGAAGCUUUAGUAUUUCAUUUCUUACCACUUCUUUCAUCAUAGGAUUUAACCGUCGUUGGUGAUCAACAACCAGUUUAGCGUCUUUCUCCAAUUUUAUUUUGUGCUGGCAUAGAGUGGGACUAAUGCCCUUAAGAUCGUCAAGAGUACAUCCAAUAGCAGCACGGUGCUUCUUCAGAGUUUUCAAUAAUUUCUCUUCUUCCUGCUCUGAAAGGUUAGCACUAAUAAUAACAGGAUAUAUCUUCUUUUCAUCAAGAUAAGCAUAUUUAAGAGUAUCAGGUAAUGGUUUAAGCUCAAACACGGGAUUACCCUUGGGUGGAGGAGGAUCCCCUAGAAUUUCAACAGGCAAGUUGUGUUUCAAAAUAGGUCCCUGUUUAAAGAAUACGUCAUCUAUUUCCCUUCUUUCAUUCAUAAACAUAUCAUUUUCAUGGUCUAGCAAAUAUUGUUCUAAAGGAUCAUUAGGAGGCACGGUAAUAGAAACAAGACCAAUAAUUUCUUUACUAGGCAAUUCUGUAUCAUGGGGUUGUCUAUGAAAUUUAGCAAAAUUAAAAUGAUGAGACAUAUCCCCUAAACCAACAGUAACAAUAUCCUUUUCGCAGUCUAUCUUAGCAUUAACAGUAUUCAAGAAGGGUCUACCAAAUAUAAUGGGACAAAAGUCAUCUUGUGGGGAAGCAAGAAUAAGAAAAUCAGUAGGAUAUUUAAUUUUCCCACACAAGACUUCAACAUCUCUAACAAUCCCAACUGGUGAAAUAGUAUCUCUAUUGGCAAGCUUAAUAGUAACAUCAAUAUCUUCUAUCUCAGCAGGUGCAAUAUCAUGCAUAAUUUCUUUAUAUAAAGUAUAAGGUAUUGCACUGACACUAGCACCCAUAUCACAUAAGCCAUGAUAACAGUGAUCUCCUAUUUUAACAGAAACAACAGGCAUGCCAACAACAGGUCUAUGUUUAUUUUUAGUAUCGGGUCUAGCAAUUCUAGCAGCUUCAUCACAGAAGUAAAUAACAUGCCCAUCAAUAUUAUCGACCAAGAGAUCCUUAACCAUAGCAAUACUAGGUUCAACUUUAAUUUGCUCAGAGGGUGUAGGUGUUCUAGCAUUACUCUUAUGAACCACAUUUGAAGCUUUAGCAUGACCCUUUAUUCUAAUAGGGAAAGGUGGUUUCUCAAUAUAAGCGGUAGGAACAAUAGGAUCAACAUUAUAAGUGAUAGUCUUUUCUUCAACUUUAAUAGGUUCAACCACUUUUACUUCCAUGGGAGGAUGAUAUUCAAACCACUUCUCCUUAGGGAGAUCAACAUGAAUAGCAAAUGAUUCACAGAAAGAAGCUACUAUCUCAGAGUCAAGUCCAUAUUUAGUGCUAAAUUCACGAAAAGCAUCGGUAUCCAUAAAAGAUUUAACACAAUCAAACUUAGGUGUUAUACCUGACUCCUUACCUUCGUCGAGUUCCCCAUCUUCAGAUUUGCGUUUAAUUCUUUCCAAUAAAUCCCAUCUGAAUUCAAUAGUCUUCAUCAUAAAAGAACCAGUAAAAGAAGUAUCGAGCAUGGAGCGAUUAUUGAGAGAAAGCCGAGCAUAAAUUUUUUGAAUAAUAAUUUCUCUUGAGAGCUCAUGAUUGGGGCAUGAAUAUAACACUGACUUAAGCCUCCCCCAAGCUCGAGCGAUACUUUCUCCUUCGCGAGUCCAAAAAUUAUAUAUAUACAUAUAUAUAUAAUUACGAUCACGAUGGACCAGAUGCAUAGGAUAAAACUUCUGAUGAAAUUCCAAUUUCAAUCGGUUCAGUAGGUUGAGGAGCAACUCUUUGAUCUACUGGUCGGGGUGAAGAUACCCCGAACAAGUCCCUCAAAGGAUUAUUUUCCAUAGUAACAAGUGACAGUAAAUUUCAGCACACUAUAUAAAAUUUUCCUUACCAAAUUCCACCUACCAAAGGCGCUUCACUCCACGACAAUGGCGCCAGAAAAGAGUCUUGAUGACCCACAAGUAUAGGGGAUUUAUUGUAGUCCUUUUGAUAAGUAAGAGUGUCAAACCCAACGAGGAGCAGAAGGAAAUGACAAGCAGUUUUCAGUAAGGUAUUCUCUGCAAGCACUGAAAUUAUCGGUAAUAGAUAGUUUUGUGAUAAGGUAAUUCGUAACGGGUAAAAAGUAACAAAAGUAAACAAGGUGCAGCAAAGUGGCCCAAUCCUUUUUGUAGCAAAGGACAAUCCUGGAAAAACUCUUAUAUAAAGGAAAGCGCUCCCGAGGACACAUGGGAAUUAUCGUCAAGCUAGUUUUCAUCAUGCUCAUAUGAUUCGCGUUCGUUACUUUGAUAAUUUGAUAUGUGGGUGGACUGGUUCUUGGGUACUGCCCUUCCUUGGACAAGCAUCCCACUUAUGAUUAACCCCCCUCGCAAGCAUCCGCAACUACGAAAGAAGAAUUAAGGUAAACCUAACCAUAGCAUGAAACAUAUGGAUCCAAAUCAUCCCCUUACGAAGCAACGCAUAAACUAGGGUUUAAGCUUCUGUCACUCUAGCAACCCAUCAUCUACUUAUUACUUCCCAAUGCCUUCCCCUAGGCCCAAACAAUGGUGAAGUGUCAUGUAGUCGACGUUCACAUAACACCACUAGAGGAAAGACAACAUACAUCUCAUCAAAAUAUCGAACGAAUACCAAAUUCACAUGACUACUUAUAACAAGACUUCUUCCAUGUCCUCAGGAACAAACAUAACCACUCACAAAUCAUAUUCAUGUUCAUUAUCAGAGGGGUAUUAAUGUGCAUAAAGGAUCUGAACAUAUAAUCUUCCACCGAAUAAACCAACUAGCAUCUACUACAAGGAGUAAUCAACACUACUAGCAACCCACAUGUACCAAUCUGAGGUCUUGAGGCAAAGAUCGGAUACAAGAGAUGAACUAGGGUUUGAGAGGAGAUGGUGCUGGUGAAGAUUUUGAGGGAGAUUGACCCCCUCCCGAUGAGAGGAUUGAUGGUGAUGACGCUGGUGACAUUUUGCCCCUCCUGGAGGGAUGUUUCCCCGGCAGAACGGAUCCGCUGGAGCCCUAGAUUGGUUCCGCCAAGGUUCCGCCUCGAGACGGCGGCGCUUCGUCCCGAAAGCUUCCAUGUGAUUGUUUCCAGGGCAAAAGACACCUUAUACCAAAAGAUGGGCAUCGGGGGGCUUCCUGGUGGCCCACGAGGCAGGGGCGCGCCCAGGGGGGUAGGGCGCGCUCUGCACCCUCGUGGACAGUGGGUGGCCCCCUCUGGUGCUUUCUUCGCCCAAUAUGUUUAAUAUAUUCCAAAACUGACUUACCUGGAGUUUUAGGACUUCUGGAGUUGUGCAGAAUAGGUCUCUAAUAUUUGCUCCUUUUCCAGCCCAGAAUUCCAGCUGUCGGCAUUCCCCCUCUUCGUGUAAACCUUGUAAAAUAAGAGAGAAAGGCAUAAUUAUUGUGACAUAAUCUCUAAUAACUGCCCAUAAUGCAAUAAAUAUCGAUAUAAAAGCAUGAUGCAAAAUGGACGUAUCAGGUGUUGUUCAAGCUUUAGAAGGACUGGCCGGCCGAGGAGGAAGACAUCGGCCUCCACACCGCAACCCUCCCUCGCGAGGUAUGAUAAGGUUUACUCUUAUUUCUACUGUAGGAUGCUGCUAAUGCGACACUACAAUCAAAGACCCUUCGACGAAACUGUGUGCGAUGCAUUAAUCGCAAACAGUGAUGUAAUAAAACCUUCAAAAAAGAUACAAAACAUUUGCGAUGGCGGAGACAUCAAACACGAUUCACAUUGUAGUUUCGUGUGCGAUGGGUGUCAUACACUUCACUCGUAUGAACUAUUUGUGAUGAGCAUAAUAGCAGAGAUGGUCAUAUAGGUGAAGGUGUGUGUGAUAUACAACAUACAGUUCACUCGAAUGAACUAUUUGUGAUUAGGCAACACAACAAAAACAGUCAGCCAGAUCAAGGUGUGUGCGAUAUACGGCAUACAGUUCACUCGGAUGAACUGUUUGCGAUUAGCAAACACAACAGAAAUGGUUCGACAUAACAAUAUGUGUGUGAUACGCGGCAAAUAGGUCAGUAAUCAGAAAUGCGUGGGAAGACUGAUAACAACACAGAUGAUUCCUAUUAACAAGCCGUGUGUGUUGUGAGCAAACGAUUGCUUGUAUACAAUUGUGAGUGAUUGAUGAAAUCAUCACCGACGGGUUCCAUUAUUUAGUCCGUGUGCGACGUGACUUGCUCUGUCUACAGAACAUCAACAUAUAUACUUAUAAGAACAGCAUUGCAUAACCAAGUUAAUCAUAUAAUUACAUAAGUGACUACACACAUAACAUUUCCACACACCAAAGUAAGCAAUUACAUGCAUACUAAGCAAGGAGAAACGAGCAUCCAAUCAUCUAUAUCUUGUUGUGAUGACACUUUCCAUUGCUCUGCUUCCGGCUGGAUCCUUGGCCGUUUUGGGGAAGGAGGCACUUCCUCAUUUCAACAAUCCGCCUAUACAUCUCGUAGCUCGUGUACGCCUCCUUGGCCGCGUACAUGAUGUGAGCUUUGUCGAGUUUCUCCAUCCAGGCCGAGUGCCAAGCACACGUUGUCCUUGUUGCAGGAACCCUUCAUGGCUCUGUAGUAGGGGUCGAUGAUGGCUUCGGCGAGGUGAACCAGUGAGUCCUUCUCAUGCUUCUUGCUGCCCCAGAUUUUUGUAUUGGCCCUGGAUGUCGACAAGAUUCUGGCAGGCGAUGCUCGAAUUCUUGAGCACCUUUACAUCGUUGGUGAUGUCCACCGUAGCGAACAUGUAGUGGGGGUUGUUGACAAACCUGGCAAAAUGCUCACAAGGCCUUGUGGCCAGGCAGUAGUGGUAGAUGAGGACGUGACUGCACACGCACAUCUGGGCGACGACGACCUUCGGACGAGACCUAGCACGAGCACGGGUGUACUCAAGGUCGAACCCGACCACCUUGUACUUCUCCUCAGCAAGCAACAUCUCCAUGAUGUGGAUGGAGUGCUCCACCCAGACCGGGUUGUUGAUGUAGACCACCAAGAGGUCCAUGAACCUUUUGUGGGUGUCCACCACGGCAUGCAUGGUGAACCGUUGCUCAUCGUCGGCAGCCGCUCGGAGCGCCAUUGGAGCCGCGCAGGAUACCCUCUAAGAAUUUGUUGUGGUGGGUGUGCUUCUUGCAAUAUUGUGGCGCGAUCGAAAGGGUUUAAGAGACACAAGGGUUAAAUGGUCGCUGUAAUAAAUGGGGCCAGCCGGCCCAUAAUCACGACGUCUUGUCACCGCGUUCAUAUGAGGAUUCUAGUGCACGCUUGAGCACCCCACGUUUCGUUUGACCACGCGUGGGCUCGAAGAGGCGCCAAAUGUAUCGUUGGUGAGCCUGUUCCUACACAACCGCGCAGUUUACCGUGCGCAACCGCACAAGCUUCCCGCCCGCCUAGUUUGGCCACGCGUCGUCUAGAAGAGGGGCAAAUUGUGGGCAUUUAUUGGCAAAAAGGUUUGCAAAAAUGAAGCAUGUGGAAUGAAUUCGAUCAUAAGUUUACCCGUGGGUGAUGAGGUCAAAGUUACACAGAAGGGUGAUGAUGGACACUAGUGCGAUAAUUAAUUCUGUGCUCUAUAGGGCACAUGGUUAAAGAAAUGAACUGUGUGAAAUAAUGUCGAAGAUCGCUAUUGAGUUAGCUAUACAGAUCGUUUGCUAUGAGAUCGACAAGGGAAACACAUUCGAGAAUGGUUGAUAAAAUCUAGGUCCAUUGCAUAUUAAGGUCAAAAUAGUAUUACCAAUAUACAAGUUUCAUAUGAUGCCAUUUCAACAAUUGUACCACAAAAGCCCGAAAUAUUACAAUGUUCAAAUUCCAGAGUUAUAUGGCUCAAAUUCGAAGAUUACAAGGUUCAAACUGAUAUUAGAAAUGAAAUUCAACUCAUUCAACUACAAACGCCUGCGUUGAUCAGCUAAACAUGGAUAUAAGAGAGGUUCAAACUAAUAUUACCACUUGUAAGGCUUGUUUUGAAACCUCAUCAUUUCUGCAAAGGGAUUAACCACUGACAAGUCAUGUAUGGGGUUGACACAAUAACUUCCGAUUACUUUGUCAUCUAAAGUUCCAAAAUGAAAUUCACCUUUUUGGAGCCUUUUCCAUUCUGCCGCAGCUGCCGGCGUUGAUCAACAAACCAUUCAUUUUUGCAAAAUAAAUCUAGGGGAAACCUCAUUACCUUCAGCACCCUUGCUCUGACAACAAAGAACCUGGCGAAUAUAAUCUCCGGCAAGGUCCCUCAGUAGGAGUUCAAAGUAAUUUAUGAGAGAUGCAGAUCUAGGCAUUCGAUGUGAUUGUUAUAUCGUAUCACAUUAUCUACCACCGGCCCUAAUCUUAUCUGCAAAAGAAGAAAACAUGUUAGUGCCUACAUGCGGUUUUGAACACUACUACAGACCUAUUUGGUUUGCAUGAUUUUUAAAAUGCACCAACGUGCCAUCUUUGAUUUGACAUGAUUAACAUGGGCAUUUGAUUACAAUCUAGAAAAACGUAGCCUUCUUCACAAGAGGUUGGAGUGGAUGAAAAAUUCCCUAAGAAAACUAGUAUAGAUGAAUGCAAAGGAGAAAUGCUUAUGGAUUGUAACCAUAUGCAUCAAGCAAUCAAUAUGGGGGGAAAACAUGUAUGUACUGAAAUCCUCCAAAAUUCGUUCAGAAAUCAUAGUACAUUGUCAAUGUAAACUUCGGGAAAGGUGUCAAAAAUUGAACUCCCUUAUGGUUAACAUUUCACAGGAAAGGAACAUCACCUCGAUAUAUAGCUUCUCCAGGCACGGAAAGCAUCUUAGGAAACUGACAACUUGGUCCAAGUUGGGGCCGAUAGAACCUAGUGCCAAGACCUUCACUAUGCGUAGAUUCGGGGUCAAGCUUGUCGGAAUCAUUUUCUAGAGCACAGACAAACAUACAUCUUCAAAAUUAGAAAUAAUGUUAAUUUCAAGAAGGAGAGGUAGAAGGCGAUUGUUGUACCUGAACAGGUGUGGAUCCAAUAACUAGUUCAGAGUAUUUGACAGACGAGUAGCCCACCACUGUCAAUUUCAGCGCGGAAAUGACAUUGAUUCUUGUUAGACCUUCUUGAUCAACUACAAGUAAUCUUUCAAGUGAAGGUGUGUACUCAAUGACCAUACUGUGGUACACCUUUUGUGAUGUCUUGUUGCAGCACCAGCAACACAUAUAAAUACUCCGGAGAGUCAUGGAGGUGAUGUGGAAGCUACUGAACACAUUAAUCGCCUGAAGACGAAUGUACUCGAGUGGAGUACAGCCACGGAGCAGGCACUCCAUUUCAUCCUCUGGGAUGCAGGAAGUGACAAGCUUGAGGUGCUUCAAUCGUGGUAGAAAAAGAGCAGGCACGUCAUUUAGGGGGGUGGCAGUUCAUGAACUUGGCGAGGCGCAGCGUGGGUGCGAGGCGGAGGAUGGACGUUGGCAGCGAGCACAUAUGUCCAUCAUUAAAACUGAGCUCCUCGAGCUGAUCUAGGGUGGGAGAUCAGAACCACUCGUCAAGCUUGGCUCGGUCCUUGGCGUUUGAACGAAACUUGCCCAUGCUAAGGCCUCUGAUUGGGCCAUGUUGUCUGCCGAGGAUCUGGGAUAAAACAUCCAAGCUUUUGCGAUAGCCAUGGCAGAUCUCGUGGGCGUCGAUGAGGUCGAGAGGGGUGGAGUGCCAUAGGGGGCGGCAACGCCGAGAAAGGACGGUUGUCCGCGCCCCAUAUUUGAUUGGGAGGAGGGAGAGGAUGACUAUCAAGAUAUCAUUGAUGAGGUUCCUGAUGAAGUCUAGGCCUGCUGGAGUUGCUCGACCCGUCUCCACUUGUUGGCAACCUCGUUCUCCACUUCUGGAGUCUCAUCGUCAGCGGCGCUUUCUGAUAGAAGUGUGAGUACAGGGAAUAUUUAGUUAAAACAAGGUAAAAGAAAAGUGUAUUGGUAACUAGAAGUUAGUAGGUAGGAAUAGAGUAAGAAAAUGGAAUAACAAUUGGUUGCUUAAAUUCUACACAAUUCCUUUGAUAUUGCCGGGUAAGUCAACAUGUAGAUACUUGAAAAGAACACUUUCUUCGAACAAGGUUUGGACAUAUGAUAUCGUCGGGGAAGUAAGAUAUAUCUCAUGACCAGGCUUUAUGUGCAGUGCAAUUUUAGUGCCAGCUUUCAGUACUAAAACUUAGAAAUUUUUGUCCAAAGGCCCGUGCCAAAAUAGGAGUGACCACGUUCAUCAAGUCUUACAGAAGCAAUGAUUGUAAAUCCACGGUUUGUGUUCAGUAUGAAAUCCCUACAGUCUUGAGUUAUGUAAAGGGCAAGAUUGUGUACUACAUAUGCUAUUUCAUAGCAAGGGAUGUGCUGCAGAAAAUGGUAGGAUUGUUAAAGAAUAUGGUAACAAGCAAAUAUGGGCGAAAUUGAAAGAACAGUACAUCAGUUGAAAUCAAACGACAAAAAUCUAUAAUUAAACAGAUAGUGUAACCAUGAUGUCAUGGAAAUAUGAGAGUAAUCGAAAGAAUAAUACAUCAUUAAUUUGCUUAAUAUAGAAAGAAGAGGGGGAAAAUCCCCUUUGACGUAUAUGCUACAUGUGGCACAUUUUAUACAAAUGUAGCAAUAUAUAGUAUAUUUUCAGGAAAGUAGGCCAUGCCAACUGAUGUAGGGUGAGAUUGAGCAUACCGUGCGCAUCCUGAAGUCAUCUAGUAUGGCGGGAUGUAACUCCACAGGUGCCUGGCCGAGGCUGCAAAGUCCUGAUGUGUCCGUGCACUGUACACUCUAUGAAUGAAAGAAAACCCUCAAAUCAGCUCGAAUAAAAAUGAAUUCACGGUGAUUUCGGCCGGGUGAUUAAAGGAGGCAGAUGAAAUGGGAUAAGAGAUGAGACAAUAUCUCAGUAAAUUAGUUACCUUGUUGUCCAUGAGAAAAAAACCUCAAUACCGCGGAUUCCCCAAUCAGGCCGGAGCUGGGUCAACGGCGAGCAGUGUCGAGAAAGUCGAUAGCAAUAGGCCGUGGCAAGCAGAAGUGGCGAAAUGCGGUGGGGUUUGCUGGUAGCCUGGUGGCGGCUACAGGCGUCGAGCGAAGUGGUUGCCGCGGCGAUAGGCGGUGCCAUGCAGAGUCGCGGAGGAGCUUGUGCAGGUGUGAAUGGGUACCUGAGGAGGUGGCAGGCGGGGUGAGGGUUUUUGUGACGUGGGGAUGGUGAGGGUUUUCUUUUUUCCUUUUUGAAUUGGUAGGUGAGGGUUUUCUAUCCCACAAAGAGUUUCAGAGGCAACGGUUUGCUAGAGCCAAUCGUGUGUGAUUGAUGUAACUAGGAAAAUGGAAGUCAUUGCACACGGUUUAAAUUUGGAAAAAAUAACCAUGUUUCAGGGUGGUUCCACUUUCCUUCGUCGGUUGAAUCUGAAAUUUUUACCCACGCUAAACAUUCACCCUAGUAUGCAUAGAAUUCCAUGAACGGAACUGAGUGCAUUCAUAUCCUACGUUUAGACAUAAGUAAACAUAGAUUAAACAUACUCGAGCAUAGAUAAUAAGUGUACACAAGGAUAGUUCAACCAUAUAAUGUUCAACCGUCAUUAAGCAUAGUCAAGCACAUUUAUAAUUAAGACACUACAUAGCCAUUCAUAGUUCAAUCCCACAUCUCAUCUCAUCUGCCGGCACGAUCAUAAAGCUUCUCUAGGUACUCAGCGUACGCGACGUGCGCCACCCUACGAGAAUACUUCUGCCUGAAGGAGCCAAUGGCUCGUCCUCUUGCAUGCGCCAGAACACUUUCAUACACGUCAUGAAGCUUUUGGUUGCAAAAUGGGCAUCGAAAGCCCCCCGUCCCAGGUCCUAAUAUGCUUGUUAAGAAUGCCUGCAUAAAGAUCCUUGAGGAUUUGCCUCUUGUACCUCCUCUGGGCAUCUUCAUCCUCACUGUCGACAUCGACAAAUAACACCCAUACUUAUAAUAAAAAAUGUGGCGUCAAAUUUGGAAUACAAACUAAUCUCUAGCAAACAUUUGGCAGUUGCCAAAAUUUGGCAUCAAAUCAACUUUUACAUGCCGUAAAGUAGGAUUAGGAAUUUAUAGCUAUUUUUAGACAUAUCCAUAGAUUAUGGUUCGACUUUUAAGCACAAUCGUCUAUGUAUAGACCAAUCUUGAAAAAAAUGGCACAAACAUAUAUGUAGGUCAUUCAAAAUCAUUUGACAAGACCUUGCUAGGAAUUAUUAGCACGAACACUAACUAUAGUCGGAUUAUUAGCAGAAAUCAUUUGCACGCAUGAAACAACUAAUCACUUAUCAUUUGUACCAUUCAAACAAUCAAUACACUACACGGAUCUAACGAAACUUACUCAGAUUUCAUGGAUUGAGAGAACAUAACCAUAGGAUUUCUAUUCCAAAAAGGGGGAGACAGGGUUAACGAGAGAAACCCUAGGAUAUAUCUGACACAUAAAUGGGAAUAGAUGACUAAUUGGUUGUCCAUCGUUGUCGGAGUCCUCGCUAGAGUGGUCGUCGGAGUCGUCGUUGGAGUGGUCGUCAGAGUCAUCACUGGAGUCGUCACCCGAGUCAUCACUAGAGUCAUCGCCGGAGUUGGUGUGGACCUUUGGCUCCAGUUGUGGAAGCAUGACACCGUCAACAACGUCAAGGUGCAGCGAUACCUCGUCGACGGCGACGGCAACCUCUAUCUCCAUCUUCACGUCGUGCUCCGGUGUUACAGUAGCCCUAGCGUCGCCACUCCCUCCGAUGGCGCACUUUGGCGGCAUCCUCAUACACUGACGGCGGUGAGGACUGAGAGCGGCGACGAGGAUGCAUGCGGAGAAAGAGGAUUGUCUGUGAGGCGAGGAUGGGGGUGCAACCGCUCGGGCGCGCCAUAAAUAUGGAGUAGUGUGAGAGAGGUGGGCAGCAGUCAAACUACUGGCUCACCUCCCGGUGAGCCUGCGCAGCGGACUACUGGCAUGCCUACCGUCAUUUCACACAGCUACUCGCACGCCUCCGGAUGACACUGCGCAGCGAGCACGCCUCCCGUCAAUUCACACACCUGCAUGCACGCCUCCCGGUCUGCCUUCGCGGUGGACUGCUCGCAUGCGUCCCAUCAACUCACGCCUACUCGCAUGGCGCACGGCACGCGUGGCGGCACGUAUAUUGUUUUUUCUAUUUUGAUGAUUAAUGCUGCCGCUUUAUUUCUUAACCAAAGCAAGACACGUAUUCAUUGUUGGUCUAACGCCCAUGGUUCAAAUAAAUAAUCCAUUUGCGAUAUUGGUUCCCAAUUAUUAAUAAUCUCUCGUUUGUAAGAAUAAAAAUUACAUCAAAACUUGUCUCAAAUUUGACAAAAAGUACAAUACCACUGUGUAUUGGUGUCCAUAUGACAACACGAUAAGUUUCAUGAAUUUCAACUAAGUUUUGGAUGUACUACUAGAUUUUAAAAAUCAAGAUUCUCAAUGUUUAAAUUUCUUGCACGGGGAGUAAACAUGCACCCAGUGACACACAUGUGUUUUUCCAAUCCAUUUAGGUGCACUGUCACGUGUGCAUGUAGACGCUUUCCAAACACCUCCUUUCCCAUAGAUCCCCAUCCCCACCCCCACUCCAGAGCGCCGUAGCCUAUGCCCGGCUACGCUUCCCGUGGAGCUCGAGGAGCGACUGGCCCAAAAGAGGUGUAUCGCAGCCUCUUGGCCCGACGUUGCCGAGGUGGCCGCCGAGGAAGCUGACGACCAUUACUGGCCCCAGGCUCUCAAUCAGCGGGCUAGAGUAUGCGGGUAUGUUGCGGAUGUCGGCUACGACAUCGAGGUCGUCGACAGUGAUGACCUGACGCGGGCCAUGUCACAGGUUAAGUGGCCCAUCCCCAACCCCUCGGGUUCAAUCGUCGUCGAUCUCAUCCAUGGCCGCGCCGCUAAUCUCCUCUGGCUCGCUGUCAAGAAUUUUCCAUCCUACAUCGCCAUCGAGCCCCUUUUGUCAUUUCUGAGGGACACGUUCUAUGACAUUGGCUUGGGAUCCACAACUGCCAAGUCAGACCUCGUCGACGGUGACCACGAGGAGGGCACCCUCUCUGGCUCUUCCAAGGGGAAAGAUCCCAUCUGCGACAUCAUGGAGGGCACCCUAUAGCCACCACUACAAAAAAAGACACAUCCGUGACAUUUUGGGCCGAACGAAUUUUUUUCCUGUCAUGCUUAUGACACUUCUAUGACGAUAAUUGUGACAAAACCCGGUAUCAUCAUAGAUGUGGUGGGCUCCUACUUCUAUGACAAAAAAUCAUGACAGAAAAUGGGAUGUUCAUCCUGGGCGGGCCGGAAACGUGAUGACCCACAAGUAUAGGGGAUCAAUUGUAGCUCUUUUUGAUUAGUAAGAGUGUCGAACCCAACGAGAACAAGGAAAUGACAAGUGGUUUUCAGCAAGGUAAUGUCUGCAAGUGCUGAAAUUGUAAGUAGCAGAGUUGUUUGAUAGCAAGAUAAUUUGUAACAAGCAUGUAACGAUAAUAGUAACAAAAGUGAAGCAAGGUAGCCCAAUCCUUUUGAGGCAAAGGACAAGCCAAAACAGUCUCUUAUGAUAAGCAAAGCGUUCUUGAGGGUACACGGGAAUUUCAUCUAGUCACUUUCAUCAUGUUGGUUUAAUUCAUGUUCGGUACUUUGAUAAUUUGAUAUGUGGUUGGACCAGUUCUUAGAUGCUAUUCUUACUUGAAAAAAUCUCCUACUUAUGAUUAACCCUCCCGCAAGCAUCCGCAACUACAAGAAAAGUAUUAAGAAUAAAUUCUAACCAUAGCAUUAAACUUUUGGAUCCAAUCGGUCCCUUACGGAAUAGCGCAUAAACUGGGGUUUAAGCUUCUGUCACUCUCGCAACCCAUCAUAUAUUUGCUACUCCACAAUGCAUUCCCUUAGGCCCAAAUAUGGUGAAGUGUCAUGUAGUCGACGUUCACAUGACACCACUAAGGGAAUCACAACAUACAUACUAUCAAAAUAUCGAACACAUAUCAAAUUCACAUGAUUACUUGCAACAUGAUUUCUCCCAUGACCUCAAGAACAAAAGUAACUACUCACAGAUGAUAAACAUGCUCAUGAUCAGAGGGGUAUUAAAUAGCAUAUUGGAUCUGAACAUAUAAUCUUCCACCAAAUAAACCAUACAGUAAUCAACUACAAGAUGUAAUCAACACUACUAGUCACCCACAAGCACCAAUCUAUAGUUCCGGUAACAAGAUUGAACACAAGAGAUGAACUAGGGUUUGAGAUGAGAUGGUGCUGUUGAAGAUGUUGAUGGAGAUUGCCCUCCCAAGAUGGGAGAGUUGUUGGUGAUGAUGAUGACGAUGAUUUCCCCCUCUGGGAAGGAAGUCCCCCUAGUGGAAUCGCUCCGCCGGAGGGCAAAAGUGCUCUUGCCCAAGUUCCGCCUCGAGACGGCGGCGCUCCAUCCCGAAAGUCCUCUCCUUAUUUUUUUCUAGGUCAAAAUGACCUAUAUACCAGAAGAUGGGCAUCGGUGGUGGGCCUCGAUGAGCACAACCCACCAGUGUGCGCCUGGGCUCCCUGGCGCGCCCAGGUGGGUUGUGCCCACCAAGUGGGCCCCCUCUGGUAGUUAUUUGCUCCAAUAUUACUCAUAUAUUUGAUAAAAAAUCUCCGUUAUGUUUUAGCUUGUUUGGGGUUGUGCAGAAUAGGUGGCCUGAUGUAGCUUUUCCAGGUCUAGAUUUCCACCUACCGGAGUUCUCCCUCUUUGUGUAUACCUUACAUAUUAUGAGAGAAAAGGCAUUACAAUUACUCCAAAACGCAUUAUUAUGGAUAAAAACAUCAUAAAUAACAGUAAGAAAACAUGAUGCAAAAUGGACAUAUCAACUCUCCCAAGCUUAGACCUCGCUUGUCCUCAAGCAAAAACCGAAAUCGAAAAACAUGUCCACAUGCUUAGUGAGAGAGGUGUCGAUAAAAAACAAAAUACAGACACAGAAGCAUCAUGUAGAUUAUUAUAACAGCAACAAAAUUAAACAUAAGACUUUUAUCAUAUAUUCUCAUGAAUAAGUAACAAUUCAUCACACAAUUGAAGUAUAAAGCAAAAACUCUAUUAAAAACCAACAACUAUGUUCUCAGUCAACUUUGCAACUAAAAUUCAUCAUGUUUUCAGGAAGGGUCACGUAUCGGAGCCUUUAGGCAAGUCCACAUACUCGACCAUCAUAUAGUCUUCUAUGAUUGCUAACACUCACCGCGUAGACAUGAGCAAAACGUUUCAACCGUACACAUAGAAAGAUAGGGGCUUAUAGUUUCACCUCCCAACGUAUUCACGUCAAGGGUGAUGUCAACAAUAAUAACUCAUGCUAUCUAUAUUCAACUGGACCUAUGUGCCUAGAUCUUUCCUCACCACAUGAUGCUUGCCAAAGGAGAAAAUAAAAAGGAAUAGAAGGAAAACUUUGACUCUUUGCAUAAAAGUAAAUACAUAAAAGUAAAAGAUAGGCCCUUCGCAGAGGGAAGCAGAGGUUGCCAUGUGCUUAUUUGUUUGUAUGCUCAACCCCUUAGUGCAAAAGAACGUCAUGUUGCAUUGCCCCUUGUGAUAGCGACCUUUAUUAUGCAGUCUGUCGAUUUUAUUCUUCACCAUCACAAGUUCGUGCAACGCUCAAUUUUCUCUUACACUAAAUGAUCUCACACUUUUAGAAGCAAUUUUUAUUUCCUUUUUGCACUGAUGACAACUUACUUGAGGGAUCUUGCUCAAUCCCUAGGUAGGUAUGGUGGACGCUUGAAAAUAAGAUUUGGGUUUAAGGGUUUUUGGAUGCACAAGUAGUAUCUCUACUUAGUGCAGAAUUUUUGGCUAGCAAAGAUAGGGGGCAAGCACCACAUGUUAAAGGAUCCAUGACAAUAUGACUUCUAUGUGAAUAUAAACAAACAUAAACCAUUAAGUUGUCUUCCUUGUCCAACGUCAACAAUUUUGGCCUAUAAUAUUUUGAUGAGGGCUCACAAUCACAAAAGAUUUCUAGGGUAAUACAUUUAUAUGUGAAUCUUCGCUUCCCUUAUUAAUUAUUUUAUGAUUUGCAUCAUUGACUAAUGCUAUGUUUGUCAAUCUCUAAUAAAAUUUUCUACUUAUACUUUUCCUUAUGUGGUGUCAUCACCUACCAUAAUAUUAGCAUAUGAUCUUCUUGAUUUGUUCCAUUUCUUUCAUUUCUCUCAUUUAUUUCCUUUCUUUUAAUUGCAACAUGAAAAUAAAGAAAGCAAAAACACAAACUAACUUUAUUAUAUAUCUCGCACACGACUACAAGGAUAGAUCACUAAGCAAACUCUCGAAAACAAAGGAUCGAACUAAACUUUUAUUCAUCUAAAGCAAAAGAUCAAACUAAAAUAAGUAAAGGAAAAAAGAUAGUGGGAUGAUACGAUACCGGGGCACCUCCCCCAAGCUUGGCGAAAGCCAAGGGGAGUGCCCAUACCCGAUACUCAAUUCUCCUUUGGUGGUGAAGAUGAUGAUGGUGAUGAUGAAGCGAUCCUGUCCUUAAGGAUAAGAGAUUCUCCAAUCGACAGAUGAUGCUCCGGAGGUGGAUGAUAUGCUCUUGAUGCAGAAUAUUCUCACGAGCAAGAUACUUAUUUUGUAUGCGAACUAUUUCAAUGAUGCGAAAGGCUUCAAUCUCAGCAGGAGUAAGGUGAGUAAGGUAAGGUUUAAGGAUAUCUUCCUCUUCCUCCUCGGCUGGCAGUGCUUGUUCGAAGACCGGAGGCUGAUCUACGGUAACCUCCUUGCUCUCAUCUCCCCUGAUGGCUUCUGCGGGCUCCUCUCUCUUCAGCUCGACCUUCAUCAACCAAGCAUCCUAUCCCACGUUGUUGGAGGAAGAAGAAGACAUGAUGCCUGACUCAACAGAUCUAACCGAAAACAGCAAGAAAAGAGAACACAGGAUUUCUCCGCGAUACGGUGGUUAAGAUGUUCGGGAAGUAUAUAUAGAUUUUUUUUAUCUUGGGGGCAAGCAAACGGAACAAAAACGGAGUCCGUAAGGUGUCCCAGGUGGGCACAACCCACCUAGGCGCGCCCUGGUGUCUUGUGCCCACCAGGGUACAGUUCGUGGAAGUUUCUUAUUUUCCUAUAUUUCUAAAUAUUCCAAAACUUACAAAAAAUAUUUUUGCGGAUUUUUCGGAGUCUUUUUACUUACAGUAUCACGUACCUCCUUAUUUUCACGAUUCUGGAGUGUUCCAGAAGGACUCUUUUAUGUGUUCUUCCGGUGUGAAAGUUUGGAUAAUAUUACCUUCAACAUUAAUGGGCGUACCUGAGAUAUAAUGUUUUAUUCGUUGCCCAUUGACAACCUUCGGGUUAGUACCUUUGGCAUUAUUUAUUUUGAUGGCUCUAGACCGGUAAACCUCCUCGAUAAUGUAGGGCCUUCCCAUUUUGAGAGGAGUUUUCCUGCAAAGAAUCUAAAACGAGAGUUGUACAAAAGAACAUAUUCUCCGACUUUAAACUCAAGCUUUUGGAUCUUUUGUCAUGCCAUGUUUUAACUUUUUCUUUGAAUAGUUUUGCAUUUUCAUAAGCUUGGGUUCUCCAUUCAUCUAAUGAGCUAAUAUCAAAUAUACUCUUUUCACCGGCAAGUUUGAAAUCAUAGUUGAGUUCUUUGAUUGCCUAAUAUCCUUUAUGUUCUAACUCAAGAGCAAAUGAAAAGCUUUUCCAUAAACCAUUUUAUAAGGAGACAUACCCAUAGGAUUUUUAUAAGCUAUUCUAUAAGCCCAAAGUGCAUCAUCUAAUUUUUAGACCAAUUCUUCCUGGACCUAUUGAUAGUCUUUUGCAAAAUUAAUUUUAUUUCUCUAUUGCUAAGUUCAACUUGACCACUAGACUGAGGAUGAUAAGCUGAUGCAAUUCUAUGGUUAACAUCAUAUUUGGCAAGCAUUUUAUGGAAAGCACCAUGAAUAAAGUGUGAACCACCAUCAGUCAUUAAAUAUCUAGGGACUCCAAACCUUUGGAAAAUAACUUCCUUAAGCAUUUUAAUAGAGGUGUUGUGAUCGACACUUCUGGUUGGAAUAGCUUCUACACAUUUAGUAACAUAAUCAACAGCAACCAAAAUAUGUGUAUACCCAUUAGAGGAAGGAAAAGGUCCCAUGUAAUCAAAUCCCGAAACAUCAAAUGGUUCAACAACAAGUGAAUAAUACAUAGGCAUUUCUUGACGCUUGCCGAUAUUACCAAUUCUUUGACAUUCAUCACAAGAUAAGACAAACUUACGGGAAUCCUUGAAGAGAGUAGGCCAAUAAAAUCCAGAUUGCAAGGUCACCACAAAAGUAAUUGCUACCUCUUGAGCACUGUGUUUGUUUUCCCUUGAAGAGGAAAGGGUGAUGCAGUAAAGCAGCGUAAGUAUUUCCCUCAGUUUUUGAGAACCAAGGUAUCAAUCCAGUAGGAGGCCACGCACGAGCCCCUCGCACCUGCAGAAACAAAUAAAAUCCUCACAACCAACGCGAUAAAGGGGUUGUCAAUCGCUUCACGGUCACUUACGAAAGUGAGAUCUGAUAGAUAUGAUAAGAUAAGAUUUUUGGUAUUUUUAUGAUAAAGAUGCAAAGUAAAAUAAAAGGCAAUAAAAAUAGCUAAGUGUUGGAAGAUUAAUAUGAUGGAAAAUAGACCCGGGAGCCAUAGGUUUCACUAGUGGCUUCUCUCGAGAGCAUAAGUAUUUUACGGUGGGUGAACAAAUUACUGUUGAGCAAUUGGCAGAAUUGAGCAUAGUUAUGAGAAUAUCUAGGUAUGAUCAUAUAUAUAGGAAUCAUGUCCGAGACAAGUAGACCGACUCCUGCCUGCAUCUACUACUAUUACUCCACACAUGGACCGCUAUCCAGCAUGCAUCUAGAGUAUUAAGUUCAUAAGAACAGAGUAACGCUUUAAGUAAGAUGACAUGAUGUAGAGGGAUAAACUCAUGCAAUAUGAUAUAAACCCCAUCUUGUUAUCCUCGAUGGCAACAAUACAAUACGUGCCUUGCUGCCCCUACUGUCACUGGGAAAGGACACCGCAAGAUUUAACCCAAAGUUAAGCACUUCUCCCAUUGCAAGAAAGAUCAAUCUAGUAGGCCAAACCAAACUGAUAAUUCGAAGAGACUUGCAAAGAUAACCAAUCAUACAUAAAAGAAUUCAGAGAAGAUUCAAAUAUUGUUCAUAGAUAAACUUGAUCAUAAACCCACAAUUCAUCGGUCUCAACAAACACACCGCAAAACAAGAUUACAUCGAAUAGAUCUCCACAAGAGAGGGGGAGAACAUUGUAUUGAGAUCCAAAAAGAGAGAAAAAGCCAUCUAGCUAAUAACUAUGGACCCGAAGGUCUGAUUUAAACUACUCACACAUCAUCGGAGAGGCUAUGGUGUUGAUGUAGAAGCCCUCCGUGAUCGAUGCCCCCUCCGGCGGAGCUCCGGAAAAGGCCCCAAGAUGGGAUCUCACGGGUACAGAAGGUUGCGGCGGUGGAAUUAGGUUUUUGGCUCCGUAUCUGGUAGUUUGGGGGUACGUAGGUAUAUAUAGGAGGAAGAAGUACGUCGGUGGAGCAACGUGGGGCCCACGAGGGUGGAGGGCGCGCCCCCUACCUCGUGCCUUCCUGGUUGAUGUCUUGACGUAGGGUCCAAGUCCUCUGGAUCACGUUCCCGAAGGUUUCAUUCCGUUUGGACUCCGUUUGAUAUUCUUUUUCUGCGAAACUCUGAAAUAGGCAAAAAAACAGCAAUUCUAGGCUGGGCCUCCUGUUAAUAGGUUAGGCCCAAAAUAAUAUAAAAGUGUAUAAUAAAGCCCAUUAAACAUCCAAAACUGAAUAUAAUGUAGCAUGGAACAAUCAAAAAAUAUAGAUACGUUGGAGACGUAUCAAGCAUCCCCAAGCUUAAUUCCUGCUCGUCCUCGAGUAGGUAAAUGAUAAAAACAGAAUUUUUGAUGUGGAAUGCUACUUAGCAUAAUUUCAAUGUAAUUUUUCUUAUUGUGGCACGAAUGUUCAGAUUUGAUAUGAUUCAAGAUAAAAGUUUAAUGUUGACAUAAACACAAUAAUACUUCAAGCAUGCUAACCAAGCAAUUAUGUCUUAUCAAAAUAACAUAACCAAAGCAAGUUAUCCCUACAAAAUCAUAUAGUCUGGCUAUGCUCCAUCUUCCCCACACAAAAUAUUCAUAUCAUGUACAACCCCGGUUUUAGCCAAGCAAUUGGUUCAUACUUUUUAACGUGCUUCAGCCUUUUCAACUUUUACACAAUACAUGAGCGCAAGCCAUGGAUAUAGCACUAUGGUGGAAUAAGGUAUAAUGGUAGGGGUUAUGUGGGAAGACGAAAAAGGAGAAAGUCUCACAUCAACGAGGCUAAUCAACGGGCUAUGGAGAUGCCCAUCAAUUGAUGUUAAUGCAAGGAGUAGGGAUUGCCAUGCAAUGGAUGCACUAGAGCUAUAAGUGUAUGAAAGCUCAAACAAAAGAAACUAAGUGGGUGUGCAUCCAACUUGCUUGCUCACGAAGAUCUCGGGCAUUUGAGGAAGCCCAUCAUUGGAAUAUACAAGCCAAGUUCUAUAAUGAAAUUUCCCACUAGUAUAUGAAAGUGACAAAAUGAGAGACUCUCUGUCAUGAAGAUCACGGUGCUACUUUGAAGCACAAGUGUGGUAAAAGGAUAGUAACAUUGUCCCUUCUCUCUUUUUCUCUCAUUUUUUUCUUUUUUUAUUCGGGCCUUUUCCCCCUCAUGCUCCGACUUUGUGGCACAAGUGUGGCACAAGUGUGAUUCCCCCUCAUGCUCCGACUUUGUUACAUAACGGUUCACCAUACGUGCAUGCUCCGGGAAUCACAAACUCCAACACAAGUAUUUUUCAAUUCCAUAAUUACUCAACUAGCACAACUAUGAUAUUACCACCUUUAUAUCUCAAAACAAUUAUCAAGCAUCAAAUUUCUCAUGAUAUUAUAAUUAAAGCAAAUUGCCAUGCUAUUUUAAGACUCUCAAAAUAAUAUAAGUGAAGCAUGAGAGUGUCGGUGUACAAAAAGAGGGGUUCGUUUUUGUACCCCUAUACCUGUGCACGGGCAGUCGGAGCCGCGCCCACGGUCACGCCAAGCAGAGCAGGGGAGGUGAGCCAAGGUAAGACCGAAGCCCAAGAUAAUCAGAGCAAAGCCAAGGCCAAGACCCCAAAGAGCAGAGGGACGAAGCAGGUUCCCCCGGCAAGACCCUUGCCGGGGCAGCCUCAGCAGCCCCGGCAAGAUCCUUGCCGGUACAGCUCGCCCCACACCAACAGAGCAAGCCACACUUGAGCCCACGGUCCCCAACUCCAUCAUCCACGUGGGUCCAGGGCUCGGUAAGGCACCUCUGUGGUGGCAUGCAGAUCUUUGUGAAGACAUAUUCAAGAUCAGAUGAGGAUUAGAAGACGACGAUCCUCGGCAAGAUCCUUGCCGAGGGAAGCCACCAGACCCCCAGCAAGGUCCUUGCCGGGGACAACAGCGCGCCACGGCAAGACCCUUGCCGGGCCACCCGACAAGGCCCUCGCCAAGGAGGCCAGUAGGGCCACCGCCAGGCCCACGCCAAACAAGCUUCCACCGCCAUUCACAUGCAGCUGCCAGCCCAACCAGCUGGGCGGGCACCUGCGUGGCAACAUGCAGCUCCCAGGCCAACUCAUCAAGCGCCUGCGUGGCGGCAUGCAGAUCUUCAUGAAGACCCUACUACCGCGCCACCUAAGCUACCUGCCUGCCUACAUGGCACCGCACGCAUCGCUGGCCAGGGCGCGUGUCGAAGUGAGGAGGAACGGCGACGGACGGGACGGGCCUCACCCCCGUCCCCGAUAAAGCUAGGGGACACCUCAGCGGCGCAUUAAAUGCGUCUUGUCCUGUAAUACGAGCGAUAAGCUCAGAGCACUGUACACCUUUCCACCUCCUGUGUGCCACUGUGGCAGCCCCUUUCGACUAUAAAAGGAGGCCCAUGGCAUACUGGAGAAGGAUUUGGCUCUUUCGAACCACGCACUGACCACAGCUAGUUCGAGAGCUCAAGAACUCUCUGAAAUACACCCACCAAAGCAGGACUAGGGUUUUACGCAUCCUCGCGGUCCGAACCUGGGUAAACGAUCCUUGUGCUGUCUACUAGCCCUGCUCUUCUCUCAACCCCGCGCCCCGGCAACCGUAGUAGGGAUUCUUGUGAUCCCAUAGGUGUCGUUCCACACCGACAUCUUUGGCGCGCUAGGUAGGGGGCACAAUUGUGAGAAUCUGGUCUAGUAGUUAGCCUAACAAUUCUUCGUCGCCAUGGCUCUUAAGAAGAAGAUGGCCACAGCGAUCGGCUCGUUGGGAGCCGAACGGCCCGUGCCGGUGCGGACGAGCAGUGGACCGGUCGCGGACAGGACCCGGGCCGCGGUCCACGAGCACCAGCAUCGCCCAGGCAGUCAGAGCCUGGCGAGCGGCGUCGUUCAUGCGCUCGAUGACCGGCCGCACGUCGCCAGAUCCAAAGACGGAGCCGGGGCCCCCGCAGGCAGCGCGGGGCCCUCCAGGGGUGUCAUUGUGCCACCUCCGGGCGGUGCAGCGACCUCCAAGAUGCCCACACCAGCGACCACCGUGCGCUCUUCCCAUGGUGUGCGCGCCGAGCAGCGUCACCACGUUGGUGACCCUGGGCACCACCGUGGGAAGAGCCAUGUGCGUCAUCCGCAAGAUGAAGGGGUUCAGCACGCUCGCCGAAGCACUGGAAAAAAUGGCACGCAGCCGGAGUGUCGUAACGGAGCUCCUUCUAACAUAGUUAGAAGUCGAAGCGCGCCGCAAUCCACGCAGCUGCCGCCGCCGCCGCUCACGCCAGCGGAAGCUUUGGCGCGCGCGCAGCUGCUCCUCGACUUCCCUCCUGCUGCGGAGAAGCUCGACGAGUGGAGGGCCACCAUCCGGAGCCUCAUCGCCGUCGCAAACAAAGACGAUCCGCGACCGGCGAAGCCCUCGGGUCGGUGCUCCACCGAGCCACCACGUGCUUGCGCUGGGAGGACCGGGGGAGCUGCGGCCACGGUGCACUCUCCUCCUCCUCGCCAGCCACCGCGGGCGUCUGCCCGUCGUGACGACGCUUGUGAUAACAUCUCUAUAGCGUCGUCCGACCCGCGGACCCACCGCGACCAGCGCCAAGUUCUUCGAGAACGAGCUCACAAAGAUGCUCGGACCACCAUCGCGGGCCGGCGCGAUACACGCCACCAGUCGGACAAGCAGGCGGGACCCACUAUGGACCACCCAGCACCGGGGGGCUCCGGCGGCCUACCUUAUGAGGUGGGCUGCCCGGCCUUCACCCAUGAGCUGCGGCAGUUCCAGUGGCCGUCCCACCACAUGUUCAAGCCCGACGUCGGCGAGAAGUACACUGGCAAGACCCAUCCGUCCGAGUUCCUCAGCAUCUACACCAUCGCGAUGCAGGCUACUGGAGCUCGUGACGACAAGGUGCUUGCCAACUAUUUCCCGCUGGCACUGAAGCCCAAUGUUAUGUCCUGGUAGAUGCACUUGCCGGCGGAUUCCAUUUCUUCUUGGUCGGAUCUGUGCCAUGAGUUCGUUGGCGCCUUCACAGGAGGCCACCAAGCUCAUGGCCAGGCCAGUGAUCUGCAUAUCAUUCCCAGAAGGAAGGGGAAACCAUGCGCAAGUACAUCCAGAGAUUCAGCCGGGUGCAGUACAACAUCCCCGACGUUCAUCCCGCCGUUGUGAUCAACGCGUUCCAUCAGAACAUGCGCAACCGCAAGAUGCGCGGAGAGCUGGCGAUGACCAAGGUUAAGGGUGUGGCCGAGCUCUACAUUCUGGCCGAUAGGUGCGCCCGGGUUGAAGAAGGAAGGAAGUACCCCGGUGAAGACGCCGGUGCGGAAACCGACUCUACCGACGAAGACGCCGCCACCCCGACGAAGAAGGGCCGGCGUCGCAACAGGAAAUGCAAAGGCAAGGCCGUGCUUGCCGUUGAAGGAUUUGACGACACCGGCGCUGCCAAGAAGGUCAAGGCAGACGCCCCAGGCAAGGAGAUUGCCGGGUGCGCCGCCUGCCGGGCCUUGGCAGCUACCGACAAGCCAGGGAGCUCCGGCAAGCAAUACUACAAGAUCCACCGCACCAAGGGCCACGACCUCCAGAACUGCCGACAAGUUGAGCUGCUUGCUGAGAAGCAAAAUGCUGAGUAUGAGAGGCAGGACAAGGAGAAAGACCAGGACGAUGCUGAGGGAUCCGGCAAGAAGCAUGGCGGCCAAGGAGGCUGCCCCGGCAAGGACAACCAGCAAGAGAGGCCCGCCCAGGGCCGCGACAAGAAACAAGAAGACGAUGAUCACGAUGAGGAUGACGAGUCUGGUGAGCAAGGGUUCCAGAAGGCUACGGAGGCCAUGUGCGUUGAUGGCGGCGCCUCGCUGCAUACCUCUCACCGCCAGCUCAAGCAGUGGGCGCGUGAGAUUACAGCAGCAGAGCCGUCGUUCGACGCUCGAAAGCCGCUGAAGUGGUCCAGCACUCCCCUCAUCUUUGACGCCGAGGACCACCCUGACCACACUGCCGCGGUCGGGUGUUUGCCAUUGUUGGUCUCACCAACGAUACACAACCUCAGGGUGAACAAGAUGUUGGUUGACGGCGGGGCCGGCCUGAACCUGAUCUCGCCUGUCGUGAUCAAAAGUAUGCAAAUACCUGAUGGAGACCUCGAGGAAACAGGCACGUUUCAAGGGGUCAAUCCGGUGAGGAGCCAGCCGAACGGAAAGGUCACACUGCCCGUGACAUUUGGAGGAGAGUUGAACUACAGGAUGGAGAGGAUCGUAUUCGACGUGGCCGAGAUCCCCUUGCCCUACAACGGAAUCCUCGGCCGCCCGGCACUAGCUAAGUUCAUGGCGGCAGCACACUACGCCUACAACAUGCUAAAGAUGCCCGGGCCAUUGACCAUCAUCUCCGUCCCCUCCGACAAGAAGGACGCGCUGAUCUGCGCCGACCAACUCUACCAGGAAGCAGUUGCAGCAGCUGCCGUCAAGGCACCUGCUCCUGCCGCUGAAGGCCCGGGAGGGAAGAAGAAGCCCGGCAAGACCUCUCGCACCCACUCCGGCAAGCGCACCUCCUCGGAGUGUUGUGCUACCGUCGAGGACGUGCCAGAGAGCUCUACCGACAAGAGCAAGAGAUCCAGAGCCGAGCCGCCGCAGACCAAGAAGGUGCCCGUCGGGGAGGAUGGCACGGGAGGGUCCUUCACCAUAGGCUCCACCCUCGACAGCAAAUAGGAAGGCGCGCUCGUCACCUUCCUGCGGGCGAAUGUCGACGUGUUUGCGUGGCAAGCAUCCGACAUCCCCGGUGUUCCCAGGGAGGUGAUUGAGCACCAUCUAGCUGUCUGCCCCCACGCGCGGCCCAUCAAGCAGAAGGUCAGAAAGCAUGCUCUGGAGAGGCAGGAGUUCAUCACAGAGCAGAUCAGGAAGUUGGAAGCGGUAGGUUUGGUGAGAGGAGUGCUCCACCCGACGUGGUUGGCCAAUCCGGUAGUGGUGCGCAAGGCGAAUGGGAAGUGGAGGUUGUGUAUUGAUUACACAGAUAUCAAUAAGGCUUGUCCUAAGGACCCCUUCCCGUUGCCGCGCAUCGACCAGAUUGUUGACUCCACAGCCGGGUGUGAUCUGUUAUCAUUCCUCGACGCCUACUCAGGCUACCACCAGAUCUUCAUGAAAAGAGAGGAUGAAGAGAAGACAACAUUCAUCACCCCAUGUGGUACGUAUUGCUUUUUACGGAUGCCUUUUGGGUUGAAGAGUGCUGGCUCAACGUUCGCAAGAGCAGUCCAAAUUGGUUUUGAACCUCAGCUCCAUAGAAAUAUGGAGGCAUACAUGGACGACAUAGUGGUCAAAACCAAGGACGGGCCAACUCUUGUGCAAGAUCUGGAAGAGACAUUUGCCAACCUGCGCAAGAUCAACCUCAAGUUGAACCCUGAGAAGUGUGUCUUCGGUGUUCCGUCAGGCAAGCUUCUCGGGUUCUUUGUGUCACAGCGCGGGAUCGAGGCAAACCCAGACAAAAUCAAGGCUAUUGAGCAGAUUGAGGCGCCCAAGCGGAUCAAAGAUGUGCGUCGGCUCGCCGGCUGCGUCGCCGCCAUGAGCCAAUUUAUCUCCAAGUCCGCUCAGCGCGCCCUUCCUUUCUUCAAAAUCUUGAAGAACGCGGGCCCAAUGGAGUGGACCCCAGAAGCCGAGGCAGCAUUGCAGGAUCUGAAGAAAUACCUUUCCUCCACGACAAUACUGGUUGCGCCUAAACCACAAGAGCCGUUGCUACUAUAUCUGGCGGCGAUGAAUCAAGUGGUCAGCGCCGCACUGGUGGCACAGAGGGAGGUCGGCGAGGAGGCAGUGACGGCGGCAGAACCAGCGGAUGGCAAGCCAAAGAUUCCCCCGGCAAGGCUUGGUGCCGGCGAGGCGCGGCCCCCGGCAGAGUCUGAUGCCACCAAGGUAGUGCCCGCGCAGUCGAGUGAGGUGGUGCAGAAGAAGAAGAUGAUGCAGCACCCGGUUUACUUUGUCAGCUCCCUCUUGCAGGGGGCUAGGUCGAGGUAUUCCGGUGUGCAAAAAUUGCUCUUCGGCCUCCUUAUGGCCUCGAGGAAGCUGCGUCAUUACUUCCAAGCUCACGAGAUCACUGUCGUCACCCGCCUCCUGUUGCAACGGAUACUGCAUAACCCAGAUGCAACCGGAAGGAUUGUGGAAUGGGCCUUGGAGCUAUCAAGUUUCGGUUUGAAGUUUGAAAGUACCUCGACAAUCCAGAGCAGAGUCUUGGCGGAGUUCAUUGCAGAAUGGACCUCAACGCCUGACGAAGAAAUCCAGGAGACCACUCUCCCUGGCAAGGAAGCAGACUGCGACUGGAUCAUGUACUUUGAUGAGGCUUUCUCGCUGCAAGGCGCCGGUGCCGGUGUGCUGCUCGUCGCGCCCACCGGAGAGCACCUCAAGUACGUGAUCCAGAUGCACUUUCCCAGGGAGAUGUCCACCAACAACACUGCUGAGUACGAGGGAUUGCUCGCCGGUCUCAGGAUCGCGGCAGACCUCGGGGUUAGGAAGCUCAUCGUCAGGGGUGACUCGUAGCUUGUUGUUAGGCAGGUCAACAAGGAUUACCAGAGCCCAUUGAUGGAGGCCUACAUAGAUGAGGUGAGGAAGCUGGAGGAAUGGUUUGACAGUAUCCAAGCGGAGCACGUCCCCCGAAUGGAGAACGACAUCGCCGAUUACCUGUCAAAGCGUGCUGCAUUCAAGCUACCUGUGGAACCACGUACCUUUUUUGCUCCGGUUAACUCAACCAUCCGUCGAGCCAUCAACGGGGCAGAACAAGCGGAGGAAGUCAGGUCCCGGCAAGUACAUUCCUACCGAGCCCCCUGGGGCCGCCGGCAAGGGUGCUGCCACGGACGCUGAGCCUGCCCAAGAGCAACUGGCUCCGGCAGGGCGUCAAGCCAUGGCCGUAGAGACAGCCACUCCCAUGGCGGAAGAAAUGCCUUUGGCCCUUGCUGUCGAGCCCCAGGCUCCGGCAUGGGUGCAGCAUACCGUCCAAUUCCUCCAAACAGGGGAGUUUCCUGAGGAGCAGGAAGAAGCGGAAAGAGUAGCACAUCGGUCCGCCCUUUACCAGUUCGUUGAUGACGUCCUGUACAGGAGAAGGCCAAACGGUGUGAAAUUGAAGUGCAUCCCCCGGGAGGAAGGACUGGAGCUGUUGGCGGAGAUACAUGGAGGCAUAUGUGGCUCCCACAUAGGGUCGAGGGCCCUUGCCAGGAAGGCGUUCCGGCAAGGUUUCUUCUGGCCCACCGCCCUCCAGGAUGUGAUGGCACUAGUAACCAAGUGUGAAGCGUGUCAGUUCCAUUCAAAGAAGCUUCAUCAACCAGCUCAAGCCCUUCAAACAAUCCCUCUCUCCUGGCCAUUCUCGGUCUGGGGGCUCGAUAUACUCGGCCCUUUCCCCCGCGUCGUCGGGGGCUUUGAGUACUUGUACGUUGCAAUCGACAAGUUCACAAAGUGGCCGGAAGUGGAAGCAGUGAGAAAGGUGACUGCUCAGUCAGCCGUCAAGUUCUUCAAGGGACUGGUCUGCCAUUUUGGUGUGCCAAGCAGAGUCAUCACCGACAACGGCACGCAGUUCACAAGCCACACCUUCAUGCAAUACAUUCAAGACCUCGGUAACAAGGUCUGUUUUGCUUCCGUGGCACACCCACGGAGUAACGGCCAAGCGGAGAGGGCAAAUGCUGAAGUGUUGCGAGGCCUGAGAACGAAGACCUUUGACAAGCUGCACAAGAGUGGAAGGCGCUGGAUUGAUGAGUUGCCGGCGGUUCUUUGGCCAAUAAGGACGACGCCAAAUCGAGCCACCAGCCAGACACCUUUUGCCCUAGUAUACGGGGUAGAAGCAGUUCUCCCCACGGAACUCAUAUACGGGUCACCUUGAGUGCUCGCUUAUGAUGAGCUUGAGCAAGAGCAGUUGCGCCAAGAUGACGCGACGCUCCUUGAGGAAGAUCGUCUUCAGGCGGCUGUGAGAGCAGCACGCUACCAGCAAGCCUUGCGCCGCUACCAUAACCGCAAGGUUCAUGCCCGAAGCUUUGAGGAAGGCGACCUUGUUCUUCGGCGCGUUCAGUCGGCCAAGAAUUCCAACAAGUUGACGCCAAAGUGGGAAGGCCCUUAUCGGGUAAUGCGAGUCACCAGGCCCGGUGCAGUCCGCCUGGAGACCGAAGAUGCUGUCCCAGUGAGCAACUCCUGGAACAUCGAGCAUCUGCGCAACUUUUACCCGUAAGGCGCGGCUUGCCGGGCCUCCCGGCAAGCCACCUUUUGUACAAGCUUUGCCGGCAAGGCAUGUGAACCUUUGUACAAAGCCAGGCGCAGACCCUGAGCAUAAAUAAAUGAAGCGCUGGUGCCCUAAGUCAUAGCAUGCAUGCUAGGUCGAGUCUCUUCCUUGGUUAGGGUUGAUAGUGCUCAACAGCGACUAACCCCUAGCUUAGAGGUCGAGUGUGCGUCUAUCUGUUUCUCUUCUGUCCUUUUUUGGUUCGCAUGACACAUGAGCACUUCUGCCGAGCUACUUGGAAGAAAGAAAACGGACCGGCGUCCUGACCCAGGCAAACCAGAGUUGCCGGGGGCUGCAAGCACAAGGAUCCAACCGCGGCAAGAAGAGAUUGCCGGGGGGCUGCAGAUCCAGAUAAGUCUUUUAUCCUCUGUCAUGCAUUUCGGAAUAGGACUGGCGCAUGUGAAACCUCAUUUUUAUCUCUAGGCUGCCGUGCUCCCCUUUUUCCUAUACCUAAGGAUUAUUUCCUGGGUCUGGAUUUGGUUGUAGCCGCGGUGGCAAGGAGGUAGAAUGAGGAGCCUAAAGCCCACUUCAUCCCUGCCUCCGCCAAGAGCGCGAGAACGGUCGAGUGGAGUGGGGGCGGCAAGGCCUGUUGCCGGGCGAAAAACGUUUAUCUUAAACAAUAACAAGGAUUCGCUCCUUGUCGCGGGAUUUACCCACGAACGAAAAAACCUGGCAAGCAUCCCUUUUUCAUUAAAAACAUCCCAUACAGGUACAGUUCAUACGGAAUGAAAAACAUGAGCAAGGGGAUUACAAGUUCUAAAUUUAACAAAGGCCCGCAGGCUUACAAACUAAAGAAGAAGGAUAAGAUGCCCAUAAUCCCUUUCUUGUCCCUCUCCUCAGGAGGCAGGUCAAGGAGGCGAGAGGGCAAAAGGGGCGCCUAGGCGAGCUACGAGCGGCAGAAAGCACCAAGAGAACACCUUGGUGACCGCCCAGGGGUGGGCCGGUGAUGACGGUGCCGGGAAAGGGGCUGGAAGACGAGGCGGCAGGACCGGCAGUACGCGACGAAGGCGUCGGUGCCCGCGUACUCCGAGUUGACAGCCUUGACGCCCGCCCUCUUCCUCUUCUGCAGCCUCCCGACGCCAGCCGCCCAAGGAGACGGCCCCGAGAAGUUUAAGGAGCUGGCCCCAUCCCCGGCAAAACUCUGCCGGAGGAGCGGCCAGGUGCAGAUGCUGCUGCUGCCGCACCCGCCCAGGCGCGGGGCGUCCGACGCCUAGUCGGACUCGUCCCCGUCAUCUGCCCCGUUGUCCUCCUCGUCACUUUCGCUCGAGGAAGAGCUUCCAUCGUCGGAAUCUCCAUCGGAGGAGCUCUCCACGCAGCACUUCAGGCGAGUCCCGAAGUCUCCGAAGACCUUGACGGAGAGCAGGCCGUCCUCCAUCAAUUUGAAGUAGAGGACAAGCCCCACCAUUAGGUUGUGGAUGCGAGCGAAUGUCUUCCACCCACGACGGAGGUACAUGACCCGAGGAGCCGGGAAGUCGACAUCGACCCGCGUGCCCCCAUUGCCACAACCCCUCAUGUGCAAUCUGAGCAAACGGGGCGGGAAGACGGAGACGGCGAUGCGGAGGCCCGCGCAGCCUAAUGAAGAACUCGCCGGGCUAGUCUCCGACACGGCCUUCCAUCGGGAAAGGCACCAUUGGCGGGGGCGAAGCCGGCGCGCCGCCCCGUCCUCCUCUUCCCCGAGCACUACGACCUCUGCCCCGGCGUCGCCCAUGGCCUCGCCCCCUCCCCCUUCCCCUCGCGGCCGGUUCCACCACCACGGGCUCAGGAGGAGGAGGGACGCGCUGUCGAGCGGCGACCCUCGCCGCCACCGUCGAGGGACCCGGGUUCCCUUUCUCCAUGGCGAGUGAAAGGAAGAAGCAGAAGCAAGAGGAGGUAGAUGACAGAAGAAUGCGGGACGCCAUCCCCCCUUCCCUUUCUUUAUUAAGGGGCGGGGUCGGGGCUCGGCCGCCCCGCUCAGCCAAUCCAGACACCGGAGGCGCAGGGAAUCAGGACCGACCCGCUGCCCCAACCAGCGACGGCCCGGUUUCCCGCCUCCACCGCUUGCCACCCCGUGCGCAUGAAGGACGUGUGGCGGACGUGCAGAACUGAGGGGACGGGUGAAGCGACCUCUCCCCACCCCGUGAUCGUGGGGAGUGGACGCCUUGAAGACCGCGACCCAGCCCCGUUCAGUAAAUGAGCCGCGCCUCCACGCCUCCCUCUUUUUACGGGGAGGGCGCGAGCCACCUCUUUACUGUGAUGUGACGCGUGCGUGCAGAAAACUGCCCCACGCAUGCCGCCCACGUCACGCACACCCCUCCAGGCCGCGCCGCGCGGGCGGGUCGUGGGAAGAGAAGCGCGCGAAAAGUUUUACCGCGGUAAAAACCACCCCGCCUGCCCGCGCACCGUUUUGGGCCUGGCCCAACAACGUGCCGCGCUUAUGUCUAGCCCAGGCCCGGGGACUCCUGUCGGUGUACAAAAAGAGGGGUGCGUUUUUGUACCCCUAUACCUGUGCACGGGCAGUCGGAGCCGCGCCCCCGGUCACGCCAAGUAGAGCAGGGGAGGUGAGCCAAGGUAAGACCGAAGCCCAAGAUAAUCAGAGCAAAGCCAAGGCCAAGACCACAAAGAGCAGAGGGACGAAGCAGGUUCCCCCGGCAAGACCCUUGCCGGGGCAGCCUCAGCAGCCCCGGCAAGAUCCUUGCCGGGACAGCUCGCCCCACACCAACAGAGCAAGCCACCCUUGAGCCCACGAUCCCCAACGCCAUCAUCAACGUGGGGCCAGGGCUCGGGAAGGCACCUCUGUGGUGGCAUGCAGAUCUUUGUGAAGACAUAUUCAAGAUCGGAUGAGGAUUAGAAGACGACGAUCCUCGGCAAGAUCCUUGCCGAGGGAAGCCACCAGACCCCCGGCAAGGUCCUUGUCGGGGACAACAGCGCGCCACGGCAAGACCCUUGCCGGGCCACCCGGCAAGGCCCUCGCCAAGGACGCCAGCAGGGCCACCGCCAGGCCCACGCCAAACAAGCUUCCACCGCCGUUCACAUGCAGCUGCCAGCCCAACCAGCUGGGCGGGCACCUGCGUGGCAACAUGCAGCUCCCAGGCCAACUCAUCAAGCGCCUGCGUGGCGGCAUGCAGAUCUUCGUGAAGACCCUACUACCGCGCCACCUCAGCUGCCUGCCUGCCUACAUGGCGCCGCACGCAUCGCUGGCCGGGGCGCGUCUCGAAGCGAGGAGGAGCGGCGACGGACGGGACGGACCUCACCCCCGUCCCCGAUAAAGCUAGGGGACACCUCAGUGACGCAUUAAAUGCGUCUUGUCCUGUAAUACGAGCGAUAAGCUCAGAGCACUGUACGCCUUUCCACCUCCUGUGUGCCACUGUGGCAGCCCCUUUCGACUAUAAAAGGAGGCCCAUGGCAUACUGGACAAGGAUUCGGCUCUUUUGAACCACGCACUGACCACAGCUAGUUCGAGAGCUCAAGAACACUCUAAAAUACACCCACCAAAGCAAGACUAGGGUUUUACGCAUCCUCGCGGCCCGAACCUGGGUAAACGAUCCUUGUGCUGUCUACUAGCCCUGCUCUUCUCGCAACCCCGCGCCCCGGCAACCGUAGUAGGGAUUCUUGUGAUCCCAUAGGUGUCAUUCCACACCGACAGAGAGAUCAAUAGUUUCUAUAAAACAAAUCCACCAUCAUGCUCUAAAAGAUAUAAGUGAAGCACUAGAGCAAAAACUAUAUAGCUCAAAAGAUAUAAGUGAAGCACAUAGAGAAUUCUAACAAUUUCCGAAUCAAGUGUGACUCUCUCAAAAGGUGUGUAAAGCAAGGAUGAUUGUGGUAAACAAACAAAUAAAGACUCAACUAAUACAAGACGCUCCAAGCAAAACACAUAUCAUGUGGUGAAUAAAAAUAUAGCUCCAAGUAAAGUUACCGAUGGAAGUAGACGAAAGAGGGGAUGCCUUCCGGGGCAUCCCCAAGCUUUGGCUUUUAGGUGUCCUUAGAAUAUCUUGGGGUGCCAUGGGCAUCCCCAAGCUUAGGCUCUUGCCACUCCUUGUUCCACAAUCCAUCAAAUCUUUCACCCAAAACAUGAAAACUUCACAACACAAAACUCAGCAGAAAAUCUCGUGAGCUCCGUUAGCGAAAGAAAACAAAACACCACUACAAGGUACUGUAAUGAACUCAUUCUUUAUUUAUAUUGUUGUUAAACCUACUGUAUUCCAACUUCUCUAUGGUUUAUAAAGUAUUUUACUAGCCAUAGAUUCAUUAAAAUAAGCAAACAACACACGGAAAACAGAAUCUGUCAAAAACAGAACAGUCUGUAGUAAUCUGUAACUAACGGAAACUUCUGGAACUCCAAAAAAUCUACCAAAAUAGGACGACCUAGAUAAUUUGUUUAUUGAUCAUAAGAACUUGGAAUCAAUAUUUUAUCACGUUCUGAUUAUUUUUACCAAUUAUUUUCGUGAACAGAAAGUUUCUGGAAUUUUCAGCAAGAUCAAAUAACUAUCAUCCAACAAGAUCCUAUAGGUUAAACUUGGCACAAACACUAAUUAAAACAUAAAAACACAUCUAACCAGACUCUAGAUCAAAUAUUUAUUCCUAAACAGGAGAAAAAAAGCAAAAAACUAAAACAAAAUUGGGUUGCCUCCCAACAAGCGCUUUUCUUUAAAGCCUUUUAGCUAGGCAUUGAUAAUUUUUAGUGAUGCUCACAUGAAAGACAAGAAUUGAAGCACAAAGAGAGCAUCAUAAAACACGUGAAAAACACAUCUAAGUCUAACAUACUUCCUAUGCAUAGGCAUAUUAUAGGCAAACAAAUUGUCAAGGCAAGCAAAAACAAGCAUAUGCAAGGAAGCGGAAAGAAACAAUAGCAAUCUCAACAUAACGAGAGGUAAUUUAGUAACACCACUGCUAAGAAUUGUUUUUCAGUAGUAGCAUAGUUUCGUUGAGCACUGUCUAGAGUUUCACUAGGAUAAUGAAUAACAUUCAGUUUCUUAUCAACUCUUUGUCCUAGUACAGCACCAACAGCAUAAUCACUAGCAUCAGACAUAAUUACAAAAGGCAAGUUCCAAUCAGGUGGUUGAACAAUAGGUGCAGAAAUUAAGGCUUUCUCGAGUGCUUCAAAGGCUUCUAAACAAUCAUCAUCAAAAACAAAAGGAAUAUCCUUUUGCAAAAGAUUUGUAAGAGUCCUAGAAAUUUUAGAAAAGUCUUUGAUAAUCUUCUAUAAAAACCAGCAUGACCUAAGAAACUAUGAAUACCUUUUAUAUCUUUAGGACAUGGCAUUUUCUCAAUUGCAUCAACCUUAGCUUUGUCCACUUCAAUACCUCUUUCAGAAAUUUUAUGACCCAAGACAAUGCCUUCAUUAACAAUAAAGUGGCACUUCUCCCAAUUCAAGACAAGAUUUUUUUGUUCACAUCUCUGCAAAACUCGAUCAACAUUGCUUAAAAAUUCAUCAAAAGACUUCCCAUAAACAGAGAAGUCAUCCAUGAAAACCUCAAUAAUCUUUUCACAAAAGUCAGAGAAUAUAGCAGUCAUACAUCUUUGAAAAGUAGCAGGUGCAUUACAUAAACUGAAAGGCAUACAUCUAUAAGCAUAUGUUCCAAAGGGACAAGUAAAAGUGGUGUUUUCUUGAUCAGGUUGAGAAACAGGUAUUUGUGAAAAAACAGAAUAUCCAUCAAGGAAGCAAAAAUGUGUGUGCAGUGGUCUUUUCUUGAUCAGGUUGAGAAACAGGUAUUUGUGAAAAACUAGAAUAUUCAUCAAGGAAGAAAAAAUGUGUGUGCUUAGAUAAUCUUUCAACCAUUUGAUCAAUAAACGGCAGAGGGUAAUGAUCUUUUCUAGUUGCUUUGUUUAAUUUUAUAAAAUCAAAUACCAUUCUAUAGCCUGUAACAAUUCUUUGUGGAAUAAGUUCAUUCUUAUCAUUAGGAACAACAGUUAUACCUCCUUUCUUAGGGAUACAAUGGACAUGACUUACCCAUCUACUAUCAGCUAUGAGACAGAUUAUACCUGCUUCCAGAAGUUUUAAGAUUUCCGUUCUUACCACUUCCUUCAUUUUUGGGUUUAACCGACAUUGGUGAUCAACAAAGGGUUUAGCAUCAGGUUCCAUAUUAAAUUUGUGCUAACAUAGAGUGGGACUAAUGCCCUUUAAAUCAUCAAGAGUAUAUCCAAUAGCAGCUCGGUGCUUCCUUAGAACAUUCAAUAAUCUUUCUUCUUCAUGUUCUGAAAGGUUAGCACUAAUAAUAAUAGGAUAUAUCUUCUUUUCAUCAAGAUAAGCAUAUUUCAAAGUGUCUGGCAAUUGUUUUAAUUCAAACACAGGAUCACCUUUAGGUGGAGGUGAACCUCCUAGAGUUUCAAUAGGCAAAUUGUGUUUAAGCAGAGGACGUUGUUCAAAGAAAAUCUUAUCUAUUUCAUUUCUUUCAUGCAUAUGUAAAUCAUUUUCAUGGUCUAGCAAAUAUUAUUCUAAAGGAUCAGUAGGUGCCACAGCAAUAGAAGAAAGACCAAUUAUUUCAUCCACAUUAGGCAAUUAUUUUUCAUGAAGCUUUCUACUAAACUUGGAAAAAUUAAACUCAUGAGACUCAUCACCAAAACUAACACUAACAGUUUGUUUCUCACAAUCUAUUCUAGCAUUAACGAUGUUCAAGAAAGGUCUACCAAAGAUAAUGGGACAAAAGUCAUCUUGUGGGGAACCAAGAACAAGAAAAUCAGUAGGGUAUUUUAUUUCCCACACAAGACUUCAACAUCUCUAACAAUCAUAAUUGGUGAUAUAGUGUCUCUAUUAGCAAGUUUGAUAGUAACAUCUAUGUCUUCUAUCUCUGCGGGUGCUAUGUCAUUCAUAAUUCUUGAUAUAAGGUGUAAGGAAUAGCACUCACACUAGCACCUACGUCACAUAAACCAUGAUACCAGUGAUCUCCUAUUUUAACUGAGAUGACAGGCAUGCCAACAACAGGUCUAUGUUUAUCCUUUUUAUCAGGUUUGGCAAUUCUAGCAGCUUCUUCACAGAAGUAAAUAACAUGCCCAUCUACAUUUUCUUCCAAGAGAUCUUUAACCAUAGAAAUACUAGGUUCUACUUUAAUUUGUUCAUCAGUUUUAGGUUUUCUAAUAUAGCUCUUGUUGACCACAGUUGAAACUUUAGCAUGUUUCUUUAUCCUAACAGGGAAAGGUGGUUUCUCAAUAUAAGCAGAAGGAACAACUGGAUCAACAUUGUAAAGUUUAGUUUCUUCUUUAACUGGUAUCGGUUCUUUGAUUUCUUCUUUAAUAGGUGGGUGAUAUUGAAGGGUAACGUAGUAAUUUUUCCAAAAAAAUCCUACGCACACGCAAGAUCAUGGUGAUGCAUAGCAACGAGAGGGGAGAGUGUUGUCCACGUACCCUCGUAGAGCGAUAGCGGAAGCGUUAACACAACGCGGUUGAUGUAGUCGUACGUCUUCAUGAUCCAACCGAUCAAGUACCGAACGCACGGCACCUCCGAGUUCAGCACACGUUCAGCUCGAUGACGUCCCUCGAACUCCGAUCCAGCCGAGUGUCGAGGGAGAGUUUCGUCAGCACGAUGGCGUGGUGACGAUGAUGUUUCACCGACGCAGGGAUUCGCCUAAGCUCCGCAACGGUAUUAUCGAGGUGUAAUAUGGUGGAGGGGGGCACCGCACACGGCUAAAAUAUCGUAUAUCAAGUGUGUGUCUGUGGGGUGCCCCCCUGCCCCCGUAUAUAAAGGAGCAAGGGGGAGGCAGCCGGCCAAGGGGAGAGGCGCGCCAAAGGGGGGAGUCCUACUCCCACCGGGAGUAGGACUCCUCCUUUCCUUGUUGGAAUAGGAGAAGGGAAGGGGGAAGGAGAAAGAAGGAAGGGGGCGCCCCCCUUCCCUAGUCCAAUUCGGACCAGACCAUGGGGAGGGGCGCGGCCACCCUUUGAGGCCUUUCUCUCCUUUCCCGUAUGGCCCAUUAAGGCCCAAUACGAAUUCCCGUAACUCUACGGUACUCCGAAAAAUACCCGAAUCACUCGGAACCUUUCCGAUGUCUGAAUAUAGUCGUCCAAUAUAUCGAUCUUUACGUCUCGACCAUUUCGAGACUCCUCGUCAUAUCCCCGACCUCAUCCGGGACUCCGAACUCCUUUGGUACAUCAAAACUCAAUAAAACUGUCAUCGUAACGUUAAGCGUGCGGACCCUACGGGUUCGAGAACUAUGUAGACAUGACCGAGACACCUCUCCGGUCAAUAACCAAUAGCGGGACCUGGAUGCCCAUAUUGGCUCCCACAUAUUCUACGAAGAACUUUAUCGGUCAGACCGCAAAACAACAUACGUUGUUCCCUUUGUCAUCGGUAUGUUACUUGCCCGAGAUUCGAUCAUCGGUAUCUCGAUACCUAGUUCAAUCUCGUUACCGGCAAGUCUCUUUACUCGUUCCGUAAUACAUCAUCCCGCAACUAACUCAUUAGUCACAAUGCUUGCAAGGCUUAUAGUGAUGUGCAUUACCGAGUGGGCCCAGAGAUACCUCUCCGACAAUCGGAGUGACAAAUCCUAAUCUCGAAAUACGCCAACCCAACAAGUACCUUUGGAGACACCUGUAGAGCACCUUUAUAAUCACCCAUUUACGUUGUGACGUUUGGUAGCACACAAAGUGUUCCUCCGGUAAACGGGAGUUGCAUAAUCUCAUAGUCAUAGGAACAUGUAUAAGUCAUGAAGAAAGCAAUAGCAACAUACUAAACGAUCGAGUGCUAAGCUAACGGAAUGGGUCAAGUCAAUCACAUCAUUCUCCUAAUGAUGUGAUCUCGUUAAUAAAAUGACAACCCAUGUCAAUGGCUAGGAAACUUAACCAUCUUUGAUCAACGAGCUAGUCAAGUAGAGGCAUACUAGUGACACUCUGUUUGUCUAUGUAUUCACACAUGUAUUAUGUUUCUGGUUAAUACAAUUCUAGCAUGAAUAAUAAACAUUUAUCAUGAUAUAAGGAAAUAAUAAUAACUUUAUUAUUGCCUCUAGGGCAUAUUUCCUUCAGUCUCCCACUUGCACUAGAGUCAAUAAUCUUGUUCACAUCACCAUGUGAUUUAACAUCAAUAGAUCACAUCACCAUGUGAUUAACACCCAUAGUUCACAUCGUCAUGUGACCAACACCCAAAGGGUUUACUAGAGUCAGUAAUCUAGUUCACAUCGCUAUGUGAUUAACACCCAAAGAGUAUGAAGGUGUGAUCAUGUUUUGCUUGUGAGAUAAUUUUAGUCAACGGGUCUGUCACAUUCAGAUCCGUAAGUAUUUUGCAAAUUUCUAUGUCUACAAUGCUCUGCACGGAGCUACUCAAGCUAAUUGCUCCCACUUUCAAUAUGUAUCUAGACCGAGACUUAGAGUCAUCUAGAUUAGUGUCAAAACUUGCAUCGACGUAACCCUUUACGACGAACCUUUUGUCACUUCCAUAAUCGAGAAACAUAUCCUUAUUCCACUAAGGAUAAUUUUGACCGCUGUCCAGUGAUCUACUCCUAGAUCAAUAUUGUACUCCCUUGCCAAAAUCAGUGUAGGGUAUACAAUAGAUCUGGUACACAGCAUGGCAUACUUUAUAGAACCUAUGGCCAAGGCAUAGGGAAUGACUUUCAUUCUCUUUCUAUCUUCUGCCGUGGUCGGGUUUUGAGUCUUACUCAAUUUCGCACCUUGUAACACAGGCAAGAACUCUUUCUUUGACUGUUCUAUUUUGAACUACUUCAAAAUCUUGUUAAGGUAUGUACUUAUUGAAAAAAAACUUAUCAAUCGUCUUGAUCUAUCUCUAUAGAUCUUGAUACUCAAUAUAUAAGCAGCUUCACCGAGGUCUUUCUUUGAAAAAUUCCUUUCAAACACUCCUUUAUGCUUUGCAGAAUAAUUCUACAUUAUUUCCGAUCAACAAUAUGUCAUUCACAUAUACUUAUCAGAAAUGUUGUAGUGCUCCCACUCACUUUCUUGUAAAUACAGGCUUCACCGCAAGUCUGUAUAAAACUAUAUCCUUUGAUCACCUUAUCAAAGCGUAUAUUCCAACUCCGAUAUGCUUGCACCAGUCCAUAGAUGGAUCCCUGGAGCUUGCAUAUUUUGUUAGCACUUUUAGGAUUGACAAAACUUCCUGGUUGCAUCAUAUACAACUUUCUUUAAUAAAUCCAUUAAGGAAUGCAGUUUUGUUUAUCCAUUUGCCAUAUUUCAUAAAAUGCGGCAAUUGCUAACAUGAUUCGGACAGACUUAAGCAUAGAUACGAGUGAGAAACUCUCAUCGUAGUCAACACUUUGAACUUGUCGAAAAACCUUUUUGCGACAAUUCUAGCUUUGUAGAUAGUAACACUACUAUCAGCGUCCGUCUUCCUCUUGAAGAUUCAUUUAUUUUCUAUGGCUUGCCGAUCAUCGGGCAAGUCAACCAAAGUCCAUACUUUGUUCUCAUACAUGGAUCUCAUCUUAGAUUUCAUGGCCUCAAGCCAUUUUGCGGAAUCUGGGCUCACCAUCGCUUCUUCAUAGUUCGUAGGUUCGUCAUGGUCUAGUAACAUAACCUCCAGAACAGGAUUACCGUACCACUCUGGUGCGGAUCUUACUCUAGUUUACCUACGAGGUUUGGUAGUAACUUGAUCUGAAGUUACAUGAUCAUCAUCAUUAACUUCCUCACUAAUUGGUGUAGGAGUCACAGGAACAGAUUUCUGUGAUGAGCUACUUUCCAAUAAGGGAGCAGGUACAGUUACCUCAUCAAGUUCUACUUUCCUCCCACUCACUUCUUUCGAGAGAAACUCCUUCUCUAGAAAGGAUCCAUACUUAGCAACAAAUGUCUUGCCUUCGGAUCUGUGAUAGAAGGUGUACCCAACUGUCUCCUUUGGGUAUCCUAUGAAGACACAUUUCUCCUAUUUGGGUUUGAGCUUAUCAGGAUGAAACUUUUUCACAUAAGCAUCGCAACCCCAAACUUUAAGAAACGACAACUUUGGUUUCUUGCCAAACCACAGUUCAUAAGAUGUCGUCUCAACGGAUUUAGAUGGUACCCUAUUUAACGUGAAUGUAGCUGUCUCUAAUGCAUAACCCCAAAACGAUAGUGGUAGAUCGGUAAGAGACAUCAUAUAUCGCACCAUAUCUAAUAAAGUACGGUUACGAUGUUCGGACACACCAUUACACCGUGGUGUUCCAGGUGGCGUGAGUAGUGAAACUAUUUCACAUUGUUUUAACUGAAGGCCAAACUCGUAACUCAAAUAUUCUUCUCCACGAUCAGAUCGUAGAAACUUUAUUUUCUUGUUACGAUGAUUUUCCGCUUCACUCUGAAAUUAUAUGAACUUUUCAAAUGUUUCAGACUUCUGUUUCAUUAAGUAGAUAUACCCAUAUCUGCUCAAAUCAUCUGUGAAGGUCAGAAAAUAAUGAUACCUGCUACGAGCCUCAAUAUUCAUCGGACCACAUACAUCUGUAUGUAUGAUUUCCAACAAAUCUGUUGCUCUCUCCAUAGUCCGGAGAACGGCGUUUUAGUCAUCUUGCCCAUGAGGCACGGUUCGCAAGCAUCAAGUGAUUCAUAAUCAAGUGAUUCCAAAAUCCCAUCAGUAUGGAGUUUCUUCAUGCGCUUUACACCAAUAUGACCUAAACGGCAGUGCCACAAAUAAGUUGCACUAUCAUUAUUGACUUUGCAUCUUUUGGCUUCAUGAAUAUGUGUAUCACUAUAAUCGAGAUCCAACAAACCAUUUUAUUGGGUGUAUGACCAUAGAAGGUUUUAUUCAUGUAAACAGAACAACAAUUAUUCUCUAAUUUAAAUGAAUAACCGUAUUGCAACAAACAUGAUCAAAUCAUAUUCAUGCUCAACGCAAACACCAAAUAACACUUAUUUAGUUUCAACACUAAUCCCGAAAGUAUAGGGAGUGUGCGAUGAUGAUCAUAUCAAUCUUGGAACUACUUCCAACACACAUCGUCACCUCGCCUUUUACUAGUCUCUGUUUAUUCUGCAACUCCCGUUUCGAGUUACUACUCUUAGCAACUGAACCAGUAUCAAAUACCGAGGGGUUGCUAUAAACACUAGUAAAGUACACAUCAAUAACAUGUAUAUCCAAUAUACCUUUGUUCACUUUGCCAUCCUUCUUCUCCACCAAAUAGUUGGGGUAGUUCCGCUUCCAGUGACUAGUCCCUUUGCAGUAGAAGCACUUAGUCUCAGGCUUAGGACCAGACUUAGGCUUCUUCACUUGAGCAGCAACUUGCUUGCCGUUCUUCUUGAAGUUCCCCUUCUUCCCUUUGCCCUUUUUCUUGAAACUAGUGGUCUCGUCAACCAUCAACACUUGAUGUUUUUCUUGAUUUCGACCUUCGUCGAUUUCAGCAUCAUGAAGAGCUCGGGAAUUACUUUCGUCAUCCCUUGCAUACUAUAGUUCAUCACGAAGUUCUACUAACUUGGUGAUGGUGACUAGAGAAUUCUGUCAAUCACUAUUUUAUCUAGAAGAUUAACUCCCACUUGAUUCAAGCGAUUGUAGUACCCAGACAAUCUGAGCACAUGCUCACUGCUUGAGCUAUUCUCCUCCAUCUUUUAGCUAUAGAACUUGUUGGAGACCUCAUAUCUCUCAACUCGGGUAUUUGCUUGAAAUAUUAACUUCAACUCCUGGAACAUCUCAUAUGGUCCAUGACGUUCAAAACGCCUUUGAAGUCCCGAUUCUAAGCCGUUAAGCAUGGUGCACUAAACUAUCAAGUAGUCAUCAUAUUGAGCUAACCAAACGUUCAUAACAUCUGCAUCUGCUCCUGCAAUAAGUCUGUCACCUAGCGGUGCAUCAAGGACAUAAUUCUUCUGUGCAGCAAUGAGGAUAAUCCUCAUAUCACGGAUCCAAUCCGCAUCAUUGCUACUAACAUCUUUCAACAUAAUUUUUCUCUAGGAACAUAUCAAAAUAAACAUAGGGAAGCAACAACGCGAGCUAUUGAUCUACAACAUAAUUUGCAAAAUACUAUCAGGACUAAGUUCAUGAUAAAUUUAAGUUCUAUUAAUCAUAUUACUUAAGAACUCCCACUUAGAUAGACAUCCCUCUAAUCCUCUAAGUGAUCACGUGAUCCAUAUCAACUAAACCAUGUCCGAUCAUCACGUGAGAUGGAGUAGUUUCAACGGUGAACAUCACUAUGUUGAUCAUAUCUACUAUAUGAUUCACGCUCGACCUUUCGGUCUCAGUGUUCCGAGGCCAUAUCUGCAUAUGCUAGGCUCGUCAAGUUUAACCUAAGUAUUCCGCAUGUGCAACUGUUUUGCACCCGUUGUAUUUGAACGUAGAGCCUAUCACACCCGAUCAUCACGUGGUGUCUCAGCACGAAGAACUUUCGCAACGGUGCAUACUCAGGGAGAACACUUUUAUCUUGAAAUUUUAGUGAGAGAUCAUCUUAUAAUGCUUCCGUCAAUCAAAGCAAGAUAAGAUGCAUAAAAGAUAAACAUCGCAUGCAAUCAAUAUAAGUGAUAUGAUAUGGCCAUCAUCAUCUUGUGCUUGUGAUCUCCAUCUCCGAAGCACCGUCAUGAUCACCAUCGUCACCGGCGCGACACCUUGAUCUCCAUCGUAGCAUCGUUGUCGUCUUGCCAACUAUUGCUUUUACGACUAUCGCUACCGCUUAGUGAUGAAGUAAAACAAUUACAUGGCAAUUGCAUUGCAUACAAUAAAGCGACAACCAUAUGGCUCCUGCCAGUUGCCGAUAACUCGGUUAGAAAACAUGAUCAUCUCAAACAAUAAAAUAUAGCAUCAUGUCUUGACCAUAUCACAUCACAACAUGCCCUGCAAAAACAAGUUAGACGUCCUCUACUUUGUUGUUGCAAGUUUUACGUGGCUGCUACGGGCUUAGCAAGAACCGUUCUUACCUACGCAUCAAAACCACAACGAUAGUUUGUCAAGUUGGUGCUGUUUUAACCUUCGCAAGGACCGGGCGUAGCCACACUCGGUUCAACUAAAGUGAGAGAGAUAGACACCCGCCGGUCACCUUUAAGCAACGAGUGCUCGAAACGGUGAAACCAGUCUCGCGUAAGCGUACGCGUAAUGUCGGUCCGGGCCGCUUCAUCUCACAAUACCGCUGAAGCAAAGUAUGACAUGCUGGUAAGCAGUAUGACUUAUAUUGCCCACAACUCACUUGUGUUCUACUCGUGCAUAGCAUCAACACAUAAAACCAGGCUCGGAUGCCACUGUUGGGUAACGUAGUAAUUUCAAAAAAAUUCGUACGCACACGCAAGAUCAUGGUGAUGCAUAGCAACGAGAGGGGAGAGUGUUGUCCACGUACCCUCGUAGACCGAUAGCGGAAGCGUUAACACAACGCGGUUGAUGUAGUCGUACGUCAUCACGAUCCGACCGAUUAAGUACCGAACGCACGGCACCUCCGAGUUCAGCACACGUUCAGCUCGACCACGUCCCUCGAACUCCGAUCCAGCCGAGUGUUCAGGGAGAGUUUCGUCAGCACGACGGCGUGGUGACGAUGAUGUUCCACCGACGCAGGGCUUCGCCUAAGCUCCGCAACGGUAUUAUCGAGGUGUAAUAUGGUGGAGGGGGGCACCGCACACGGCUAAAAUAUCGUAUAUCAAGUGUGUGUCUGUGGGGUGCCCCCCUGCCCCCGUAUAUAAAGGAGCAAGGGGGAGGCAGCCGGCCAAGGGGAGAGGCGCGCCAAAGGGCACCGGGAGUAGGACUCCUCCUUCCCUUGUUGGAAUAGGAGAAGGGAAGGGAGAAGGAGAAAGAAGGAAGGGGGCGCCCCCCUUCCCUAGUCCAAUUCGGACCAGACCAUGGGGAGGGGUGCGGCCACCUUUUGAGGCCUUUCUCUCCUUUCCCGUAUGGCCCAUUAAGGCCCAAUACGAAUUCCCGUAACUCUACGGUACUCCGAAAAAUACCCGAAUCACUCGGAACCUUUCCGAUGUCCAAAUAUAGUCAUCCAAUAUAUCGAUCUUUAUGUCUCGACCAUUUCGAGACUCCUCGUCAUAUCCCCAAUCUCUUCCGGGACUCCGAACUCCUUUGAUACAUCAAAACUCAAUAAAACUGUCAUCGUAACGUUAAGCGUGCGGACCCUACGGGUUCGAGAACUAUGUAGACAUGACCGAGACACCUCUCCGGUCAAUAACCAAUAGCGGGACCUGGAUGCCCAUAUUGGCUCCCACAUAUUCUACGAAGAUCUUUAUCGGUCAGACCGCAUAACAACAUACGUUGUUCCCUUUGUCAUCGGUAUGUUACUUGCCCGAGAUUCGAUCGUCGGUAUCUCGAUACCUAAUUCAAUCUCGUUACCGGCAAGUCUCUUUACUCGUUCCGUAAUACAUCAUCCCGCAACUAACUCAUUAGUCACAAUGCUUGCAAGGCUUAUAGUGAUGUGCAUUACCGAGUGGGCCCAGAGAUACCUCUCCAACAAUCGGAGUGACAAAUCCUAAUCUCGAAAUACGCCAACCCAACAAGUACCUUUGGAGACACCUGUAGAGCACCUUUAUAAUCACCCAUUUACGUUGUGACGUUUGGUAGCACACAAAGUGUUUCUCCGGCAAACGGGAGUUGCAUAAUCUCAUAGUCAUAGGAACAUGUAUAAGUCAUGAAGAAAGCAAUAGCAACAUACUAAACGAUCGAGUGCUAAGCUAACGGAAUGGGUCAAGUCAAUCACAUCAUUCUCCUAAUGAUGUGACCUCGUUAAUCAAAUGACAACCCAUGUCAAUGGCUAGGAAACUUAACCAUCUUUAUCAACGAGCUAGUCAAGUAGAGGCAUACUAGUGACACUCUGUUUGUCUAUGUAUUCACACAUGUAUUAUGUUUCCGGUUAAUACAAUUCUAGCAUGUAUAAUAAACAUUUAUCAUGAUAUAAGGAAAUAAUAAUAACUUUAUUAUUUCCUCUAGGGCAUAUUUCCUUCAGAUAUUUAAACCACUUCUCUUUAGGGAGAUCAACAUGAGUAGCAAAUGAUUCACAAAAAUUGGCUACUAUCUCAGAGUCAAGUCCAUAUUUAGUGCUAAACUUUUGAAAAGCAUCGGUAUCCCUAAAAGAUUUAACACAAUCAUACUUAAGUUUAAUACAUGACUCUUUACAUUCGUCGAGUUCCCAAUCUUCAGAGUUAUGUUUAAUUCUUUCCAAAAGAUCCCAUCGGAAUUCAAUAGUCUUCUUCAUAAAAUAACUAGCACAAGAAGUAUCAAGCAUGGUUUGAUCAUUACGAGAAAGCCGAGCAUAAAAGUUCUGGAUAGUAAUUUCUCUUGAGAGCUCAUGAUUGGGGCAUGAAUGUAACAUUGACUUAAGCCUCCCCCAAGCUACAGCGAUACUUUCUCCUUCACGAGGCCAAAAACUAUAUAUAUAAUUCCGAUCACGAUGAACUAGAUGCAUAUGAUAAUUUUUUUGGUGGAACUCCAAUUUCAAACGAUUCCAAUUCCAAGAUCCAAUAUCACCACAUAGCCUAUACCAUGCCAAUGCUUUUCCCUUUAAAGAUAAAGGGAAAACCUUCUUCAUAAAUUCAUCGCUGGGUAAACCUGCAAGCUUGAACAAUCCACGAAUUUUUUCUACAUAUAUCAAGUGCAUAUCAGGAUGUUCGGUUCCAUCUCCUGCACAAGGAUUAGCUAGCUGUUGUUCUAACAUACCCGAAGGAAUUUCAUAUUCAAUAUUUUCAGUAGGUGCAUUAGGUUGAGUGGCAGCUAAUUAUGGUUUCGGUCGAGGUGAAGAUACCCCAAACAAACCCCUCAAAGGAUUGUUUCCAUAGUAACAAGUGACAGUAAGUUUCAGCACACUAUAUAAAUGUUUCCUUACCAAAUUCCACUUACCAAAGGCGCUUCACUCCCCGGCAACGGCGCCAGAAAAUAGCCUUGAUGACCCACAACUAUAGGGGAUCAAUUGUAGCUCUUUUUGAUAAGUAAGAGUGUCAAACCCAACGAGGAGCAGAAGGAAAUGACAAGUGGUUUUCAGCAUGGUAAUGUCUGCAAGUGCUGAAAUUGUAAGUAGCAGAGUAGUUUGAUAGCAAGAUAAUUUGUAACGAGCAAGUAACGAUAAUAGUAACAAAAGUGUAGAAAGGUAGCCCAAUCCUUUUGAGGCAAAGGACAGGCCAAAAUAGUCACUUAUGAUAAGCAAAGCGUUCUUGAGGGUACACGGGAAUUUCAUCUAGUCACUUUCAUCAUGUUGGUUUAAUUCAUGUUCGGUACUUUGAUAAUUUGAUAUGUGGGUGGACCGGUGCUUAGGUGCUGUUAUUACUUGAACAAACCUCCUAAUUGUGAUCAACCCUCCCGCAAGCAUCCGCAACUAUGAGAAAAGUAUUAAGAAUAAAUUCUAACCAUAGCAUUAAACUUUUGGAUCCAAUCGGUGCCUUACGGAAUAGCGCAUAAACUGGGGUUUAAGCUUCUGUCACUCUCGCAACCCAUCAUAUAUUUGCUACUCCACAAUCCAUUCCCUUAGGCACAAAUAUGGUGAAGUGUCAUGUAGUCAACGUUCACAUGACACCACUAAGGGAAUCACAACAUACAUACUAUCAAAAUAUCGAACACAUAUCAAAUUCACAUGAUUACUUGCAACAUGAUUUCUCCCGUGACCUCAAGAACAAAAGUAACUACCCACAUAUGAUAAACAUGCUCAUGAUCAGAGGGGCAUUAAAUAGCAUAUUGGAUCUGAACAUAUAAUCUUCCACCAAAUAAACCAUAUAGUAAUCAACUACAAGAUGUAAUCAACACUACUAGUCACCCACAAGCACCAAUCUAUAGUUCCGGUAACAAGAUUGAACACAAGAGAUGAACUAGGGUUUGAGAUGAGAUGGUGUUGUUGAAGAUAUUGAUGGAGAUUGCCCUUCCCAAGAUGGGAGAUUUGUUGGUAAUGAUGAUGACGAUGAUUUCCCCCUCCGGGGGGGAAGUUCCCCCGGCGGAAUCGCUCCGCUGGAGGGCAAAAUUGCUCCUGCCCAAGUUCCGCCUCGAGAAGGCGGCGCUCCGUCCCGAAAGUCCUCUCCUUAUUUUUGUAGGUCAAAACGACCUAUAUACUAGAGGAUGGGCACCGGAGGUGGGCCUGGGUGAGCACAACCCACCAGGGCGCGCCUGGGCUCCCUGGCAUGCCCAGGUGGGUUGUGCCCACUUGGUGGGUCCCCUCUGGUAGUUAUUUGCUCCAAUAUUCCUCAUAUAUUUGAUAAAAAAUCUCCGUUAUGUUUUAACUUGUUUGGGGUUGUGCAGAAUAGGUGGCCUGACGUAGCUUUUCCAGGUCCAGAUUUCCAGCUGCCGGAAUUCUCCCUCUUUGUGUAUACCUUGCAUAUUAUGAGAGAAAAGGCAUUAGAAUUACUCCAAAAAGCAUUAUUAUGGAUAAAAACAUCAUAAAUAACAGUAAGAAAACAUGACGCAAAAUGGACGUAUCAAGACGCAUCUGCAUGACAUUCUUUGGGCCAUCAAUGACGGAAAAAAUCGUGGUAGAAGCGAGGGAGAGGAAAUAUCGCGGAGUUCCCGGUUAUGGUGGGUGGUCGAUCAGGGCCGAGCGAUGCAGUGUGGUUUGCGCGUUUCUCUUGUGUACGCGCAUGUGUGCGAGGCGUUGGCUAACUGAACCCGGAGCGAUCGCAUGUUACUGAACCCGAGCGAUCGAUCCCUUGGCUAUUAACUCAACCCAAGCGAUUCACUCGCUGCUGACUGAACCCGAGCAAUUCCUUCGCUGCUGCUGCUAACUGAACCCAAGCAAUCACUGCUGCUGCUUACUCAAGCCGAUCGAGACGGUGUUGGGUUGCUGAGGGAGUCCUGGACUAAGGGGUCCUCGGGCGUCCGGCCUGUUAGCUGUGGGCUGGACUGAUGGGCUGUGAAGAUACAAAGGCCGAAGACUGUACCCGUGUUCGGAUGGGACUCUCCUUGGUGUGGAAGGCAAGCUUGGCGACCGGAUAUGUAGAUUCCUUUCUUUGUAACCGACCUUGUGUAACCCUAGAUCCUCCCGGUGUCUAUAUAAACCGGAGGACUUAGUCCGGAAAGGUAGAUACUCAUUGCCAUAGUCAUACAGGCUAGACUUCUAGGGUUUAGCCAUUACGAUCUCGUGGUAGAUCAACUCUUGUAAUACUCAUAUCCAUCAAGAUCAAUCAAGCAGGAAGUAGGGUAUUACCUCCAUAGAGAGGGCCCAAACCUGGGUAAAAAUCGUGUCCCCUAUCUCGUGUUACCAUCGACCUUAGACGCACAGUUCGGGACCCCCUACCCGAGAUCCGCCGGUUUUGACACCGACAUUGGUGCUUUCAUUGAGAGUUCCACUGUGCCGUCGACGAGAGGUUCGAUGACCCCUUCAAUCAUUGAUAGUGACGCUGUCCAAGGAGAAACCUUCCUCCCCGGACAGAUCUUCGUGUUCGGCGGCUUCGCACUGCGGGCCAACUCGUUUGGCCACCUGGAGCAGAUCGAUAGCUACGCCCCUUGCCAUCAGGUCAAAUUCGGGAGUUUGAACUACGUUGCGGACAUCCAUGGAGAUUUGAUCUUCACCGGAUUCGAGACCGCGGCGACCGCUCCCGGUCACCUUGACGAACAUGACCUAAAGUUGUCGCCAGACCGCAUCCAGGAGAUAGCUCUUGUGACUACUCUGGCCUUAGAUUCAGAGCACACUGCGGCAUCCAAGGAUCGGAGGCUCGACCCCACCACGAAGGCCACAGACUCCCCGGUGUUGGAGCUGCACAUGGACUUAACCUCACACAAUAUCUGUGUCACCGGAAUCCCGGACUCGUCUCUGGUUAUAAGUCCCGAACCAUGUGAGCCCGCGGACGCCGAACUCGAUCAUUCAUCGAUUUUCGAAUUCAGCACCGCAGACAUCUUCCAGCGCUCGCCUUUGGGCGAUGUGGUAAACUCAUUAAAGAGCCUGUCCUUGGCGGGGGACUCACAGCCGAGCUAUGUCCGGUUCAAACUAGGGGCUGACGAUCGAGAAUUUUACUUCCCACCCGCCACCCACUUCAUAGCCACUGUCGAGGACUUAACCGACAUGCUUGAUUACAGCUCCGAAGACAUCGACGGUAUGGACGACGAUGCCGAUGGGGAGCAAGGCCAAGACCCGCCAUUCACGGGACGUUGGACGGCCACUUCCUCAUACGACGUAUACAUGGUAGAUACGCCCAAAAAUAAUAGCGGCGAUGACAAGGAAAACCCAGUGAAGGAGGACCCUCCUAAGACACAACCAAAGCACCGGUGUCAACGGUGCCGCUCUAAAUCACGCCGCAACAGAGAUAACAAUGCCGACACAGGAAAUGACAACACUCCGGAUGGUGCCGAAGACACAGAGGAGCCCGAGGAACAAACUGCCGAACAAGACCAUCGGGAAGAGGGGCAAUUCUGCCCUGACGAACAGGCCACGGAAGAAGACUCGGAGGAUGGUAGUUACCAUCCGCUCUCCGAGGAUGAGGUGAGCCUCGGCAACAAAGACUUCAUCGUGCCUGAGGAACCUCUCGAGCGGGAGUGCUUUAAGUUUCAGCUAAUAGCCACCGCGAGGAGCCUGAAAAAGAAGCAGCAGCAGGUUCAAGCUGAUCAAGACCUGCUCAAUGACAGAUGGACCGAUGUCCUCGCAGCCGAAGAAUACGGCCUCAAACAACCAGCCAAAAGUUACCCGAAGCGCAAAUUGCUACCUCGGUUCGAUGAUGAGGCACCAGAACCCGCACCAGCAUCACGCAAUGCGGUCGAUCGGCCACAGCGCGGCCGGGAUAAAACGGCAACCCGAGCCGAAAAGCGGAUAGUCCCACCUCGCCGUAAAGGCAAGGAUAAGACAGCUCGGGGCUAUACAUAUGACCUUCGUCAAGACCUGGAUAGCAGAGCAGGACAUACAAGAUCGAUCUACGGAUCGCGAGGAUGUGCCUUGACAUGCGAUGACGGCUACCUAUUCGGACGCAACAAACCUAGUCAUGCUCGAGCCGAUAACUAUAGACGGACUCCAUCGGAGCUACGUCGCGACGCGGCUCGAUAUAGAGGCAUCGCACACCCUCUUUGCUUCACUGAUGAAGUAAUGGACCAUGAAUUCCCCAAAGGGUUCAAACCCGUCAAUAUUGAAUCAUACGACGGAACAACCGAUCCCGCGGUAUGGAUCAAGGAUUUUAUUCUCCACAUUCACAUGGCCCGCGGAGAUGACCUCCAUGCUAUCAAAUACCUCCCACUAAAACUCAAAGGGCCAGCUAGGCACUGGUUAAACAGCCUGCGUGAAAAUUCCAUCGGCAGCUGGGAGGACUUCGAAGAAGCCUUUCUCGACAACUUCCAAGGCACAUAUGUCCGGCCGCCAGACACCGAUGACUUAAGUCACAUAGUUCAACAGCCCAGGGAGUCAGCCAGGAAAUUCUGGACUAGGUUCCUAACUAAAAAGAACCAGAUCGUCAACUAUCCGGAUGCAGAAGCCCUAGCGGCCUUUAAACACAGCAUCCGCGAUGAAUGGCUCGCCCGCCACCUCGGCCAAGAAAAGCCGAAAUCUAUGGCCGCCCUCACGGGCCUCAUGACCCGCUUUUGUGCGGGUGAGGACAGUUGGCUGGCUCGUAGUAAAAAUACGGCCAGCGAGGCAGGCCCCUCCGAGGCCAAAAACAGCAAUAGCAAGCUCCGACGCAGCAGACACAAACGCCGAAGCAAUGGCGAUAACACCGAUGAAACUGCUGUAAACGCCGGAUUCAACGGCUCCAAGUCCGGUCAGCGGAAAAAGCCAUAUCAAAGAAACAAUCAGGGACCAUCUAGCAUGAACCACAUACUUGACCGUCCAUGCCAAAUCCAUGGCACCCCGCACAAACCAGCCAAUCAUACCAACAAAGAUUGCUGGGUUUUUAAGCAAGCCGGCAAGUUAAACACCGAGAAUAAGGAAAAGGGAUCGCAGAGCGAGGACGAUGACGAGGAGCCCCUGCAGCCAACCACAGGGGGACAGAAGAAGUUUCCCCCUCAAGUAAAAACGGUGAAUAUGAUAUACGCUACACACAUCCCCAAAAGGGAACGCAAGCGCGCACUAAGGGACGUUUAUGCGAUAGAGCCAGUCGCCCCAAAAUUCAACCCAUGUUCAUCAUGCCCGAUCACUUUUGAUCGUCGAGAUCAUCCGACCAGUAUCCGACACGGCGGAUCAGCCGCACUAGUCCUAGACCCAAUCAUCGACGGAUUGCACCUAACGCGAGUCCUCAGGGACGGUGGCAACAACCUCAAUCUGCUCUAUCAGGACACAGUAUGCAAAAUGGGCAUUAACCCAUCAUGGAUCAAACCCACAAGGACUACCUUUAAAGGAGUCAUACCAGGCGUAGAGGCCCGCUGUACGGGCUUAAUCACACUAGAGGUUGUCUUCGGAUCUCCGGAUAACUUCCGAAGCGAGGAGUUAAUCUUCGAUAUCGUCCCCUUACGCAGCGGCUAUCAUGCACUGCUCGGACGAACCGCAUUCGCUCGAUUCAAUGCGGUACCUCACUACGCUUAUCUCAAGCUGAAGAUGCCCGGACCACGUGGCGUCAUAACAAUCAAUGGAAAUACGGGCCCUCCGUACCGAGAAGCACACAACGGCCUUAGCAGCAGGAAUACAGCGCGGCCUUUUUCAGCAGAACUUUAGUUUAGCGUCCAAGCCCCCGGACACCAUUAAUUAGCAAUUUGGGCUCCGUCCCAGUCCUGGUCAAACAGCGGCAUUCGUACCGCGCGUACAUAACUACGCACUCAAAAUCCCAUGGGUAUCGACGGAGGCAUAGCUAGCUCGCGAUCCACGGUGCGGCUCGACCGACCCUCAUAUUCGCACACCUUCACUUUUCCUUUUCAUUUCAGGUUUUUCUCUUUUUGAGGUUUCUUCUGACAACCCGUUUGUCGGACACACCAAGGAGGCAAGGAGCUUUGGCGUACAAGGGAAUCCCCAGGUGGUCUCUGCUAACGAUUGCUAUACCUAUUUUACAUACCCGCACGCAGCUCCCUCUUGGUCAUGGCAUGUUAAAUAGCCUUACUUGCUUAUCGCAUUACUUGUACAAGUAUGCUUUGACGUAUUAAUCACAUUACAAAUGGUAAAUAAAUGGUAGCGUCAGCUUAUUACUUAAUUUUCCCUUUUUCCUUACCUUUGUACCUAUUACUCAUUACAUACGUACACUCUGGUACAUUUUACUUCACCAGGGGCCUUCGUGCCCCGCAGUGCGACAAUAUAGUCCGAACACCUUUUUCAGUGCAGUUCGGCACCCCGAACUUAUAGCAUUAUAUGCAUCGGCUCUGAAUCAUGUCUUUGGUCAAUAGUUGGGUUGCCCGGCUCCUGUGCUUACUACCUUACGUUCCGCUAUAUCGGCUAGGGUAGUAAUGGGAGAACUAAUGCGAUUGUGUCCCGGUUCUUCCGGACGAGCGCCUCAGUAGAGAAAGCCGAAAACUGACUGUCAUGAUGUAGCGCGAGCCGGUCAGCUGUUCGAGAGGUUUCAAAUCCUUAGAGAUUUUUUUACUUUAUGCAAGGAAUCGGUUUCUUAUCCGACCAGGUGCGUGUAACGCCCCAAGUUCGGCCUUCCGAACACAAGGGGCUUCGCCAAAAUUCUCAUUGUCAAACUCCUAUGGCUAAGUGAGGGCGAUAAAGGCCGUAUAGUCUGAUUGCCUUGUUCGUUGCGCUAAACACCUCCUUUAAGGACCAGAAUAUGCAGUAAAGAGUGUUUAGAUUUAUCCCGAACACCCCCGUACUAUCUACGUGGGCGCAGAAGCCGACGACUGGCCAACCCUCAGAUUUCAUAAACGGCCGCACAAGAGGUAAAAUUUUAAAAUCACAAGCAUUAUAUUACAUAACAUCAUCGUUCCAUAUUACAGGACAGGAUAAUACGAAUGUUUUCAUGGAAAUAUAACAUCCUUCAUACAUUGCUCCACCGCAAGGCGGGAUCCCUCCAGGACACCAUCAAAAUAUAACUCAGGCCAGCGGUGCUCCUUGCCCUCAGGCGGCCCCUCGGUCAUUAGCUUCUUUGCAUCCAUCUUCGCCCAGUGCGUCUUGACGCGGGCAAAGGCCAUCCGUGCACCUUCGAUACAGACCGACCGCGUUAUAACCUCAAGCCGUGGGCAGGCAUCAACAAGCCGCUUCACAAGUCCGAAGUAGCUGCUGGGUAUCGGCGCGGCAGGCCAUAGUCGGACUAUCAGCUCCUUCAUGGCUAGCUCGGCCGCCUUGUGCAGCUUGACCAGCUGUUUCAGCUGGUCGCUGAAGGACACUGGAUGUUCUGGUCCUAGAUAUUGAGACCAGAACAGCUUCUCCGUAGAACUCCCUUCUUCAGCUCGAUAGAACUCAGCAGCAUCUGAUACGCUGCGCGGCAAGUCCGUAAACGCCCCUGGAGAGCUCCAAAUUCGGGUAAGUAAAAGGAACGCUUCCUUCACAGAUUUGCUUUGCAUAAUGAAAGCCUUACCCGCCGCGAUCUUCUUGGCCGCUUGGAUUUCCUGAAGGGCGCUCUGGGCCUCGGCUCGAGCCUCUUGUGCGCCCCGGUGGGCGUUCGCGAGUUCGAACGCUUUCAUCUUGGAAUCACGCUCCAAGGACUCGUACUUCUUGACGGUGUCCUAGAGCUCUUGCUGAACCUCGCCGACCCGGGUCUCGUGCUUCUCGCGCGCGGCGCGCUCCUUGGCCGCUUUGUCCUCGGCCUUGGCUAACGCCUUCUUGAGGGCCGCCACCUCGGUCGUGGCCCCUAACAAAGUUCAGAACACUUCAGUCAGCAUGAAACAUUCAUCCUUCCUAAAAUAUACGCGCAGGUUACUACAUACCUUGGUUGUCCUCCAGCUGCUUCUUUACGAGGCCGAGCUCUUCGUUCGCCCGCUCCAGGCUCUGCUUCAGGCCGGAGACGUCCGCAGUAUGAGCAGUAGCAGCCAGCAGCGACGCCUGCUUAUUCACAUAGACAUCUUAUGUUAGACUCCUGCAAAAAUUGUUUUGAUCCUCUGUUCGGCUUUUUCAUUCCGAACACCGAACAGAGCAUCAGGGGCUACUGUCCACACUGUGAUAUUCUUUCUACGAUUAUUACCUCAAAGCCUGUUAAAAGGCUAGCGUAGGCCUCGGUCAGUCCGCUUUUGGCGGACUGAACCUUCUCGAUCACCGUACCCAUGAGGGCACGGUGUUCAUCCACAAUGGAGGCGCCUCACAGCGCUUCCAGCAGAUUAUCCGGUGCCUCUAGUUGGACAGAGGUCACCGGCGGAACAGGCACACCCCCUUCUUUCGGGGAAGGCCGUUCGCUGGACUCCGGAGCCAUGUAGGUCUCUGGAACGGUAUCCGGCUGAGGGCCAAAUGGAACUUGGCCCCCAUCACCAGUCCCCAUGGGGGAUUUUCCCCCAUGUGUCCGGCGGCCAUGGAGUCAUCCUGGGGCGCCACCCUGACGAUCUCCGGAACCUCCCCCGGUCUGGGAAGGUCUUUUGGGACACCACCUCUUCAUCACCCUUGGGCGAGACAGAGUGAGCGGGCGGCGGAGACAUGCUAGCCAUCUCCUUUGAGUCUAGCGAACCCUCUAUGAAGGAUCGCGGGGAGCCGUCGCGGGCCGGACUGUAAUGGCGUAAUUUAAACAUAUUAAUAUUAUAAACUGGAAAGGCCAGGUAUUUGUAGGUGCAUAGGGAUUUUGGUGCUUACGAGGCGGCCCGAGGCUUGGUCCGGGGCAUUCGCUCCGGACUGCUAUCGACAUCCCAUGUGGAGUUAUCCGCAAGGGAGCCCUUCCCCCUCUUGGACGCCUUCGCCUCUAGAUUCGUGGAGGCCCCCCUUUUCUUCCUUCCCCCCUCAGGGGGGAGCCGCCUUCUUCCUCCUCUUCACCGUCGUCUUCGGCGGCCGAAGAGUCAGUCUCGUCUUCGGACGACAUGUCCGAAGCACCCUUUCGGCGAAGGCCACUCCUGGUCCCUAUGGUCGUCUUCUUGGCCUUCUUCUCCCGCACAUCAUAAGGCGCCGGAAAUAACAUCUUCGUCAGGAGUGGGGUCUCCUCAUCUUCGGGUAGCGGAGCUGGACAAUUAAUCCGCCCCUCUAUGUCGGCCCAGGCCUAGAAGAAAUUGAUAGGAAGGCUUAGACUCCUUCCUCAAAAUAUGCCAGUAAAAGCUAUACCUUGAAAACAUGAAAAAUCUUACCGAAUUAGCCUAGCGCUUUAAGCUAAGCCCACGAUCCUCGGUCUUAGGCGGUGGUGUCUCGCCGGCCUUGAAGAGCACUUUCCAGAUAUCUUCGUGCGUCGUGCCAAAGAGCUCUAGCAGCGUCUGGUGCUUAGUCGGAUCGAACUCCCACAAAUAGCAGGUUCGGCGUUGGCACGGAAGGAUCCGGCGGAUGAGCAUAACCUGGAUCACAUUGACAAGCUUGAUCUUCUUGGUUAUCAUGUUCUGGACGCACGUCUAGAGCCCAGUCAGCCCGUUCGAAGAUCCCCAGGUCAGGCCCUUCUCUUGCCAGGAGGUGAGCCGCAUCGGAACUCCGGAUCGGAAUUCGGGGGCCGCCGCCCAGUUGGUAUCGCACGGCUCGGUGAUGUAGAACCACCCCGAUUGCCAUCCCUUCACCGUCUCCAUGAAGGAGCCUUCGAGCCAGGUGAUAUUGGGCAUCUUGCCCACCAUGGCACCUCCGCACUCUGCUUGUUGGCCGCUCACCACCUUCGGCUUCACGUUGAAGGUCUCCAGCCAUAGGGCGAAGUGAGGCGGGAUGCGGAGAAAGGCCUCGCACACGACUAUAAAUGCUGAGAAGUUGAGGAUGAAGUUGGGGGCUAGAUCAUGGAAGUCCAGCCCGUAGUAAAACAUCAGUCCGCGGACAAACGGGUGGAGAGGGAAUUCCAGCCCGCGGACGAAGUGCGCGAGGAACACCACCCUCUCAUGAGGCUCGGGAGUAGGGACGAUCUGUCUCUUGGCCGGGAGUCGGUGAACGAUCUCCUUGGCCAGGUAUCCGGCCUCUCGAAGCUCCUUGAUAUCUCUCUUCUUAACGGAGGAGGCCAUCCACUUGCCCCCAGCUCCGGAUAUGGACAUGGUUGGAGUGCUUUCUCGGGCGGGGAAAGCUAGAGCUUGGGCGCUAGAGCUCAAGAAUGGAGGGGCAGAGGAAGGAGGAGGCGUGGGUGAAUGAGGACGAAUCCUUAUCCCCUUAUAAAGGCCGCGAAUGUCAAACGCCCCCCACUCGCCUAUUCCCAAGGGUUGUGUAGACGGCACGGUUGGGUUACCCACGCCCGUAUUGAUGAGAAUUCCGCAAUAAGGGGACACGAUCUCUGCUUUGACAAGACGUGCCAAUGACAACCGCGUCUCGGAACAUGGAGCGGCAGACGAAAAACGGUUCAAAAUUAUGACCGGCCAGAUGUGAUGUCAUGUUAGACAAAGUCGUCAGUGGAUUAGAUUCGUGAAAUUAUAUUCUCUCUACGGUUGUGUGUGGUGUAUGUGUUACAGAUCCGGACAUGUCGACAAUGCCGAAGACUAUUUUGGAGUUCGGAAGGAGGAACCCGCCUUGCAAUGCCGAAGACAGAUCUACGCGUCGGAUACCUUGUCAUUGAAGCCAGGUUCAGGGGCUACUGAGGGAGUCCUGGACUAAGGGGUCCUCGGGCGUCCGGCCUGUUAGCCGUGGGCCGAACUGAUGGGCUGUGAAGAUACGAAGGCCGAAGACUGCACCCGUGUCCGGAUGGGACUCUCCUUGGCGUGGAAGGCAAGCUUGGCGACCGGAUAUGUAGAUUCCUUUCUUUGUAACCGACAUUGUGUAACCCUAGAUCCUCCCGGUGUCUAUAUAAACCGGAGGACUUAGUCCAGAAAGGUAGAUACUCAUUGCCAUAGUCAUACAGGCUAGACUUCUAGGGUUUAGCCAUUAUGAUCUCGUGGUAGAUCAACUCUUGUAACACUCAUAUCCAUCAAGAUCAAUCAAGCAGGAAGUAGGGUAUACCUCCAUAGAGAGGGCCCGAACCUGGGUAAACAUCGUGAACCCUGUCUCCUGUUACCAUUGACCUUAGACGCACAGUUCGGGACCCCCUACCCGAGAUCCGCCGGUCUUGACACCGACAGUUGCCUCUCAAUGAACAGUGACUGUUGCUACCGUGCGCACGGUACGUAGAACGAGUCAAGACGUGGUGAGUCGUGCCGGUUGGUUGGCUGUGGAUGAACAGUUCCCGGUGGGGGUUGGAUGAACAGGACCCCAUGGUAGUAGGCCGUUGCCGCUCGAUGAACAGGACCCCGAGGAGGCCGCCGCACCCUAGCCGGUUGGGGAUGGAUGAACAGGACCCCAUAGAGGCUCUAUGAACAGCAGCCGGUGGAGGCUAGAUGAACAGUAGCCGUGGAUGAACAGUAGCCCGUGGAGGGUGGAUGAGGUCGACGGUGGAUGAACAGUAUCCCGUGGAGGCUGGAGCAAGGCGGUAGAUGAUAAUCCCCAAGUGCAGGGAAUCAUCGUAGCAAUUUCCAAAGGUGGAAGUGAUAAGUAUGGAGUGUCGAACCCACAAGGAGCUAAAGGUAAGAUCAAUAUUCUCUCAAGUCCUAUCUGCCGCUGAUACGACUCUACGUACACCGAACGUUUGCUUCCAACUAGAAACGAGAAAUAAAACUACGUUGUGGGUAUGAAUAGGAUAACUCCGUAUGAUAUCGGAGAUCUAAAAUAUAAAAGUAGGUGAUGUUAUCAUAAAGUUAGAAUAUAUUACUAAAUAUUAUAAAUGGCGAGUGUGGAAUAAUGAUGGAUCGGUGUGCGGAAUUGUCCUAGGCAAUUGUUAACAAGAUCGGUAAUCACUAUUGCAAUUUCAUAUGAGGAAGAGGCAUAAGCUAACAUACUUUCUCUUCUAAGAUCAUAUGCACUUAUGAUUGGAACUCUAGCAAGCAUCCGCAACUACUAAAGAUCAUUAAGGUAAAACCCAACCAUAGCAUUAAAGUAUCAAGUCCCCUUUAUCCCAUACGUCAUGACCCACUUAUCUGUGUUUAUGCUUCUGUCACUCAAGCAACGCAGACAAUAAGUAGACCAUGGACAUAUUGCAACACCCUACAACGGGAAUCCCUCACGCUUGCACGACACGGAGGGCACAAUAGGACAGCACCAAAAUAAAACAUACAACUCAUACCAAUCUAGAUCAUCAAUCAACCCAAAGACAAAGGAUAUCUACUCAAAACAUCAUAGGAUGGCAACACAUCAUUGGAUCAUAAUAUGUGGCAUAAAGCACCAUGUUCAAGUAGGGAUUACAGCGGGGUGCGAGAGAGUGGACCGUGUAAAAUAGAUGAGGAUGGUGAUGUUGAUGAAGACGACCACCGCGGCGAUGAUUGCCCUCCCGAUGGCACUCCGGCACCACCGGGAGAGAGCAGGAGAGGUUCUCCCCCUUGUGCUUCCUCCUCCAUGGCCUCCCCCCUAGAUGGGGAGAGGUUCUCCCUCUGGUCCUUGGCCUUCAUGGCGAUAAUGGCCCCUCCGGGAUCCUCCUCCAUGGCCUCCGGUGAUGAUGGCCCCCUCCGGCAGGGUGCCAGAGAGGGCCUAGAUUGAUUUCUCGUGGCUACAGAGGCUUGCGGAGCAGAACUUUCGAUCUAGGUUAAUUUCUAGAGGUUUGGGUAUUUAUAGGAGAGGUUGGCGUCGAGAACAAGUCAGGGGGCCCCACAGGUAGUUCACAAGGCACAGGGGAGCGCCCAGGGGGGUGGGCGCGCCCCCAACCCUUAUGGGGCCCACGGGACUCCCCUCCGGCAGAUUUUUGUUCCAGUAUUUUUCAUAUUUUCCAGAAAAAUUCUCCAUUGAUUUUCAGCGCAUGCCGAGAACUUUUAUUUCUGCACAAAAACAACACCACGGUAGUUCUGCUGAAAACAGCGUCAGUCUGGAUUAGUUCUAAUCAAAUAAUACCAAAAUCAUAUAAAACUUUUGUAAACAUGCCAUGAAUACUUCAUAAAUUAUAGAUACGGGAGACGUAUCACCCCGAGGGUGAACUACUCCCUCCUCGUCAUGGAGAGCGCCGGGAUGAUGAAGAUGGCCACCGGUGAGGGAUCCCCCCUCCGGCAGGAUGCCGAAACAGGGUCCCGAUUGGUUUUUGGUGGCUAUAGAGGCUUGCGGCGGCGGAACUCCCGAUCUAGGUUAUUUUCUGGAGGUUUCUAUAUUUAUAGGAAUUUUUGGCGUAGGUCUCACGUCAGGGGGGUCUCUGAGUCGUCCACGAGUUAGGGUCCCACACCCAGGGGGUAGGGCGCACCCCCCACCCUCGUGGACGGCCUGGGACUCUUCUGGCCCAACUCUUUUACUCCGGGGGCUUCUUUUGGUCCAUAAAAAAUCCACAAAAAUUGGCAGGUCAAUUGGACUCCUUUUGGUAUUCCUUUUCUGUAAAACUCAAAAACAAGGAAAAAACAGAAACUGGCACUGGGCUCUAGGUUAAUAGGUUAGUCCCAAAAAUCAUAUAAAAUAGCAUAUAAAUUCAUAUAAAACAUCCUAGAUGGAUAAUAUAAUAGCAUGGAACAAUCAAAAAUUAUAGAUACGUUGGAGACGUAUCAAGCAUCCCCAAGCUUAAUUCCUACUCGUCCUCGAGUAGGUAAAUGAUAAAAACAGAAUUUUUGAUGUGGAAUGCUACCUAUCAUAAUUAUCAAUGUAAUUUUGUUUAUUGUGGCAUGAAUGUUCAGAUCCCAAAGAUUCAAAACAAAAGUUUAGUAUUGACAUAAAAAAUAAUAAUACUUCAAGCAUACUAACCAAGCAAUUAUGUCUUAUCAAAAUAACAUAGCCAAAGAAAGCUCAUCCCUACAAAAUCAUAUAGUUUGGCCAUGCUUCAUUUUCGUCACACAAAAUGCUCCCAUCAUGCACAACCCCGAUGACAAGCCAAGCAAUUGUUUCAUACUUUAGUAUUCUCAAACUUUUUCAAUUUUCACGCAAUACAUGAGCGCGAGCCAUGGACAUAGCACUAUGGGUGGAAUAGAAUAUGAUGAUGGAGGUUGUGUGGAGAAGACAAAAAAGGAGAAAGUCUCACAUCGACGCGGCUAAUCAACGGGCUAUGGAGAUUCCCAUCAAUUGAUGUCAAUGCGAGGAGUAGGGAUUGCCAUGCAACGGAUGCACUAGAGCUAUAAAUGUAUGAAAGCUCAACAAAAGAAACUAAGUGGGUGUGCAUCCAACUUGCUUGCUCACGAAGACCUGGGGCAUUUGAGGAAGCCCAUUGUUGGAAUAUACAAGCCAAGUUCUAUAAUGAAAAAUUCCCACUAGUAUAUGAAAGUGACAAUAUAAGAGACUCUCUAUCAUGAAGAUCAUGGUGCUACUUUGAAGCACAAGUGUGGAAAGAGGAUAUAGCAUUGUCCCCUUUUUUUAUUUUUUUAUUUGGCCUUUCCUUUUUUAUUUGGCCUUUUUUUGGGACAAUGCUCUAUUAAUGAUGAUCAUCACACUUCUAUUUAUUUACAACUCAAAGAUUACAACUCGAUACUAGAACAAAGUAUGACUCUAUAUGAAUGCCUCCGGCGGUGUAACGGGAUGGGCAAUGAAACAAGAGUGACAUGUAUGAAGAUAUGCAUGGUGGCCUUGCCACAUAUACGAUGUCAACUACAUGAUCAUGCAAGGCAAUAUUACAAUGAUGAAGUGUGUCAUAAUAAACGGAACGGUGGAAGUUGCAUGGCAAUAUAUCUCGGAAUGGCUAUGGAAAUGCCAUAAUAGGUAGGUAUGGUGGCUGUUUUGAGGAAGAUAUAAGGAGGUUUACGUGUGAUAGAGCGUAUCAUAUCAUAGGGUGUGGAUGCACCGGCGAAGUUUGCACCAACUCUCAAGGUGAGAAAGGGCAAUGCACGGUACCGAAGAGGCUAGCAAUGAUGGAAGGGUGAGAGUGCAUAUAAUCCAUGGACUCAACAUUAGUCAUAAUGAACUCACAUACUUAUUGCAAAAAUCUACAAGUCAUCAACACCAAGCACUACGUGCAUGCUCCUAGGGGGAUAGAUUGGCAGGAAAAGACCAUCGCUCGUCCCCGACCGCCACCCAUAAGGAGGACAAUCAAAGAAAACCUCAUGCUUCAAAUUUGUCACACAACGGUUACCAUACGUGCAUGCUACGGGACUUGCAAACCUCAACACAAGUAUUUCUCAAUUUCACAAUUACUCAACUAGCAUGACUCUAAUAUUACCAUCUUCAUAUCUCAAAACAAUCAUCAAGUAUCAAACUUCUCAUAGUAUUCAAUGCACUCUAUAUGGAAGUUUUUAUUAUAUCCCUCUUGGAUGCCCAUCAUAUUAGGACUAGUUUCAUAACCAAAGAAAAUUACCAUGCUGUUCUAGAAAGACUCUAAAAAUAGUAUAAGUCAAGCAUGAGAGUUCAUCUAUUUCUUCAAAAUAAAACCACCGUCGUGCUCUAAAAGAUAUAAGUGAAGCACUAGAGCAAACGACAAACUACUCCGAAAGAUAUAAGUGAAGAUCAAUGAGUAGUUGAAUAAUUAUGCAACUAUGUGAAGACUCUCUAACAUUUAAGAAUUUCAGAUCUUGGUAUUUUAUUCAAACAGCAAGCAAAACAAAAGAAAAUAAAAUGACGCUCCAAGAAAAACACAUAUCAUGUGGUGAAUAAAAAUAUAGCUCCAAGUAAAGUUACCGAUGAACGAAGACGAAAGAGGGGAUGCCUUCCGGGGCAUCCCCAAGCUUAGGCUCUUGGUUGUCCUUGAAUAUUACCUUUGGGUGCCUUGGGCAUCCCCAAGUUUAGGCUCUUGCCACUCCUUAUUCCAUAGUCCAUCGAAUCUUUACCCAAAACUUGAAAACUUCACAACACAAAACUCAACAGAAAACUCGUAAGCUCCGUUAGUAUAAGAAAAUAAAACCACCACUUAGGUACUGUUGUGAACUCAUUAUAAAUUCAUAUUGGUGUAAUAUCUACUGUAUUCCAACUUCUCUAUGGUUCAUACCCUCCGAUACUGCUCAUAGAUUCAUCAAAAUAAGCAAACAACACAUAGAAAACAGAAUCUGUCAAAAAUAGAACAGUCUGUAGUAAUCUGUAACGUUCGAAUACUUCUGGAACUCCAAAAAUUCUGAAAUAAAUUGGUGGACCUGAGUAAUUUGUCUAUUAAUCAUCUGCAAAAAUAAUCAACCUAAAAUUGCUCUCCAGUAAAAAAUGGCAGCUAAUCUCGUGAGCGCUAAAGCUUCUGUUUUUUUACAGCAAGAUCACAAAGACUUCACCCAAGACUUCCCAAAGGUUCUACUUGGCACAAACACUAAUUAAAACAUAAAACCACAUCUAAACAGAGGCUAGAUGAAUUAUUUAUUACUAAACAGGAGCAAAAGCAAAGGAACAAAAAUAAGAUUGGGUUGCCUCCCAACAAGGGCUAACAUUUAACGCCCCUAGCUAGGCAUGAUGAUUUCAAUGAUGCUCACAUAAAAGAUAAGAAUUGAAACAUAAAGAGAGCAUCAUGAAGAAUAUUACUAGCACAUUUAAGUAUAACCCACUUCCUAUGCAUAGGGAUUUUGUGAACAAACAACUUAUGGGAACAAUAAUCAACUAGCAUAGGAAGGCAAAACAAGCAUAACUUUAAAACUUUAAGCACAUAGAGAGGAAACUUGAUAUUAUUGUAAUUCCUACGAGCAUAUAUUCCUCCCUCAUAAUAAUUUUCAGUAGCAUCAUGAAUGAAUUCAACAAUAUAGCCAUCACAUAAAGCAUUCUUUUCAUGAUCUACAAGCAUAGAAUUUUUAUUACUCCCCACAUAAGCAAUUUUCUUCUCAUUCGGAAUAGUGAGAGUACCAUAAGAAACUCAAAUACUAUAAAUUAUUUCCACAUUGAAAGAAUGAAGUUCAGAAAAAGGGUAAUCAUAAUCAUGACAAGGUUUAUAAAUAUAAUCAUCACUACUUUUUAUAGCAUAAGUAUCAUCACAAUAAUUAUCAUAAGUAGCAACUUUGUUCUCAUCAUAAUCAAUUGAAACCUCUUCCAAGAUAGUGGAAUCAUUACUAAAUAAAGUCAUGACCUCUCCAAAUCCACUUUCAUAAUUGUCACAAUAAGAUUCAACACCGUCCAAAAUAGUGGGAUCAUUACUUCCUAAAGUUGACACUCUUCCAAACCCACUUUCAUCAAUAUAAUCAUCAUAAAUAGGAGGCAUGCUAUCAUCAUAAUAAAUUUGCUCAUCAAAACUUGGGGGACAAAACAUAUCAUCUUCGUCAAACAUAGCAUCCCCAAGCUUGUGUCUUUGCAUAUCAUUAGCAUCAUGGAUAUUCAAGGAAUUCGUACUAAAAACAUUGCAAUCAUGCUCAUCAUUCAAAGAUUUAGUGCCAAACAUUCUAAUGCAUUCUUCCUCUAGCAAUUGAGCACAAUUAUCAGAAUCCUUAUUUUCACGGAAGACAUUAAAAAGAUGAAGCAUAUGAGGCACCCUCAAUUCCAUUUUUUUGUAGUUUUCUUUUAUAGACUAAACUAGUAAUAAAACAAGAAACUAAAAGAUUCGAUUGCAAGAUCUAAAGAUAUACCUUCAAACACUCACCUCCCCAGCAACGGCGCCAGAAACUGCUUGAUGUCUACUACACAACCUUCUUCUUGUAGACGUUGUUGGGCCUCCAAGUGCAGAGGUUUGUAGGACAGUAGCAAAUUUCCCUCAAGUGGAUGACCUAAGGUUUAUCAAUCCGUGGGAGGCGUAGGAUGAAGAUGGCCUCUCUCAAACAACCCUGCAACCAAAUAACAAAGAGUCUCUUGUGUCCCCAACACACCCAAUACAAUGGUAAAUUGUAUAGGUGCACUAGUUCGGCGAAGAGAUGGUGAUACAAGUGCAAUAUGGAAGGUAGAUCUAGGUUUUUGUGAUCUGGAACUACAAAAACAGCAAGGUAACUAAUGAUAAAACUGAGCGUAAACGGUAUUGCAAUGCGUAAACAAGGCCUAGGGUUCAUACUUUCACUAGUGCAAGUUCUCUCAACAAUAAUAACAUAAUUGGAUCAUAUAAAUACCCUCAACAUGCAACAAAGAGUCACUCCAAAGUUACUAAUAGCGGAGAACAAACAAAGAGAUUAUGGUAGGGUAUGAAACCACCUCAAAGUUAUCCUUUCUGAUCGAUCUAUUCAAGAGUCCGUAGUAAAAUAACAUGAAGCUAUUCUUUCCAUUCGAUCUAUCCUAGAGUUCGUACUAGAAUAACACCUUAAGACACAAAUCAACCAAAACCCUAAUGUCACCUAGAUACUCCAAUGUCACCACAAGUAUCUGUGGGUAUGAUUAUACGAUAUGCAUCACACAAUCUCAGAUUCAUCUAUUCAACCAACACAAAGAACUUCAAAGAGUGCCCCAAAGUUUCUACCGGAGAGUCAAGAUGAAAACGUGUGCCAACCCCUAUGCAUAAGUUCACAAGGUCACUGAACCCGCAAGUUGAUCACCAAAACAUACAUCAAGUAGAUCAUGUGAAUAUCCCAUUGUCACCACAGAUAAGCACAUGCAAGACAUACAUCAAGUGUUCUCAAAUCCUUAAAGACUCAAUCCGAUAAGAUAACUUCAAAGGGAAAACUCAUUCCAUCACAAGGAGAUAGAGGGGGAGAAACAUCAUAAGAUCCAACUAUAAUAGCAAAGCUCGUGAUACAUCAAGAUCGUUCCACAUCAAGAACACGAGAGAGAGAGAGAGAGAUCAAACACAUAGCUACUGGUACAUACCCUCAGCCCCGAGGGUGAACUACUCCCUCCUCGUCAUGGAGAGCGCCGGGAUGAUGAAGAUGGCCACCGGUGAUGGAUCCCCCCUCCGGCAGGGUGCCGGAACAGGGUCCCGGUUGGUUUUUGGUGGCUGCAGAGGCUUGCGGCGGCGGAACUCCCGAUCUAGGUUAUUUUCUGGAGGUUUCUGUAUUUAUAGGAAUUUUUGGCGUAGGUCUCACGUCAGGGGGGGGUCUCCGAGUCGUCCACGAGAUAGGGGCCCAUGCCCAGGGGGUAGGGCGCGCCCCCCACCCUCGUGGACGGCCCGGGACUCUUCUGGCCCAACUCUUUUACUCCGGGGGCUUCUUUUGCUCCAUAAAAAAUCCACAAAAAUUGGCAGGUCAGUUGGACUCCGUUUGGUAUUCCUUUUCUGUAAAACUCAAAAACAAGGAAAAAACAGAAACUGGCACUGGGCUCUAGGUUAAUAGGUUAGUCCCAAAAAUCAUAUAAAAUAGCAUAUAAAUACAUAUAAAACAUCCUAGAUGGAUAACAUAAUAGCAUGGAACAAUAAAAAAUUAUAGAUACGUUGGAGACGUAUCAAUGAUCAUCACACUUCUAUUUAUUUAUAACUCAAGGAUUACAACUCGAUACUUAGAACAAAAAUAUGACUCUAUAUGCGUGCCUCCGGCGGUGUACCGGGAUGUGCAAUGAAUCAAGAGUGACAUGUAUGAAAAAAUUAUGAGGGUGGCUUUGCCACAAAUACGAUGUCAACUACAUGAUCAUGCAAGGCAAUAUGACAAUGAUGGAGCGUGUCAUAAUAAACGGAACGGCGGAAAGUUGCAUGGCAAUAUAUCUCAGAAUGGCUAUGAAAAUGCCAGAAUAGGUAGGUAUGGUGGCUGUUUUGAGGAAGGUAAAUGGUGGGUUUAUGGUACCGGCGAAAGUUGCGCGGUACUAGAGAGGCUAGCAAUGGUGGAAGGGCGAGAGUGCGUAUAAUCCAUGGACUCAACAUUAGUCAUAAAGAACUCACAUACUUAUUGCAAAAUCUACAAGUUAUAAAAAACCAAGCACUACGCGCAUGCUCCUAGGGGGAUAGAUUGGUAGGAAAAGACCAUCGCUCAUCCCCGACCACCACUCAUAAGGAAGACAAUCAAAGAAAUACCUCAUGCUUCAAAUUUGUUACACAACGGUUACCAUACGUGCAUGCUACGGGACUUGCAAACCUCAACACAAGUAUUUCUCAAAUUCACAAUUAGUUUACUAGAAUUACUCUAAUAUCACCAGCCUCAUGUCUCAAAACAAUAAUCAAGCAUCAAACUUCUCAUAGUAUUCAACACACUUUAUAUGAAAGUUUUUAUUAUACCUAUCUUGGAUGCCCAUCAUAUUAGGACUAGUUUUAUAACCAAAGCAAGUUACCAUGCCGUUCUAAAAGACUCUCAAAAUAAUACAAGUGAAGCAUGAGAGAUCAAUAAUUCUAUAAAAUAAAACCAUCACCGUGCUCUAAAAAGAUAUAAGUGAAGCACUAGAGCAAAAUUGUAUAGCUCAAAAGAUAAAAGUGAGCACAUAGAGUAUUCUAAUAAAUUCCGAUUCAUGCGUGUCUCUCCCAAAAGGUGUGUACAGAAAGGAUGAUUGUCGUAAACUAAAAAUCAAAUACUGAAAUCAUACAAGACGCUCCAAGCAAAACACAUAUCAUCUGGUGAAUAAAAAUAUAGCCUCAAGUAAAGUUACCGAUAGACGAAGACGAAAGAGGGGAUGCCUUCCGGGGCAUCCCCAAGCUUAGGCUUUUGGUUGUCCUUGAAUUUUACCUUGGGGUGCCUUGGGCAUCCCCAAGCUUAGGCUCUUGCCACUCCUUAUUCCAAAAUCCAUCAAAUCUUUACCCAAAAACUUGAAAACUUCACAACACAAAACUUAACAGAAAAUCUUAUGAGCUCCGUUAGUAUAACAAAAUAAACCACCACUUUAACGUACUGUAAUGAACUCAUUCUUUCUUUGUAUUGGUGUUAAACCUACUGUAUUCCAACUUUUCUAUGGUUCAUACCCCCCGAUACUACUCAUAGAUUCAUCAAAAUAAGCAAACAACACAUGAAAAACAGAAUCUGUCAAAAACAGAACAGUCUGUAGCAAUCUGUAACUUUCGAAUACUUCUGUAACUCCAAAAAUUCUGAAAUAAAUUGGUGCGUGAGGAAUUUGUUUAUUAAUCUUCUGCAAAAAGAAUCAACCUAAAAUCACUUUCCAGUAAAAAAUGACCGCUAAUCUCGUGAGCGCAAAAGUUUCUGUUUUUUUACAGCAAGAUCGCAAAGACUUCACCCAAGUCUUCCCAAAGGUUCUACUUGGCAAAAACACUAAUUAAAACAUAAAAACACAAUCAUAACAGUAGCAUGAUAAAUUAUUUAUUACUAAACAGUAGCAAAAAGCAAAGAACAAAAAUAAAAUUGGGUUGCCUCCCAACAAGCGCUAUCGUUUAACGCCCCUAGCUAGGCAUAAAAACAAGAAUAGAUCUAGGUAUUGCCAUCUUCGGUAUGCAAUCCGUCGAUUGAACACACAUAACCCCUAGGAGGUUCUUUGUUUCUGUUAAUGAUCAAACUCCUAGGCAAGAAAUCAAAAAAUUCAUUUGUAGCAAAAGGUUCCUUAAUGAUAUUGAAAAAGUUAGGGUGAACACUUAUUGAUUUGAGGUCUUCAUUUUCCUUAGAAGAUUCACCCUUAUUUUUAGGAACAUAGGUGAACUUGGCAACUUUGGUAGGAGGAGGAUUUGAGGCAUUUUUAACUGCAGAAAAAGUGGUCCCCAAGUUGGUAAUAAUAUCUUCGAGUUUAUCAAUUCUAGUAGAAUCUUGAUCUAUCUUCUCAUUAACUAUGGGUUCAUUUUCCCUAAGAUUUUUCAGAGUAACUCCUACCUUAGAUCCGUAUUGGGUAAUUUGGUUGUGGAUCUUUUUAUCCAGAUUUUCGAUUAACUCUACAGUGGCAAUUUUAUUCUCAAUAAUAUCAAGCCUUUGCAUCACAUGUUCCAAAGUUAAAAUAGUUCCAUUAACCAAAAGAGGUGGUGGGCCUAACAAAUCUAUCAUAGCAUCAUAAGAAUCAAAAGUAUGGCUUCUCAAGAAAUUCCCUCCGGUAAUGGUGUCAAGAACAUAUCUAUUCCAAGGAGUGAUGCCUACAUAAAAAUUGCGAAGAAGAACGCAAGUAGAUUGCUUCCUAGUAGAUCUAUUUUGAGCAUUGCAAAUUCUAUACCAAGCAUCUUCUAGAUUUUCUCCCUCCCUUUGUUUAAAAUUGAGAACUUCAUUAUUGGGAGUAUUAACAAUGAUAGGAGGACUAGCCAUGAAGGCGCAACAAACGAUCUAACACACGGACGCACAAGAAGCAAGCGAAAAGUGACGAACGGAAGAGGGGCGAAGAAAAGGCGAAGGUUUUUGAAAAUCGUUUUAGAAGUGGGGGAGAGGAAAACGAGAGGCGAAUGGCAAAUAAUAUAAUGCGAGGGAGAAGAGUUUAUGAUGGGUACUUGGUAUGUCUUGACUUGGCGUAGAUCUCCUCGGCAACGGCGCCAGAAAUCCUUCUUGCUACCUCUUGAGCAUGCGUUGGUUUUCCCUUGAAGAGGAAAGGGUGAUGCAGCAAAGUAGCGUAAGUAUUUCCCUCAGUUUUUGAGAACCAAGGUAUCAAUCCAGUAGGAGACAACGCACAAGUCACCUAGUACCUGCACAAACAAUCAAGAACCUUGCAACCAACGCGAUAAAGGGGUUGUCAAUGCCUUCACGGCCACUCGCAAAAGUGAGAUCUUAUAGAGAUAGUAAAGUAAAUAUUUUUGGUAUUUUUUUGUAUAGAUUGAAAAGUAAAGAUUGCAAAAUAGUAAACGAGAUGCGAUGUAAAUAAAAGAGAUGCAAUAUAAUAAGAAAGAGACCCGGGGGCCAUAGGUUUCACUAGUGGCUUCUCUCAAGAUAGCAUGUAUUGCGGUGGGUGAACAAAUUACUGCCGAGCAAUUGAUAAAAAAGCGCAAAGUUAUGAAGAUAUCUAAGGCAAUGACCAUGAAUAUAGGCAUCACGUCCGUGUCAAGUAGACCGAAACGAUUCUGCAUCUACUACUAUUACUCCACAUAUCGAUCGCUAUCCAGCAUGCAUCUAGAGUCUUAAGUUCAUAAGAACGGAGUAACGCAUUAAGCAAGAUGACAUGAUGUAGAGGGAUAAACUCAAGCAAUAUGAUAUAAACCCCAUCUUUUUAUCCUCGAUGGCAACAAUACAAUGCGUGCCUUGCUGCCCCUACUGUCACUGGGAAAGGACACCGCAAGAUUGAACCCAAAGCUAAGCACUUCUCCCAUUGCAAGAAAGAUCAAUCUAGUAGGCCAAACUAGAGACUUGCAAAGAUAUCAAAUCAUGCAUAUAAGAAUUCAGAGAAGAACCAAAUAAUAUUAAUAGAUAAUCAAGUUCAUAAAUCUACAAUUCAUCGGAUCUCAGCAAACACACCACAAAAGAGUAUUGCAUCGGAUAGAUCUCCAAGAACAUCGAGGAGAACUUUGUAUUGAGAAUCAAAGAGAGAGAAGAAGCCAUCUAGCUAAUAACUAUGGACCCGAAGGUCUGUGGUAAACUACUCACGUCAUCGGAGAAGCCCUCCGUGAUCGAUUCCCCCUCCGGAAGAUCGCCGGAAAAGGCCCCAAGAUGGGAUCUCACGGGUACAGAAGGUUGCGGCAGUGGAAAAGUGGUUUCGUGGCUCUCCCUGAUGUUUCUAGGGUAUAAGAGUAUAUAUAGGAGAAGGAAGUACGUCGGUGGAGCUACGAGGGGCCCACGAGGGUGGGGGGCGCGCCUACCCCCCUGGGCGCGCCCUCCUGCCUCGACUUCAUCUCCAAGUCUUCUGGUUUGCUUUCGAUCCAAGAAAGAUCAUCGCGAAGGUUUCAUUUUAUUUGGACUCCGUUUGGUAUUCCUUUUCUGCGAAACUCUAAAAUAGGCAAAAAAACAUAAAUUGGCACUGGGCCUCCGGUUAAUAGGUUAGUCCCAAAAAUAAUAUAAAAGAGCAUAUUAAAGCCCAUUAAACAUCCAAAACAGAUAAUAUAAUAGCAUGGAACAAUCAAAAAUUAUAGAUACGUUGGAGACGUAUCAUGCACCACCCCAAUAAUAAAGGAUAACGAUGAUAUGCACUACUUAUGGCUGCUGAGCAGGGUGGAUGCAAACAACUCUUGUAUAAGGUUAGAAAACAACUACAUCAUACCUAUCAAAGAUACACACGUAAACAUUGUGACUAGCUUACCAUGCUCUGGAAAAUCGGUAUUUCAUAUGGAGAGAUCACUGCUGGUAUCAAGGUCACGUGUAGAACUUGUCAAGUGUUUCUUGUCGGUGGGAAACGACAAACCCGCACAUUUCACAGUGAAUCACAUAGAAGACAUUGUCACUACAGAAUACACAAAGAAGAUGAUGUUUCACGAAGAGAUGGGUUUCAGAGUUGCCGCAGCAGUGUUAGCAAUAGCAGGAUUGCUUGCUGUAAAUGGCAGCAAAAUUGCAUACCCAUUUGAGAUCAUUCCUAGCCUUGUUGAUCCAACUUAGAUACAUUCCUUCAACUAGCCUGAAUAUGUGAGGAAGCGAACUCUAUAGGAGGCAAGGUGUGCUCAGGCUCAAAUCAGGGCAAAGUGCCCACAUAUUAAGCUUGGCGGGUGUCCACCAUAUCUGCAGGUAAAUAGCAGCAACAUAUUCGAUAGUGCUAUAUGACCAGGACUACUUAAGAACAAACAAAAAAUAUUGCUUAGUUCUAAUAAUACAAUUUUGCAGGUUCACUAUCUGUACAAUCUAAAAACGAGCAACAGCAACAUACCGACAAUGUGUUUCCACGGGCUUCACUCUUCACCCAAGAUGUUGUUCAACAGCUAAUAGAGGAGGACACGGUCUAUGUAGAAGGCUCAAGUAGCCGGAUUUUGGGGAAACACCAGGUAAUCCACAGAAUAUCAUGUCUCAGAUGUAUUAACAUUGUUUGUGCAUGUAGUAACAACUCUAUUGUUCACAGUUCAAAGAACCACACCUGGUAUGCUAUUCUAGAUUUAGCAAACAAGGGCAACAUGUUUUACAAUCGUUGAACAAUAAGAGAAAGAGGGAGGCACUGAACGACAGCGAAUUACUUGAUGAAUAAGAAGUCUUGAGAAGUGCAGGUACAAGAUUUGUUUCACAUUGGAUCUACUUGAUGUAGCACAUUGAUUAUAAUGAGCAGACAAAUUUAUGGACAUGUUUUGCAGCAGGAAGAUUGUUUAAACUUGUGAAUGUUUUUUCACUGAUUCAUAACAUAUCGCAUGGUCGCACAACACCACUUUAUAUGCAGCAACUACUAGGAGUGGGAAAGCCAUGUCAGUUGGACAAUUAAUCCUGAAGACCAAGUACAAGGCCAACCGACAAAAAAAUAGAUCUUCUAAAGAUGUGUUCACAAGAAUAAACAAUGAAGGUUUGCCAGUUCAAUUGCAAAGCACUUUUCUUAAUCAUUAUACGUCGUUAACUCAUAUUGUAGACAAUAUGAUGGGAAGUCACCAUUUGAGUUCGACACAUCAAACAUUAAUGUAUCACGGAGACUAAACUAUAGAGAUGGUUGCACAGAAAAAAUGAAAAUGAUAUAUCAGCAUAUGUAUUUCAGGCAGAACGGUACAUAUUAUUCAAAGCAUUAUGAACGAUGUUGAUUAGUACUCACUUGUUUUGUCUGUAGUAUAUGGUAUGAGCAUCAUAGUCCAACAACAGUACAUAUAUCUAGGAAGCUUAUGAAAGCAAAUACCAAACUAGGUGCAAUGUACUCAUUGGAAUACUACGAUGCACUGCUUAGAUCAUACACAUGUCGCGGUGACCUAAUAUUCGGAGAAUUUCAGAAAUGGCCCGGACACUUCAUGCCAAACAGUUGGUCGGUGAGUAAGAAAACAUCCUUGUCUUAUGAUUUGAAGUCAAACGCAAGUGAAUCACGUCGGCAUGUCCAUGUUUUAAUUUGGUUGCUCAUUCAUAUUAAGUUGUGCUGGUUUUGCAGCAUCUAGCUCUAUGCAAGGACAGACCAACGGAUCUGAAACAGUAUGCCAAAUUUUUCAAAAGCAAGUUAUUCAAGUAUGAAGUAGAAUACUGCACACAGGUACUAUCAAUGAUACUAACAUCUCUUUAGUGCAUCAUUACAUACUUGCAUUACUGAUCACUUAGGACUAACAUGCAUGUACAGCUAAUCGUCCCGGUAGACCGCUUCAGUACGAAAGCAGUGUAUGUGCGUGACAUAGUAAAUAAGGAAAUCCAUUUGUUGGACCCUAACAAAAUUGGGGCUAAUGAACACGAGGCUAUGCACUUUGGGACAAUAAUUGACUUGCACUGUACGAUGACAAAGUGCAUUGGAACUUUUUAUCCGAGAUGGAAAUGACCGAAACAAACAUGGCCUAUCAAGAUCGUGGAGGUAUGCACUAGAUGCACCAGGUUGUUGAACAAGUGUGAACAAAAUAGUUGCAAUUUUCAUCUUUUGGGGGGGGUAUGUUUCUAUAACAAUGAUGUCGACAGGAAAAUUUCAGCUUUGUAUGCCAUGUACUGUGCUUUGUACUUUAAUGGACACAGAGGCCUAGCAACUCCAAUUAACAAUGUAAGCAUUGCUCUAAAAUUAAAAAUUUCAACAAUUAUUAACCACAUUGAAGUAGUAGCACUGUCCAUAUUCAUGUACUAAUAGAGGAGGUUGUCCAUAUUCAUGUACUAAUAGAGGAGGUUAUUUUUGUCAUGCAGGUAGAACUUCCACAAAUGACAGAAUCGAUCAUACAAACACGAAUGUCAGUACAAUGAAGAACAUGACUGUUGCCACUACCAUACAUUUUUUUUCAAGGAUACGUUAACGAAAUGACGUAUCGAGAUCAUAGAUAGAAAAUGCCACGACGGUAAAGGUUUUUACAACUCAACCACGGCUAAGUAGCCACACCACGACACCUAUUGGUACUACUCGACUCUAUCCAACCUGUCCACCCUCAUCGGUAGGGAUCUAUCUUCCCUCAACAGAGCCGCCGCCCACCAGUUUUGUCCCUCGGUGUUAAUCUUGUUCAGCACUACAUCCGCCGACGGUACUACACCAUUGAAAACGAUGUCGUUCCUGUGUCUCCAGAGUGUCCAUGCCACUAAGGCGACGAUUGUCCAUGUUUCUUUCCUCAUAUCUUGUUGUGGGUCCAGCGAAGUCCACCAGUCCACCAGAUUACUGUCAUGCCGUGGCACCCACGUCGGCCUAGCCCAGUUGCUAGCUACGUCUGUCCACACUUGUCGAGCCAGGACGCACCCAAGGAGUAGGUGGUUGAUCGUCUCCGGCUCUUAUCAAGCCACUACCAUACAUAAGUAAAACAUGAGCGAAACAUCAACAACAUACAAGAUUUGAAAUGAAAUCGCAUUCGUGUUGAAACAAUACACUAUCAGCAAAAUGUGCCGUACCAAAUAGGAAUAGAUCUGGAGGUGGAAAAUUGCCCACAGAUCAGCGAUAUUAAAAUCGUACUUUAGUUGUGAUGAUACAUUACCUUGACAACAAGGAAGCGAAACAAACUUGCAGUUUAAAACUCGUAGUACGAGGGCGAAUUGGUAAGCCAUGGAUAAAAGUGGACAGAUAAAUCUGAAUCUGAAUCUUGUAGAGUCGCGGCACACUGCGAUUUACGUCACAGGGCUCACAGGACACACAAGCAAGUGGGGAUAUGGAUGAGGCGUGGCUCUAACGUGGGCCUGCGGUUGUAUUGUUACUAUUUCCGACAUGUAUAGCAGUACACAACGGUUGAGGUUGUGUACUGCCCAAACAAAUACGCACAGUUCACUUUGUUGAUCGGACAAAUACUGCACGAAUCUUCGACCAACAUCAAUGUGAUGUGAGCUUUUUUUGCGGGUGAUGUGAGCUUAUCCGGUAGAAACCGGACCGCUAAAAACCACUCUCGGAUACAUAAAGCAGUGGCAGUACACUAGAGAGAGAGGAAGACACGAUGGCCUGUAGUGGCAGUACAUAAAGCAGUGCUGCACUAGUGUCCAAAGCCCGGCAGCCUUCCCCUCCUCCCUGCUGUCGUUGCACCAAAAUGAGAGGCGGGAAGGUACGUCAGACUGCGGUCUGCGAAUUUGACCUUACCACGCUACCGCGACCGAGAAAAGAAGCAAACGAGCGGACGCAGGAGCUCCCACACGCAGAGACGCAGCAGCAGGUUGCACCGUUUGACCUCACGGCCUAGCUGCUAGCUUAGCUAGCCUCCUCGACGACGUGCACGGGCCUCCACGCCAGACAUCGUUGCCACGGCGGUGCCGUGCAUGAGCUCGAUGGCCAGCGGCCGAGUCGCUAGUGUAAGUGUAAGUGUUAGCUCUUCCGGGCGCAUCGUAGAGAGCAACAUGGAUGCCUUCUUUGGGCGGCCAACUGCUGUUGAGAGAGGGCUCCAUUUUCACGGAAGAGUUACCCAGGCAGAGGACGUGAUGUCCGUAUAGAGGAGAACGUCAUCAAUUACAUGUAUAUAUACAUAUAAAUACGCAUGCAUCGGCAAUUCAACUUAUACACAGGUCUGUACAGUACACACACUGCUGCUGCUACUAUGUUGAUAUCCACUUGAUGCAUAUACUCUGCCUAGUAGCGCUAUAGGGUUGCAUGCAUGCUAUGCCACGCAACGCGAUCCUUCCUGAAGGCGUCGCUGAGGACCUGCAUGUCAACUACCACCUUGGGCGUGUUUGGCAGCUGUAGCAGCCGGGCCUGGCUUAGCUUAGCCUGACUCAAUGGAAGCUGGUUGACGAAAUGGAAGCCUAUUGUUUGGUUGCCUACAUCUAGUCCUUUCGCAUUAGGGGUGUAAUUUUGACAUAGCGUUUGGUUGUCUGCAUGGACUCGGCUCACGCAACUACGCAGUGUUUGGUUGUCUGCAUUGAUUCGGCUCAUGCAACUAUACGGUGUUUGGUUGUAUACGCCGGAUAUGAUUAAGAGCUAACACUUACACUUAACACAUACUGUGCCUCGCAACUGCAAUGGGCGGUGACUGCGGCGCCACGUCCGACACGAUGAGCAUGAAGUCUCAGGUGAGUGUUCUUGUCGGCGCCGCGGCGAACUAGUUGCUAGCGUCACCAGCACAGAGGAAGUUCGUGCGGAGGAGCGCUAAGGGCAGAGGAACAGGAAGGAGAAAUACAGUGCAUGCUGGACCAUGGCGACUGCGGUGGACGAUGGUCGUGGCUCCGCGUCCGACACGAUGAGCACGGAGUCGUGCGCGAGCGACCUUGUCAGCGACGCGGCGAACUAGCUGCUAGCCUUGUCGCUGCAAAAAAGACCGCACGAAGAUAGUGUACAAAGAAAGAGAAAUGUAGUGCUCGCGUCAUGGCAACAAAGGAAGAGAAAUGUAGUGCUCGCGUCAUGGCAACGUCAGUGCAGUAGGACAAAAGAGAGGAGGCCAAGAUGACCGACACCGGUGACUACUCCGGUGUAGUAGGAUGCAGGCAAGGAGGUCAAGAGGAACGGCGGCGACAUCGAAAGGGACGAACAGGAGGGCUGUGAGACAGAGGACAGAGCAGAAGAUAUACCGUGUGCGCGUAAUUGCGGCGUCGAUGCACUAGGAUCGUCGAAGCAGAAAACUUGCCACACGAAUAUCGUGUGAAAAUUUCAAAUGGUCAACUGUACGCGACGAAUUUGACAAAAUUCGUUCGAAGAGCUCCAAAUGUGACUAUAAAAUUGAGCAUUUACAGUCGACGAAACUACGAACUGAUCGCAAAAAUGGAACGGUAACAUCAAUGCGCAUUUUUUUCACGUGGAGCUUAUUUCGAAUCGAAUAACCGUUGUGUAGAUUAGAGAGGAGAAGGAAGAAAGGAGAUUAAGAAGGGGCUUAGUGAAGGUAGAAGAAGAAGCAGGUACACAGCUCUCAUCCCUCAAGACUCCCCUCAUGCAAGGGGUGGAUCCUAUAUGACGGGCAUGAAGCGACUCCCCACUUGGGCCAGCCCACGUAUGAUUUCCUGUUUUCCAUCGCUGUGGUUUCCUUCGCUGCUUCUGCACGUUUUUUUUUCAUUUUCUUCUGCGGUUUUUUGCUUUCAGUUUUUCACUGUUUUGUCCGGUUUUCCGUUGUUUUGUUUGGGUUUUUUAUUUUUUCUGUUUUGGUUCCUUUUUCGUUUCAUUUUCUUUAACAUUAUUUUUUAUUUUUCUGUUCUGUUUCUUUUUCUGUUUUCUUCUUUUUAUUUUGGUAUUAUAUAAAAUGUUCACCGUGCAUUACAAGAAAUUUCAUUGUAUCAAGAAAAAUGUUCAUUGUAUAUUAUGAAAAUUGUUCACCUUUGCAUACAAAAAUGUCAUCGUGUAUUACAAAAAUGUUCAUCCUAUAUUAUGAAAUUGCUCAACGUUUUUUACUAAAUGUUCAAUGCGUAUUCAAAAAUUGUACAACACACAUAUUCAUAUUAUUUCAAAAAUGUUCAUCUUGUAUUAUUUAAAAUGUUCAAUGGAUAUAAAAAAUGUUCAGUAUAUAUAUUUUGGACUUUUUCUAUUCUGGUUUUGGUUUUUCAACGAAUAUACAAAUGUUCACUAUGUUUCUUAAUUGUGUUCAGUGUAUAUUACACAAUGUUCAAUGUGUAUUCGUAAAUUGUUCAACGUAUUUUCACAAAUGUUCAGUUCGUGUCUGAAAAUUGUUCAGCACGUAUAUUCAUAUUUUUUUCAAAUAUGUUCAUUCUAUAUUAAAAUAAGUUCAUCGUGUAUUAUUUAAAAUAUUCAGCUUAUUUUAAGAAACUGUUCAACGGAUAUAGCAAAAUUUUCAACGGAUAUUACAAAAUAUUUUAUGUGUACUUUAAAAAAAGAUUCAACAGAGUAUGAUACUUAAACUUUCGCGCCUCAAAUUAACAUAAUAGCUCACCGGUUCUGUCGGUAGCAACGCUACCUCUAGAAAGGGAGGCCGUGAGUUCGAACUUUUGCGGGCACAUGAGUUUUUGUUUCUUUUUUUACUUGUGAGCUUGUUUCCUCCUAAUUGGCUGGCCCAUGCGUUCUUCCUUCGGUGAAGGCUCGACCAUUUGCCGCCCGUGCUCGGCAAAUAGGAGCUCUCCAAGCAAAGGGACCACCCAUAUGCGCUCGGUGUACAUCGCUCGGGCCUGGCUCCGAAGAAACUGCCGAUUCGGGCCUGGUUGGGCCUUCUGCUGGCAACCAAAAGCAUCCCUUGUCGCCGCGACGCUUGAUCACGUAGAACCGCGAUUGCUAUUUAGGAUUUUCCUAUUUGCCGCUCUUUGCGGCAAACUGCCGCAGCGAGCACAGGGGGGAAUCCGACAACUGUUCGGGAUGGGCCAGCCCGUUAAAAUUCUCAGCCAUUCCGGUUUUGGGAACUUUCUAGCUGGUUCGCAACCGGUUUUCUCUCGUUUUGGGAACCUUCUAGGAGGUUCCUGAACCAGUUUCUUUCUUUUUUCUUUUCCUGUUUUUUUCCUUUUUCUGUCUCUUUUUCUUUCUUUUUCUUUUUUUCGUUUUUGUUUUUUCUGUUUUCAAGUUUAUUUUCGUUUUUCCAAAAAAAAAUUGUUGCUCAUAAAUUGUUCAAAACUUCACGAACUGUUCCUGUUUCAAAUUGUGUUCCCAAAUUUUUUAAAAAUGUUCACACUUUCAAAAUAUUGUUCAGAAGUUUAAAAUAUGUUCUUUUAAUUUUUUCAGAAAUUAAAAAAAAUGUUCUUGAUUUCAGUUGUUCACCUAGUUAAUUUUUUGUAUUUUCUUUUUUUUCUUUUCUCUAUUUCUUUUGUAAUUCUUAAUCUACUCAUAUUUUUCUUUCUAAUUUUAUUUUUCAGAAUUUCCAAAUUUGUUCGAAAUUUCCAAAAAAAAUCUGAAGUUAAAUAUUGUUCCUGUUUUUUUAUUUUCUUUGGAAGUUCCAAAAAACUUAGUGAUUUUUAUAGCAUGUUCGUACAUUUGAAUAAAUGUUCACCUUUCAAAAAAUGUUCUUAAUUUUCAAAAAUGUGCGCCUUGCAAAAUAUGUUGAUAACUUCAAAAAAUGUUCUGGUUUUCAAUUUUUGUUCACAAAUUCCAUUUGUGAUCAUAAUGUUCGCUUUUUCUAAAUUUUGUUCAGAGUUUCAGAAUUUUUUCACAGAUGCAAAAAAAAAUCCUUAUGUCCAAAAUGUUCUUGUUUUAAAAUUGUUUAUUUUUCGGACAUUUGUUCAUAAAUCCGAAAAAGUUCCUAUUUUAAAUUUGUUUGCAAAUUCAAAAAAAUUUCGUGCUUGUCAAAGUAAUUAGAAUUGCAAAAAGGUUCGCGCUUUUCAAAAUUUGUUCACAAAUUCACACAUUCUUUCUGUUUUAAAAUUUGGUUACAAAUCCAAAAACUGGGCAAUUUUUUCAAUAUUUGUUCGUGUAUUUCGAAUUUUUUCCAGAAUUUCUUUUAAAAGUAUUCAGACUUUUAUAUAAAUGUUCGAAAAAAUGGAAAAUAUUUUGAUAUGUCGGUUUCUUUGGUACUAAAAGAUUUCGUGCUGAAUGUUUGAUAGUAGCAGUGAUCAGCUCCGGUGGUUAGGUACUGUCUCUACAAGCGCUGGGUCGCGAGUUUGUAUCCUGGCCCAAUACAGCGGCCAGCGGCCAGCUCUCGCUGAAGGUUUCUCCUUCCUCACGUUGUAUUGGGCGGCUCAUUCACAGGCGCACAAUGCUCUCGCUGAAGGUUUCUCCUUCCUCACAUUCUAUUGGUCGGGCCCAUUCUCUUUCCUCACGUUGUAUUGGGCCGGCUCAUUCACAUGCGCACAAUGCUCUCGCUGAAGGUUUCUCCUUCCUCACGUUCUAUAGGGCCGGCCCAUUCUCUUUCUUCACGUUGUAUUGGGCCGGCUCAUUCACAGGCGCACAAUGCGGAAAUUCCUGUUGGACGCUCGUUGCGUCAAAAUGUCGAGCGAACGCAUAGGGGAGCAAUCAACUGGGCCGGCCCAUCUCCCACUGUAGGCACUUUCGGUUUUGGGAACUUUCUAGAAGUUUCCCAGCCGGUUUUUAUCGGUUUUGGGAACCUUCUAGAAGAUUCCUUAAGCUGGUUUUCUAUUUUCUUUUUCUUAAGCUGGUUUCUUUUUUUAUUUUUCUUUUUCUUUUUUCCUUUUUUGUUUUAAUUUUUUUUAAAUGUUUGAGUUUUUGGAAAAAUGUUCGUAAAUUUCAAAAAAUGUCCAUAAAUUCAAAAAAUGUUUGCAUCUAUCAUAAAUUGUUUAAAAUUUCAUAAAAUGUUUCCUCUUUCUAAUUUUGUUCAGAAAUUCAAAAAAUGUUCGUGCUUUUCCAAAAAUUCUGCGGAAGUUUGAAAAUUGUUCCUGUUUUCAAUUUAGGUUCAGAAAUUAAAGAAUGUUCGUGCUUUUAUGAUGAAUGUUCCCGUUCUAAAAUUUUGUUCAGAAAUUCAAAAAUUGUUUGAGAAUUUAAAAAAUGUUCUUGCUAUUCAAAAAUUGUUCAGGAGUUUGAAAAAUGUUCCUGUUUUCAGUUUUGGUUCACAAUUUAUAAAAAUGUUCGUGCUUUUAUGAAAAAAGUUCCCGUUUUCAAAUUUUGUUCAAAAUUUCAAAAAAUGCUCUUGCUAUUCAAAAUUUGUUCAGAAGUUCAAAAAUGUCCCUGUUUCAAUUUUUGUUCAUAAAUUAAGAAAACUUUCGCAAAUUUGAAAAAUUGUUCGGAAUUAAAAAAAAGGCAGCUACAGUUCUAGGCACUACAGUACAAAAAUGUUCACGUAUAUAAAACUGUUAGACUUUGCAUAAAGAAAUGUUCAUGUUUUUCUAAAUUCGGAUUAAAAAAAUUGUUCACAUUUUUUCAGAAAAAUAGUUUGGAAUAUCAGAAAUUAUUUGCGGUAUUUCAAAUUGUUCGAAAUUAUCAAGAAAUGUUCCUAAAAUGUUUUUCCUAAAUCUCAACCCUGCUGUCUGUUCUUAAAUUGUUUGGCGCCUUAAUGUUCGACAGCAGCUUUGUGGUGGAGUGGUUCGCUGACCGUGGUCUGCGUGUUUUUUGUGAGCGAGGUCGUAGGACCGAAUCCUAGGGUAGGCUACUUGUUUUUUCGGGGUUUUUUUACGUCGCUGUGCUUUUGCUCGAUGGGCCGGCCCAGUUCUGCGUCGCCCUUGUGCGUCAAGCUCUUGUUUUGACGCAAAACGUGUCAGGGGCCUCCUAUAGCGCGCCUUCAGCGCCGCGCAAGGGAUCUGGCGCCCGCAGCAGCGGCAGGAUGGGCCGGCCCACGAUCACGAAACAAAGAAACAAGAAAAAUGACAGCCAAAAAUACUCCAACCAGGAUUUGACCUCGCGACCUCACGUUCAGACGCGGUAAGGCUAGCCACUGCACCUGUUACCUGCAAGUGAACAUUACCACCGCGAAAGUUUAAAGAAACAUAAACAUAGACACGCUAUUUAUUGCACAAUACACUGUAGCGUUUAUAUUUUUUAGUUAUCUGAAAAUGUGUUCACAUAUUAUAGAUGGAGUUCUUGAGCAUGCAAAAAAAAGUUCGCGUAUUCAAAAAUUAGUUCACCAUAUUGAAAAAGUUAAUGUAUUCAAAAAACAGUUCAUGAAUUCAAAAGAAGUUCAUCGAUUUUCAAAAAAAGUUCAUCAAAUUUGAAAAAAAUUCAACGAUUUCAAAAAAGCUUCAUCAAAUUUGGAGAAAGUUCAUCUAAAUUGAAAAAGUUCAUCGAUUUUGAAAAAAAGUUCACCGAUAUGAAAAAAGUUCAUCGAAUUUGAAAAACGUUCAUCAAAUUUGAAAUCAAACAAACUGUUAAAACGUGAACAAUUAUUGAGAACAUGAACAAAAUUUUAUAUACGACGAGCGAUUUUCAAAUAUACACUGAACAUUUUUUCGGUGUAUGAUGAACAAUUUUUAACUACACAGCGAACAUGUUUGUGAUAUACAUUGAAAUAAUUUAAAAUAUAUUAUACAUUUUUUAUAUAAGAUGAGCAAAUUUUAUACAUUGAACAUUUUUUAGCUACAUAUUGAACAAUUUUGUAAUAUAAUCUGAACAUUUUUUAACUACACAUUGAACAAUUUUGUAAUAUAAUCUGAACAUUUUCUAACUACACAUUGAACAAUUUUGUGAUAUGCGCUGAAAACCCAAUUAAAUACCUAUUGAACAUUUGUUUAUGUACACUGAACAAUUUAGAAUUGUGAACAAAAUUUGAAAAGGUGAAUAAAUUUGAAAACUAUGAACACGAUUUGAAAUCACGAACAAAGAAUGAAAAAUACAUUAAAAAUUAUAAACAUAAAAACGAAAAUGAUAAAAUGAAGGAAAAGGAAAAAGAAACUAAAUAGAAACAGAAACAGUAAAAAACCGAAAGAAAAAAGAAAAAGGAAACAGGGAAAACCGGCCAAAGAAAAAAAACCGGUUCAGGGAACCUACUAGAAGGUUCCCAAAACCGGGUACUAGUUCGUCGUGGGCCGUCCCGUGUGGCCUCGCUCGCUUUAAUAGAAACUGAAAUAAAAAGGAAAACUAGUGAUGGUUGCAAGUUGAUGCACAAACUAAAAGAGGUAAAAAAUGAGAAGGUAUCCACGAGUUUUGAGGUUUUCUAGUUGGUUAUCCUGUUUAGGACUGGAUCGUGGGGUGCAGGGUUCGAAUCCCACGUUCGCUUGUUUUUUUGCCGUUUGAAUAACGUAAAAAAAAAACGAAAAAUGGGCCAAGCGCAGGCGGAGCAGGGUGUGCGCCAGUUUGCCAGGAUCGAAGAAACGGGCGCUUAAGGCGGGAAUUUCCUAUUGGACGCACUUUGCGUCAAACUGUCGAGGUUUCGCACAGGGGAGAUCGAGCUAUCGUUCGACUGGGCCGGCCCGUUUAAGCUUUCAUCGUCCCCGGUUUUGGAAACCUUCUAGAGGUUUCCAGCCGUUUUUUAUGGUUUUGGAAACUUCUAGAAGGUUCCUGAAACGGUUUUUUUCCUUGUUCUGUUUUGUCAUUUUCUUUUUUUGCUGUUCUUUCUUUUUUCGUUGUUCUGUUUCCUUUUAUUUAUUUAUUUUUGUUUUUUCUUUAGUCCUGCCUUUUUCAUAAAAAUGUUUAAAAUUUGUUCACGUUUCCAAAAAUUAUUUGGAAGUUUAAUUAUUCUAAAAAUUCUAAAAAUGUUCGCAUUUUUGAAAAAAAUGUUCAAAAAAUGAAAAAUAAGAAAAUGUUCAAAAUAUACGGAAUUUGUUUGCCUUCCCAACAAAUGCUAGGAUAUUUUCAAAUAAAAGACUGUGUUUUCUGUAAAAAAUGUUCGUGUGUUACAAAAUUUGUUCAAAGAUUUCAAAAAAGUUUCUGGAUUUCAAUUUUUUUGUUCACGUAUUCAAAAAAUGUUUCUGCUUCCAUAUUUCUUCAGGAUUUCUAAAAUUGUUCUCCGUUUCAAAAUUUGUUCUCAAAUUUUAAAAAUUGUUCUUGCUUUAGAAUUUUUUCACAAAUUCUGAAAAUGUUCAUGUGUUCCAAAAAUGUGUGUGCUUCCAUAUUUGUUCAGGAUUUUCGAAAUUGUUCUUCGUUUCAAAAUUUGUUCUAAAAAAACUGUUCUUGCUUUAGAAAAUUGUUCACAAAUUCUGAAAAUGUUCAUAUUUUAGAAAAACAUUUCGGAAAUUCAAAAUUUGUUCUUGAUAUCAUAAAAUUGUUUCCUCAUGUGAAAACGAAAUCGUACGUUCCAAAUUUAGUUAAAAUUUGGAAAAUUGUAAAGGAUUUUGUUCAAACAGUAAGUCUUAUACUUUCUUUAGUUCUUAUAGUUUUCCGCUGUAUAAUAUCAACUGAGCACAAGUCAGCAGUCCUGUGUUCAAUUCCCAUCCAUCACGCCCUUUAUUUUUUUGCAAUAUUUCACCUGCUAUUUUCGGCGCACUGCAAUGGGCCGGCCCAAAUCGGCACAGCGAUGACGUGCCUGUGCGAAAGGGCAGCAUUUUGACGCAGAACGCGUCAUAUAGGAACUCCCCUUAAGGCGCCCGAUAGGAAAUGCCGUCUCUCACAAUGUUCUCGCUGAAGGUUUCUCCUUCCUCAAGUUCUAUUGGGCCGGCCCAUUCACAGGCACACAAUGCGGAAAAUACUAGAAGAAAUGCGAGAUAUGGGAAUCGAUCACUGGUAUCGUGAGAGAUACCACACGCGUCUAACCACUCCGCUAGGCUCCGUGCGCGGUUGGUAAUAGCGACGCGCCCCACAUAAUGUUUAAGCCGGCUUUCUUUGUUUCUUUUUGUUUUUUUUGUUUUUUCGUUUCUUUUGUUUCUUUUCUUUUUCUUUCUCCAUUUUUAUUUUUUUUUGCUUUUUUUCAUUUUUUAUUUUGUUUCUUUUCUCGUUUUUGUUUGUUCUUUUAGUCAUUAUUCUACAUUUUUUGUAUAUGACAACAAUAUUUCUCAAAUACACGUCUAACAUUCCUUCUUCAUUUUUUGUUUUUCUUUAGUUUUUUAUGUUUGUUUUUUGUUUCACUCUAUAUUCUCGUAUAUGACAAAGGCGAAGUAUCAGGUGAAAAUAGGUACUCAGUGAAAAUCUGAAAAUUCUCACGUGGUCCAUCAGAUCUAUAACGAACGACACUGAUCAAAGGUGGGAUCUCUAAUGAUCCACUUAAACACAAUUAGCAGAAAACCCCCUGGCUUGUUCACCAUCAAGGUGGAAAAAUCCUUCGUGAGUGUCCCUAUGAUAGGGUUACGUUUCAAUCUUACACGCCGCCAUGGAGAAUCACGUUUCGACGGCCGCGAGCCCUUGCCUUUCGACGUCAACGACGGCCCCUCCGAUGGCAGCAACAGGCCCUCCGUCCGCUGCGGCUCAUCCUCCACCGGUGGCGACUCGAGUUAUGUCCUUCCCUCCGACGGCAGCGACGGGCCCUCCGUCGGCUACAGCUCAUCCUCCGCUCAUGGCGACUGAAGCCAUGAUCUCCCCUCCGUCUGUCGUGACAGGGCCUCCAUUGGCUGCUCACCCUUUGCCGGUUGUGUCUCAAUCUUCAGAGUACUCAACACUGUCGGUCGUGAAAGGGCCUCCGUUGGCUGCUCACCCUUCGCCAGUUGCGUCUCAAUCUCUUCAGAGUACUCAACACCGUCGCUCGUGACUGCCACCCCUAUUUCCCCUGACAUGCCUCGGGCUCUUCCUAGCCAUGCAGAGGUAAGCUGUUACGUGAGCAUGAACCAUCGAUUGAUCACUAGGUAACAUUCAUCGUCUCGUACUCUCAAGUUAUGGCGCAUUAGAUGGAAAAAUAGACUGAUGCUUCACAAGGAUUUGUGCCAAAAAAAACAUAUCUGCAUCAGCACUAGACGUACUAGAAAAUUAGAGUAUGAGAUGAUCAUGCAACGGUACAUAUACUGUACAGAAUAUGCAUAUUUGAUGACUGUUUCUUUGUUUAUACGAACUGAACAUGCUAACACCCAUGAUGUUGCAUCAUAGAUGGAGCAUGAAUUCGAUAUUGGCAAUGAUCAAGGGAGUCAUGAUAUGGAAAUCCAUCCUCCUCCGAUCAAUCUAGACAACUUCAGUACACCAAAAAAGAGAGCUACAAGUGGCCCAUUUUGUGUGAGUAUCAUUAUCAUCAUAAUUUCGGUUAGAUUUCUCUAACAAUCACUAGCUUGUAUGAGUAACGAGUUUUAGUUGUUUUAGGGUUCAUCAUGUACACCCGACUAUGAUGAGAACUUAAAGCCGGUUGUAGGUAAGACAUUCGAGAGUAUGGAAGCUGUCGAGAAGUUUUACAAGGCUUACGCACACAGUGUUGGAUUUUCAGUUCGAAUUGGGCAGAAAAGGACCGUAGGUAAUGUGGUGGUCUGGAGGAGAUUUCUUUGUUGCAAAGCAGGUUUCCGAACAAUAAAGGAGGAGGAACGAAAGAAGGAUUCGAAGGGAGAGAAGACAAGAACACAUGCAAGAAAGAUUACUAGAUGUGGUUGUGAGGCCAUGAUAACUGUCAAGCAUAUGCAGGAUGGCAAAUAUUGUAUAUCAUAUUUUCAAGAAGAACACACCCAUGAAUUUGUCACACCUAGGAAGCAGCAUUUUAUCAAGUCUAACAGAGAAGUCAGCGAGAAGGCCAAGACCACACUAUUCACAUGUCAUGCAGCUAGCAUUGGCACAUCUGGGGCCUUCCGAUUGCUUCGUGUUGGUGAGGGCGGAUUCCAGUUCGUGGGGUGCACAAAGAGAGACUUGCAAAACUAUCACCGCGACAUGCGAAGCACUUUCAAAGAUACAAAUGCUCAAAUGUUCAUUGACAACCUCAGAAAGAGGAAGAAAAUCAACCCAGGAUUCUUCUUUGACUAUGUUCUUGAUGAUAAAAACCGACUGACGCGUGUCUUUUGGGCAGAUGCUUUUUGUCGGAAGAAUUAUGCUUUAUUGGGCGAAAUGGUGUCUUUUGACUCCACAUAUAGCACCAAUCAGUAUAAGAUGAUAUUUUAUCCUUUCACAGGAAUAAACCACCAUAUGUGAUCAGUUUUCUAUGGUGCCGCCUUGAUUGUUGAUGAGAAGAUAGAGUCAUAUAAAUGGGUGUUCGAAACAUUCUUGAAAGCAAUGGAUGGUGUAGCACCGAGGCUUAUAGUAACUGAUGAAGAUGCUAGUAUGAAGGCUGCCCUUGAUGAAGUUAUGCCAAACACCGUCCAUAGGUUAUGCAUGUGGCAUAUAAUGAGAAAGCUUCCAGAAAAGGUUGGUCCUCCACUGAGAGAGGAUGAACAUUUCUACAAUUCAGUUAACUCAUGUGUAUGGGGAUCUGAAAAUCCAACUGAAUUUGAGGCUAAGUGGUCUUCCAUGAUUUCUGAAUUUGGACUUGAGGAAAACACGUGGUUUGCUAGGAGAUAUGAAAUUCGUAAGUCAUGGAUACCGGCCUAUUUCAGAGGUCAAAAUGAACUCAAGGCUGACCAUGAUUGCCUCAGUUCCAUGCCUCCUCUGAUUACAUCCUGGGAGAUCGAGAAGCAUGCUAGCAUGUACUUCACCCAUGAGGUUUUCAAAGUUUUUCAGAAGGAAUUGCGUGCAGCUAGAGAACAUUGCUUGAUUGAAAGCAUAUCGCAAGAAGGUGAUGUGAAAACCACGGUUGUAGGUGGAGACUGCUCUUCCAAGUCUAGAGAAGUUCAAUUCAACACGUCAACCAUGAGCGCUCACUGCUCUUGCAUGUUAUUUGAGACACGUGGAAUUCCAUGCCAACAUAUUAUCAUGGUUUUGAGAGGUGCAAAGUUGAAUGAGCUCCCUAGUCAGUUCAUUUUGGAUAGGUGGAAGAAAACAGUUAAUAGGAGAGCCCUAUAUGACAGCUAUGGUAACUUACUUGAAGAAAAUGAGAGUAGUUCUUUAGAUUUGGCAAAGCGAAAAAUGAUUUCAGAGAUACACCAAACAUUGGAUGACACAAUUAGGUUGGCGGAGCACUCUCCUCAAGAAUUGGAAGCAUUGAGAGAUGGUCUCCUUGGAAUGAAAAGAAAUUUAUCUCAAAAGGUUACUGCCAAUAAUCCUAGUAGGCAAGAUGAAUUUGAGGCAUACAUUGGUUGUACUAUGCCUGGUGAAGUUGAAAUCCAUCCACCAACUGAUGUCCACACAAAGGGAAGAUGCAAAAGAAUUAAGGGACACUUAGACAAGGGUGGGGAAGGGAAGCAAAAUAAGGAUGGGGAAGGAAAGCAAAAUAAGAAUGGAGAGGGGAAGAAAACUGCUGCAGGACCCAAAAAGCCUCACACAUGCAAGGCGUGCAAGCAAGUUGGUUUCCAUGAUAGUCGUACGUGCCCUAACAAGAGCAAAGAAAUGUAAAGGUAGUUUUCAUACAAACAGAAUGAUUACUAUUUCAGAAUUCAUUUGUCCAAUCCUAACAGUUGUGUUCAUGUCUAUGUGCAGCUUCUUUUAUUUGAUUCGAGGCAGCCAGGUGCUUUUAUUUUGGUGUACUUGAAGAUGGAGUUCAAAGCUUCAGCAUUAUCUUCUGGGAGAUCAUCUUUAUCUUUUGGGCUUCUAAGAGCGGCGCCUUUAAGAGCAUGAGCAUUAUCUAUUUGAGAGCUUCAAUGUCGUUCUUUGAGAACUCCUUUUGUUACCCGCUACUGAUUUUUCUUUAUCUGUAGAGAAACAUUGCUAGUUGCUUGUUCUGGUGAACUACAUUGAACAAGUUCAUGUGUUGCGUGAUUUCUGAAUUGGCAUUGUGCCAAUAUUUUAUCAAGUUGAACCGUGCAAAACUCUACAAAGAUGUUAGUUUAUGGGCUUCAUGCUAACAUUUUAUCAAGCUGAAACUGUGCAAGAAUCCUGAAGUUCUGUAUUCACAUUCUUUUGCCUCCUACACACAUAGUUUUGCAAUGAGUCCACCACCCAAUCAAUCUUAAUCUCUUUUGUAGCUAGACACAUGUACAUGGGCCCAAAUUACAUUCUUUACAAGAAAAUUUAGAAACAAACAGAGGGACAAGCCCCAGCCAAACAUUACACAACCCUUAUGAUCGAGCUAGCAUGUUCAGGUACAUUUUCGGAAAUAACAGAGGUUGUGCGGACAUUUCUUCAGAGAACUGUAUAGUUGAGCUAUAAUUUUUCAGAGAAAAGUGUAGCAUGGGGCAGCACGCUUCCGCGUGUUUCCGCUCGAGGUUGACGCAUCUAGACGCUACUGUGAUGGACGCAGCUAACUUGUACACUGUGUUACAGCAAAAUUUGGUUACAGCGAGCUGGAACAUUCAGUUAGGCAAGUGACUACACAUCACUUUGAUAUCUCUUGAGCUCAUGACACAAUCUACAACGAGAUGCUUCAGAUUUUCAGUUUGUCCAUUGCCACCGAACAAUCACCACAGGAGAGUUGCACAACUCCAGCACUAACAAUAUAGCAAAUCUCAAUGCAAAAGCUUCAGCAUGUUCAGGUACAUUUUCUGAAAUAACAGAGGUUGUGCAGACGUUUCUUCAGAGAACUGUAAAGUUGAGGUACAAUUUUUCAGAGAAAAGCGUAGCAUGGCCCACGUCGUUGCCUCUCGAGGUCGAUGGAUCCGGCCGCUAGUGUAAUGGACGCGGCUACCCUGCAGGUCACACCCACCGUCAUCCUAGCGCAGCAGCUCAGAUGCGCUGCUAUCACCAUGCCGCUCGACUUCACCCCUGCGGCUGGUCUGCCGCGUGCGCGUCACCUACGCAGUCCCACUCUCCCGCCACACUGUCCGCGUCGUUGGUGAAGCUUCCGGGGCGGACGUCGCGGAUAUCGUUGCCUCCCUCCCAGGGCGGCGUCCUCGCCUCAGAUCCUCGGGAGCCCUCCCUGUCGAUGAGAGCUCCGAGGCGGUGCGUACCCGCGUCGUUGCCGGUGCCGGUUGUGUCUGCCCCGCCUCGUGCCUCACGGCCGCUAGAAGUCUCGAAACCGCCAUGGCGUUCCCCGCGGGAGCAGCCCAUGGGACGACCGGGGAAGAGUUAGAUCGAGUUGGGCAAGGCAAUCCCCACAUGAUAUUCGUUAAUCACUGAGAGAACAGGGGGUUAUCCACUAAUUUUGUUUAAGUGGAUCGUGGGAGAUCCCACCUUUGAUCGGAGCCGCUCAUUAUAGAUCCGAUGGACCACGUGAGAACUUUCAGAUUUUCACUGAAAACCUAUUUCCAACCAUUUUUUAAUAAGUGGUCAACAUUAUUUGUAUACACGUUCAACAUUAUCUGAACACAUAUUCAACAUUUUUAAAAUACUUGUCCAAUAUUUUAAUAUUUAUUCAACAUUUUUCAAAUAUAUGUUUAACAUUUUUUAAAUAGUCGUUCAAUACUUUUUCAACAUUUUUAAUAUUUAUUUGCAUUUUAAUACUUAUUCAACAUUUUCAAAUAUAAUGGUUCAACAUUUCCAAAUAGUUGUUCCACAUUUAUUAAUAGUUAUUCAACAUUUUCAAAUAUUUGUUCAACAUUUUUAAUAUUUAUUCGACAUUUUUUAUUUUUAUUCAACAUUCCGCAAUAGUUGUUCAACAUUUCUUAAAUACUCGUUCAACAUUUUUUAAUACUUAUUCAACAUUUGUCAAAUACUGGCUCAACAUUUCUGCAGAUACAUGUUCAAUAUUUUUUCAAAUACUUGUUCAAUAUUUUUUAAAUACUUAUUCAACAUUUUCUGAAUGAUUGAUUAGCAUUUUUCAAACAUGUGUUCAACAUUCUUCAAAAAAAUUUCAACAUUUUUUCAAAUACAUGAUCAACAUAUUUUUUCAAAUACUUGUUCAACAUUUUUUAAAUACUUAUUCAGCAUUUUCCAAAUGCUUGAUUAACAUUUUCUGAAAUACUUGUUCAACAUUUCCAAAUGUUUUUAUCGACUGUUUUUGUAUAAUAUAUAUGUAUAUAUAGAAUAUUUUAAAUUUUCAACAAAAGUAUAAACAUAAGCAAAAGGCCAAAUAGAAAACAAAAAAAAACUCAGAGAAAAUAGGUUGCAGCCUCGCGCUCGCGAGGGCCGGCCCAUCUGGCUCGCCCCCUUCAGCGAGUUGGAUGGUCGCCUCGCGUGAGGCGAGAAAUAGGGCGGGCACCCCACUUAGAACUCGCGCAGCGCGUGGCCGGCGACUCUCCGCGCGAAGCCGCACCUUUCCACACGCCUUUCUUCGUCGUCACACCAGCUGGUAGACCGCGCAGGCCUCCUGUAGAUGGCGUACCGGCUCUUCUGGCUCUCUUCCAGCUCCACGGCGUCGUACAGCAUUUGCAUUGCAAGCCAACUCAGUUCUCACGAGCCAGUCAGGGAAUGAAUGAUGUUCUCACGACUUUGUUAGCCAGCAGUGGGCUGGUCGAUGCUUUACCUGCUUGUAUUUUUGGUCCAGCUCCCAGAACCUCGCCUUCUUAUCUUCUUUAGAGAUUGGCCGAUUAGAGCAACUCUAAUGGGGCGAUCCAAACGGACGGCGAUUUCAUCCGCUUUUUGUCCGUUUGGGUCGGCCGCCCGCCAGGCGUCCGCCCUGUUUUUAAUAUGGGUCGGCAGCGCGCCUAACAUGCCGACCCAUAUGUGCUGGCGUGGCCGGCUGGCCGCCCAAUUUUACAUUGAUGAUUUGCAUUCAAACACAUUGUCAAAUAAAACGAAUAAAAAUAGUAUAGUUUUACAAGCCGAAUAAAAAUAAAAAUGUUUCACAUAGUUUUGCAAACGAAUAAAAAAAGAUACAUCUAUUGGUUGCCAACAUGAGCCCACAUAUGCUCAACCAAAUCAUUUUGCAGUUGCACGCGAGUUUUCCAAUCACGCAUGUCUUGAUGAAAUUGGGUGAACUGUUCAAACGUUGCCACUCCUUCAUGCUCAGGCACAACAUUCUCACCCUGAAACUGAAACCCUUAAUCGUACAGACGUUCCGGACGCUCGUCUUCUAUGAUCAUAUUGUGCAUGAUCACACAAGUAGUCAUCACCUCCCACAGUUUCUGCGUGCUCCAGGUAUUAGUUGGAUACCGAACGAUGCCCCAUCUAGAUUGCAAAACACCAAAGGCAUGCUCGACAUCCUUCCUAGCACUCUCUUGCUCUUAGGCAAAUCUUUUCCUCUUCUCUCCGACAGGGUUGGGUAUUGUCCUGACAAUAGUGGUCCACUGAGGAUAGAUACCGUCACCCAGGUAGUAUCCUUUGUCGUAGUUGUGGCCGUUGACAGUAAAGUUCACCGGUGGGUUGUUGUCUUUGGCAAGCCUAGCAAACACCGGCGAGCGCUGAAGCACGUUGAUAUCAUUGUGUGAUCCAGGCAUGCCAAAGAAAGAGUGCCAGAUCCAGAGAUCUUGAGACACCACGGCCUCUAGUAUGACGGUGCAAGCCCUGACAUGUCCUUUAUACUGCCCUUGCCAAGCAGAAGGACAGUUCUUCCACUCCCAGUGCAUGCAGUCUAUGCUGCCAAACAUCCCUGGGAUGCCCCUUCUGGCAUUCAUCGCCAACAAACGGGUUGUAUCUUCAGCUGUCGGCUCUCUCAAGUACUCAGGGCCAAACACAUCAAUAACAGCCUCGCAGAACUUAUACAGGGACUCUAGGCAUGUAGACUCGCUCAUACGGGCGUACUCGUCUAUGAGAUCACCGGGCACUCCGUAUGCAAGCAUUCGGAUGGCGGCAGUGCAUUUCUGAUAAGAGGAGAAACUGAUCUUGCCGACGGCAUCCUCUUUCCACUCAAAAUAGUCAUCAUAGCUGACCACCCCCUCUCUAAUACGGUUGAAAAAAUGCCUACUCAUACGGAAACGGCGGCGGAAUUUUCGAUGUUUGAACAACGGGUUUGUUGUAUCAAAGUAGUCCUUCCACAGAAGGAAAUGCCCGCUCUCUUGGUUGCGAGUCAACACCGGAAGGUGGCCCGGAAUGGAGCCACAGAACAAUGGCCGCUGGCUGUUGAGGUGGUGAUGGACCAACACGGCAGCCAAUAUCUCCUCCUCGUCGUCGGACGACGAAUCGCAAAGGAAAUUGUGGAAAAAGAACUCGUCAGCGGAGUCCAUUUCGUACCUUGGCAAUCUGUCGAACAGCUUGCGGGCGUCGAAGAAGGAGACGGCCGGCGAGGGGAGUCGCGACGCGCAUGGACCAGCUAGCUGCCCUGUCGACGUCCGACGAGUGGGCCGGCGUCCGACUGCGUGCCGGUCGGAUCUGGUCGGGGCGGCGAGGCGGUUUCUUGAUCGCGGGCGGCUGUGCGGUGGGAGGAGCAACGGUGGGAAGCAGUUUGCUCCCCGGCGGUAAGACGGCGGUGGCGGGCGACGGGGGAGUGGGCGGCGUUGCUGGGCGGAUGUGGAUGCGGCGGCAGCUGGUAGAGUCGCCGGCAAAAAUGGGCGGCGGCGUCGGCGACGGCGACGAAGGAGGCGGGCGAGGGUUGCUGUUGGCUGGGGAGAGGCCAAUAUGCCACCGACCAACGGGCCCGGGGAGAGCAGAAGGCGAGCGUGCACGCGUCCGUCGCGUGUCCGUGCCGACGCAAAUCCGGCUAAAAAAUGGGCCGGAAAUGGGUCGCCCGCAGACGAAAAGCGGACGUGUGUCCGUUUGGGUCGGCGCGUUGGGCCGCCUUUUGUGUCCGCGCCAACCCAAAUGAACGACGGCGGACGAAAUGGGUCGCCCCAUUAGAGUUGCUCUUACGGCCACAUAGCGAUGUGCUCGCUCUCUGAUACUCGUCGUAACGGGGACCCAAGAGGUUGCGCUCUUCGUCUACUACCUCGUCGAUGAAGCAUGUCAGCGGAGUUAUAUCUGAAGAACACAAUGAAGACGGUAAACGAGACGAACGUCAUGAUGAUACUCGAGUGUAUACAAAAAAUCUUCUGAAGUACCAGAGCUUAAAAUUUAGCACAUACUUUGCGGGUGAAAGUUGGCAUGAAAGUGCUAACGAACCUUACCUUAUUUCUAGGACCAACUGGAAUAUCUAUCCAGAUUAUAAGCUCUGUAAACUAUGUUCCCAGCUUAACUCCUAGCACAGCCAUGGCUAGGGUGCAUCUUUACGAAAAAGAGUUUCCCCCCACUUUAUAUUAUAAAGCACAACCGCCAAGACUAAGGUGCAUCUUUCUCACCCAACAAACGCAAAUUAAGUGGAAAUGCAUAAACAGCCUAGAAACCAAUGGAUAUGAACUACAAAAGCUGGAUUACCACUGCUGCAAAUUAAUCGGAUAGAGAUAAUCUAACUACUGUAGCUGUAUAACAAACUAUGCAACUUUAUAUUCCGUUGGAUAUUUGGAUUCAGUCAAGUUAUUUAGCAUGAAUUAAAGAUGUUCUUUUCUAUGCAUUUACUAACCAACAGUUAGUAAGAAACGAGGUAUUCUCCCUAUCCUCUUUACACCGCAUGCCUAAUUACUUGACAAAGAUACUUUCAGCACUUCAAAUUCGCAACCAUGGCAUGUAGGAGCAAAAGAGAAGGUCAGCUGUUAUAUAUGCAGAUGGUACAUAAACAAAGAAUCAUCAACUGUAUGCAGUUUUUUUAUAUGUAACCUACAUCGUCACUGUACCUGAAUAAUCACAUAUCCAGUCACCAAUAUUAGCUAAAAGUACACUAGUAAAUUGCAUUGGUGGUUGAUUAAGAGUAGUGAUUUGAGUUGAGUUGUCAUUGUGAGAUACCUCCUGCAUGGUUAUAGGACCCGGUUCUCUCCUGCAUAGGCCACCGGGGUCUUUAUAUACACGUCUUCUCUUAGAAGAGUAAGGCAUGAUCUCUGAUUUGGGCUUAGAUGGAGCCAACUAAGGUAAUAUCUCCUUAUAGUUGGUUGAAGUGCCAGAUCCAUAAGGCCUUGUUUGGUAGGAGAGGAUCGAGGGGGUUUUGAAGGGAAUUUCCUCGCGUGGCCCAGAAACCCCCCAAAACCUCGAGGGCCCAUUUGGUACACGGGGUUUCGAUGGCCCAACCCCCUCCUAUACCCUCCUUUCCAUGUGGUUCAGAGCCCUCAAGGGGGGACGCGUGGAUUUGGGGAGGAAAUGACACCGCGCUGCCGUCCGCUCACAGCGCCGCCGCCCGACUCCUCUUCAACGCGCCGUACACCAACUCCUCGACGCCGGCGUACCUCCUCCGCCAUACUGGGCUUCUCCCCGGUGGUAAGACCUCGCCUCGUCUCCCCCUCUUUCCCCUCGUCGUCUAGGUUUCUUCCAUCCGCCCGGCCAUGGCUGCCGCCUCGUCUUCCCCGGCGAGCUCACCAAGCACGCCGUCUCCGAGGGCACCAUGGUAAAGGAAAUAUGCCCUAGAGGCAAUAAUAAAAUUGUUAUUUAUAUUUCCUUAUAUCAUGAUAAAUGUUUAUUAUUCAUGCUAGAAUUGUAUUAACCGGAAACAUGAUACAUGUGUGAAUACAUAGACAAAACAAAGUGUCCCUAGUAUGCUUCUACUUGACUAGCUCGUUAAUCAAAGAUGGUUAAGUUUCCUGACCAUAGACAUGUGUUGUCAUUUGAUGAACAAGAUCACAUUAUUAGGAGAGUGAUGUGAUGGACAAGACCCAUUCGUUAGCUUAGCAUAAUGAUCGUUAAAGUUUUAUUGUUAUUGCUUUCUUCAUGACUUAUACAUAUUCCUUUGACUAUGAGAUUUUGCAACUCCCGAAUACCAGAGGAACACCUUGUAUGCUAUCAAACGUCACAACUUAACUGGGUGAUUAUAAAGAUGCUCUACAGGUGUCUCCGAAGGUGUUUGUUGGGUUGGCAUAGAUCGAGAUUAGGAUUUGUCACUCAGAGUAUCGGAGAGGUAUCUCUGGGCCCUCUCGGUAAUGCACAUCACGAUAAGCCUUGCAAGCAGUGUGACUGAUGAGUUAUUUGCGGGAUAAUGCAUUACAGAACGAGUAAAGAGACUUGCCGGUAACGAUAUUGAACUAGGUAUGAAGAUACCGAUGAUCGAAUCUCGAGCAAGUAACAUAUCGAUGACAAAGGGAAUGACGUAUGUUGUCAUUGCGGUUUGACCGAUAAAGAUCUUCGUAGAAUAUGUAGGAACCAAUAUGAGCAUCCAGGUUCCGUUGUUGGUUAUUGAUUGGAGAUGUGUCUCGGUCAUGUCUACAUAGUCCUCGAACCCAUAGGGUCCGCACGCUUAAUGUUCGAUGACGAUUUCUAUUAUGAGUUAUGUGUUUUGUUGACCGAAAAUUGUUCGGAGUCCUGGAUGAGUUCACGAACAUGACGAGGAGUCUCGAAAUGGUCGAGAGGUAAAGAUUGAUAUAUUGGACGAUAGUAUUCGGACACCGGAAUGGUUUUGGAGUGUUUCGGAGAUUUAUCGGAGUACCGAGGGGUUACCGGAACCCCCCGGGGAAAGUAAUGGGCCAACAUGGGCCAUAGGGGAGAGAGAGGGCAGCCCACAAGGGGUGGCGCCCCCCAGCCAUGGGCAGUCCGAAUUGGACAAGGGGUGGGGCUCCCCCCUUUCCUUCUCCCUCUCCUUCCCCCUUUCCCCCUCUGAAAGAAGGAAGGGGGCCGACUAGGACUAGGAGUCCAAGUCGGUUCCCCCCCAUGGCGCGCCCCUAGGGCCGGCCUCCUCCCCUCUCCUCCUUUNNNNNNNNNNNNNNNNNNNNNNNNNNNNNNNNNNNNNNNNNNNNNNNNNNNNNNNNNNNNNNNNNNNNNNNNNNNNNNNNNNNNNNNNNNNNNNNNNNNNNNNNNNNNNNNNNNNNNNNNNNNNNNNNNNNNNNNNNNNNNNNNNNNNNNNNNNNNNNNNNNNNNNNNNNNNNNNNNNNNNNNNNNNNNNNNNNNNNNNNNNNNNNNNNNNNNNNNNNNNNNNNNNNNNNNNNNNNNNNNNNNNNNNNNNNNNNNNNNNNNNNNNNNNNNNNNNNNNNNNNNNNNNNNNNNNNNNNNNNNNNNNNNNUUCUUAGCCGUGUGCGGUGCCCCCCUCCACCGUUUACUCCUUCGGUCAUAUUGUCGUAGUGCUUAGGCGAAGCCCUGCGCGGAUCACAUCACCAUCACCGUCACCACGCCGUCGUGUUAACGAAACUCUCCAUCGACACUUUGUUGGAUCAAGAGUUCGAGGGACGUCAUCGAGCUGAACGUGUGCAGAACUCGGAGGUGCCGUACGUUCGGUACAUGAUCGGUUGAAUCGAGAAGAUGUUCCACUACAUCAACCGCGUUAAACUAACGCUUCCGCUUUCGGUCUACGAGGGUACGUGGACACACUCUCCCCCUCUCAUUUUUAUGCAUCUCCUAGAUAGAUCUUGCGUGAUCGUAGGAAUUUUUUUGAAAUUGCAUGCUAUGUUCCCCAACAGUGGUAUCCAAGUCAGGUCUAUGCGUAGAUGAUAUGCACGAGUAGAACACAAAGAGUUGUGGGCGAUGAUAGUCAUACUGCUUACCACCAACGUCUUAUUUUGAUUCGGCGGUAUUGUUGGAUGAAGCGGCCCGGACCAACCUUACAUGAACAUGUUCAUGAGACCGGUUCCACCGACAGACAUGCAACUUGUUUUGCAUAAAUGUGGCUGGCGGGUGUCUGUUUCUCCAACUUUAGUUGAUUCAAAUUUGACUGCGGCCGGUCCUUGUUGAAGGUUAAAACAGCAAACUUGACGAAACAUCAUUGUGGUUUUGAUGCAUAGGUAAGAACGGUUCUUACUAGAAGCCCGUAGCAGCCACGUAAAACUUGCAACAACAAAGUAGACGACGUCUAACUUGUUUUUGCAGGGCAUGUUGUGAUGUGAUAUACGUUGUUAUAUGAGAUGAGCAUGUUUUGUAAAAGUUAUCGGCAACUGGCAGGAGCCUUAUGGUUGUCGUUUUAUUGUAUGGAAUGCAAUCGCCAUGUAAUUGCUUUACUUUAUCACUAUACGUUAGCGAUAGUUGUAGAAGCAAUAGUUGGCGAGACGACAACGACGCUACGAUGGAGAUCAAGGUGUCAAGCCGGAGACGGGAGAUCAUGACGGUGCUUUGGAGAUGGAGAUCAAAGGCACAAGAUGAUGAUGGCCAUAUCGUGUCACAUAUUUUGAUUGCAUGUGAUGUUUAUCUUUUAUGCAUCUUAUUUUGCUUAGUACGACGGUAGCAUUAUAAGAUGAUCCCUCACUAAAAUUUCAAGUUAUAAGCGUUCUCCCUAAGUAUGCACCGUUGCGACAGUUUGUCGUGCCGAGACACCACGUGAUGAUCGGGUGUGAUAAGCUCUACGUUCACAUACAAUGGGUGCAAGACAAAUUUGCACAUGCGGAAUACUCGGGUUAAACUUGACGAGCCUAACAUGUACAAACAUGGCCUCGGAACACUAGAGACCGAAAGGUCGAACGUGAAUCAUAUAGUAGAUAUGAUCAACAUAGAGAUGUUCACCAUUGAAAACUACUCCAUCUCAAGUGAUGAUCGGACAUGGUUUAGUUGAUAUGGAUCACGUGAUCAUUUAGAUGACUAGAGGGAUGUCUAUCUAAGUGGGAGUUCUUAAGUAAUAUGAUUAAUUGAACUUAAUUUAUCAUGAACUUAGUCCUGAUAGUUUUUGCAUAUCUAUGUUGUAGAUCAAUGGCCCGUGCUACCGUUCCCUUGAAUUUUAAUGCGUUCCUAGAGAAAGCUAAGUUGAAAGAUGAUGGUAGCAACUACACGAACUGGGUUCGUAACUUGAGGAUUAUCCUCAUUGCUGCACAGAAGAAUUACGUCCUUGAUGCACCGCUAGGUGCAAGGCCUGCUACAGGAGCAACUCCGGACGUUAUGAACAUCUGGCAAGCUAAAUCUGAUGACUACUCGAUAGUUCAGUGUGCCAUGCUUUACGGCUUAGAAUCGGGACUUCAAAGACGUUUUGAACGUCAUGGAACAUAUGAGAUGUUCCAGAAGUUGAAGUUAAUAUUUCAAGCAAAUGCCCGAGUUGAGGGAUAUGAACUCUGUCAAUGACACUAUCAUCCGGGCUUCAAAGACGUUUUGAACAUCAUGGAACAUAUGAGAUGUUCCAGAAGUUGAAGUUAAUAUUUCAAGAAAAUGCCCGAGUUGAGAGAUAUGAAGUCUCCAACAAGUUCUAUAGCUGCAAGAUGGAGGAGAACAGUUCUGUCAGUGAACACAUACUCAGAAUGGCUGGCUACCAUAACCACUUGACGAGUUAAUCUUCUGGAUGAUAGUGUCAUUGACAGAGUUCUUCAAUCACUGCCACCAAUCUAUAAAGUCUUCGUGAUGAACCAUAAUAUGCAAGGGAUGAACAAGACGAUUCCCGAGCUCUUCGCAAUGCUCAAGGCUGUGGAGGUAGAAAUCAAGAAGGAGCAUCAAGUGUUGAUGGUUAACAAGACCACUAGUUUCAAGAAAAAGGGAAAAGGAAAGAAGGGGAACUUCAAGAAGAAUAGCAAGCAAGUUGCUGCUCCCGGAAAGAAGCCCAAGUCUAGACCUAAGCCUGAAACUGAGUGCUUCUACUGCAAAGGGACUGGUCACUGGAAGCGGAACUGCCCCAAGUAUUUGGCGGAUAAGAAGGAUGGCAAAGUGAAAGGUAUAUUUGAUAUACAUGUUAUUGAUGUGUACCUUACUAAUGCUCGUAGUAGCGCCUGGGUAUUUGAUACUAGUUAUGUUGAUCAUAUUUGCAACUCGAAACAGGGGCUACGGAUUAAACGAAGAUUGGCUAAGGACGAGGUGACGAUGCGCGUCGGAAAUGGUUCCAAGGUCGAUGUGAUCGCCGUCGGCAUGCUACCUCUACAUCUACCUUCGGGAUUAGUUUUAGACCUAAAUAAUUGUUAUUUGGUGCCAGCGUUGAGCAUGAACAUUAUAUCUGGAUCUUGUUUGAUGCGAGACGGUUAUUCAUUUAAAUCAAAGAAUAAUGGUUGUUCUAUUUAUAUGAGUAAUAUCUUUUAGGUCAUGCACCCUUGAUGAGUGGUCUAUUUUUGUUGAAUUUCGAUCGUGGUGAUACACAUAUUCAUAAUAUUAAUGCCAAAAGAUGUAAAGUUAAUAAUGAUAGUGCAACUUAUUUGUGGCACUACCAUUUAGGUCAUAUUGGUGUAAAGCGCAUGAAGAAACUCCAUGCAGAUGGGCUUUUGGAAUCACUUGAUGCUUGCGAACCAUGCCUCAUGGGCAAGAUGACUAAGACUCCGUUCUCCGGAACAAUGGAGCGACCCACUGACUUAUUGGAAAUAUUACAUACUGAUGUAUGUGGUCCGAUGAGUGUUGAGGCUCGCGGCGGGUAUCGUUAUUUUCUAACCUUCACAGAUGAUUUGAGCAGAUAUGGGUAUAUCUACUCAAUGAAACACAAGUCUGAAACAUAUGAAAAGUUCAAUGAAUUUCAGUGUGAAGUGGAAAAUCAUCGUAACAAGAAAAUAAAGUUUCUACGAUCUGAUCGCGGAGGCGAAUAUUUGAGUUACCAGUUUGGUCUUCAUUUAAAACAAUGUGGAAUAGUUUCGCAACUCACGCCACCUGGAACACCACAACGUAAUGGUGCGUCCGAACGUCGUAACCGUACUUUAUUAGAUAUGGUGUGAUCUAUGAUGUCUCUUACCGAUUUACCACUAUCAUUUUGGGGUUAUGCAUUAGAGACAGAUGCAUUCACGUUAAAUAGGGCACCAUCUAAAUCCGUCGAGACGACACCAUAUGAAUUGUGGUUUGGCAAGAAACCUAAGUUGUUGUUUCUUCAAGUUUGAGGUUGCGAUGCUUAUGUGAAAAAGCUUCAGCCUGAUAAGCUCGAACCCAAAUCGGAGAAGUGCGUCUUCAUAGGAUACCCAAAAGAAACUGUUGGGUACACCUUCUAUCACAGAUCCGAAGGCAAGAUAUUUGUUGCUAAGAAUGGAUCAGUUUUAGAGAAGGAGUUUCUCUCGAAAGAAGUGAGUGGGAGGAAAGUAGAACUUGAUGAGGUAAUUGUACCUCCUCUCGAAUUGGAAAGUAGCUCAUCACAGAAAACCGUUCCCGUGAUGCCUACACCAACUAGUGAGGAUUGAGGAAGUUAAUGAUGGUGAUCAUGAAACUUCAGAUCAAGUUACUACCGAACCUCGUAGGUCAACCAGAAUGCGUUCCGCACCAGAGUGGUAUGGUAAUCCCGUUCUGGAAGUCAUGUUACUAGACCAUGACGAACCUAUGAACUAUGAGGAAGCGAUGAUAAGCCCAGAUUCCGCGAAAUGGCUUGAGGCCAUGAAAUCUGAGAUGGGAUCCAUGUAUGAGAACAAAGUAUGGACUUUGGUUGACUUGCCCGGUGAUAUGCAAGCCAUAGAGAAUAAAUGGAUCUUCAAGAAGAAGACUGACGCUGAUGGUAAUGAUACUGUCUACAAAGCUCGACUUGUUGCGAAAGGUUUUCAACAAGUUCAAGGAGUUGACUACGAUGAGACCUUCUCGCUCAUAGCGAUGCUUAAGUCUGUCCGAAUCAUGUUAGCAAUUGCCGCAUUUUAUGAUUAUGAAAUUUGGCAAAUGGACGUCAAAGCUUCAUUCCUUAAUGGAUUUCUUAAAGAAGAGUUGUAUAUGAUGCAACCAGAAGGUUUUGUCGAUCCUAAAGGUGCUAACAAAGUGUGCAAGCUCCAGCGAUCCAUUUAUGGACUGGUGCAAGCAUCUCGGAGUUGGAAUAUACGCUUUGAUAGUGUGAUCAAAGCAUGGUUUUAUACAGACUUUCAGAGAAGCCUGUAUUUAUAAGAAAGUGAGUGGGAGCUCUGUAGCAUUUCUAAUAUUAUAUGUGGAUGACAUAUUGUUGAUUAGAAAUGAUAUAGCAUUUCUGGAUAGCAUAAAAGGAUAUUUGAAUAAGAAUUUUUCAAUGAAAGACCUCGAUGAAGCUGCUUAUAUAUUGGGCAUCAAGAUCUAUAGAGAUAGAUCAAGACGCUCAAUUGGACUUUCACAAAGCACAUACCUUGAUAAAGUUUUGAAGAAGUUCAAAAUGGAUCAGUCAAAGAAAGGGUUCUUGCCUGUGUUACAAGGUGUGAAGUUGAGUCAGACUCAAUGCCCGACCACUGUAGAAGAUAGAGAGAAAAUGAAAGUCAUUCCCUAUGCCUCAGCCAUAGGUUCUAUCAUGUAUGCAAUGCUGAGUACCAGACCUGAUGUGUGCCUUGCUAUAAGUUUAGCAGGGAUGUACCAAAGUAAUCCAGGAGUGGAUCACUGGAGGCGGUCAAGAACAUCCUGAAAUACCUGAAAAGGACUAAGGAUAUGUUUGUCAUUUAUGGUGGUGACAAAGAGCUUGUCGUAAAUGUUUACGUCGAUGCUAGCUUUGACACUGAUCUGGAUGACUCUAAGUCGCAAACCGGAUAUGUAUUUAUAUUGAAUGGUGGAGCUGUCAGUUGGCGCAGUUCCAAGCAGAGCGUCAUGGCGGGAUCUACGUGUGAAGCGGAGUACAUAGCUGCUUCGGAAGCAGCAAAUGAACGAGUCUGGAUGAAGGAGUUCAUAUCUGAUCUAGGUGUAAUACCUAGUGCAUUGAGUCCAAUGAAAAUCUUUUGUGUCAAUACUGGAGCAAUUGCCUUAGCAAAGGAAUCCAGAUUUCACAAAAGAACCAAACGUAUCAAGACACGCUUCAACUUCAUCCGUGAUCAAGUCAAGGAGGGACACAUAGAGAUUUGCAAAAUACAUACAUAUCUUAAUGUUGCAGACCCGUUGACUAAACCUCUUCCACGAGCAAAACAUGAUUAGCACCAAGAAUCCAUGGGUGUUAGAAUCAUCACAAUGUAAUAUAGAUUAUUGACUCUAGUGCAAGUGGUAGACUGGAGAAAGUAUGCCCUAGAGGCAAUAAUAAUGUUGUUAUUUAUAUUUCCUUAUAUCAUGAUAAAUGUUCAUUAUUCAUGCUAGAAUUGUAUUAACCGGAAACUUGAUACAUGUGUGAACACAUAGACAAAACAAAGUGUCCCUAGUAUGCCUCUAUUUGACUAGCUCGUUAAUCAAAGAUGGUUAAGUUUCCUGACCAUAGACAUGUGUUGUCAUUUGAUGAACGGGAUCACAUCAUUAGGAGAAUGAUGUGAUGGACAAGACCUAUCUGUUAGCUUAGCAUAAUGAUCGUUAAAGUUUUAUUGCUAUUGCUUUCUUCAUGACUUAUACAUAUUCCUUUGACUAUGAGAUUAUGCAACUCCCGAAUACCGGAGGAACACCUUGUGUGCUAUAAAACGUCACAACGUAACUGGGUGAUUAUAAAGAUGCUCUACAGGUGUCUCCGAAGGUGUUUGUUGGGUUGGCAUAGAUCGAGAUUAGGAUUUGUCACUUCGAGUAUCGGAGAGGUAUAUCUGGGCCCUCUCGGUAAUGCACAUCACGAUAAGCCUUGCAAGCAAUGUGACUAAUGAGUUAUUAGCGGGAUGAUGCAUUACGGAACAAGUAAAGAGAAUUUCCGGUAACGAGAUUGAACUAGGCAAGUAACAUACCAAUGACAAAGGGAAUGACGUAUGUUGUCAUUGCGGUUUGACCGAUAAAGAUCUUCGUAGAAUAUGUAGGAACCAAUAUGAGCAUCCAAGUUCUGCUGUUGGUUAUUGAUCGGAGAUGUGUCUCGGUCAUGUCUAUAUAGUUCUCGAACCCGUAGGGUCCGCAUGCUUAACGUUUGAUGACGAUUUGUAUUAUGAGUUAUGUGUUUUUGUGACCGAAGAUUGUUCAGAGUCCCGAAUAAGAUCACGGACAUGACGAGGAGUCUCGAAAUGGUCGAGAGGUAAAGAUUGAUAUAUUGGACGAUACUAUUCAGACACCGUAAUGGUUUCAGAGUGUUUCGGAGAUUUAUCGGAGUACUGAGGGGUUACCGGAACCCCCCGGGGGGAGAGAGGGCAGCCCACAAGGGGUGGCACCCCCAUGAGCAGUCCGAAUUGGACAAGGAGAGGGGGUGCACCCCCCUUUUCUUCUCCCUCUCCCUCUCCUUCCCCCUUUCCCCCUCCCAAAGAAGGGAGGGGGCCCGACUAGGACUUGGAGCCCAAGUCGGUUCCCCCCCAUGGCGCGCCCCUAGGGCCGGCCUCCUCCCCUCUCCUCCUUUAUAUAUGGGGGCAGGGGGCACCCCAAAACAGAUCAAUUGUUUCUUAACCGUGUGCGGUGCCCCCCCUCCACCGUUUACUCCUCCGGUCAUGUUGUCGUAGUGCUUAGGCGAAGCCCUGCGCGAAUCACAUCACCAUCACCGUCACCACGCCGUCGUGCUGACGAAACUCUCACUCGACACUUUUCUAGAUCAAGAGUUUGAGGGACGUCAUCGAGCUGAACGUCUGCAGAACUCGGAGGUGCCAUACGUUCGGUACUUGAUCGGUUGAAUCGAGAAGAUGUUCGACUACAUCAUGAACAGAGUGAGGAGAGAUGAGGGAGGGNNNNNNNNNNNNNNNNNNNNNNNNNNNNNNNNNNNNNNNNNNNNNNNNNNNNNNNNNNNNNNNNNNNNNNNNNNNNNNNNNNNNNNNNNNNNNNNNNNNNNNNNNNNNNNNNNNNNNNNNNNNNNNNNNNNNNNNNNNNNNNNNNNNNNNNNNNNNNNNNNNNNNNNNNNNNNNNNNNNNNNNNNNNNNNNNNNNNNNNNNNNNNNNNNNNNNNNNNNNNNNNNNNNNNNNNNNNNNNNNNNNNNNNNNNNNNNNNNNNNNNNNNNNNNNNNNNNNNNNNNNNNNNNNNNNNNNNNNNNNNNNNNNNNNNNNNNNNNNNNNNNNNNNNNNNNNNNNGAGGAGUCGGGGGCGGCCCGAGGAGGAGGGAGGAGGGCGCGUGGGAGGAGGAGGGAGAGGAGGAAGGAGGGCAUACCGAGGGCGGCGGCGCGCGGCAAUGCGGUGGCGACGGCAAUGUGGCGUCGGCGGAGGAGCGAGGCAGCGGGGAGUGAGGGGAGGAAGAAGGUGGUCGGGGCGCGGGGGAGGAAAACUUGGGGAUAAGUCACCCAUAGGAGUAGCGCGUUCCCAGGAAGAGCGCUAAUGCUAAAACCAAUAGCAGUAGCAUUGGUUGUAGACCAGCGCCACUACUAUACCUAGCCUGCUGGCAACGGUGUGGCAGUUCUAGUAGUAGCGCUUUUUAUGUGGCACGCGCUACUGCUACUUAUAUAGUAGUAGCGGUCUUGUACACAACGCGCUACUGGUACAUAGCAGUAGCGCAUGUUUUUGACCAUCGCUACUGAUAAGUUUCUGUGUAUAAGGUUUUCCCUAGUAGUGUCAACCGCGUUAAAUUAACGCUUGCACUUUCGGUCUACGAGGGUAGGUGGACACACUCCCCCCCUCUCGUUGCUAUGCAUCUCCUAGAUAGAUCUUGCGUGAUCGUAGGAAUUUUUUUGAAAUUGCAUGCUACGUUCCCCAACACAUGGCCGUCACCAAGUUCACCUCCUCCUAGACUGAUGGCGUUUUGUUGGUUUCUGUAUCUGUACUCUCGACUCUGCCUACCUAUCUGCAAGUAGUGGUAGUAGUACGUGUGUUGGGUGUUUGCCAACGCUUUGUUGGUUAGUUAUUUGUAAGAACUGAACUGAUGUCUACUACACAACCUUCUUCUUGUAGACAUUGUUGGGCCUCCAAGUGCAGAGGUUUGUAGGACAGUAGCAAAUUUCCCUCAAGUGGAUGACCUAAGGUUUAUCAAUCCGUGGCAGGUGUAGGUUGAAGAUGGUCUCUCUCAAACAACCCUGCAACCAAAUAACAAAGAGUCUCUUGUGUCCCCAACACACCCAAUACAAUGGUAAAUUAUAUAGGUGCACUAGUUCGGCGAAGAGAUGGUGAUACAAGUGAAAUAUGGAUGGUAGAUAUCGGUUUUUGUAAUCUGAAAAUAUAAAAAGAGCAAGGUAACUAAUGAUAAAAGUGAGCGUGAACGGUAUUGCAAUGCUGGGAAACAAGGCCUAGGGUUCAUACUUUCACUACUGCAAGUUCUCUCAACAACAAUAACAUAACUGGAUCAUAUAACUAUCCCUCAACAUGCAACAAAGAGUCACUCCAAAGUCAGUAAUAGCGGAGAACAAACGAAGAGAUUAUGGUAGGGUACGAAACACCUCAAAGUUAUUCUUUCUGAUCGAUCUAUUCAAGAGUCUGUAGUAAAAUAACACGAAGCUAUUCUUUCCAUUCGAUCUAUCCUAGAGUUCGUACUAGAAUAACACCUUAAGACACAAAUCAACCAAAACCCUAAUGUCACCUAGAUACUCCAAUGUCACCUCAAGUAUCCAUGGGUAUGAUCAUAUGAUAUGCAUCACACAAUCUCAGAUUCAUCUAUUCAAACCAACACAAAGUACUUCAAAGAGUGCCCCAAAGUUUCUACCGGAGAGUCAAGACGAAAACGUGUGCCAACCCCUAUGCAUAAGUUCACGAGGUCACGGAACCCGCAAGUUGAUCACCAAAACAUACAUCAAGUGAAUCACAUGAUAUCCCAUUGUCACCACAGAUAAGCACAUGCAAGACAUACAUCAAGUGUUCUCAAAUCCUUAAAGACUCAAUCCGAUAAGAACUUCAAAGGGAAAACUCAAUCCAUUACAAGAGAGUAGAGGGGGACAAACAUCAUAAGAUCCAACUAUAAUAGCAAAGCUCGCGAUACAUCAAGAUCGUACCACCUCAAGAACACGAGAGAGAGAGAGAGAGAGAUCAAACACAUAGCUACUGGUACAUACCCUCGGCCCCGAGGGUGAACUACUCCCUCCUCGUCAUGGAGAGCACAGGGAUGAUGAAGAUGGCCACCGGAGAGGGAUUCCCCCCUCUGGCAGGGUGUCGGAACGGGUCUAGAUUGGUUUUCGGUGGCUACAGAGGCUUGCGGCCGCGGAACUCCCGAUCUAGGUUAUGUUCUGGAGGUUUCAGUAUAUAUAAGAGGUUUUGGCGUCGAGAACAAGUCAGGGGGGUCUCCGGGUGUCCACGAGGUAGGGAGGCAUGCCCAGGGGGGUGGGCGCGCCCCCCACCCUCGUGGGCAGCCAGGGACUCUUCUGGCCCAACUCUUUUACUCCAUGGCCUUCUUCUGGUCCAAAAAUAAGUUCCGUGAAGUUUCAGGUCAAUUGGACUCCGUUUGGUUUUCCUUUUCCGUGAUACUCAAAAACAACGAAAAAACAGAACUGGCACUGGGCUCUAGGUUAAUAGGUUAGUCCCAAAAAUCAUAUAAAAUAGCAUAUAAAACAUCCUAGAAGGAUAAUAUAAUAGCAUGGAACAAAUCAAAAAUUAUAGAUACGUUGGAGGUGUAUCAUGAACCUGUUGCUACUUUUGGCAAACUGAUCGGUCUAUCUAUGUGGUAAUGCUGCAGUAGUGUUGAUCUGAUUAAUGUUGGUUUUCCGCUCUUCUGAACACAUCAAUGUAUGGCCAUUCAUAUUUUAGUUGUUGAACUCUGGUUAUUUGUAGACCUCCUGCAUGUUCUAGAUUUUUUACUGAAUUUACUGUGAAUCACUGUAUCCUGUUGUGCAAACAAAGAUUUAGAAAUAAUGAUGCAUUCCUAUACUAGUGAUUUGAUUUUUUACUUGGUGAUUGAAUUGAUCUCUGUCAUGUCUGCUUUCAUAUGGCAGCAGCUUGGUG
rnacentral:lncRNA from 1 species